AGGCCGCGUUGCGGCGAUACGGCCGCGCCAUCGGCGUCCUCUACGAGCUCGUCGACGACAUGCGGAGCGCGUCGGGAAACGGCAAGAUGAGGAGCAACGCCAGCGUCCUGCGCGCGCUGGGCAUGGACCGUGCGCUGGGCAUUGUCGAGGAGCUCAAGGCGCAGGCCAAGACGGAGGCGGACAGGUUCGGCGAUAAGUAUGGCGACCGGGUGCUGCCAUUGUACAGCUUCGUGGACUACGCCGUGGAGAGGAGCUUUGAGCUCCAGGAUUCAGCCGCGAAGCCUUGAGCGUUGGCACAGGUGACAUGUAUAGUUAUGUGAAGCUGAAAUUCUGUGAUCUGAACUAUAAAUUUGUACUAUAUGUGUUUAGAACAUUAGAUGCGUGGUUGCUGUUUCUGUCCAACAUUUUGCAAGUUCCUGAAAUAACAUGGUACCAAAUGAUAAACUUACCAAUAAUUUUGAGUUCAUACUCCAUGGGAAUGAAGCUAACCCAAGUUCACACCAUGUUGGGAGCUUUCAAAUUGUUCAUACUGUUCAGUUCGUUUGUAAGAAGGUUUACCUUCUGUGCUUGUUUGUCGUUGAAUUUGUGUGAACAUGAUGGUAGUAAACAUUACAGGGAUCAGCUUUGUUACCUGACAAUGAUAAAUAUUUAUAAAUUUUGCCAGACAUUAAAAAUCAGAAAGCACGAGUCAACUAGUAGUGGGAGUAACUUAUACUAGUGUCAUACAUAUGACACUGGUCUAAAUUACUAAUCCCUUCGUCUCGAUUUAUAAGGUUUAUAUAAGGCAUACAUAUCGUUCUAGGUUAACAAAUUAACUAGCUAAAUAUAUACUCCCUCUAUACCUAAACAAUUAUAGUUGGGAAGAACUAAUCUAAUUCUUCUCAAUUAUAAUUAUUUAGGUACAGAAGGAGUAUUAUAUUUGAUGAAAAAUAUAUGUUCAAGAACUACGUCUGUUUAAGAAAUUUAAUAAUAUAUUUUUGAUAACAUAUAAUUGAUAUUUAGUUAGUCAAAUCGAUGACCUAAAACUACGUGCAUGCCCAUAAACCGAGUACCUCUAUUGUACAAUGUAACAUAUUAGAGCAUGGUUAAUAGUAUAGUCAGCUGCUAUAAGACAUUGCCAUGUUACCUAUAACUCAUCUUAUAGCUAUCAUGUACAAUAGUUGGUUAGAAGAGUGUACUACUUUUUUAUUAUAUGACCCACAUUUCAUUCUCACAUAGUUCCUAGAAGCACGUGCUAGAGCUGGUUCUUAACUAAGAACAUGUUUAUCUUCUCUCUCUUCUUCUCUUUCUUCAAACUAAGCAAAAAUACAUUAUUUUAUUUCUUAUAGCCAGUUGACUCAGCUCUAUUAUAGUACUUGCUCUUAGUAGUAGUGUCAUAAAUGACUUCAUUUAUUAUCUUAUAGACUAGAAGUGCUAUGUUAUAAUAUAUUAUCUCUUCUCAUUAACUACAUGACAUAAUAUUUUUUUGAAAUGUGAUGUAUUACUAGUUAAGUUAUUUCCACUUUGACUAGCCUAAGAGUGUAUCAUUUUUUUUAUUAUUGUCUAGGGAGUUAACACUAUCUAUUCCUUUUCUUAAAUUAUAUAACCCACUCAAAUUUUAGAAGUUAAGUUUGGGAAGUAAUGAAUUCUGCCUAUAUUUGAGCAGAAUUUGCUCCCUCCCUAUCCCAUAGAAAGUAGGAAAUUCCUUUCCCAAUCACCACCUUCCGCCAUUGUCGAAGUCAUUGUCGGCAACUUCUCCGGCCAUGUCGCUAUGAGGCCCACAUCCCCACCCUUUACAUGUUGGGGUACCGCCUAUUGCCGACUCUCGAGCUACUCCUGCCACAACCACCUCUUGCUACUAAGGUGAAGCUCGCGGUCGUCAUCGUUGUGCCGAAAGAGCUCUUGGCCGUCACACCCUACCUUCGCUGCCUCCUAAACCUCCUCCAACAACAUCUUCAUCAAGUUAUAUUCAAAAUAAAAGAAAGUUGCUUUUCGUCAGAAAACGUCCCCGUGUAAUCCAAGUGAGCUUCAAAUAUGUGUCCCACAUUCAUUUGGGAGCAUGUGUUGUGAUGACCGUUGUCGCCUCCCGAGUCAAGCCACGACAGGAACGAGGUCACCAGAUUAUAUUCAAAAUAAAAGAAAGGGGCUUUUCACUAAAAAACGUCAUGUUGAUCCAAGCGAGCUUUCAAAUAUUUGGCCCACAUUCAUUUGGGAGCUUGUGUUGUGCCGACCAUUGUCGCCUUCAAAGCCAAGCCAUAGGGGGAACCAGGUCAUGGAACCUCUCCACCUCCCCCGCGUCGCCCCUCUCUGAUGCACUGUUGCACACGAGGUGUUUGAUAAAAUGGUUAAAAGGCUAUUUGUUUCCUUUCAUUUUCUCAUUUCAUGUGCUAAUGUGCAAAUAUACAUGAAACACUUUUAUUCAAAUAUAUAUAUAUUCAUAUACAUAUAUAUAUAUAUGAAUUUGCACGUGAUUUUUGUGUGUGUGGUGGUGGGUGUUUAAAUUUAGUAAAAGGACUUGGUGCACAUAAAUCUAAACCCUCAAAUUCGAAGGAGUUCAGUUUACAGAGAUGAUAUAAGUUACUAAGUUUUAGGAAAAUACCAAGAGAUGCUCUGAUCUUCUGAAAUUAAUACUCGGAAGAAAACUUCAGAAAUUCAAAUACAACGAAAACCCACAUCCACAUUUCUCACCUCCUCGAACACCACCACACCAGUUACUCGUAUAACACCGGUUAAAACCCAGAGCAUGAACUCCCUCAUCUGGCAUCGGCAGCUUCCAUGGGGCAGAAUGGCAUGAUUACGAGAAAGAGAAUGAGGAUUGUGAGUGCGCGGGCGGAUAAAUAGAGACUUAAAGUGAACACGUCCGGUCUAAACAUUUGAGGGGUCGUCUUAGAGGUACGUGUUAGAUGUUCUUACAUGGAUCAACUUUGUUACCUGACAAUGAUAAAUACCAAAAAAAAUUCUAAGACAUUAAAAAUGAGAAAGCACGCGUGACCUAGUAGUAUAAGAGCCCUAAAAAUCAUUAUUUUAUUAUUUUCUAGGGAGUUAACACUACCUAUUCCUUCUCCUAAAUUGUAGAACACACUCAAAUUUUAGGAGUUAAGUUUGGGGAGUAGUGUAUUCUGCCUAUAUUUGAGCAAAAUUUGCUCCCUCCCUAUCCCGUAAAAAGUAAGGAGGAAGUUUCAUUUCCCAAUCACCAGCUUCUGUCAUCGUCGAAGUCAUUGCCGACAAUUUCUCUAGCCAUGUCGCUACGACGCCCACAUCCCCACCCUUUCCAUGUUGCGGUAGCGCCUAUUGCCACCUCUCGAGCUACUCCUGCCACAACUUCCUCUUGCUAUUAAGCUGAAGCUUGCGGCCAUCAUCGUUGUGUCGAAAGAGCUCUUGGCCGCCACACCCUACCUUUGCUGCCUCCUAAGUCUCCUCCAACAACAUCUCCAUCAAGUUAUGUUCAAAAUAAAAGUAAGUGGCUUUUUGUCAGAAAUAGUCUCCGGCUAAUCCAAGUCAGCUUUCAAAUAUUUGUCCCACAUUCAUUUGGGAGCAUGUGUUGUGAUGACCGUUGUCGCCUCCCGAGUCAAGCCACGACAGGAACGAGGUCACCAGAUUAUAUUCAAAAUAAAAGAAAGGGUCAUUUCAUAAGAAAACAUCCCCCAUCAGCCCAAGCGAGCUUUCAAAUAUUUGUCCACAUUCAUUCAGGAGCUUGUGUUGUGCCGACCAUUGUCGCCUCCCGAGCCAAGCCACGGCGGAACCAGGUCGUGGCACCACUCCACCUCCCCCGCGUCCAGCCUCUAAUGCACGGUUGCACACGAUGUGUUCGAUGAAAUGGUUAAGAGCAACUCCAACACGCCGACCCAAACGAACACGCUAUUUGUCCGCUUUUUAUCUGUUUGGGUCGCCAGGCCCACUCCUUUUUUCAUUAGGGUAGGUUGUGCACCUAACAUGCAGACGCAUUAUGCGGCCGGCCCGUCCACAUAAGUCAUAGUUUAUACAAGAUAAAUAGAAGUUACAUUGUCUUAAAAAAUUACUCCCUCCUUAAACUAAUAUAAGAGCGUUUAGAUCACUACUCUAGUGAUCCAAAUGCUCUUAUAUUAGUUUACAGAGUGAGGAUAUCAUAGUUCCACAACGAAUAAAUAUAUUUCAUAGUUUACAAGCCAAAUACAAAUUAAAUUGUCUCAAAUAAAAUAGACAAAUAAAUCUAUUGGUUGCCAACAUGAGCCACAUAUGCUCAAUCAAGUCAUCUUGUAGCUGAAUGUGAGUUUCCCAAUCACGCAUUUGAUGAUGAAAUUCGGUGAACUGCGCAAAUGUUGCAUUCCUCUCAAAGUGUGUCAUAUCGACUAGAGGGAGGGGGUGAAUAGGCGAUUUUUACAAAUUCAUCACUUAGAAUUUCGCGUUGAGGAAAUUGCAAAGCGAUAAAAUACUAGCAGCGGAAUAAGUACAAAGUGCAUGCAGAAGAUAGCAACAACAUAUUCAUCAUGAUGAAAUGAAACAUAUGUUGGAAAUAUUCCCUAGAGGCAAUGAUAAAUAGUUAUUAUUAUAUUUCCUGUUUAAAGAUAAUCAUUUAUUAUCCAUGCUAUAAUUGUAUUGAAUGAAAACAUAGAUACAUGUGUGGAUAAAUAGACAUAACAAUGUCCCUAGCAAGCCUCUAGUUGGCUGGCUAGUUGAUCAAGGAUAGUCAAGGUUUUUUGACUAUGUGCAAAGUGUUGUUGCUUGAUAACUGGAUCACAUCAUGAGGAGAAUCAUGUGAUGGACUAGACCCAAACUAUGAACGUAGCAUAUUCACUACAACAAAAAAUGACAUGUAGAGGCGCUAAAUAUAGAUGCUAAAGGCACAAUAUAUCAUCUCUAGUAGAUUUUAGAGUCGCUCGUUAAAGCGUCCUAGGAACGUCUUCUCAUGCACCGUCUCAAAGAUCAUUGAGACGCUGAGGAAGCGUGUCUACAUAAUAAUGAGGCAUUUUACAAGCGUUCUUACAAAGCGUGUCUACAUGAUAAUGAGGCGUUUUACAAGCGUUUUUAUAAAGUGUGUCUAUAUAGUUUUGAGACGUUGAAAGAGCAUCUUUAUGCCCGUAGAGACGCAUUGAUAAAUUCAUGCUAGAUGCAACUGCAUAUAUCCUCUUUUUAUCGUAUAUUUCUUCAAAUCAAUUGGGUUUAAUAGAAGUACCGGCUCAUAUCGAAUAAUUGGACUCUCAUUUACAUAUCAGAAAAUAUUCGAAAAUUGUACUGCAUCGCACGAAAUUGUAUUAAUGAGAGUAGCAGUAGUUUACAAACUCAAUUGUACACAUCACCUAUAAAAAAAUUAAAUAUGUCACUAACUAGUUGAAACAUGUCUAUAUGAUUUUAGUUUCAACAUGUUGAUAAUGGAACAAUGGCUCCUUGUUUUCUCCGCUUCUCUAGUUUAUCCUUGUGCUGUCUGCUCCUUGUUUUCUCUGUUUCUCUAGUUUAGCCUUGUGGUGUCUGCCUUCAAAAUCUGCACAUAGAGGUUCUUCUGCAAAGAAAGCCAAUGAGAUACAAAUAAAUUCAUUGGAACUUCUACCAGUAAGUUUUCCUUUGCUGAACAUAUAUUCAUCAGAAUAAAACUAUUACGUACAACGGUACCACAUCAAGCAAUUGUGCACUGCAGAAGUUCAUGUGACCAUAUGAAGCAUAAAUACAUAUUGUAAAAAGAAGAUAGAUCAUCAUGUCAUGGAUGGAUUGACUAAGGUGAGAAUGAUUUAUGUGUAUUUGUAAGAAAAAUAGCAACAAUUAACUAAGUAAGUAUAUACCAUAGAACCCGUAAAAAAGUAUAUACCAUACAAAGUAUAUAUAUAUAUAUAUGUGUGUGUGUGUGUGUGUGUGUGUGUGUGUACAGAGAUAACCACAGUUUAACAUACAGGGACAAAAUUCUAAUGAUUGUUGACACUAAUAAUCACUAAGCCUUAAUACUAGCUCUACAUAAGAGGACUGGUUACAAUAAAAAGACUUUAAGUCUCAUAGUAGUUCAUAUAAUAAUCUUCAGUCUAACACAAUAUCUAUGUAAGCGAGCAUGACGCCAUUUAGCUGCUCCAGACUGAAUGCAACACAUGUGACCCAGAUGUUUCACAUUAUCGCAUAUGCUUAAAUCUUACCAAACAUGAUAAUAUAUCGAUCCACAGUGCUCUUUAUCAGACAACAUGAGAAAAGUAUCUGCAGAUGAAAAACUCCAUGUAUCCGUUGAUCUCUCCCUUUAUAGUAGAAGCCAUGUUACUAGGAAAUAUUAGAACGUGGGCACAAAGCUCCUAAUUUCAAUCAUGGGAGAGGGAGGGGUGAAGGUGAGUUGAUAGUGGAUACAUGAGCAUUAUUAACUGUAUGAAAAGAAAAACACGGAACACUGACCACCUUAUUCUAUCAGGAUAUUCUGAGAGACUUUUUAUCAAGCAACUGCAUACUUGAGUGCCAAUAAUUUGGGAGCACACAACAAAGAAAGGUAUGUGUAAAAUCAACUUUAAAUUGAACUAGUAGUUAAAUUAGUAAAAAGACAAGAAUUCAGAAAAGAAAAACAGACAAAGUAGUGCUGUCCUAUCUUAAUAACAGAAAUUAAGAUAAUGUAGGAGCAAGUGCAAUGUCAAGAUUCUCCUCCACAAUCAAGUACGCAUCUGUGACAGCCCGAUGCCGACGUUCCAGAAGAUUCCCCUCUCUUUCCGUUUUCGUCGUGUGUCUAUUUUUAUUUGUCGCAUCAUCAUCGCAUCAUGCGCAUCAUCUGCAUUGCAUCGGCAUCUCCGUUGCCGCCAGUUUUCAAACUUGCAUCCGUUGUUAGUUGCCGGUUCGCGUCGUCGUCCGUUCUUAGCCCGACCGCACUCGCACGCGCCCGCGGCACUGUCGAAACCCUGUUUUUAAAGUGCGUUUAAAACUUUCUCUGAUCGAGGUGAAACUUGGCACGCGGUCGCGAUUAGUUAUAGCUAGGCCGCCUGUCGAAUUUCGUCGCGAUCGGAGACCGUCUGGUACCCGAACGGUCGACCGUAGCGGCACCGUAUUCGGUCUACCGUCGGACGUCUGUCGGUGUUUUAAAAUUCGUGCCGCGUCGCCCGUUCUCCCUCUCGUCUCCGGAUAACCACCCAACACGGCCGCGUACCCAUACCCGCAUUCGGAAUCGUCCGAAUCCGACCCCGCGGUUGGAUCCGGGUCGAAAUUUCGCUAAACCUAGCCCCCCUUUCCUAUUUAAACACACCUCCCCUUCCAUUUUAGGCCUCCCCUAGUCCUGCCUCGUUUCCCGUGCAAUCCCGAAACCCUAGCGCAGCCAAACCGCUCCUCUCUCCUCCCUGGUGCCGCCGGCCCGCGGAGCCCAUCUGGGGCCCGCCCGAGCCCGCAUCACGCCGCCGCGCAAGCCCAGCAGCUCCGCCGCCCCCGCGAGUUCCCCCAGCUCCAGCGCCAUGGCCCCAUGCCCGAGUUCCCGAGCUCGCCGGCCCGCAGCUGGCCUCGCCCCACGGCUCCCGAGCGUGCCGCCCCCUGUGCCCAGCGCCACCGCCGUGCCACCGCCUCGCCUCCCCGGGCUGCUGCCCGAGGAGCCACCGCCGCCAGCUCUUCCUCCUGCCGCCAUGGAUCCCGCUCCGCCGACGCCAGCCGCCGCCGCAUCGCCUUCGGCCGGUUCUGCGCCCCCCCCCCCCCCCNNNNNNNNNNNNNNNNNNNNNNNNNNNNNNNNNNNNNNNNNNNNNNNNNNNNNNNNNNNNNNNNNNNNNNNNNNNNNNNNNNNNNNNNNNNNNNNNNNNNNNNNNNNNNNNNNNNNNNNNNNNNNNNNNNNNNCCGGAUCCCACCGCGCCGCCCCGCUUUGGCCUCGAUCCGGCCGGGGCCGAGCUCCCCUUGCCGCCGGAGACCGCCGCCGCCAUGUCCUGUCCUCGUGCCCUCGGGCACGGGAGGAGACGAGCACGUCGCUCGCCCCGUGGGCCUCCUCCGUCCCGGCCCAGCUGGCCAGCGUCCCUGGCCCGAGUCGGCCCGUCUCCUGCGCCUGGCCUCGGGGCCCGACCGGCCUAGCCGGGCUACUCCUCCGAGCAGGCCGAAAGGCCCAACGGUGAGACGCCAAGCCCCUUCUGAUUUUUCGCCCCGUGCGCUGUUUUGCUAUGUUGCACCACAACUCGGCCCAUUAGGUAAUUUAGGAUGUUUUUAGGAAUUGAGUAAUCCUAGUAAAUAGUCGGAUAUUAAAACGCGCGUAUCUUUUAAUCCGUAAGUCGGACGAAGCGUAUUAUAUAUGGCUUUGGGGUAGUUUUGCGAGUAGAACGCGAUUUCACAACUUGCAUAUUUGUUUGAUUUAGUUUAACGUGCCUAAUGCCUAGUUUUACGUGCUGUCUUGAUAGGUUUAUUGCCCGUAGUUAUUUUUCGCGCGUGUCCGGGUUGUUCGUAUGCCGUAGAAUAAAUGUCUAUGUUUUAGGGACCAUAUUUCUACGUAUUUUAGAGCGGUCACUCAUAUUUUUGCGUGUAGGAAUUGCAGGUAAUUUAUUUUCCCGUAUCUAGGCGAUUCUCCCGCAUUAUUGUGUGGCUUUAUUUUGUGUUGCAAACCCCACAUAUUUUAUAUGUUUCCGGGGUAGAAAAAUCCCAUGGAUUUUUCUGUGCAAUUAGUUUUAGCUUUUGAGUAAGUUAGUUCGCGAGAUAUUUUGCCGUGAUGCCCUUUUGUUUAAUUCGUAGGAUUUAUUCCGUGCCUCGUUUGAAUUAGUUGUCAACUAGGGAGUUGAUCUCGGAUGUUUUGUUUAGCCCCUGGUAUUUUUGGUUGCAAUAGAAUGCAUGUUUAGGUGUGUUUUGAUUGCUCUCAAGUUGCUAGAAAUAGUGCUGUUUUAGAGGAGCUGAAAUAUUUCUAAGUCUAGAAUCUGUUAUUAUUUUGUUGCUGUCUUGUCUUGCUUGUAUCUUGUGAUCUGUAGCUCUUUUGAGGUUGGUCCAAUGGAGUUAGUUGUACCCCUUGUGUUUCUCUAGCAUUCUGUAAAGUUUCAUGCCAUUUGGAGUCCUGUAGCUAUAGGUUUUGCUUCUGUCAAUAUGCCUUCAGGCUGAAAACUGCACUUUCAUGAGGUGUUAUUUUCACUAUGUCUGAAAUAGUGUGUGCGAAGCCUUUUUGUGACUUCUUUACCUAGUGUUCCUUGCUGCCAUGAUAGUUGUUGUUAGUUGUUUGUAGUAGUGCUUCUUGUCCUCUUUCGUGCCAUGCCUUGCUUGAGCGUAUCGGAGUUGUGUAGCUUGUAGUUGUGGGGCGUAGAAAAUGUUAUGUUGCUGAUUUUGGCAGAUUGAAGUCAUUUCUUGUUUUGCUCGUAGUUUUUGAACCGUAGCUCCGAUUUGAUCGUGUCCUACAUGAAACUUGCUUAAAAUCUCGUGUAGUUUCAUUUUCUCUUGCUGGUUGCAUGUGUUGAAGUGCUCGUAGCCGCCGUUGCACACAUAUUGCAUUCAUGCCAUCAUAUCUUGCGGUGCUUGUAACUUUUGAUCCGUAGCUCCAUUGGAGAUGUCCUUUAUGUGUAGAUUGCUUGCCUUGACGCGUAAAUCACGUGAACCAAUUUGUUUUGCUGUUUAACAACUAAUUGAAUGCAUUAGUUCAGAUCUGGACAGAAUUGGAAAUUAACAUGUGAGGUCGUUUCGGAGAUGCUAUAUGUCAUUUCCGACCUCAUUUAAAAUGCCUAGAUAGGUAGUUUCAUUUCCGCUUCACCUCUUGCAUGUUUAACCACAUUUAAUAUUGCCGUGUAUCUAAUCGGGAGUGAACUAAAUAAUUAACGUGGAGUUUCGUCAAUAUGCAACUCGUGCAUAUUGGGCUUCACUUAAUGUGUAGUGUUUGAUUGUGUGAUUUGUCAUGCCGUGACUUGCAUGUAUUCAGUAGCUCAUGCAUCAUAUGUGUUGUACAUCGUGUGGUGAAUUCCGUGUGUUGAUUUGUGUUUUCGGUUUGCUUCGUCUCGAUAGAGUUCCGCAGCGUGCCGGAUUGUGAGGACCCGUUCGACUACGUCGGUUCGUCUGCUUCACGGAGGCAAUCUUCUUCCAAGCGGGAUCUCAGGCAAGAUGAUCAUUUCCCCAGAUACCAUUACUAUCAUUGCGAUGCUAGUUUAUCGCUUCUAUCGUUUAUGUCUCGUUACCUACCACCUGUUAAAUAUCAGCCUCUCAACAAUGCCAUGAUUACCAUCAACCUAUUCGACCUAGCAAACCACUGAUUGGCUAUGUUACUGCUUGCUUAACCCUGUUGAUAGCGUUGCUAGUUGCAGGUGUAGUUGCUUCCAUGUGAAAGCAUGGGAUCCUUGUUAUAUCACCAUAUUAAAUGCUAUUUAAUUUAAUGCACCUAUAUACAUGGUAAAAGGUGGAAGGCUCGGCCUUUCUAGCCUGGUGUUUUGUUCCACCUUUGCCCCCUUAGUUUCGGCUACCGGUGUUAUGUUCCAUAAUCGAGCGCUCCUAACACGAUCGGGGUUGUUAUGGGGACCCCCUUGAUAAUUCGUUUUAGAUUAAAGCUGGUCUGGCAAGGCCCAACAUCGGUUCUACAUUUGCCCAACAUAAUAAUUCUGUUAAAUUGAAAUGCAUAGGGAGUUAGCGCUACCCGAGGAGCAAUUUUACAUAAACAGGGGGGGCCAGUGCUGUUGGUGUUGGUCCCAAACGGUCUGCCUGCGGGGCCACCGCGAGGAAACUCGAGGUUUGGCACUCGUAGCUAGUUCCAUCCGUCGUGUCCUGAGAACGAGAUACGCGGCUCCUAUCGGGUACGUCGACACGUCGGGCGGCCUUGCUGGAUUAGUUUUACCUUUGACGAGAUAUCUUGUGCAUCGGGAUUCCGGUGAUGCUUUGGGUAAUCUCAGAGUUGAGGUUUUCCACUAAGGAAUUCGACGAGAUUGCGAGCUUCGUGAUCGAGGAUUUCUAUGCGGCUUGUGGUAAUUUGUGAUGGACUAGUUGGAGCACCCCUGCAGGGUUAAAUCUUUCGGAAAGCCAUGCCCGCGGUUAUGUGGCAACGUGGAUGCUUUGUUUAACACUGGUUCUAGAUAACUUGAAGUUAACUUAAUUAAAACAUGCCAACUGUGUGCGUAACCAUGACUGUCUCUUUCGUGAGUUCCUUCUCCGAUCGAGGACACGGUGGGGUUAUGUCUGACAUAGGUAGGUGUUCAGGAUCAUUCAUUUGAUCAUCUGUAGUUCACGUCCGCUAUGCGUAGAUUUUCCCCCCUCUUACUUCUUGUACUCGUAAGUUAGCCACCAAAUAUAUGCUUAGCCGCUGCUGCAACCUCACCACUUAACCAUACCUCACCCAUUAAGCUUUGCUAGGCUUGUUACCUUUGGAAAUGAGAUUGCUGAGUCCCCUGUGGCUCACAGAUUACUACAACACCAGUUGAAGGUACAUGUAAAGGUUACGUGACGCGAGCGCGUUGUUUGUUCAUUUGGAGUUGCUUCUUCUUCUUCUUCUUCGUCGAUCUAGGAUGGGUUCCAGGUCGGCAGCCUGGGAUAGCAAGGAUGGACGUCGUUCUUCUUUUGUCGUUUGUUUUCGUCCGUAGUCGGACCCUGCUCUUACUCUUGGUGAUUAUGUAAUGUACUGAUGUGACUCUGAUGUAGCUUGUGGCGAGUGUAAGCCAACUCUGUAUAUAUAUCUCCUCUUUUCAGUACAUGUAUUGUAACGAUAUCCAUUCUUGCGACAUGACGAGAUGCGCUUCUAUCCCUGACGAGGCCUUCGUGCCAAAUUGAGGAUAGGGUCGCAUCUUGGGUGUGACAGCAUCAAGGUAGCUGGUCCUUUUUUUUACUUGGAAUGAAUUGAUAGAACAACUGGAAAAAAGUAGAUCGACUCACAUAUAGGUGAACUUGCUACCUUGUGCACUCGCGCAAGAUCUCUUAUGGCCUCCAAAUCACACGACAGCUCACUGCUGGUUGACAGUGGCAAGCACGAGGUCAUCCUACCUAAUGGAAACAAGCUUCACAUGGCGGAGGAUGCUUGGAAGAUUUUUUGGUCGCAAGAGGUAGGGUUCUUAGAGAAACAGAGGACAGUUGCAGGACGUCGGAACAGAGAGGACGGCGGCCGAGCAAGUGGAGGGCCCGGUGGGAGUGGUCAGACGGGCGGACAUAUUUUCACCCAAGGAUCACACAAAACUAAUUAAGAUGUCUCUGAUAACAAUUAUGUAGUGGGCAAGAAAAUAAAGCAGCAACUUACGCAGACGUGGAUCUCAACCAAAGCCUGAAUGACAAGGACAGCAAACACAAUAACAAACGAGUGCCCAAAACAUCAGUACCUUUCGUUCUCCUCGUCGAUCUUGUUCCUCUUCUACCAUAUUUCUAGCCGGGUCAUAUGUCGCUACGAUCUCAGUAGGAGGAGCUGGCGAUGUCCAGUUUCGUGCCCACUUCGCCCUUGUCAUCUUCCCUUCCAGAUGGAGUGCACCUUGUGCCGGAGCUACACGUCGAGGCGGCCGGGAUGGGGCUGGGCCGCCGCCUCGAGGUUGGUGUCCCCGGGCCUGCUGCUGGCGAUUGUCGGUUGAGGGGGAUGGACCUGUGACAGAGAGUUCUGGGUGGGGAGGAGCGGGAUCUCGGCGCCGGCGUGGCAUAGCGGCACUAGGUUUAGAGGCCAGAGAUUCUUUUACGGUAGUUAUUUUCUUUAGCCCACCUCGCACGAUCGAUGGGGAUUAGGGUCGAUGGUGGUUGAACAAAAUAUUCUGAACCACCUCAUUUUGUUGUAUGGGAAUCAAGGGACGAUGUCCUUUCCGUCUCAGAAAACGUCCGUAUGCACAAAUUGAUUUUGAAUAAUGGGACGUAAAUAAAAGCGUCAAAAGAAAAACGACCCUACAUGCCUAUUUUGUUGUAGUGAUUGAUCGUGUCAUUUUAUUGCUAUUGUUUUCUGCGUGUCAAGUAUUUGUUCCUAUGACCAUGAGAUCAUAUAACCCACAGGCACCGGAGGGAUACCUUGUGUGUAUCAAACGUCACAGCGUAACUGGAUGACUAUAAAGGUGCUCUACAGGUAUUUCCGAAGGUGUCCGUUGGGUUAGUAUGGAUCAAGACUGGGAUUUGUCACUCCGUGUGACAGAGAGGUAUCUCGGGGCCCACUCGGUAAUACAACAUCACACACAAGCCUUGCAAGCAAUGUGACUUAGUGUAAGUCACGGGAUCUUGUAUUACGGAACGAGAAAAGAGACUUGCCGGUAACGAGAUUGAAAUAGGUAUGCGGAUACCGACGAUCGAAUCUCGGGCAAGUAACAUACCGAAGGACAAAGGAAAUGACAUACGGGAUUGCGUGAAUCCUUGACACUGAAGUUCAACCGAUAAGUUAUUCGGAGGAUAUGUAGGAUCCAAUAUGGGCAUCCAGGUCCCGCUAUUGGAUAUUGACCGAGUAGUACCUUAGGGCAUGUCUACAUAGUUCUCGAACCCGCAGGGUCUGCACACUUAAGGUUCAGCGAUGUUUUAGUAUAGAUGAGUUAUAUGUGUGGUUACCAAAUGUUGUUUGGAGUCCCGGAUGAGAUCACAGAUGUCACGAGGGUUUCCGAAAUGGUCCGGAUACGAAGAUUGAUAUAGAGGAUGACCUCAUUUGAUUGCCGGAAGGUUUUCGGGCAUUACCGGGAAUGUACCAGGAGUGAAGAAUGGGUUCCGGAUGUUCACCGGGAGGGGGCCAACCCAGCCGGGGAAGCCCGUAGGCCCUAGGGGUGGCGCACCAGCCCUUGGUGGGGUGGUGGGACAGCCCAAUAAGGCCUAUGCGCAAGGGAUAAGAAAAUCAAAGAGAAAAGAAAAAAAAAGAGGUGGGAAGGAAGGGAAGGACUCCACCUUCCAAUCCUAGUUGGACUAGGAUUGGAGGUGGACUCCUCCACCUCCUUGGCCGGCGCACCCUUGGGGUCUUGGACCCCAAGGCAAGCCUCCCCUCCCCUCCUCCUAUAUAUAGUGGAGUUUUAAGGCUGAUUCGAGACAACUUUUGCCACGGCAGCCCGACCACAAACACCACGGUUUUUCCUCUAGAUCGUAUUUCUGCGGAGCUCAGGUGGAGCCCUGCAGGAGUAGACUCUUCACCACCACCGGAGCGCCGUCACGCUUCCGGAGAACCCAUGUACUUCUCCAUCUUGCUUGCUGGAUAAAGAAGGCCGAAAUCAUCGUCGAGCUGUACGUGUGCUGAAAGCGGAGGUGUCGUCCGUUCGGCACUAGAUCGGAGUGGAUCGUGGGACGGAUCGCGGGACGGUUCGUGGGACGGUUCGUGGGGCGGAUCAAGGGACGUGAGGACGUUCCACUACAUCAACCGCGUUUCUUAACGCUUCCUGCUGUGCGAUCUACAAGGGUAUGUAGAUCCAAAUCUCCUCUCGUAGAUGGACAUCACCAUGAUAGGUCUUCGUGCGCGUAGGAAAUUUUUUGUUUCCCUUGCGACAUUACCCAACAGUGGUAUCAUUAUCUAGGUUCAUGCGUAGAUGUAAUCUCGAGUAGAACACAAAAGGUUUUGUGGACGGUGAUGUUCGAUUUGCUGCCCUCCUUAGUCUUUUCUCAAUUCGGCGGUAUUGUUAGAUUGAAGCGGCCCGGACCGACAUUAUUCGUACGCUUACGAAAGACUGGUUUCAUCGCUUGACAUGCAACCUCGUUGCAUAAAGAUGACUGGCGGGUGUCGGUUUCUUCAACUUUAGUUGAAUUGGUUUUGACCGAGGCGGUCCUUGGAGAGGUUAAAUAGCAAUUUGCACAUCUCCGUUGUGGUAUUUGCGUAAGUAAGAUGCGAUCUACUAGAUACCCACUGCAACCACGUAAAACAUGCAACAACAAUUAGAGGACGUCUAACUUAUUUUUGCAGGGUAUGCUUGUGAUAUGAUAUGGCCAAUGACCUGAUGUGAUAUAUUGGAUGUAUGAGAUGAUCAUAUUGUAAUAGUUAAUAUCGACUUGCACGUCGAUGGUACGGCAACCGGUAGGAGCCAUAGGGUUGUCUUUAAACUAACGUUUGUGCUUGCAGAUGCGUUUACUAUAUUGCUAGGACGUAGCUUUAGUAGUAAUAGCAUGAGUAGCACGACAACCCCGAUGGCGACACAUUGAUGGAGAUCAUGAUGAUGGAGAUCAUGAUGAUGGAGAUCAUGGUGUGGCGCCGGUGACAAGAAGAUCGUGUCGGUGCUUUGGUGAUGGAGAUCAAGAAGCACAUGAUGAUGGCCAUAUCAUGUCACUUAUGAAUUGCAUGUGAUGUUAAUCCUUUUAUGCACCUUAUUUUGCUUAGAACGACGGUAGCAUUAUGAGGUGAUCUCUCACUAAAAUUUCAAAAUGAAAUUGUGUUCUCCUCGACUGUGCACCGUUGCUACAGUUCGUCGUUUUGAGACACCACGUGAUGAUCGGGUGUGAUAGACUCAACGUUCACAUACAACGGGUGCAAAACAGUUGCACACGCGGAACACUCGGGUUAAGCUUGAUGAGCCUAGCAUGUGCAGACAUGGCCACGGAACACAUGAGACCGAAAGGUCGAGCAUGAAUCAUAUAGUUGAUAUGAUUAGCAUAGGGAUGCUUACCAAUGAAACUAUCCUUAACUCACGUGAUGAUCGGACUUGAGCUAGUGAAAUUGGAUCAUGUACCACUCAAAUGACUAGAGAGAUGUACUUUUUGAGUGGGAGUUUAGCAAGUAAUUUGAUUAGUUAAACUCUAAUUAUCUUGAACAUAGUCUAAGUCCACUUUGAUUAUAUUUGUGUUGUAGAUCAAUGGCUCACGCGACAGUCACCCUGAAUUUUAAUACGUUCCUAGAGAAAGCUAAGUUGAAAGAUGAUGGAAGCAACUUUGUAGACUGGGCUCGUAAUCUUAAGUUGCUCCUGCAAGCUGGGAAGAAGGAUUAUGUCCUUAAUGCUGCGCUAGGAGAUGAACCACCCGGCGGGCUGACCAAGAUGCUAAGCACGCUUGGUUAGCACACAAGGAGGACUACUCAGUAGUUCAAUGUGCAGUCUUGUAUGGCUUAGAACCGGGACUUCAAUGUCGCUUUGAGCAUCAUGGAGCAUAUGAGAUGUUCCAGGAGUUGAAGUUUAUCUUUCAGAAGAAUGCCCGGAUCGAGAGGUAUGAGACCUCUGAUAAAUUCUAUGCUUGCAAAAUGGAGGAGAAUUCGUUUGUCACUGAACAUGUGCUCAAAAUGUCUGGGUACUCAAACCGUCUAGUUGAGCUGGGGAUUGAACUCCUGCAAGAGGCUAUCACUGACAGAAUUCUUCAAUCACCGCCACCAAGCUAUAAGAGCUUUGUGUUGAACUAUAACAUGCAAGGGAUGAGCAAGUCACCCGGCGAGUUAUUCGCGAUGCUGAAAGUCGCAGAGUCAGAACUCCGUAAAGAGCAUCAAGUGUUGAUGGUGAAUAAGACCACUAGUUUCAAGAGAAACGACAAAGGAAAGAAGGGUAAUUCAAAGAAGAGCGGCAAGCCUGUUGCCAAUCCGACGAAGAAGCCCAAAGUUGGACCUAAGCCUGAAACGGAGUGCUAUUAUUGCAAGGGUAUGGGUCACAGGAAGCGCAACUGCCCCAAGUAUCUGGCUGAUAAGAAGGCGGCCAAGGAAAAAUCAGGUAUAUUCGAUAUACAUGUUAUUGAUGUGUACUUAACCAGCUCUCGAAGUAGUGCCUGGGUAUUCGAUACCGGUUCUGUUGCUCAUAUUUGCAACUCAAAACAGGAACUGUGGAAUAAGCGAAGGCUGGCGAAGGAUGAAGUGACGAUGCGCGUGGGAAAUGGUUCCAAGGUUGAUGCAAUCGCCGUCGGCACAGUUUCACUUUAGUUAUCAUGACGAUUAGUUAUGAACUUAAAUAAAUGUUAUUUAGUGCCUGCGUUAAGCAUGAACAUUAUAUCUGGAUUUUGUUUAUUGCGAGACAGUUAUUCGUUUAAGUCAGAGAAUAAUGGCUCUUCUAUUUCUAUGAGUAAUAUCUUUUAUGGUCAUGCACCCAAUGUGAGAGGAUUGUUCAUAUUGAAUCUUGAUAGUGAUAAUACACAUAUACAUAACAUUGAGACCAAAAGAGUUAGAGUUAACAAUGAUAGCGCCAUGUUUUUAUGGCACUGCCGCUUAGGUCAUAUUGGUGUAAAGCACAUGAAGAAACUCCAUACUGAUGGACUUUUGGAGUCACUUGACUUUGAUUCUCUUGACACGUGCGAACCGUGCCUCAUGGGCAAGAUGACUAAGACUCCGUUCUCUUGAACAAUGGAGCGUGCAAGUGACUUGUUGGAAAUCAUACAUACCGAUGUGUGUGGUCCGAUGAGUGUGGAGGCACGCGGCGGAUAUCAUUAUUUUCUCACCUUCACUGACGAUUUCAGUAGAUAUGGUUAUGUCUACUUGAUCAAGCACAAGUCUGAGACGUUUGAAAAGUUCAAACAAUUUCAGAGUGAUGUCGAAAAUCAUCGUAACAAAAAGAUCAAGUUCCUACGGUCUGAUCGUGGGGGUGAAUAUCUCAGUUUCGAGUUUGGUGCUCACUUAAGACAAUGUGGAAUUGUUUCACAGUUGACACCGCCUGGAACACCACAGCGUAAUCGUGUGUCCGAACGUCAUAAUCGUACUUUAUUAGAGAUGGUGCGAUCUAUGAUGUCUCUUACCGAUUUGCCGUUAUCAUUUUGAGGUUAUGCAUUAGAAACAGCUGCAUUCACUUUAAAUAGGGCACCAUCAAAAUCCGUUGAGACGACACCAUGCGAACUGUGGUAUGGCAAAAGACCAAAGUUGUCGUUUCUUAAAGUUUGGGGAUGUGAUGCUUAUGUCAAAAAGCUUCGGCCUGAAAAGCUGGAACCCAAAGCGGAAAAGUGCGUCUUCAUAGGUUACCCAAAGGAGGCAGUUGGGUGUACCUUCUAUCUCAAAUCCGAGGGCAAAGUGUUUCUUGCUAAAAAUGAAGCUUUUCUUGAGAAGGAGUUUCUCUCGAAAGAAUUGAGUGGGAGGAAGAUAGAACUUGAUGAGGUUGUCGAACCUCUAAAUCCUCUUGAUGGUGGCGCAGGGCAAGGGGAAACCCCUAUUGCUGCGGCACCGAUUGAGGAACAAGUUGAUGAUGAUGAUCAUGAAACUUCGGAUCAAGUUACUGUCGGACCUCGCAGGUCGACAAGAUCACAUACUGCUCCCGAGUGGUACGGUAAUCCUGUCUUGACGAUUAUGUUGUUGGACAACAAUGAACCUGCAAAUUAUGAAGAAGCAAUGGUGGGCCCGGAUUCCAACAAAUGGCUGGAGGCCAUGAAGUACGAGAUAGGAUCCAUGUACGAGAACAAAUUUUGUACUUUAGAAGUACUACCUGAAGGCCGCAAGGCUAUUCAAAACAAAUGGAUCUAUAAGAAGAAGACAAACGCAGACGGUAAUGUGACCGUUUAUGAAGCUCGACUUGUGCCAAAGGGUUUUUCACAAGUUCAAGGAAUUGACUACGAUGAGACUUUCUCUCCGGUAGUGAUGCUUAAGUCUGUCCGAAUCAUUAUAGCAAUAACUGCCUUUUACCAUUAUGAAAUCUGGCAGAUGGAUGUCAAAACAGCGUUCCUUAACAGUUGUAUAUGGUGCAACCUGAAGGUUUUGUCGAUCCUAAGAAUGCUGACAAAGUGUGCAAGCUCCAACGAUCCAUUUAUGGACUGGUGCAAGCAUCUCGGAGUUGGAAUAAGCUUUUUGAUCAGGUGAUCAAAGCAUUUGGGUUUAUACAAGUGGUUGGAGAAUCUUGUAUUUACAAGAAAGUGAGUGGGAGCUCUGUGGCGUUUCUCAUAUUAUAUGUGGACGACAUAUUGCUGAUUGGAAACAACGUGGAGCUUUUGGAGAGCAUAAAAGGUUACUUGAAUAAAAGUUUCUGUAUGAGGGACCUAGGAGAAGCUUCUUACAUUCUAGGCAUUAAGAUCUAUAGGGAUAGAUCGAAACGCCUGAUAGGAAUUUCACCAAGCACAUACCUUGAUAAAGUUUUGAAGAAGUUCAAAAUGGAUCAGUCCAAGAAAGGGUUCUUGCAAGUGUUACAAGGUAUAAAAUUGAGUAAGACUCAGUGCCCAGCAACUGCGGAAGAUAGAAAUACAAUGAGUUCCGUCCCCUACGCUUCAGCCGUAGGUUCUAUCAUGUAUGCAAUGUUGUGCACUAGACCAGACGUCAGCUUGGCCAUAAGUAUGGCAGGCAGGUUUCAGAGUAAUCUAGGAGUGGAUCACUGGACGACGGUCAAGAAUAUUCUGAAGUACCUGAAAAGGACUAAGGAAAUGUUUCUCGUGUAUGGAGGUGACAAGGAGCUCGUCGUAAAAGGUUACGUCGACGCAAGUUUUGACACCGAUCCGGAUAACUCUAAGUCUCAAACCGGAUACGUAUUUAUUCUUAAUGGGGGUGCGGUAAGCUGGUGCAGUUCCAAGCAAAGCGUCGUAGCAGAUUCUACAUGUGAAGCGGAGUACAUGGCUGCCUCUGAGGCGACAAAGGAGGGUGUCUGGAUGAAGCAGUUCAUGACAGAUCUUGGAGUUGUGCCGAGCGCACUAGAUCCAUUAACUCUGUUAUGUGACAACACUAGUGCCAUUGCCUUAGCAAAGGAACCAAGGUUUCACAAAAAGACCAGACACAUCAAACGACGCUUCAACCUCAUCCGCAACUACGUCGAGUUAGAGGACGUGAAUAUUUGCAAAGUGCACACGGAUCUGAAUGUAGCAGACCCGCUGACUAAACCUCUUCCACGGGCAAAACAUGAUCAACACCAGAACUGUAUGGGUGUUCAGUUUGUUACAAUGUAAAUCGCAUGGCGAUGUGAGGACUAGAUUAUUUACUCUAGUGCAAGUGGGAGACUGUUGGAAAUAUUCCCUAGAGGCAGUGAUAAAUAGUUAUUAUUAUAUUUCCUGUUUAAAAAUAAUCGUUUAUUAUCCAUGCUAUAAUUGUAUUGAAUGAAAACAUAGAUACAUGUGUGGAUAAAUAGACAUAACAAUGUCCCUAGCAAGCCUCUAGUUGGCUGGCCAGUUGAUAAAGGAUAUUCAAGGUUUUCUGACUAUGUGAAAAGUGUUGUUGCUUGAUAACUGGAUCACAUCAUUAGGAGAAUCAUGUGAUGGACUAGACCCAAACUAUGAACAUAGCAUAUUGAUCGUGUCAUUUUAUUGCUAUUGUUUUCUGCGUGUCAAGUAUUUGUUCCUAUGACCAUGAGAUCAUAUAACCCACUGGCACCGGAGGGAUACCUUGUGUGUAUCAAACGUCACAACGUAACUGGGUGACUAUAAAGGUGCUCUACAGGUAUUUUCGAAGGUGUCCGUUGGGUUAGUAUGGAUCAAGANAUACCGAAGGACAAAGGGAAUGACAUACGGGAUUGCCUGAAUCCUUGACACUAAGAUUCAACCGAUAAGUUAUUCGGAGAAUAUGUAGGAUCCAAUAUGGGCAUCCAGGUCCCGCUAUUGGAUAUUGACCGAGGAGUACCUUGGGGCAUGUGGGCAUAGUUCUCGAACCCGCAGGGUCUGCACACUUAAGGUUCGGCGAUGUUUUAGUAUAGUUGAGUUAUAUGUGUGGUUACCGAAUGUUGUUCGGAGUCCCGGAUGAGAUCACGGACGUCACGACGGUUUCCGGAAUGGUCCGGAGACAAAUAUUGAUAUAUAGGAUGACCUCAUUUGAUUGCUGGAAGGUUUUCCGGCAUUACCGGGAAUGUACCGGGAGUGACGAAUGGGUUCCGGAUGUUCACCGGGAGGGGGCGAACCCACCCGGGGAAGCCCAUAGGCCCUAGGGGUGGCGCACCAGCCCUUGGUGGGCUGGUGGGACAACCCAAUAAGGCCUAUGCGCAAGGGAUAAGAAAACCAAAGAAAAAAAAAAAAAAAGAGGUGGGAAGGAAGGGAAGGACUCCACCUUCCAAUCCUAGUUGGACUAGGAUUGGAGGUGGACUCCUCCACCUCCUUGGCCGGCGCACCCUUCCCCUCCUCCUAUAUAUAGUGGAGUUUUAGGGCUGAUUUGAGACAAGUUUUGCCACGACAGCCCGACCACAAACACCACGGUUUUUCCUCUAGAUCGUAUUUCUACGGAGCUCGGGCGGAGCCGUGCAGGAGUAGAUUCUUCACCACCACCGGAGCGCCGUCACGUUGCCAGAGAACUCAUCUACUUCUCUGUCUUUCUUGCUGGAUCAAGAAGGCCAAGAUCAUCAUCGAGCUGUACGUGUGCUGAACGCGGAGGUGCCGUCCGUUCGGCACUAGAUCGGAGCGGGUCGUGGGAUGGAUCGCGGGACGGUUCGCGGGGCGGAUCGAGUGACGUGAGGACGUUCCACUACAUCAACUGCGUUUCUUAACGCUUCCGGCUAUGCGAUCUACAAGGGUAUGUAGAUCUAAAUCUCCUCUCGUAGAUGGACAUCACCAUGAUAGGUCUUCGUGCGCGUAGGAAAUUUUUUCUUUGCCUGGCGACGUUACCCAACAACAUACAAAGAGCACACGUAGCGUGUAAACAUCAUAAGCGGGUGAAGAACAAGGUGACUGAAGAAUUUGAGAUGCGGAAAUUGAGAAAGACUUGAGUCAAAGUCUUCAGACAGUAACGAUCAUUUUCAUCGACGAGUACUUGAGGAAAUAGAUGAGUUGAGAAAAUAGAACCAGGAGCUCGAUGAAGACAAUGAUUUGAUGACCCAGUUCCAACUAUUGUGAUAGUCAUAUGUGUGGUUUGGAGCGGCUUGAUAUUUAAACCAAAGGACAUACAGUCCCAUGACACACAUCCCUUAACGUAUUCUCCUUGAGCUAUGAUUACAUCGACCUCGCCCAACAUGCGUGCUAAGUCUUCAGGAAAGACUUCCAAACCCUCACAAACUCGGUCCUCGGGCAAUCGAUAACUUGUUGUUGGAUGCUCUAGACCAUGGAUGCCUAACCAUCUCGAAGAUGCACAGUCUUCAAAGGUAACAAGUGUAGGUUCCACACAUCAACAAUCUCUUUAGUCAGGGCCGUAGAGGGGCCUGUGCGAGCUGUGCGCUCGCACAGGGCCCCCAAAAUUCUGGGGGGCCCAACUAGGGUCCAUAUGUAUAUGUAUAUAGUCUGAUAAAAAUCAGUUAUAGGCCAAAUAAAUAUACAAGUUCGCAAGAGUUCGCGGCCUGGAGGCAGCAGGAUCCGCUCGAGGCCUUCUUGGGCCUGCUCCGCUCAAAGCCUUUGGAAUUGCUGGGUACUAGCAUGAAAAAUUGCACGAAUGAGGUGGAGGUGUAUCGAUGUACUAGCAAACGUAUACGAAACGAAAGUCCCAACGCACUACGUCCGUAACCUCCGGCACCAUUCCUGUUCCUUCAUACUGAAAUAGCGGUGGCGAUCGAGAUCGCUUUGUAGGUUGACGGGUGCAGCGAGGCACCGAGUAGAAGCGGACAUCGGACGCCGCUAGUAGGCCGCCGCAGAAGCGCCCAAUGGGAACAAAAGUUGUGUGGUGCCCUCCCUACGCUCUUCCCCUUUUCUCUAAUUUUGAUACAAAUUAAAAAGUUGUAUUCAUAUUUUACUAAUAUGUUUUCGGAAUGAUUUUUUGUCUAGUCACCGAAGUUCAGUAGUUGUCGCAGAUUCAAGAAUUUUUGUAGUUACAUGUACUAUCGUCCAAUUCCAAAUCAAGGUUUUAUCUGAUUAUGAGUUUCUUGAACUAUCUAUACAAGUCAGAAGCUUAUAUUUCAUGACACAAUAAAGGCUCAAUAGCUUGGCGACAAUAGCACUUAAAAAUGAUGUCUUGGAGAAGAUUAACUAUAAAGAUAUAAUUGAAGAUUUCAUUUCAAGGAACACAAGACGGAUGACACUUUUCAAUAAAGCAUGAGGUCAGUUUAUUGGUUUAAGUACUUUGCAUUGAUACUUGAGAAUUUUCUAAGUAUUGUAUGAAAUAAUAAAAUUUUAAUUAUAUAAUUAGGUGAUCAUGCUAGCGUUAUUGUAUGUUUUUUCUAAAUGUUAGGGCUCCAUUUUGGUUUUCGCACCGGGGCCCCGAAUUUCUGGAGACGGCCCUGUCUUUAGUGAUGUUGAAUCACUUUGGGUUUUGGUUUGGGUUUGGGUGUUUGGGUUUUUCCUCGUUGAUGAUUUUCUCUCAAAGUCCUCGGAGGAUGGGAUUCUUUCAAAUGACAAGUGUCAAAUUAUCUCUCGGAGCAGCCAACCAGCUAGUGGUUGUAGGGGGUGGCUAUUAAUAGCCAAGGAGCAAUCACGACAUGAUAUGACAUAAAUGCCCCCUAAUGAUAUGGCUGCUUUGUGGAUAAGGUUUUGGGGACAGCUUGCGCAAAGCACAACAACGAUUGGAUUUUUCAUACUAUGAAAAAUCCUCAGAUCUAUCAUGUUCCUCACUUGUAGGCAAUUCGUACUAGCGAAUCCUAAUUCCUCAGUCAGAACAAUUUCCCGAGAGACCAGAAGAACUCCAUCUCUGUUACUGGAGAAUUAGGAGAAUUUGACAGAACCGGAAGAGAUUUCCAAAGGCUUAACUCGAAGGAUUGGUUAUGUGUAGGCUUUGAGAUGAGCAUCACCUAAAAAAAUCCUUGGUAUUACCUCGACCCCCUUUAUCAGUACGAUGUUCCUAUGACUCAAGAGAAAGGAAAUGAAACUACAAAAACAAAUGUCUUCACGCUUCAAAGUCCUUGCAUCAAUAUCUUUGAGGACACACCAAUUUCCUCACUUCCAAAAUCUUUAGGAAAGUAUCAAAGUCUUCGGUUGAAGACAUUUAUUUUUAGGGGUCGACUUUAUUCGAAUAUAUCAAGAUCCUCAGCAACUUAUAGAGCCUGUGUACACCCAAAAAGAUAUUAGUCCCUUAACCCAUAAGUCUUCAAUACACCAAAAUCACUAAGGGGCACUAGAUGCACUUACAAUCUCCUCCGUUUUGGUGAUUUAUGAGGUCAAGUUUUCAACGGGGAUAAAUAUAUGAAGUGUAAGUACUCAGUUUAAGGAAUUUGAUUGCAAGAUAUAGAGAAACUCCCCUUGAAGAUGUGCAUAUUUGAGAAAUUGCUUUGGACUGCAAAUGGACAUUGUAGGUUAAUACCAUGGAGAUCUCCCCCUAUAUCUUGUAAUCCAUACACACAUUUAAUAUAUUUCACGAGGAAAUUGAAAUGCAUGAUGGAAAGUUGUGUAUGAUGAAAUUCAGCAUGUGUGCAUUAAUCAUCAUGAGGAAUAAGCAUGCGAGGAAAGUAGUUCAAAAGUGCGAGACCACCACCGAACUUAAGUUUAUAACUCAUACAGCCAAACACUUCAGAUGAACGAGAGUUGCAACUUAACAAAAAAACACAUCCCAUAUAUGUAGAACCGCUUGUAGACUAACUCAAAUUUCUCCCCCUUUGUAAUGAAAUGACGAAAUUAAGGACUAGCGCCCUUGAAGAAAAUCAUCUUGAUGGUGGUGUAGGAGCGCUAGUGUUGUUGGAGUCAUUUGUCAAUGAAGGGCCUGCAGCAAUGUCAUCAAGAUCCUCAGCUUCAUCCGUCGAGUGCGAUGAGGAAAAUGAGGUGGUCACUAAUAGAGGAACUUGAACUUUCUUGAAUUUGUUCUUGGGCGGAAAAGACCAAUCAAAGUCCUGCUGAAAUUCCAUCUCUUUAAGUUCUUCACGAGUCUUGAGGUGAGACAGAAUGGCCCAUGUGUGAUCGAAGAUUUCAUGCAGAUAAUAGUGACUCUUCCUCACACAAUUAUGCAUGACAGUCAGGUCGCGAAUAAUUGCAUCAAACUAACCUUUCACCCACUUGUGAUUGCGAUCGACCUUCUGAUGAAGACUUAGAAGAAGCUCUUGAUCAGUCAUCACUCGUGGGGUAGAUUCUCGAGGAACUUGAGCUGAGGCUUUUGUAGCAGAAUCUUGCGAUGUCGUGUCAUCAUUGGUGCAAUAUGAUGCAGCUUGGUGAAAUUGUCUAUCAAGGGGGCGAGAUCCUUCAUCAAUGAAAUUUUGCCCUUACCUUCCAUUAGGGCGAAGGUUGUCUUGAUGAGUUUGAGCGGGGGCAUGAAACUGAAGUGAUUUUGAAAAUCCGCUUUCUAAGGGAUUGAUGAUCUUGCCAUGAUCAAUUUCAUGAUUCAUGGAGCAUAUGAAUUCAAUUCAAACGGUGAACGAGCAAUGUUGGGCAAAGUCCUCAUGAAGAAAUCGUGAAGGUUGAUGAAUCCCAUGAAUGAUGUUGAACACUAAAUUCUUCACGAUUCCCACCACAUCUUAUUCUUCACAAUUAUGGCCCUUGAUAGGACUGGGGGUUUUGGUCAAGAUGCGGUAGACCGUUCUUGGAACAUAGAGCUAGUCCUUCAUGAGGAAUGUGGUCCUCGGAGGUUUGCUUGGUGCCAAAGGCUUCAUCAGCACCUGCAUCACAUGAUUUGGCAGUUCAAGUUCACCAUAGAUGCAUCUUGCCCAUUUUGAGGGAAUACCAACUCGGACAACGGAAAUCAAUUGAGUUGCUAGAGCAGUGUUGUGUGUGUCUUCGGUCAUCUAGUCGAGUAUCCAUGUGUUGAUAUCCUGUGCUUCACCGGAGAUGUGCAGAGUUGCUUAGAAUUUAAGAAUUAGCUCUCCAUUCCAGUCACAGAUAUCAACGCAGAACGGCAAGAGUCUAGCUUCAUGAAGAACAUUGAGGACUGGUAUGAAGCAUGGAAUGAACUCCAUAUCUGCAUGAUGAAUUUGAUGGUGCUCGAAGAGUUUGUUCUUCUCAAAGAGCACAACACCGUAAAAGUUGAUUUGUGUUGAAGUCUAGAACCUCUUACAGUGAUGGGGAUUUGCACCCGUGAAGAAAUGAUGUUCAUCAUAAAAAUUCUCCUUGAGGAGUUUGGGUCACUUUGUACCCUUGUAUGGCUAAAGUGGCUUGGGCUGAAGAUUUGGCUUGUAUCUCCCAACAAGUCCUCUUGGCACGCUCUCUGUUUGAGGAUCUUCUGCCACAACAACCGCUGACUGAGGAUUUUGAACAAUGGGCUCAUCAGUAGUAGUCUUAGUGUUUCUGAUGUCAACCUCAGGUUCCUCAACUAUGGGUAGAGGAAUUUGAGGUGCAGUUUCUUCAGCCACUAGUUCUUCAGUUUAAGGAAUAUGCAGAGCAGAUUCAUCAGCUACAUUAUCCUUUGCAGUGGACUGAGGAGCAUGAGCAGCAAUAUUUGCAGCCACGUAUUCUGUUGGUUGAGCAGUUUCUUCAAAAGAUUCUUCAACUCAUGCAGCUCGUAUUUCCUAUGGAAUAGAUUGCAUCGGAGUAGGACAUCUAUUAGACCCUCUAUGAAUUUCUUCAGUUACAGCAGGGGACUGAGGAAUUUUAUGGAGUGGAGUGACCAGUGGCGAAUUUGGGUGAGAUGUUUCCCGAUAUUCAUCACUUAUCACCGGGGUGGUGCAGCUAAUGUCCACAUCUUCUUCAAUUUCUUCAACUCCCUCCUCUUCAGCAGAUAACUGAGGCGGGGGUGAUAAUGCUUGAGGGGUUGAAGUGUUCUGGUCCACUUAAAUUACUUCAUCAAUCGGCUCUGUGGAAGGAGCACGUCAAUUUUCUUCAUCCAUUUUAGGAAUGACAUAUUCUUCACCAAACGGUACCAUUUCAUAAGAGGGUACCAUAGUGAUGGGAGUCGCAUCAAUUGGUUCACUUGACGAACUAGGCAAAAUCCUCAAGUGUUUGACCUUUGAGGAUUCUGUGAUCAUUGAUGCUUUCCACUUCUGAGCGGCUUCUUUUUCGGCAGCUUUUGUUUUCUUUGCUUCUGAUGCAGAAAGAAGUGUCAACUUCUUCACCCUUGAAGAUUUUCCAGUUGGUGCAUUGGGUGAUAUUGAUGCGGAUUCUUCAGGCACGACUGAUGCAAUCUUCGUGACAAGAGCAUUUUCCUCGGGCGCAGCAAUUUCUUCAGCUGGCCUGACAGUUUCUUCACGAGCUGCAACCCUCGUGUUGUGUUGAGUGAUGGCCUUGGUCGCUAGGUUGGCGAAAUAGACCUUGGCACAUUUCCAAUCUGCAUGGUAUUGACUGUAUUCAUCACUCAGGUUUUUGAUUUCAGUCUGUGCACUAAUGAGUUAUUCAGCAAUCAAGGAGAGCACGUUAUUCUUUAGAAAUCACUCUUUCUUGGUAUGGUCUUGUCUGGCCCUUUUGGCCUUCUCAAACUUCCAUUUUUCUUCGGCGAUGAAUGCCAUCAGCACAUGGCUUGGCCUAGGUGGAAAUUUCAGAUCAUCAAUUGGUGUUUGAGGAUUUUGAUACCAAAAUAUCAAUGAAGUCUUGUUGGGGAACAUAGCACGGGAAACAAAAUUUUCCUAUGCACAAGCAAUACCUAUCCAUGGUGAUGAUCAUCUACGAGAGGGGAGAGUGAAUCUACAUACCCUUGUAGAUCGCUAAGCAGAAUCAUAUAUAACGCGGUUGUUGUAGUGGAACAUCUUCACGAUCCAAAUCGCAGCCCGUCCCACGAUCUCAUCACGAUCCGUCCCGCGGUCCCAUCACGAUCCAUCCCGAUCUAGUGCCGAACGGACGGCACCUCCGCGUUCACCACACGUACAACUCGAUGAAGAUCCCCGCCUUCUUGAUCCAGCAAGAGAGGCAGAGAGGUAGCUGAGUUCUCCAGAACGGCGGCAUGGCGGUGGUGGUGGUGUAUCUAUUCCAGCAGGGCUUCGCCUAAGCACCACUGAAACUAGACUAGAGGAGAAACAGAUCUAGAGAGAGGGCAGCACAUGGCUGUUUUUCUGUGUCUCAAAAACCCUCAAUACCUCUAGUAUAUAUAGGAGGGAGGGAGGGGAGGAGGCAGCAUCAAACCCUCAAGGUUUGGCCUAAAUUGGAGGUGAAGGAGUCCUAAUCCAAUCCUACUAGGAGUAGGAUCCUCCUCUCCACUUGGAAACCCUUUCCACCUUUUCCACCUUUGGGUUUUUUUGCCUCUCAAAUCUCAUGGGCCUUAAUGGGAGCUUAUAUCAGCCCACUAGGGGCUGGUUUGUAUCAUCCGAUAGCCCAUAAAGCCCCUCGGGGCACGACACCCCUCCCGAUGGUCCCCGGUACCCUCCCGGCACUUCUCGUACACUGCCGAUGAGCCCGAAACUUUUCCAGUGACUAAAACAGGACUUCCUAUAUAUCAAUCUUUACCUCCAGACCAUUUCGGAGCUCCUCGUGACAUCCGAGAUCUCAUCUGGGACUCCGAACAAAUUUCGAUUACCAACACAUAUAACUCAAUUAUACCGAAACGUCACCGAACCUUAAGUGUGCAGACCGUGCGGGUUCAACAACUAUGCAGACAUGUCUGAGACACCUCUACGGUCAAUAAUCAAUAGCGGGACCUAUGCCCAUAUUGUCUCCUACAUGUUCUAUGAAGAUCUUUAUCGGUUGAACCUCUAUGUCAAGGAUCCAGUUAAUCCCGUAUGAUGUUCCCUUUGUCCUUUGGUAUGUUACUUGCCCGAUAUUCGAUCGUCGGUAUCUCUGUACCUAGUUCAAUCUCAUUAUCGGCAAGUCUCUUUAUUUGUUCCGUAAUACGAAAUCUCGUGGCUAACUCCUUAGUCACAUUGCUUGCAAGGUUUAUUGUGAUGUUGUAUUACUUAGUGGGCUCCGAGAUACCUCUCCGUCAUACGGAGUGACAAAUCCCAAUCUCGAUUCACGCCAACCCAACAGACACCUUCGGAGAUACCUGUAGAGCACCUUUAUAGUCACCCAGUUACGUUGCGACGUUUGAUACACACAAGGUAUUCCUUCGGUGUUCGGGAGUUGCAUGAUCUCAUGUUCAUCGGAACAUAUAGAUUGACAUGCAGAUAACAGUAGCAUUAAACUGACACGAUCAUAUGCUACAUUUAUAGCUUGGUGCUUGUCCUUCACAUCAUUCUCCUAAUGAUGUGAUCCUAUUAUCAAGUGACAUCACUUGUCUAUGUCUAGGAAACCUUAACCAUCUUUAAUCAACGAGCUUGUCAACUAGAGGCUUACUAGGGACAGUGUUUUGCCUAUGUAUCCACAGAUGUAUUUGAGUUUCCAAUCAAUACAAUUAUAGCAUAGAUAAUAAACUAUUAUCAUGAACAAGGAAAUAUAAUAAUAACCAAUUUAUUAUUGCAUCUAGGGCAUAUUUCCAACACUCUCCCACUUGCACUAGAGUCUAUAAUCUAGUUCACAUCACUAUGUGAUUUUGAUGAAUCUAACACCCAUACAGUUCUGGGUUUGAUCAUGUCUUUCUUGUGAGAGAGGUUUUAGUCAGCGGGUCUGAACCUUUUAGAUCCGCGUGUGUUUUACAAAUCUCUAUGUCAUCCUAUAGAUGUUGCUACCAUGCGCCAUUUGGAACUAUUCCAAAUGACCGCUCCACUAUACGAAUCCGGUUUACUACUCAGAGUCAUCCAUAUUAGUGUCAAAGCUUGCGUCGACGUAACCCUUGACGACAAACUCUUUCAUCACCUCCAUAAUCGAGAAAAAUUCCUUAGUCCACUAGUUACUAAGGAUAAUUUUGACCGUUGUUCGGUGAUUCAAUCCUGGACCACUCUUUGUAUCCCUUUAUAGACUCAUGGCAAGGCACACAUCAGGUGCGGUACACAACAUGACAUACUUUAGAGCCUACGGUUAAGGCAUAGGGGACGGCCUUCGUCCUUUCUCUUUCUUCUGUCGUGGUCGAUCUUUGAGUCUUACUCAAAUUCACACCUUACAACAUAGCCAAAAACUCCUUCUUUGCUGAUCUAUUUUGAACUCCUUCAAAAACUUCUGAGGGCAUGCAUUUCGUUAAAAUUUCUAUUAAGCGCUUUGAUCCAUCCUCAUAGAUCUUGAUGCUCAAUGUUCAAGUAGCUUAAUCUAGGUUUUCCUUUGAAAACACCUUUCAAACAAACCCUUUAUGCUUUCCAGAAAUUCUACAUUAUUUCCUAUCAACAAUAUGUCUACCACAUAUACUCAUCAGAAAUUCUAUAGUGCUCCCACUCACUUCUUUGGAAAUACAAGUUUCUCACAAACCUUGUAUAAACCCAAAAACUUUGAUCAUCUCAUCAAAGCGUUUAUUCCAACUCCGAAAUGCUUGCUCCAGACCAUGGAAGGAUCGCUGGAGCUUGCAUACUUGUUAGCAUCCUUAGGAUCGACAAAACCUUCUAGUUGUAUCACAUACAACCUUUCCUCAAGGAAACUGUCAAGGAACCAAUGUUUUGACAUCAUGUCUGCAAUAUUUCAUAAAUAAUGCAGUAGCUGCUAACAUAGUUCCAACAGACCUUUAGCAUCGCUACGAGUGAGAAACUCUCAUCAUAGUCAACUCUUUGAACUUGUCGGAAACAUCUUUGCGACAAGUCGAGCUUUCUUAAUGGUGACUUUUCACCAUCAUCGUCUGUCUUCCUUUUAAAGAUUCAUCUAUACAUAACAACCUCACGACCAUCAAGUAGUUCUUCCGAAGUCUACAGUUUGUUUUCAUACAUGGAUCCUACCUCGAAUUUCAUGGCGUCCAGCUAUUCGUUGGAAUCCAGUCCCACCAUCGCUUCUCCAUAGCUCGUAGGUUCAUUGUUGUCCAACAACAAGACCUCCAAGACAGGGUUAUCAUACCAUUCUGGAGCAGUACGUGACCUUGUUGACCUACGAGUUUUGUAGUAACUUGAUCCAAAGCUUCAUGAUCACUAACAUUAGCUUCCACUUCAAUUGGCAUAGGCGCCACAGGAACAACUUCAUGCUCCCUGCUACACUCUGGUUGAAGUGACGGUUCAAUAACCUCAUCAAGUUUCCACCAUCCUCCCACUCAAUUCUUUUGAGAGAAACAUUUUAUCGAGAAAGGACCCAUUUCUAGGAACAAACACUUUGCUUCGGGAUCUGAGAUAGGAGGUAUACCCAACUGUUUUUGGUGUCCUAUGAAGAUGCAUUUGUCCCCUUUGGGUUCGAGCUUAUUACGCUGAAAUUUUUUCACAUAAGCAUCGCAGCCCCAAACCAUUAAGAAAUGACAGCUUAUGUUUCUCCAAACCAUAGUUCAUACGGUGUCAUCUCAAUGGAAUUACGUGGUGCCAUGCUUAAAGUGAAUGCGGUUGUCUCUAAUGCCUAACCCAAAAUGAUAGUGGUAUUUCGAUAAGAGACAUCAUAGUAUGCGCUAUAUCCAAUAGGACGCGGCUAUGACGUUCGGACACACCAUCACACUAUGGUGCUCCAGGUGACAUGAGUUGCAAAACAAUUUCCACAUUGUCUUAGUUGUAUACCAAACUCGCAACUCAGAUAUUCAUCUCUAUGAUCAUAUCGUAGACAUUUUUAUCCUCUUGUCACGGCGAUCUUCACUCUGAAAUAGCUUGAACUUUUCAAUAUCUCAGACUUCUGAUUCAUCAAGCAAAUACUCUUGUAUCUACUCAAAUCGUCAGGGAAGUAAGAACAUAACGAUAUCCACUGCGUGCCUCAGCACUCAUUAGAUUGCACACAUCAAAAUGUAUUACUUCCAACAAGUUACUUUCUUGUUCCAUCUCACUGGAAAAAACGAGGCCUUCAGUCAUCUUGCCCACGUGGUAUGAUUUGCAUGCCUCAAUUGAUUCAAAAUCAAGUGAGUCCAAACGAUCCAUUUGCAUGGAGUUCCUUCAUGCGUUUAUACCAAUAGGCAUGGUUUGCAUGUCUCAAACAUUUCAAAAAUGAGUGAGUACAAAGAUCCAUCAGCAUGGAGCUCCUUCAUGCAUUUUAUACCAAUAUAACUCAAGUGGCAGUGCCACAAGUAAAUGGUACUAUCAUUACUACUUUUUAUCUUUUGGCAUUAAUAUUAUGAACAUGUGUACCACUACGAUCGAGAUUCAAUAAACCAUUGAAGGUACUUAUUCAAGCAAAUAGAAUAACCAUUAUUCUCUUUAAAUGAAUAAUCGUAUUGCAAUAAACACGACCUAAUCAUAUUCAUGCUCAACGCAAACACCAAAUAACAAUUACUUAGGUCUAACACUAAUCCAGAUGGUAGAGGGAGUGUGCGAUGUUUUGAUCACAUCAACCUUGGAAACACUUCCAACACAUAUCGUCACCUCGCCUUUAGCUAGCCUCCAUUUAUUCCGUAGCUUUUAUUUCGAGUUACUAAACUUAGCAACCGAACCGGUAUCUAAUACCCUCGUGCUACUAGGAGUACUAGUAAAGUACACAUUAAUAUCAUGUAUAUCCAAUAUACUUCUGUCGUCUUUGCCAGCGUUCUCAUCUACCAAGUAUCUAGGAUAGUUCCUCUUCAGUGACUGUUCCCCUCAUUACAGAAGCACUUAGUCUCGGGUUUGGGUUCAACCUUGGGUCUCUUCACUAGAGAAGCAACUGGUUUGCCGUUUCAUGAAGUAUCCCUUCUUGCCCUUGCCCUUCUUCAAACUAGUGGUUUUACUAACCAUCAACAAUUGAUGAUCCUUUUUGAUUUCUACUUUCGCGGUGUCCAACAUUGACAAUAGCUCAAGGAUCAUCAUAUCUAUCCCUCAUAUGUUCUAGUUCAUCACGAAGCUCUAGUAGCUUGGUGGCAGUGACUUUGGAGAACCAUCACUAUCUUAUCUGGAAUAUUAACUCUCACUCGAUUCAAGCGAUUGUAGCACUCAGAUAAUCUGAGCACAUGCUCAAAGAUUGAGCUUUUCGCCCUUACUUUGUAGACAAAGAAUCUUGUCGGAGGUCUCAUACCUCUCAACAAGGGCACGAGCAUCAAAUCCCAAUUUCACCUCUUGGAACAUCUCAUAUGUUCCGUGACGUUCAAAACAUCUUUGGCGCCUAAAUUCUAAGCCGUUAAGCAUUACACACUGAAUUAUCACGUAGUCAUCAAAAAAUGUGUAUGUCAGAUGUUGGCAACAUCCACAGAUGACGCUUGAGGUUCAGCACACCGAGCGGUGCAUUAAGGACAUAAGCCUUCUGCACAGCAAUGAGGACAAUCCUCAGUUUAUGGACCCAGUCCGCAUAAUUGCUACUAUCAUCUUUCAACUAAAUUUUCUCUAGGAGCAUAUCAAAAAUAGUAGAGCUACAACGCAAGCUACAACAUAAUUUGCAAAUACCUUUUGACUAUGGUCAUGAUAAUUGAGUUUAGCUAAUCACAUUACUAACAACUCCCACUCAAAUAGACAUCCCUCUAGUCAUUCGAGUGGCGCAUGAUCCAAGUCCACUAACUCAAGUCCGAUUAUCACGCGAGUUGAGUAUAGUUUCAGUGGUGAACAUCUCGAUGUUGAUCAUGUCAACUAUAUGAUUCAUGCUCGACCUUUCGGUCCCUUGUGUUCCGAGGCCAUGUAUGUACAUGCUAGGCUCGUCAAGUUUAACCCGAGUGUUCCGCAUGUGCAACUGUUUUGCACUCGUUGUAUAUGAAUGUUGAGUCUAUCACACCUGAUCAUCACGUGGUGUCUCGAAACGACGAACUGUCGCAACCGUUCACAGUCGGGGAGAACGCAAUUUUAUCUUGAAAUUUUAGUGAGGGGUCACCUUAUAAUGCUACCAUCGUUCUAAGCAAAAUAAGGUGCAUAAAAGGAUUAACAUCACAUGCAAUUCAUAAGUGACAUGAUAUGGCCAUGAACUUGUGCUUCUUGAUCUCCAUCACCAAAGCACCGACAUGAUCUCCAUCGACACCGGCGCCACACCAUGAUCUCCGUCAUUGUGCCGCCAUCGAGGUUGUCGUGCUAUCUAUGCUAUUACUACUAAAGCUACUACCUAGAAAUAUAGUAAAUGCAUCUGCAAGCACAAACAUUAGUUUAAAGAAAACCCUAUGGCUCCUGCCGGCUGCCGUAGCAUCGACGUGCAAGUCGAUAUUUAACUAUUACAACAUGAUCAUCUCAUACAUCCAAUAUAUCACAUCAUGUAUUUGGCCAUAUCACAUCACAUGCAUACCCUGCAAAAACAAGUUAGACGUCCUCUAAUUUGUUGUUGCAUGUUUUACGUGGCUGUUAUGGGUAUCUAGUAUGAUCUCAUCUUACGUACGCAAAGCCACAAUGGUGAUAUGCAAAUUGCUAUUUAACCUUCUCCAAGGACCGCCUCGGUCAAAUCCGAUUCAACUAAAGUUGAAGAAAUAGACACCUGCCAGUCAUCAUUGUGCAACAAGUUGCAUGUCACUUGAUGAAACCGGUUUCUCGUAAGCGUACGAGUAAGGUUGGUCCGGGCCACUUCAAACCAACAAUACCACCAAAUCGAGAAAAGACUAAGGAGGGAAGCAAAUCGAACAUCAACGCCCAAAAACUCUUUUGUGUUCUGCUUGAGAUUUCAUCUACGGGUGAACCUAGCUCAUGAUGCUACUGUUGGGGAACGUAGCAUGGGAAACAAAAUUUUCCUACGCACACGCAAUACCUAUCCAUGGUGAUGAUCAUCUACGAGAGGGGAGAGUGAAUGUACAUACCCUUGUAGAUCGCUAAGCGGAAGCAUAUAUAAUGCAGUUGAUGUAGUGGAACAUCUUCACGAUCCAAAUCGCAGCCCGUCCCGCGAUCUCAUCACGAUCCGUCCCGCGAUCCCAUCACGAUCCAGCCCGAUCUAGUGCCGAACGGACGGCACCUCCGCGUUCAGCACACGUACAGCUUGAUGAAGAUCCCCGCCUUCUUGAUCUAGAAAGAGAGGCGGAGAGGUAGAUGAUUUUGCCAGCACGGCGGCAUGGUGGUGGUGGUGGUGGAUCUAUUACAGCAGGGCUUCGCCUAAGCACCACUAAAACUAGACUAGAGGAGAAAUAGAUCUAGAGAGAGAGGGCAGCACAUGGCUGUUUUUCUGUGUCUCAAAAACCCUCAAUACCUCUAUUAUAUAUAGGAGGGAGGGAGGGGAGGAGGAAGCCCCAAACCCUCAAGGUUUGGCCGAAAUUGGAGGUGGAGGAGUCCUAAUCCAAUCCUACUAGGAGUAGGAUUCCUCCUCUCCACUUGGAAACCCUUUCCACCUUUUCCACCUUUGGGUUUUUUGCCUCUCAAAUCUCAUGGGCCUCAGUCGGAGCUUAUGUCAGCCCACUAAGGGCUGGUUUGUAUCCUCCCACAGCCCAUAAGGACCCUAGGGGCGUGACACCCCUCCCGAUGGUCCCCGGUACCCUCCCGGCACUCUCGUUACACUACCGAUGAGCCCGAAACUUUUCCGGUGACCAAAACAUGACUUCCUAUAUAUCAAUCUUUACCUCCAAACCAUUCCGGACCUCCUCGUGUCGUCCAGGAUCUCAUCUGUGACUCCGAACAACUUUCGGUUACCAACACCUAUCGCUCAACUAUACCAAAACGUCAUCGAACCUUAAGUGUGCAGACCCUACGGGUUCGAGAACUAUGCAGACAUGACCGAGACACCUCUACGGUCAAUAACCAAUAGGGGGACCUGGAUGCCCAUAUUGUCUCCUACAUAUUCUACGAAGAUCUUUUUCGGUUGAACCACUAUGUCAAGGAUCCAGUUAAUCCCGUAUGAUGUUCCCUUUGUCCUACGGUAUGUUACUUGCCCGAGAUUCGAUCGUCGGUAUCUCUAUACCUAGUUCAAUCUCAUUAUUGGCAAGUCUCUUUACUCGUUCCGUAAUACAAGAUCUUGUGGCUAACUCCUUAGUCACAUUGCUUGCAAGGCUGUGUGUGAUGUUGUAUUACCGAGUGGGCCCCGAGAUACCUCUCCGUCAUGCAGAGUGACAAAUCCCAGUCUCGAUUCAUGCCAACCAAACAAACACCUUCGGAGAUACCUAUAGAGCACCUUUAUAGUCACCCAGUUACGUUGCGACGUUUGAUACACACAAGGUAUUCCUCCGGUGUCCGGGAGUUGCAUGAUCUCAUGGUCAUAGGAACAGAUACAUUGACAUGCAUAAAACAGUAGCAAUAAACUAACACGAGCAUAUGCUACGUUUAUAGUUAUGGUCUUGUCCAUGACAUCAUUCUCCUAAUGAUGUGAUCCCGUUAUCAAGUGACAACACUUGUCUAUGGCUAGGAAACCUUAACCAUCUUUGAUCAACGAGCUAGUCAACUAGAGGCUUAGUAGGGACAGUGUUUUGUCUAUGUAUCCACACAAGUAUUGUGUUUCCAAUCAAUACAAUUAUAGCAUGGAUAAUAAACAAUUAUCAUGAACAAAGAAAUAUAAUAAUAAGUAAUUUAUUAUUGCCUCUAGGGCAUAUUUCCAACAAUUCAUUGGGUUGCCUCCCAACAAGCGCUAUUGUUUAACGCCCUUAGCUAGGCAUUGAUAAUUCAAUGAUGCUCACACAAAAGACAAGAAUUGAAGCACAACGAGAGCAUCAUAAAGCAUGUGAAAAUCACAUCUAAAUCUAACAUACUUCCUAUGCAUAGGCAUUUUAUAGGAAAACAAAUUAUCAAGACAAGCAAUAACUACCAUAUGCAAGGAAGAAGAAAGAGACAAUAUCAAUCUCAACAAAACGAGAGGUAAUUUAGUAACAUGAAAGUUUCGACCACAAUAUUUUCCUCUCUCAUAACAAUUUCAUGUGGGAUCAUAAUCAAAUUCAACAAUAUAGCUAUCACAUAGGAUAUUCUUUUCAUGAUCCACAUGCAUGUAAAGUUGACCCUCUUCAAAAAUAGUGGGAUUAUCAUCAACUAAAGUCAUGACUUCUCCAAACCCAAUUUCAAUAUUAUUGCAAAUAUCAUAUUCAUCAUGAGGCUUAAACAAAUUUUCAAGAUCAUAAGAAAAAUCAUCGCCCCAAUUAUGAUCAUUGCAACAAGUAGUGGACAUAGCAAAACUAGCAUCCCCAAGCUUAGAGUUUUGCUAUUUUUAGCAUGAUUAUCAUUAAUAGAAUUUAUAAUGAAAUCAUUGCAAUCAUGAUUUUCAUUCAAGGAGCCCUCGUGAAUCACUUCAUAAAUUUCUUCAUCACGAUUUUCAGAUUCACGCAUCUCAAGCAAAACUCCAUAGAGAAAGUGAAGUGCACUCAACUCAAAAGCAAAUGGUUCAAAAUAAUUGGAUCUCUUAAAGAGAUUAGCAAGUGGAUGAGUGAUGACCCACAAGUAUAGGGUAUCUAUCGUAGUCCUUUUGAGAAGUAAGAGUGUCGAACCCAACGAGGAGCAGAAGGAUCUGACAAGUGGUUUUCAGCAAGGUAAAAUCUGCAGGCACUGAAAUUAUCGGUAACAAGAGAUUGUAUGGUGAAGUGAUUCGUAGCAAGCAACAAGUAACAAAAGUAGCAACGGUGCAGCAAGGUGUCCCAAUCCCUUUUGUAGCAAGGGACAAGCUUGGACAAAGUCUUAUAGGAGGAAAAACGCUCCCGAGGACACGCGGGAAUUUCUGUCAUGCUAGUUUUCAUCAUGUUCAUAUGAUUCGCGUUCGUUACUUUGAUAGUUUGAUAUGUGGGUGGACCGACGCUUGGGUACUGUCCUUACUUGUACAAGAAUCCCACUUAUGAUUAACCCCUCUCGCAAGCAUCCGCAACUACGAAAAAAGAAUUAAGACAUAGCCUAACCAUAGCAUUAAACUAGUGGAUCCAAAUCAGCCCCUUAUGAAGCAACGCAUAAACUAGGUUUAAGCUUCUGUCACUCUAGCAACCGAUCAUCUACUUACUACUUCCCAAUGCCUUCCUCUAGGCCCAAAUAAUGGUGAAGUGUUAUGUAGUCGACGUUCACAUAACACCACUAGAGGAAAAACAACAUACAACACAUCAAAAUGUCGAACGAAUACCAAAUUCACAUGACUACUAUUAGCAUGACUUAUCCCAUGUCCUCAGGAACAAAAGUAACUACUCACAAAGCAUAAUCAUAUUCAUGACCAGAGAGGUAAUGAGUAGCAUCAAGGAUCUGAACAUGAACUCUUCCACCAAGUAAUCCAACAAGCAUCAACUACAAAGAGUAAUUAACACUACUAGCAACCUUACAAGUACCAAUCGGAGUCGCGAGACGGAGAUUGGUUACAAGAGAUGAACUAGGGUUUGGAGAUGAGAUAGUGCUGAUGAAUAUGUUGAUGGUGAUGAGUCCCCUCCGACGAGAGGAGCGUUGGUGAUGGCAAUGUCGAUGAUUUCCCCCUCCAGGAGGGAAGUUUCCUCGGCAGGAUCGUCCUGCCGGAGCUCUAGAUUGGUUUUGCUCAAGUUCCGCCUCGUGGCGGCGGCGAAACCUCCGAAAAGCUCCCUUCUGAUUUUUUUUUCCGGACGAAACCCUUCAUAUAGCAAAAGAUGAGCGCUGGAGGGGCAACAGGGGGCCCACAAGCCCCCCAGGCCCGGCCAGGGGGGUAGGCCGGGCCUGGUAGGCUUGUGGCCUUCAGGUGGCGCCCCUCUGGUACUUCUUCCGCCCAGUAUUUUUUAUAUAUUCCCAAAAAAUUCCACGUUGAUUUUCACGGCUUUUGGAGUUGCGCAGAAUAGGCAUCUCAAACUUGCUCCUUUUUCAGGCCAGAAUUCCAGCUGCCGUCAUUCUCCCUCUUCAUGUAAACCUUGCAAAAUAAGAGAGAAAAGGCAUAAGUAUUGUACCGUGAAGUGAAAUAACAGCCCAAAAAGCGAUAAAUAUCAACAUGAAAGCAUGAUGCAAAAUGGACGUAUCAAUGAGGAUCCAUAUCAAUAGAUUUUCAGCAAGCGAAGAUGCAAGCAUAUUGAAGGCACAUAGCACACAAGCAAAGGGAAGGGAAAUGAAAAAGGCAAAUAUUUUUGUAAAUUUUUGUUUUUCAAAAGUGGGGGAGAGGAAAACGAGAGGCAAAAGGCAAAAAAAGCAAAUGCAAGAGAUGAGUUUGCGACAGUUACUUGGAUAGGCUUCACUUAGAAUAGUCCCCGGUGCCAGAAAUUGACACGUUGAAGGGAGACUAUUCUUGACUUGAUACUCCCCGGCAGCGGCGCUAGAAAUUCUUCUUGCUACCUCUUGAGCUUGCGUUGGUUUUUCCCCUGAAGAGGAAAGGGUGAUGCAGCACCGUAGCAGUAAGUAUUUCCCUCAGUUUGAGAACCAAGGUAUCAAUCCAGUAGGAGUAUCAAGCCAAGUCUCCACUAUACCUUUUGUGUUCUACUCGAGAUAACAUCUACACAUGAACCUAGCUCAUGGUGCCACUGUUGGGGAACGCUGCAUGGGAAACAAAAAAAUUCUACGCACACGAAGACCUAUCAUGGUGAUGUCCAUCUAUGAGAGGAGAUUUGGAUCUGCGUACCCUUGUAGAUCACACAACAGGAAGCGUUAAGAAACGCGGUUGAUGUAGUGGAAUGUCUUCACGUCCCUCGAACCGUCCCACGAACCGUUCCGCGAUCCUUCCCACGAUCUGUUCCGAUCUAGUGCCGAACGGAUGGUGCUACCUCUUGAGCUUGCAUUGGUUUUUCCCUUGAAGAGGAAAGGUUGAUGGAGCACAGUAGCAGUAAGUAUUUCCCUCAGUUUGAGUACCAAGGUAUCAAUCUAGUAGGAGUAUCAAGCCAAGUCUCCACCGUACCUACGCAAAAACAGCAAACUUGCACCCAACGCUACAAAGGGGUUGUCAAUCCCUUCACGAUUGAUUGCAAGGUGAGAUCUGAAGGCGGAAAGUGCAACAAAGUAAAAGUGUAGGGCUGAAAAUAUGAUGUGAAGUAGACCCGCGGGCCAUAGUGUUCACUAGACUCUUCUCUCAUGAUAGCAAAUAUUACGGUGGGUGAACGAAUUACUGUCGAGCAAUNNNNNNNNNNNNNNNNNNNNNNNNNNNNNNNNNNNNNNNNNNNNNNNNNNNNNNNNNNNNNNNNNNNNNNNNNNNNNNNNNNNNNNNNNNNNNNNNNNNNNNNNNNNNNNNNNNNNNNNNNNNNNNNNNNNNNNNNNNNNNNNNNNNNNNNNNNNNNNNNNNNNNNNNNNNNNNNNNNNNNNNNNNNNNNNNNNNNNNNNNNNNNNNNNNNNNNNNNNNNNNNUCUGCAUCUACUACUAUCACUCCACACAUCGACCGCUAUCCAGCAUGCAUCUAGUGUAUUGAGUUCAUGACAAACAGAGUAAUGCCUUAAGCAAGAUGACAUGAUGUAGAGGGAUAAAUUCAUGCAAUAGAUAUAAAUCCCAUCUUUUUACCCUUGAUGGCAACAACAUGAUGCGUGCCUCGCUACCCCUUCUGUCACUGGGUGAGGUCACCGAACGGUAUGAACCCAAACCCAAGCACUUCUCCCAUUACAAGAACGAUAGAUGAAGUUGGCCAAACAAAACCCACAACUCGAAGAGAAUUACAAGGAUAUGAAAUCAUGCAUAAGAGAGAUGAGAAGAAACUCAAAUAAGAUUCAUAGAUAAUCUGAUCAUAAAUCAACAAUUCAUCGGUUCUCGACAAACACACCGCAAAAGAAGAUUACAUCGGAUAGAUCUCCAUGAAGAUCAUAGAGAACUUUGUAUUGAAGAUCCAAGAGAGAGAAGAAGCCAUCUAGCUACUAGCUAUGGACCCGAAGGUCUAUGGUGAACUACUCACGUAUCAUCGAAGAGGCAAUGGUGUUGAUGAAGAAGCCCUCCGUGUCCGAAUCCCCCUCCGGCAGGGCACCGGAACGUGCCCCGGAUGGGAUCUUGCGGAGACAGAAGCUUGCGGCAGCAGAAAAGUAUUUUCGUGGCUCUCUCCCGUGUUUUUGGAUUUUUAGGUGAUUUAUAGGCGAAAGAAGUAGGGCAGAGGAGCCACACGGGGCCCACAAGCCUGCUAGGCGCCCCCCCAGGCAACGUCCAGCGGGCUUGUGGCCUCCCCUGUGUUGGAAUUAUGCCCUAGAGGAAAUAAUAAAUAUAGUUAUUAUUAUAAUUCCUGUAUCAAGAUAAUCGUUUAUUAUCCAUGCUAUAAUUGUAUUGAAUGAAGACUCAUUUACAUGUGUGGAUACAUAGACAAAACACCGUCCCUAGCAAGCCUCUAGUUGGCUAGCCAGUUGAUCAAAGAUAGUCAGUGUCUUCUGAUUAUGAACAAAGUGUUGUUGCUUGAUAACUGGAUCACGUCAUUAGGAGAAUCACGUGAUGGACUAGACCCAAACUAAUAGACGUAGCAUGUUGAUCGUGUCAUUUUGUUGCUACUGUUUUCUGCGUGUCAAGUAUUUAUUCCUAUGACCAUGAGAUCAUAUAACUCACUGACACCGGAGGAAUGCUUUAUGUGUAUCAAACGUCGCAACGUAACUGGGUGACUAUAAAGAUGCUCUACAGAUAUCUCCGAAGGUGUUAGUUGAGUUAGUAUGGAUCAAGACUGGGAUUUGUCACUCCGUGUGACGGAGAGGUAUCUCGGGGCCCACUCGGUAAUACAACAUCACACACAAGCCUUGCAAGCAAUGUAACUUAGUGUAAGUUGCGGGAUCUUGUAUUACGGAACGAGUAAAGAGACUUGCCGGUAAACGAGAUUGAAAUAGGUAUGCGAAUAGUGACGAUCGAAUCUCGGGCAAGUAACAUACCGAAGGACAAAGGGAAUAACAUACGGGAUUAUAUGAAUCCUUGGCACUGAGGUUCAAACGAUAAGAUCUUCGUAGAAUAUGUAGGAUCCAAUAUGGGCAUCCAGGUCCCGCUAUUGGAUAUUGACCGAGGAGUCUCUCGGAUCAUGUCUACAUAGUUCUCGAACCCGCAGGUUCUGCACACUUAAGGUUCGACGUUGUUUUAUGCGUAUUUGAGUUAUAUGGUUGGUUACCGAAUGUUGUUUGGAGUCCCGGAUGAGAUCACGGACGUCAGAGGGUUUUUGGAAUGGUCCGGAAUGAAGAUUGAUAUAUAGGAUGACCUCAUUUGAUUACCGAAAGGUUUUCGGAGUUACCGGCAAUGUACCGGGAAUGACGAAUGGGUUCCGGGAGUUCACCGGGGGGGGGGGGGGGGCCCCCCCCNNNNNNNNNNNNNNNNNNNNNNNNNNNNNNNNNNNNNNNNNNNNNNNNNNNNNNNNNNNNNNNNNNNNNNNNNNNNNNNNNNNNNNNNNNNNNNNNNNNNNNNNNNNNNNNNNNNNNNNNNNNNNNNNNNNNNNNNNNNNNNNNNNNNNGGGGAAGCCCAUAGGCCUUGAGGGUGGGACAGCCCAAGAGGGCCCUAUGCGCCUAGGAAAGAAAAUCAAAGAGAAAAAAAAAGAGGAGGUGGGAAGGGAAGGAAGGACUCCCACCCACCAAACCAAGUCCAACUCGGUUUGGGGGGGGGGAACCUUCCCCCUUGGACUCGGCCGACCCCCUUGGGGCUCCUUGAGCCCCAAGGCAAGGUCCCCUCCCUCCCACCUAUAUAUAUGGAGGUUUUAGGGCUGAUUUGAGACGAUUUUUCCACGGCAGCCCGACCACAUACCUCCACGGUUUUUCCUCUAGAUCGCGUUUCUGCAGAGCUCGGGCGGAGCCCUGCUGAGACAAGGUCAUCACCAACCUCCGGAGCGCCGUCAUGCUGCCGGAGAACUCUUCUACCUCUCCGUCUCUCUUGCUGGAUCAAGAAGGCCGAGAUCAUCGUCGAGUUGUACAUGUGCUGAACGCGGAGGUGCCGUCCGUUCGGUACUAGAUCGUGGGACUGAUCGCGGGAUUGUUCGCGGGGCGGAUCGAGGGACGUGAGGACGUUCCACUACAUCAACCGCGUUCACUAACGCUUCUGCUGUACGAUCUACAAGGGUACGUAGAUCACUCAUCCCCUCUCGUAGAUGGACAUCACCAUGAUAGGUCUUCGUGCGCGUAGGAAAAUUUUUGUUUCCCCUGCGACGUUCCCCAACAGUGGCAUCAUGAGCUAGGUUCAUGCGUAGAUGUCUUCUCGAGUAGAACAAAAAAGUUUUUGUGGGCGGUGAUGUGCGUUUUGCUGCCCUCCUUAGUCUUUUCUUGAUUCCGCGGCAUUGUUGGAUUGAAGCGGCUUGGACCGACAUUACUCGUACGCUUACGAGAGACUGGUUUCAUCGCUACGAGUAACCCCGUUGCUCAAAGAUGACUGGCAAGUGUCGGUUUCUCCAACUUUAGUUGAAUCGGAUUUGACCGAGGAGGUCCUUGAAUGAGGUUAAAUAGCAACUCAUAUAUCUCCGUUGUGGUGUUUGCGUAAGUAAGAUGCGAUCCUACUAGAUACCCUUGGUCACCACGUAAAACAUGCAACAACAAAAUUAGAGGACGUCUAACUUGUUUUUGCAGGGUAUGCUUGUGAUGUGAUAUGGCCAACGAUGUGAUGUGAUAUAUUGGAUGUAUGAGAUGAUCAUGUUGUAAUAGAAAAUAUCGACUUGCACGUCGAUGGUACGGCAACCGGCAGGAGCCAUAGGGUUGUCUUUAUACUAACGUUUGUGCUUGCAGAUGCGUUUACUAUUUUGCUAGGAUGUAGCUUUAGUAGUAAUAGCAUGAGUAGCACGACAACCCCGAUGGCAACACGUUGAUGGAGAUCAUGGUGUGGCGCCGGUGACAAGAAGAUCGUGCCGGUGCUUUGGUGAUGGAGAUCAAGAAGCACGUGAUGAUGGCCAUAUCAUGUCACUUAUGAAUUGCAUGUGAUGUUAAUCCUUUUAUGCACCUUAUUUUUCUUAGAACGACGGUAGCAUUAUGAGGUGAUCUCUCACUAAAAUUUCAAGACGAAAUUGUGUUCUCCCCGACUGUGCACCGUUGCUACAGUUCGUCGUUUCGAGACACCACGUGAUGAUCGGGUGUGAUAGACUCAACGUUCACAUACAACGGGUGCAAAACAGUUGCGCACGCGGAACACUCGGGUUAAGCUUGACGAGCCUAGCAUGUGCAGACAUGGCCUCGGAACACAUGAGACCGAAAGGUCGAUCAUGAAUCAUAUAGAUGAUAUGAUUAGCAUAGGGAUGCUUACCACUGAAACUAUACUCAAAUCACGUGAUGAUCGGACUUGAGCUAGUGUAAGUGGAUCAUGAACCACUCAAAUGACUAGAGAGAUGUACUUUUUGAGUGGGAGUUUAGCGAAUAAUUUGAUUAAGUUAAACUCUAAUUAUCUUGAUCAUAGUCUAAGUCCACUUUGAAUAUAUUUGUGUUGUAGAUCAUGGCUCACGCUACAGUCAUCCUGAAUUUUAAUACGUUCCUAGAGAAAGCUAAGUUGAAAGAUGAUGGAAGCAACUUUGUAGACUGGGCUCAUAAUCUUAAGCUAAUCUUACAAGCUGGGAAGAAGGAUUAUGUCCUUAAUGCUGCGCUAGGAGAUGAACAACCCGCUACGGCUGAUCAGGAUGUUAAGAACGCUUGGUUAGCACGUAAGGAGGACUACUCAAUAGUUCAAUGUGCAGUCUUGUAUGGCUUAGAACCGGGACUUCAACGUCGCUUUGAGCGUAAUGGAGCAUUUGAGAUGUUACAGGAGUUGAAUUUAUCUUUCAGAAGAACGCCCAGAUCGAGAGGUAUGAGACCUCCGAUAAAUUCUAGGCUUGCAAGAUGGAGGAGAACUCGUCUGUCAGUGAACAUGUGCUCAAAAUGUCUGGGUACUCAAACCGUCUGGCUGAGCUGGGUAUUGAACUCCCGCAAGAGGCUAUCACUGACAGAAUCCUUCAAUCACUGCCGCCAAGCUAUAAAGGCUUUGUGUUGAACUACAACAUGCAAGGGAUGAACAAGUCUCCCGGUGAGUUGUUUGCGAUGCUGAAAGUCGCAGAGUCUGAAUUCCGUAAAGAGCAUCAAGUGUUGAUGGUGAAUAAGACCACUAGUUUCAAGAGAAACGGCAAAGGCAAGAAGGGUAAUUCAAAGAAGAGCGGCAAGCCUGUUGCCAAUCCGACGAAGAAACCCAAAGCUGGACCUAAGCCUGAAACAGAGUGUUACUAUUGCAAGGGUAUGGGUCACUGGAAGCGCAAUUGCCCCAAGUAUGUGGCAGAUAAGAAGGCGGCCAAAGAAAAAUCAGGUAUAUUUGAUAUACAUGUUAUUUAUAUGUACUUAACCGGCUCUCGUAGUAGUGCCUGGGUAUUCGAUACCGGUUCUGUUGCUCAUAUUUGCAACUCGAAACAGGAACUGCGGAAUAGACGAAGGCUGGCGAAGGAUGAAGUGACGAUGCGCGUAGGAAAUGGUUCCAAAGUUGAUGCAAUCGCCGUCGGCACAGUUUCACUUCAGUUACCAUCAGGAUUAGUGAUGAACUUAAAUCAUUGUUAUUUAGUGCCUGCGUUAAGCAUGAACAUUAUAUCUGGAUCUUGUUUAUUGCGAGACGGUUACUCUUUUAAGUCAGAGAAUAAUGGUUGUUCUAUUUCUAUGAGUAACAUCUUUUAUGGUCAUGCACCUAAUGUGAGAGGAUUGUUCAUAUUGAAUCUUGAUAGCGAUACGCAUAUACAUAACAUUGAGACCAAAAGAGUUAGAGUUAACAAUGAUAGCGGCAUAUUUUUGUGGCACUGCCGCUUAGGUCAUAUUGGUGUAAAGCGCAUGAAGAAACUCCAUGCUGAUGGAAUUUUGGAGUCACUUGACUUUGAUUCACUUGACACAUGCGAACCAUGCCUCAUGGGCAAGAUGACUAAGACUCCGUUCUCCGGAACAAUGGAGCGUGCAAGUGACUUGUUGGAAAUCAUAAAUACCGAUGUGUGUGGUCCGAUGGGCGUGGAGGCAUGUGGCGGAUAUCGUUAUUUUCUCACCUUCACUGACGAUUUGAGUAGAUAUGGUUAUGUCUACUUGAUGAAGCACAAGUCUGAAACAUUUGAGAAGUUCAAACAAUUUCAGAGUGAAGUGGAAAAUCAUCAUAACAAGAAGAUCAAGUUCCUACGGUCUGAUCGUGGGGUUGAAUAUCUGAGUUUCGAGUUUGGUACUCACUUAAGACAAUGUGGAAUUGUUUCACAGUUAACACCGCCUGGAACACCACAGCGUAAUGGUGUGUCCGAACGUCGUAAUCGUACUCUAUUAGAGAUGGUGCGAUCUAUGAUGUCUCUUACUGAUUUGUCGUUAUUGUUUUGGGGUUAUGCAUUAGAAACAGCUGCAUUCACUUUAAAUAGGGCACCAUCAAAAUCCGUUGAGACGACACCAUACGAACUGUGGUAUGGCAAAAGGCCAAAGUUGUCGUUUCUUAAAGUUUGGGGAUGUGAUGCUUAUGUCAAAAAGCUUCAGCCUGAAAAGCUAGAACCCAAAGAGGAAAAGUGCGUCUUCAUAGGUUACCCAAAAGAGACAGUUGGGUACACCUUCUAUCUCAAAUCCGAGGGCAAAGUGUUUGUUGCUAAAAACGGAGCUUUUCUCGAGAAGGAGUUUCUCUCGAGAGAAUUGAGUGGGAGGAAGAUAGAACUUGACGAGGUUGUCGAACCUCUCAUCCCUCUGGAUGGUGGCGCAGGGCAAGGGGAAACCUCUGUCGUUGCGACGCCGGUUGAGGAGGAAGUUAAUGAUGAUGAUCAUGAAACUCCGGUUCAAGUUUCUGUCGAACCACGUAGGUCGACGAGACCACGUGCUGCUCCAGAGUGGUACGGUAAUCCCGUCUUAUCAAUCAUGUUGUUAGACAACAAUGAACCUGCAAAUUAUGAAGAAGCAAUGGUGGGCCCAGAUUCCAACAAAUGGCUAGAAGCCAUGAAGUCCGAGAUAGGAUCCAUGUAUGAGAACAAAGUGUGGACUUUGGAGGUACUACCUGAGGGCCGCAAGGCUAUUCAGAACAAAUGGAUCUUUAAGAGGAAGACGGACGCUGACGGCAAUGUGACCGUUUAUAAAGCUCGACUUGUGGCAAAGGGUUUUUCACAAGUUCAAGGAGUUGACUACGAUGAGACAUUCUCACCCGUAGCGAUGCUUAAGUCCGUCAGAAUCAUGUUAGCAAUAGCUGCAUUUUUUGAUUAUGAAAUCUGGCAGAUGGAUGUCAAAACGACGUUCCUUAACGGUUUCCUUAAGGAAGAGUUGUAUAUGAUACAACCCGAAGGUUUUGUCGAUCUUAAGAAUGCUAACAAGGUAUGCAAGCUCCAGCGAUCCAUUUAUGGACUGGUGCAAGCAUCUCGGAGUUGGAACAAACGCUUUGAUGAGGUGAUCAAAGCAUUUGGGUUUAUACAAGUGGUUGGAGAAUCUUGUAUUUACAAGAAAGUGAGUGGGAGCUUUGUGGCGUUUCUAAUAUUAUAUGUGGAUGACAUAUUGCUGAUUGGAAACAACGUGGAGUUUUUGGAGAGCAUAAAGGAUUACUUGAAUAAAAGUUUCUCUAUGAAGGACCUAGGGGAAGCUGCUUACAUUCUAGGCAUUAAGAUCUAUAGGGAUAGAUCAAAACGCCUGAUAGGACUUUCACAAAGCACAUACCUUGAUAAAGUUUUGAAGAGGUUCAAAAUGGAACAGUCUAAGAAAGGGUUCUUGCCAGUUUUACAAGGUACGAGAUUGAGUAAGACUCGGUGCCCAGCAACUGAUGAAGAUAGGGAGCAUAUGCGCUCCGUCCCCUAUACUUCAGCCAUAUGUUCUAUCAUGUAUGCAAUGCUGUGCACUAGACCGGAUGUUAGCCUGGCCAUAAGUAUGGCAGGUAGGUUCCAGAGUAAUCCAGGAGUGGAUCACUGGACAACGGUCAAGAAUAUCCUGAAGUACGUGAAAAGGACUAAGGAGAUGUUUCUCGUGUAUGGAGGUGACGAAGAGCUCGCCGUAAAAGGUUAUGUCGAUGCAAGCUUUGACACAGAUCCGGACGACUCUAAGUCGCAAACCGGAUACGUAUUUAUUCUUAAUGGGGGUGCGGUAAGCUGGUGCAGUUCCAAGCAAAGCGUCAUAGCAGAUUCUACAUGUGAAGCAGAGUACAUGGCUGCCUCGGAGGCGGCUAAGGAAGGUGUCUGGAUGAAGCAGUUCAUGACGGAUCUUGGAGUGGUGCCAAGCGCACUGAAUCCAAUAACCUUGUUCUGUGACAACACGGGUGCCAUUGCCUUAGCAAAGGAACCACGGUUUCACAAGAAGACCAGACACAUCAAACGACGCUUCAACCUCAUUCGCGACUACGUCGAGGGAGAGGACGUAAAUAUAUGCAAAGUGCACACGGAUCUGAAUGUAGCAGACCCGCUGAGUAAACCUCUUCCACGGCCAAAGCAUGAUCAACACCAGAACUGUAUGGGUGUUAGAUUUAUUACAAUGUAAUUCGCAUGAUGAUGUGAGGGCUAGAUUAUUGACUCUAGUGCAAGUGGGAGACUGUUGGAAUUAUGCCCUAGAGGCAAUAAUAAAUAUAGUUAUUAUUAUAAUUCCUGUAUCAAGAUAAUCGUUUAUUAUCCAUGCUAUAAUUGUACUGAAUGAAGACUCAUUUACAUGUGUGGAUACAUAGACAAAACACCGUCCCUAGCAAGCCUCUAGUUGGCUAGCCAGUUGAUCAAAGAUAGUCAGUGUCUUCUGAUUAUGAACAAAGUGUUGUUGCUUGAUAACUGGAUCACGUCAUUAGGAGAAUCACGUGAUGGACUAGACCCAAACUAAUAGACGUAGCAUGUUGAUCGUGUCAUUUUGUUGCUACUGUUUUCUGCGUGUCAAGUAUUUAUUCCUAUGACCAUGAGAUCAUAUAAAUCACUGACACCGGAGGAAUGCUUUGUGUGUAUCAAACGUCGCAACGUAACUGGGUGACUAUAAAGAUGCUCUACAGGUAUCUCCGAAGGUGUUAGUUGAGUUAGUAUGGAUCAAGACUGGGAUUUGUCACUCCGUGUGACGAAGAGGUAUCUCGGGGCCCACUCGGUAAUACAACAUCACACACAAGCCUUGCAAGCAAUGUAACUUAGUGUAAGUUGCGGGAUCUUGUAUUACGGAACGAGUAAAGAGACUUGCCGGUAAACGAGAUUGAAAUAGGUAUGCGAAUAGUGACGAUCGAAUCUCGGGCAAGUAACAUACCGAAGGACAAAGGGAAUAACAUACGGGAUUAUAUGAAUCCUUGGCACUGAGGUUCAAACGAUAAGAUCUUCGUAGAAUAUGUAGGAUCCAAUAUGGGCAUCCAGGUCCCGCUAUUGGAUAUUGACCGAGGAGUCUCUCGGGUCAUGUCUACAUAGUUCUCGAACCCGCAGGGUCUGCACACUUAAGGUUCGACGUUGUUUUAUGCGUAUUUGAGUUAUAUGGUUGGUUACCGAAUGUUGUUCGGAGUCCCGGAUGAGAUCAAGGACGUCGCGAGGGUUUCCGGAAUGGUCCGGAGACGAAGAUUGAUAUAUAGGAUGACCUCAUUUGAUUACCGGAAGGUUUUCGGAGUUACCGGGAAUGUACCGGGAAUGACGAAUGGGUUCUGGGAGUUCACCGGGGGGAACCCACCCCGGGGAAGCCCAUAGGCAUUGAGGGUGGCACACCAGCCCUUAGUGGGCUGGUGGGACAGCCCAAGAGGGCCCUAUGCGCCUAGGAAAGAAAAUCAAAGAGAAAAGAAAAGAAAAAGAGGAGGUGGGAAGGGAAGGAAGAACUCCCACCCACCAAACCAAGUCCAACUCGGUUUGGGGGGGGAACCUUCCCCCUUGGACUCGGCCGAGCCCCUUGGGGCUCCUUGAGCCCCAAGGCAAGGUCCCCUCCCUCCCACCUAUAUAUACGGAGGUUUUGGGGCUGAUUUGAGACGACUUUUCCACGGUAGCCCGACCACAUACCUCCACGGUUUUUCCUCUAGAUCGCGUUUCUGCGGAGAUCGGGCGGAGCCCUGCUGAGACAAGGUCAUCACCAACCUCCGGAGCGCCGUGACGCUGCCGGAGAACUCUUCUACCUCUCUGUCUCUCUUGCUGGAUCAAGAAGGCCGAGAUCAUCGUCGAGCUGUACGUGUGCUGAACGCGGAGGUGUCGUCCGCUCGGUACUAGAUCGUGGGACUGAUCGCGGGAUUGUUCGCGGGGCGGAUCGAGGGACAUGAGGACGUUCCACUACAUCAACCGCGUUCACUAACGGUUCUGCUGUAUGAUCUACAAGGGUACGUAGAUCACUCAUCCCCUCUCGUAGAUGGACAUCACCAUGAUAGGUCUUCGUGCGCGUAGGAAAAUUUUUGUUUCCCCUGCAACGUUCCCCAACACCCUGGUGCCCUGUGCCUUGGUUCUCAAGCUUCGUGCGUAUCUUCUGCUCCGAAAAAAUCUUUUCGCCGGUUUUAUUCCGUUUGGACUCCGUUUAAUAUUCUCCUCUGAAAAGGGUCAAAAACACGGAAAAAACAGGAACUGGCACUUGGCACUGAAUUAAUAAGUUAGUCCCAGAAAAUAAAUAAAAGGCAUACAAAACAUCCAAAGUUUGACAAUAUAAUAGCAUGGAACCAUCAAAAAUUAUAGAUACGUUGGAGACGUAUCACACGACACCUCCGUGUUCAGCACACGUACAGCUCGACGAUGAUCUCGGCCUUCUUGAUCCAGCAAGCACGACGGAGAAGUAGAUGAGUUCUCCGGCAGUGUGACGGCGCUCCGGUGGUGGUGAUGAUCUACUCCUGCAGGGCUCCGCCUGAGCUCCACAGAAAUCCGAUCUAGAGGUGGAACUAUGUGGUUUAGGGUUGAGUUGCACGUGGUAAAAGUUGUCUCAAAUCAGCCCUAAAACACCACUAUAUAUAGGAGGGAGGGGGAGGAGGCUUGCCUGGAGGUCCAAGCCCUCAAGGAUGCGCCGUCCAGGAGGAGAGGAGGAAUCCUACUCCAAUUAGGAUUGGAAAGUGAAGUCCUUCUCUUCCUUCCCACCUCCCCCUUUUUUCCUUUCUCUUUGGUUUUUCUUCUCUUGGCGCCAAGGCCUUCUUGGGAUGUCCCACCAGCCCACUAAGGGCUGGUGCGCCACCCUAAAGCCAUUGGGCUCCCUCCGGGUGGGUUGCGCCCCUCCCGGUGAACUUCCGGAACCCAUUCGUCACUCCUGGUACAAUGCCGGUAAUGCGCGAAAACUUUCUGGUAACCAAAUGAAACCAUCCUAUAUAUCAAUCUUCGUUUCCAGACCAUUCCGGAAACCCACGUGAUAUCCGUGGUGUCAUCCGGGACUCCGAACAACCUUCGGUCACCAACACAUAUAACUCAACUGUACUAAAACAUCAUCGAACCUUAAGUGUGCAGACCCUGCGGGUUCGAGAACUAUGUAGACAUGCCCCGAGGCACACCUCGGUCAAUAUCCAAUAGCGGGACCUGGAUGCCCAUAUUGGAUCCUACAUAUUCUCCGAAGAUCUUAUCGGUUGAACCUCAGUGCCAAGGAUUCACAUAAUCCUGUAUGUCAUUCCCAUUGUCCUUCGGUAUGUUACUUGCCCAAGAUUCGAUCGUCGGUAUCGGCAUAUCUAUUUCAAUCUCGUUAGCGGCAAGUCUCUUUACUCGUUUCGUAAUACAAGAUCCCGUGACUUACACUUAGUCACAUUGCUUGCAAGGCUUGUGUGUGAUGUUGUAUUACCGAGUGGGCCCCGAGAUACCUCUCCGUCACACGGAGUGACAAAUCCCAGUCUUGAUCCAUACUAACUCAAUGGACACCUUCAAAGAUACCCAUAGAGCACCUUUAUAGUCACCCAGUUACGUUGUGACGUUUGAUACACACAUGGUAUUCCUCCGGUGCCAGUGAGUUAUAUGAUCUCAUGGUCAUAGGAACAAAUACCUGACACGCAGAAAACAAUAGAAAUAAAACGACACGAUCAAUAUGCUACGGUCAUAGUUUGGGUCUUGUCCAUCACAUGAUUCUCCUAAUGAUGUGAUCCCAUUAUCAAGUGACAACACUUGUCUAUGGUUAGGAAACCUUGACCAUCUUUGAUCAACGAGCUAGUCAACUAGAGGCUUACUAGGGAGAGUGUUUUGUCUAUGUAUCCACACAUGUAUUUGAGUUUCCAAUCAAUACAAUUAUAGCAUGGAUAAUAAAAGAUUAUCAUGAACAAAGAAAUAUAAUAAUAACUAAUUUAUUAUUGCCUCUAGGGCAUAUUUCCAACAAUAACCAAUUUAUUAUUGCCUCUAGGGCAUAUUUCCAACAAGUCUAACACAACUUUGGGUUCAACAUAAGAGGAAUGAUGGUGCCCUUAGCCUGAUCUACUCUCUCAUGUUUGCUUCUGAUGAUCUCUGCAAGUUUGUCAUCAUCAGCUUCAUCAUCCUCAGAUCCUCAGGGAACAUUGAAGACCACCUUGUGAGGAUUUAGUCUUUUGCCUCAUCUAGUAGUCAUCUUUUUCUUCAUGGUAGCACUCGAAGAGGUGAGUGCAGAACUAGACGCAGAUGUCCCUAAGGGAAUUGUGGAGCCCACUAUUAGCUGACACGUUUCAAGUUGCACUCUCAUUGAGGACUUCAGCAGUUGCUGAGGAAGUUGUAGCCAUAGUUAGAGGUGUUUGUGGAAUUUGUUCUGAGGUAUUUGAACUUGAAGACUUUGUCUUCAUAGCAGUUUUCUUCACCAGAGCUUUCUUUGGAGCUAUUGAAGUGGUAGAUGCUUCAGUAGUGGAUGAGGUGGCAGUAGCAGUUGCAAGGUUGAAUUGCCUCACUACUUCUACAGAAUAUUUUGUAGCUUGGCUUGAUGCUUAGCCCACUCCUUGGGAAAUUCUUCACCACUUAUGAUGUUGGUGGGAUCAGUAACUUGGCCUUCAGCAAGUGGAGGUCUUGGUCCUCGAGGGUUUACAUUGAAUUUCUUUCUUGUAUUUUGGAGUAACAUAUCUAUACUUGCUCCAUUCCUUCAUCCAUCUUCUCUCAAUCUUCUGGAUGUGCGUUUUGCGCUUCUCCUUGGUCUCCUUGCCAUAGAUUUCCUCAUCCGGAGUGCAGUAUUCAUCAUAGUAUCCUCUGGGAUAACAAAAGAAGUGUUGUUCUCUACCUUCUUUCCUCCUUUCUGAGGUCUUUUCCCUUCAGCUAUUUUCUUCACUGGUGGAAUUUGUGCUUUUGAUGAUUCUGAGGAAGUGUGCAAAUUUUAUUCAAGGAACGCCGCAAAUGAGUUAUGUUGAUGAGAACCUAGAGAUUCAUCAGCAGACAUUUUGUACCCGUGAAUAGAGUAUAGGUGCAAAAAAUUUGAAAAGAUCAUAUGGGUUCUCAGAAAUUUUUCAAAGGAAUAUCAAGUUGAGGAAUUUGACCAUAGAUGUCUUGAACAAUUUCGCUAAGUGUUCUUGUUGUAGGUCCGAGAGUUGUGUGAAUUCGAAAAUUUACACAAUUGAGGAAUCUUUGAAGAAAUUCAUGACUUAGUGAAAUAGUUCAAGGGAAAUGAAGUUUCUAUAGAUUUUUACUGGAUUGAUUGUGGAGUAAUAAACACCUUUGGAAGAAAUUUUGAAAUCAUAAAGAUCAAAUAGGGUAGUAAAAUUAGCUUUUAUUUACCCUUGUCGAAGAACACGGCGAACACGGAGUGAGAAAGGGAGAAGCCCGUCAGUUCAGAUCUACUGUGCCCUAACUCGGCGGCAGAAGACAGCUACAGCAGCGGCGGAGUGAAGGUUUCCACGGCCGACGUGAGUAUGACGAUGAAGAGGUUGAGGUAGCUAAGCUUGAUCUCUCUAGGGACGAUGGAGGGCAAUGGCGACGCUAGGUGUGAGGUCAAGUGGGAGGAGAGACGGAGUAACUGAGAGAGUGAAGGGGUUAUUUAUAGCGGAGGUAAAAAUCGUACGGCCCGAAGAUUUUUGGACCAAAUUACUCCUGACCCUUCCUAUCCAUGCGACAUGUGUCACCCACGCACAAAGAGGUGGAGAUCAUGGGGGUCAUGGAUUAUCCAGUCAUCGGAAGUAGGAUCUGUUUGAGCGGAAAUGGUCGAACAGUUUGAUAAGAUAAUUUAAGGUUUCGUUCACAAAUUCUUCAGUUGACAAGGACCCAGUGAAGACUUUGAACGGGUUUCAAGUAGAAUGCAUAUGAAUUAUUUGUGAUUAGACUCGGUUGAGCUUUGCAUAGAGAGGGAAAGGUUCUGAUCACAUUCACUUAGAAGAAAGCCAAUUUGAAGAAUUAGCAAUAAGUGAAUGUUGCUGAGGACUUUGAAAGCUCAAAUAUAUAUAUGAAGAACACAAGUUGAAAAAGUUUGAAGAAUUUGAAUAUAUUGAGGAAUUUGCAAACUCAAUUUGAAGAAUUUGCACAAAUCUCAAUUUUGAAGAAUUUCAACUUUGGUUGGUGCGUGACCCACUGUAUAAGAAUGAAGAUUUCAGAUACCGCGUACAAUUGUCGUAUGGUUAUGAGUAUCAAGUUCUUCAUUAAUUUCUUCACACUUAGAUUGUUAGUAUUCAUUUGUUGAAGAAAAACUUUACUUUGUGUGUUGCAUAUCUAAGUCAUCAAUUUUGCAUAAGUGUUAGGAUGUGUGUCCUCUCAUGGAACAUUUGAAGAUUCUAGGAUAUUUAGCUCACAUCGCAACUUGAAAAUCUCUUUUCAUCUAAGGGCUUGGUGAAGAUAUCAGCCAGUUGUUCUUCAGUCUUCACGUGGCCGAUGAAGAUGUCGCCCUUUAGUACAUUAUCACGAAGAACAUGAUGACGAAUCUGGAUGAGCUUGGUCUUUGAGUGUUGAACUGGGCUGUGAACAAUCUUGUUUGCACUCCCAUUGUCGUAGUAGAGUGGCACAUUCUUCACUUUGAUGUCUUAGUCCUUGAGGGUUUGCUUCAUCCACAACAGUUGAGCACAACAUGAAUCAUCAGCAAUAUACUUAGCUUCAGCAGUGGAAACUGACACGCAGUUCUGUUUCUUCGAGGACUAGCAAACUAAGGAUCGUCCGAGGAAAUGGCAUGUGCGUGAUGUUGAAUUGUGGUCCACGCGAUCACCAGCAUAGUCAGAGUCGGAAUGUCCAAUGAUAUGAAGAUUUGAGCCCUUGGGGGUACCUAAUCCAAGCGUUGGUGUGUGAGCUAGAUACCGAAGAAUAUGCUUCACAGCCUUAUGGUGUGAUUCCUUCGGUGUUUCUGGAAAUGGGCACACAUGCAAACACUAAGCAUAAUAUCUGGCCUAGAUGCACAUGGUACAAUAAGGAGCCAAUUAUGGAGCGACAUACCUUCUGAUGGAAAUCUUUACCAUUUUCGUCAAUGCAGAGGUGGCCGUUUGUGGACAUUGGAAUUAUUACGCCUUUCCAAUCUUGCAUGCUGAAUUUCUUUUGGAUAUCCUUGAGGUAUUUCUCUUGGGAGAUGAAGAUGUCAUUUCAUUGUUGACAAAUUUGAAGACCUAGGAAAAAUUUCAACCCCCCCAUCAUGGACAUUUGAUAUUCCUCACUCAUUAUAAAACCAAAAUUUUCACUACAAUGUUUGUUUGUACAACCAAAGAUGAUAUCAUCUACAUAUAUUUGACACACAAAUUGUUCAUUGUCAUAGGAUUUUGUGAAAAGAGUUGGGUUGAGUGAACUAGUUUGAAGCCUUUCUUCAUGAGGAAUUCCUUCAGAGUAUCAUACCACGCCCGAGGGGCCUGCUUGAGGACAUAGAGAGCCUUCUUGAGUCUAAAGACUUUGUGAGGAUGCUCUGGGUCUUCAAAGCCUGGGGGUUGAGCAACAUAUACUUCUUCCUCAAGCUUAUCAUUCAGGACUGCACUCUUCACAUCCAUUUGAUAUAAGAUGAUAUUUUGAUGGUUAGCAUAAGCAAGCAAUAUAAAAAUAGUUUCAAGUCUAGCAACAGGUGCAAAAGUUUCAUCAAAGUCAAUUCCCUCAACCAGUGUGUACACCUGUGCUACAAGACGAGCCUUAUUCCUCACCACGUGACCAUUUUCGUCUUGCUUGUUGCGGUAGAUCCACUUGGUACCGAUGAUAUUGUGCUUGCGAGGAUCAGGCCACUUGACAAGUUCCCACAUGUUGUUUAGCUUGAAUUAAUUUAAUUCCUCUUGCAUUGCUUGAGUCCACUCAGGCUCCAUAAAGGCUUCAUCAACCUUUGAGAGUUCUGUGAUAGGCACAAAAGAAAAGUGCCCAGAAAAGUUAGUUAAAUGUGAAGCUUUUAAGCGCGUGAGCGGACUUGGUGCAUUGAUGUCGUCGAGGAUUUUGUCAAUCUACACUUCAUUUGCCACCCUAGGAUGAGCAAGUUCACGACUUUGUUGGGUUUCAGGAUUUUCAUCAGCAUCAAUUUCCUCGGGUGCACCAGUAUGGAUUUCUUCAUUGUUCGAGAUGACUUCCACAACACGCAGAGGUUCUUCAGUGGGCAUGAUAUCUUCAGUAGUCUUGAACCUAAUGGAUUCCUCAGGAGGCAUUUCAUCUAACACGGGAGGUAGGUGCUCUCAUUGUGAACCGUUAGUUUCAUCAAACCACACAUCUAAAAUUUCAACAACCUUGUUGUGGUAGUUGUUGAAGACUCUGUAGGUGUGCGAGUCCUUUCCGUAACCAAGCGUAAAACCCUCAUGUGCUUUCGGUGCAAAUUUAGAAUUGUGGUGAAGAUCUCUAAUCCAGCAAAUUGCACCGAAGACUUUGAAAUAACUUACAAUGGGUUUCUUGUCGGUGAGGAGUUCAUAUGGAGUUUUCUUGAGGAAUUUGUGAAGAUAUACCAUGUUGAUGAUAUGCGAGGCCGUAUUGGUUGUCUCAAGCCAGAAACGACGAGGGGUCUCAUAUUCUCCAAGCAUAAUGCAAACCAUCUCAACAAGAGUCAUAUUCUUGCGCUCCACAACGCCAUUCUGCUGAGGAGUAUAUGGGGUAGAUAGCUCAUGAGUAGUACCAAGUUCAUCAACAUAAUCAUCAAGACAAGUGUUUUUGAACUCUGUCCCAUUAUCAGUCGUGAUGUGCUUGAUCUUGACACCAAAAUUCAUCGAUUCCCUAGAGGAAAAUCAUCUAAAGACUUCCUGCACUUCAGUUUUGUAAAAGAUAAUAUGCACCCAAGUGUAACGUGAAUAAUCAUCAACAAUGACAAAGCCAUAUAGAGAUGCAACAUUGGUUAGUGUGGCAUAAUGAGUAGGGCCAAAGAGGUCCAUGUGAAGCAAUUCAAAGGGACGAGUGGUAGGCAUGAUAGUCUUCGAGGGAUGCUUGGAUCUGGUCAUAUUUCCAGACUCACAAGCCCCACACAAAUGGUCCUUGAGAAAUUUGACGCCUUUGAUGCCAAUGACAUGCUUCUUCUUCACAAGAGUGCACAAGUUACUCAUGCCAGCAUGACUAAUCGUCGAUGCCAUAGCGAACCCUCGGAAGCUUUUGCAAGUAGACACGUGGCCGGCUGUUGACCUGUAGAGAAAUCAACAAUAUAUAGAUCUCCUCUCCUAAAGCCUUCGAAGACUUUGGAUUUGUCGGAUUCCAUGAUGACUAUGCAAAAAUAUUUGCCAAAGAUGAAAAUAAUUUCAAGAUCAGAAAGCAUUGAUACUGACAUGAGGUUGAGUCAAAGGGAUUUAACAAGCAUGAAACUUUCCGUGUGUCUAUCCUUAGAGCUUGGAGCUCAUUGGAGAUAUCACCGAAGCGAUAGAAAUUUUGCUGAACAUUUUUGUUGUUGAGUCUUCUGAAGCGAUUGAAGAGAUUGCGAAGGACAUCAACCAGAGAGUCAUGUUGAGUUGUGAUUCCUUCAUUGACCUUGGACAACCUAUCCCAGAUGAGCUUUGCAGGUCACAAAGCACUCACUCUGCCAUACUGACCUUUGCUCAGAUGGCCACGUAUGAUAUUCUUCGCUUGAGAGUCGAGUUGAUUGAAUCUCUUUACAUCAGCAGCGCUGAUAGUUGGGUUGACGGAGGGAACACCAUUUUCCACAACAUACCGGAGAUCGUUGUCAAUUGCUUCAAGAUGCAUGCACAUCUUGUUCUUCAAGUAAGGGUAGUCUGUCCCUUCAAAGGUAGGACAGCCCGCACAUACCUUGAUCAUACAUGCAUUCGACAUAACUAAAACUCUAGGUGGUUAAACCAAAAGCACACAUAACAAGGGAGUACCUUGCGAUGAUACCAAUUAGAAGUGUCACUCGGGAAUUUCACGUUGAGGAAAUUGCAAAGCGACGAAACACUAGCAACGGAAUAAGUACUCAAGUGCAUGCGAAACAUAGAAGCGGCAUAUUCAUUAUGAUGAAAUGAAACAUACAAAGAGCAUAGGUAGCUGAAAAGACCACAAUGACGCCCAGAGGGGGGGUGAAUAGGCUAUUUAAAAACUUCUUUGGAUUUAGCUUAAACCUAAUGCGGAAAUAAACUAAGAGGAUACUUUUCAAGCACAAAUCCUAAAUGCAAUAGGCACCGCAACGUGUAUCAACAACACGAUCUACCAAGAUGGACACAAUACGGUUACUAGCAAGCACAAGUAAGUUACACAAACUUACUUGAACUAUAUCACACGACAAGUAGAUGAACGACCCAAGAUACUAGAUCACACAAUAUAUCAAAAGCUGCAAGUGUGAACGUGUGGAUAUAGAGGGUAUGCUUGAACAAUUAAUCUUGUACAAAGAAAUAGCCAACACAAUAUAAUGAGCACAAACAAUAUGCAAUGUAUGUAUGCUCAAGUAACACAAGUAAACCACAAGUAAGGAGUUAGGGUUAAGGAUAACCAAGGUCACUGAGACAAAGAUGUAUCCCGAUGUUCACUUCCUUGGAGGGAAGCUAGUCACCGUUAGAGUGGUGGAUGUUACCACGAAGGCACACCAACGCCACGAAGGCUCACCCUAUUCUCCCUUUGAGAUAACACCAUGAAGGCGUUUCUCAACCACUAGUGGUAAACCUUUGAGGUGGCUUCCAAACCCUCACAAAAUUUUCCGGGGGGUAAUCACACGGAUUGAUUCCUCUCCGAAGAACUCCUACCUCCUAGGAGUCUCCAACCUCCAAGAGUAACAAGAUCACGGGGAAUGAUCAAAACUUGCUCAAAUCUCAAAUAGCUUGGGUUGAGAGAAGGAGAGGGAGACGAUCUAUCUUUUGAUUGGAACAACUCUCAAAGGGGCUCACAAAUGCUCUUGAGAUCUAAGAUUUGGUGUGAGAAAAUGUGUGUGAGGUAGAAAUGUGUUCUUAUGAGGAUAUGGUUGUGUUGGGCACCCUCUCACGAAGUGGGAGGGCGGUAUUUAUAGUGGAGAGGAGAAAGUGACCGUUGGGGUCACUUAAGUCUGACAGUGGUUGGACGUCCGGCAGUUCUCGGAUGGAAAAAGGCCUACACGAUUGGAAACCCAAUGGGGAACGGUCACAGUCAAAACACAUGAACGAACACAUGAACUAGUGAGAAAGGGGAACCAAUCACGAGGGAGACCGAGAGGAUACCUGCAGAUCGAGAGAGGAGAGGAAUGGAAGAAGGAUCCCACGGAGGAGAAUUGCCAGAUCGCGGGGCAGGGCCCCCCGGUGGCGGCGCGGUCGAGCUCCUCAGGCAGCUGGCGGCGGCUGGAGACGGCUGUGAGAAAGGGGGCGCGUUGGGGCUAGGGCAAGGCCCAACCCGCGCCCCUCUAUUUAUAGAGGCUCCUGAUGUGUCAGACGUCGGACAGACGUCGGACGUCCGGAGAGCAUCAGCCGUCGGACGACCGACAUGUGCCGGACGUCCGGAGUGAGUUUAGCCGUCGGACGUCCGAGACUCGUCGGACAACCGAGAGAGAAGUAGGCAGAGGAAAUUUUUGGGAUCUGGAUGGUGAGGUGAUAAGGAGUAUUCUCGCAUGUGUAGCAACCAAGGGUCUCUCAACAAACAUAUUUUGGACAUGGUAUGAUGUAAAUCUUCUAAUUCAAUUACUAUGAUAAGUGUGGGUUCAAAAUACGAUCAAACGCAUGAGUGCAUAGAAUCAUGCACAAGUUAUCCUAUUAUAAGAGCAAGGUACAUGACACAAGGGCCAUGGCACAAAUUUAUCUCAUUCAUAUGACCAUGAAGUUCUAAGAGAACACCAACACUAAGCAUUUCAUCAGUGUGAUUGACAAGGACAUGCAGGAAAUUACAAAGUGGAAAAAGUAUUAUGUUCAUGCAAUGAUGCAACCUACACAGGGUUGACUCUAAUGUUAUACAUGCAUGAAGUAAAUACUUGUUACCGGAAAAGCAUUGGUAUGGCGUAGAAGUAGCCGAGUCCUGUCUUGACUCUAAUUUCUUCGUGACCAGCACCAUCUUCUUCUGAGAAUAAGUCAAGAUGGCAAUGCUUCUCCAAAGUACCUAAACCACCAAUUAAGCACAAUAUGGUCCCCAAACUUAUUGGGUCCGAAGUAGUUAGUCCAACUACAAUAUAUAUAGGGUAAUAUCACUCAAUUAUGUGCAUAUAGAUAUAAGUUUUACUUUCAAGCACACCUUAACCUUUUUAUUGGAUAUGUUAGAUUUACCAUAUACAUAUAUUGGAUCAAAGAUACGAUAGACACGGCAUGUGCAUCUACACAUAGUAGAUAUGCCUACACAAGCCUAUUAAAAUCCAAGGAUAUGCAAUUUGGACAAAUGAACACAUAAUUGUCAAUUACAGAACAUUCAUGUCGUCCAAAAUGGAUCAGGGUGACAAAUCAACAUAUGGUCCCACCCCAAGUUCAACACAUGAACCGGUCAAGGCAUCAAACCAUGUAAGGUAUGCAUUUUGCACAACCUUACAUGCAUGUCUCACCCUAGUAGAUGUAUAAGUGUAGGUAAUAUGAUUAUAACUCCCACAACAUUAUGAAAUAAAUAGUACGAGCUCAAAGACAUGCAUGGGAGAUUACCGGGAGACACAUGAAUUUCUCGGCAAGUUAUGUAGGUCAAAUGAAGACAAAGCCGAAAUAAAAUGACCAUGAAAAACACUACCAAGCCAGAGAUACCAUGUGUGAGAGAACAUAAUGGUAUUUAGAAUUAUCAGUGGUGGUAGAUGCCAAACGAGCACAAAGAUCGUUUUAUACUCACACAAGUGUGAUAUGGGAGUUCAACCAUAAGCAUAAUGUUUAGAUGUCAUACGUUAACAUCCCAAUUAGUUAGAUCAUAGUGUAGAGAAAUAAUUCAAAAGGCAUGCAUCAACUAUGCCCUUCUUUUAGGUACGAUAUAGAGGCUAAGCCAUUAGUAUUUGUGUAGUAGGACGUCAUACUCACGCACAUCUAACGGAUUUAGAGACCAACAGGGUUAUUAUGCGAAUUAAGACAUGUGGAGCAUGACACGCCACACAGUUAUAGAAUAACCCCAUGUGGUAGAUUUUGAGUGGCAUACAUCGGAUGUUUUAUCUUACCAGGGGAUGUGACGUGCCCAAAGCAUAUCACACUCCCUUAAUGUGAUAAUCCAUGUAUUUAUCAUACAAGGCAAUCAAUCAUCCAACUAAGCUGAUAAGUGGAUGCCAAUUUGAACUUCGGAUGGCUUUGACAUCAAACGAAUUGAUUGGAUAAUCUUGCACCGUGAAUACUAGAUGGAGUCCAAUACAUAUAUACACAUUUUGGGUUAGUGAUGUGCGUAGAGCAGAACACUCCCCCUUAAUGUGAUGAGCUAUUAACGUCUCAAAAGACCCACACAAUGGUGCAACUAGGAUGCAAGUAAUGAUCAGGACUACACACAACUAUAUGACAUACAUAACGACCUACACAUGAUAGAUAACACAUAACAAUCAUACUAGUAGGCGCAACAUGUCAAAGUACAUGCUAGGUACCAAACCUAGACAUGAUAAGGAGUGGGGCAGGCAACUUUCAAUGUAAACAAUUUAAGUACAAGUUACCGCAAAGAGGCACAUUGGAUAUGGGAUAUGGGCUCGAUAAUCCAAAUGACUUGGCUUGAGAUAAUACAAAUGAUGAAGAGUCCUCAAAUCUUCAUUGUGUAUCCAAGUCUCCAAUGUCCUCCAAAGUCACCUAUUGAUCAAUUCUGAGCUUGUUGGUCCCCAACUACGUUGGGUCCUAAGAGGUUAGUCACAAUAGGCUUGGCAACCCAAAUGGUUCUUUUCUUGACACCAUUUUGAGUACCAACAAACUUGGCAAACACAUUGCCAACCUUAUCCUUCCCAAGGGAAUAGCUAUCAUCAAUAGUGAUUGGGUUGGAUAAGUUACCUCUCGUGCAAGAUGAAGCGACGUGACCCUUCUCACGACAUACGUAGCAACAUCUACCCUUUGCUUUCUUCCGAGUUGAUUUAUCACCUCGGGGAGUGUUGGCUUGGGUCUUAUUGGGAAGAGGCCUUCCUUCAACUCGUAGUUGAGUGUAUGAUUGAGUUUGUGGCCGCUUCCCUUGUUGCUUGUGACUUUGAGACUUCGUCUUCAGAGGGCAAGAUCUAACAUGGUUCCCUUUAACUUUGCACUUGAAGCAAAUGAUUUUGGCAGAAUUCUUGACUUGUUCUAGGCCACUCUUGUUCUUGUUUGAGUUUACUCCAACAUCAUUUUUGUCAUUCGGAGAUGUUUGCUUACACAGGACGUUCUUGGGUGUGGACAUCCCUUCAUGACACUGUUCCAAGUCUUUCUUCAAAGAAGUGACUUGGGCCUUGAGCUCUUCGAUUUCCUCUGCACGGUUAGUAUCAACGCAAGUACUAGAGGAAGUGUAAGCUUCAAUGUUAGAGCAAUAAGGCAAGGAAAGUAAUUCAUCACACGAGGUAGCAACAUUAUGAGUAGCCGAAUUACGAGGACUAGCACAUGGAAAUAUAGUACUUUGACUAGAAGUAGUGCCAUUGUCCACAUGAGGCUCACUUGAUGUUACCUUGGUGAUGAUAGCCUCAUGAGCUAACUUUUGCACAUUAUGGGAUGUUAGAAGAUCGGCAUGAGAGCUUGUGAGCAUUACAUGGUUUUCUUCCAACUUCCCAUAAUUGCUAGUUAGUAAAUCAAGUUGAGCACGUAGCUCAACAUUCUCCUUCAAUGUUGAUACUUCAAAUGAGGUAGAGUUAGAUGUACAAGUAUCAUCAACAAUAUGAGAGGAGUAAGUAGCAAUUAGAGACUUCUCAUGAGUAGAUUGAAGCUCCUCAUAGAUCUUAGAGGUUUUGAUGAGCUCUCCCUUGACACUAUUGCAUUCAAGGAGAAGGACCUCAAAAUCCUUUUUAAGUUUAUCAUGAGCAACUCCAAUCUCUUCUUUUGAAGAUCUUAAGUCUCUACAUGCUUGAUGACUCUUCUCAAGUUCAUGUUCAAGUUGUUCACUUUUAGCUUGUUCAUGAUUAGUGAAUCAUUACAAUUUUCAAAGUAAGCAAGAACAUCUUGGAAUCUUUGAAGAGCGUUAUUUUUAGCUUUACGAAGAAUUUAUUGAUCACAUAGAUAUUUUCAGUCAAGUCAUCAUCAUCAUCCUUAUCGGAAAUAUCAUCGUUAUUGCACAGGGUCGAGGAUACCUCAUUAUUACCUCUUGCAAUGAGGCACAUGUGAACUGGAGGAGUUGAUGAUGAUUCUUUUGGUGAAUCAGAUUCUUCAUUAGUCAAAAGUACUUCAUAUUUAUUGAUUUUCCCUAAAUGAUUAGUCAUAGAGCAACUAGGGAGAAACAAGAUAUUUUGAUCAAGAGGACACGGGAAAGCAGGCAUAUCACCACAGACAUUUGUCGAGGGAUCUUUAGGUGAAAUGCAUGACCUAUCAGCACAAUAAUUUACACUAUGUGUGGUGCUAGAUAUGCUCGUGUCCAUAGAGGCUAUGGCAUUUUCAUCAACAUAUAUUUCUUCACUCACCAUGUCAUUACCUUGUGAGAUUGAAUAUGUUGAGGUGUGCAAGCAAUCGGAUAUGGAAGUAGUGGUGGACUCUCUAUGAUCGAAAAGAGUGAAGAGCUCAUGCACCAACUCCUUCAUCAUAAUAUCGUCUUCAUCAAGAUUGGACCCACCAUAUAAAUCUUAAAGUUUAGUCCAAACUUCAUGAGCUUACUUGCAAGUCGAGAUAGACUUAAACACCUCAGGACUUAUGGUUCGAUGAAUGGCAAGAAAAGCCUCACAAUCAAGAUACAUUUCAUUAGUAGAUGAAGAUGCAUCAUCCUUUUUGUCGGCAAUCCCUACAAGAACAAUUCGUAAAGUAUUUGGGCCCAUGGCCCGAAAGUGAUGGAGCAUACGAAUUCUCCAUAGGGUAUAAUUUAUGCCAUCAAAGUCAAAGGUGUCAUUGUGCACUAAUCCAAUAGUCGACAUAGAUACUCUCUAGGUCGUGAAACCUAAUUAAAGAGAGACCUUGCUCUGAUACCAAUUGAAAAGACCACGAUGACGCCUAGAGGGGGUGAAUAGGCUAUUUAAAAACUUCUUCGCAUUUGGCUUAAACCUAAUGCGGAAAUAAACUAAGAGGAUACUUUUCAAGCAAAAAUCCUAAAUGCAAUAGGCACCGCCACGUGUUUCAACAACACGAUCUACCAAGAUGGACACAAUACGGUUACUAACAAGCACAAGUAAGUUACAUAAACUUACUUGAGCUAUAUCACACGACAAGUAGGUGAACGACACAAGAUACUAGAUCACACUAUAGCACACGAUAUAUCAAAAGCUGCAAGUGUGGACGUGUGGAUAUAGAGGGUAUGCUUGAACGAUUAAUCUUGUACAUAGAAAUAGCCACACAAUAUAAUGAGCACAAACAAUAUGCAAUGUAUGUAUGCUCAAGUAACACAAGUAAACCACAAGUAAGGAGUUAGGGUUAAGGAUAACCAAGGUCACUGAGACAAAGAUGUAUCCCGAUGUUCACUUCCUUGGAGGGAAGCUAGUCACCGUUAGAGAGGUGGAUGUUACCACGAAGGCACACCAACGCCAGGAAGGCUCACCCUAUUCUCCCUUUGAGAUAACACCAUGAAGGCAUUUCUCAACCACUAGUGGUAAGCCUUUGAGGUGGCUUCCAAACCCUCACAAACUUUUCCGGGGGGUAAUCACAUGGAUUGAUUCCUCUCCGAAGAACUCCUACCUCCUAGGAGUCUCCAACCUCCAAGAGUAACAAGAUCACGGGGAAUGCUCAAAACUUGCUCAAAUCUCAAAUAGCUUGGGUUGAGAGAAGGAGAGGGAGACGAUCUAUCUUUUGAUUGGAACAACUCUCAAAGGGGCUCACAAGUGCUCUUGGGAUCCAAGAUUUGGUGUGAGCAAAUGUGUGUGAGGUAGAAAUGUGUUCUUAUGAGGAUAUGGCUGUGUUGGGAACCCUCUCACGAAGUGGGAGGGGGGGUAUUUAUAGUGGAGAGGGGAAAGUGACCGUUGGGGUCACUUAAGUCUGACAGUGGUCGGACGUCCGGCAGUUCUCGGAUGUCCGGACGCCCACAAGGGGUCGGACGUCCGACAGGAGUCGGUCGUCCGAGGGAUGUAUAUAUAUCAGGAACCACUGUAUAAACGAAUAGGGACCGGACGACCGAAGAGAAGGUCGGAUGUCCGAGAGUUCAGCUCUGUUCAAGGGCACCAGAUUCCGAAAGUGGUCGGACGUCCGGCCCUCGGACGACAGGGGGAGGCCGGAAGUCCGAGUUAUAUGACUCUGGAUUUCUCUAGUGCAAGGUUCCGGUUUUCCGACGUGGUCGGGCGUCCGGCCCUCGGAUGUCUGGAGGAAGCCGGAUGUCCAAGUUAUUUGACUCUGGAUUUCUCUGGUAUAAGGUUCCGGAUUUCCGAAGUGGUCAGGCGUCCGGCCCUCGGACGUCCGGAGGGAGCCGGAUGUCCGAGGCAUUGGUUCUGUUUUGAGAUAAAAGCAGAGCAGUGGAGAUGUGGUAUGAGCACAAAAGUACAGAUGUAGUUUGAGCAAGUUCAUCGCAAAAACUUUGAUCCCCUCUUAAUAGUGCGGGAUCCCUAAAUACUAAAGAAUCGUAAAAAGGGUACUGAUGAUCCAUACUUGAGUGUAUACUUUUAUUCGCUGAUCAUCACUCCGCACCACUAACGUCAAAGGAACUGACACCUUUGAGUUAGCCCUUUCACUUGAGCUUGAUGUUGUUGUUCCUUCUUGGCUCAAGUUGAAAGCAGGACAUGAUGAAGUCGUCAAGUAGCUCUCCCAUACAUAAUGUGGAAAGCCUAGCUUAUGUAUUCAUCUUCAUUUUUCCACCAUGUGAACAUCCACAAGAAUCAAGCAUGUAGUGCUCAGGAAUGCUUAUCUUGAUCUUGUCCUUGUUAGCACAUGAGCUUGUCCUUAUCAACAUAUGAUCAUUAACAACAACUUAAAGGGGAUUAGUGAUUAGUUAUCUAUAUGUGUGUUGUCAGCAACACCAAAACACAACUAAGGGCAUGGUUGCACUUUCAGUAGCGUGUAAACAGGAUAAGCACGUGAAGAACAAGGUGACUACAGAAUUUGAGAUGAGGAAACUGAGAAAGUCUUCAGUCAAAGUCUUCAAACAACAACGAUCAUUUUCAUCGACAAGUACUUGAGGAAAUGGAUGAUUUGAGGAAAUAGAACCAGGAGCUCGGUGAAGACAUUGAUUUGAUGACCCAGUUCCAACUGUUGAGACACUCGUGCGUCUGGUUUGGAGUGGCUUGGUAUUUAAACCAAAGGACACACAGUCCCAGGACACACAAUCCUUACCGUAUUCUCCUUGAGCUAAGGUCACACAGACCUCGCUAACACUCAUGGUAAGUCUUCACGACAGAUUUCGCUAACACUCGUGGUAAGUCUUCACGAUUUACUAUUGGAUGCUCUAGACCAUUGACGCCUAACCGUGUGGAAGAUGCAUAGUCUUCAAAGGUAUCAAGCGUCGGUUCCACACAGCAACAAUCUCUUCAGUGAUGCUCAAUCACUUUGGAUUUUGGUUUUGGUUUGGGUGUUUGGGCUUUUCCUCGCUGAUGAUUUUCUCUCAAAGUCCUCGGAGGAUGUGAUGCUCUCAAAUGACAAGUGUUAAGUUCUCCCUCACAGCAUCCGACCAGCUAGUGGUUUUAGGGGGGCAACUAUUUAUAGCCACGAAGCAAUCCCGACAUGAUAUGACAUAAAUGCCCCCUAAUGAUAUGGCUGUUAUGUGGGUAUGGUUUUGGGGACAGCUGGCGCAAAGCACAACAACGGUUGGAAUUUUCAUACUAUGAAAAUCCUCAGAUACAUCAUGUUCCUCACUUGUAGGUAAUUCGCACUAGCGAAAUCCUAAUUCCUGAGCCAGAACAAUUUCCUCAAAGACCGGAACAAUUUCGUCUCUAUUACUGAAGAAUUUGGCUGAACUGCAAGAGAUUUCCAAAGGCUUCACUCGAAGGAUUGGUUAUGUGUAGGUUUUGAGAUGAGCAUCACUUGAAUUUUUUUCCCUUGGUAUUACCUUGACCCCCUUUAAAAGUACGGUGUUCCAAUGACUCAAGAGAAAGGAAAUGAAACUACGAAAACAAAAGUCUUCACGCUUAAAAGUCCUCGCAUCAAUAUCUUCAUGGACACACCAAUUUCCUCACUUUCAAAAUCUUCAGGAAAGUAUCAAGUCUUAAGUUGAAGACAUUGAUUUUUAGGGGUCGACUUUCUUCGAAUAUAUCAAACCCAUCAGCGAUUUAUAGAGCGUGUGUACACUCAAAAACAUAUUAGUCCCUUAACCUAUAAGUCUUUAAUACACCAAAACCACUAAGGGGCACUUGAUGCACUUACAUCCUCCAUGCCCACGCACAAAAUUCUCACCCUGAAACUGAAACCCUUGAUUAUAGAUAUGUUCCGGGCGCUCAUCCUCAACGAUCAUGUUAUGCAUGAUAACACAAGCUGUCAUUACCUCCCACAAUUUCUUGGUGCUCCAAGUUCUAGCAGGAUACCUAACAAUGCCCCAUCGAGAUUGAAGAACACCAAAGGCAGGCUCCACAUCCUUCCUAACACUCUCUUGUUCCUGCACAAAUAUCUUCCUUUUCUCUCCUACAGGACACGGGAUUGUCUUCGCAAGAGUAGUCCACUAAGGAUAGAUACCAUCAGCUAGGUAGUAUCCAUAUUCAUACAUGUGGUCGUUGAUCUCAACAUUGACCUUCGGACUGCUGCCUUCCGCAAGUCUUCCACACACCAGAGAUCAUUGAAGCACGUUGAUAUCAUUGUGAGAUCCGGCCAUGCCGAAGAAAGAGUGCCAGAUCGAGAGAUAUUUUGAUGCCACGGCCUCGAGUAUGGCAGUGCAAGCUUUGACAUCGCCCUUGUACUGCCCUGCCAAGCAGAAGGGCAGUUCUUCCACUGCCAGUGUAUAUAAUCUAUGCUACCAAGCAUCGCCGAGAAGCCUCCACUGGCAUUCAUAGCCAAGAGUCGGGCAGUAUCCACAACAUUUGGCUAUCUCAAGUACUCAGGGCCAAACACUGCAAUCACUGUCCUGCAGAACCUAUACAUGGAUUCUAGGCACGUGGACUGGCUCAUACGGACAUACCCAUCAAUGAGAUCACAAGGAACUCUGUACACAAGAAUCCGGAUAGCGUCAAUGGAUUUCUGAUAAGAGGAUGCAUUUCUGAUAAGAGGAGAAGCCAAUCUUUUCAAGGGCAUCCUCAUUGCAUUCGAAAUAAUCAUCGUAUCCGACCACCCCCUCCCGAAUACGGUUAAAAACAUGCCUAGCCAUAUGUAAAUGAUGCCGGAAUUGGUGAUGUUUGAAGAGCGGGUUGGGUGUCUCAAAGAAGUCCUUCCAAAGAAGAAAGUGGUCACUUUCUCAGUUGCGAUUCAACGCAAUAGUGUGCCCCGGGAUCGAUCCUCGGGACAACGGCCACUGCCUACUAAGGUGGUCAUGAACUACCAACAUGGCAGCCACCAUCUCCUCAUCGACGGAUCAGGAAUCAUUGGGGUCACAUAGGAAAUUGUGGAAAAAAACUUGUCGGCGGAGUCCAUUUGUACCUUUGGAGCAAACCGUCGAACAACUUGCGGGCGUCGUCGAAGAAACUGGCUGGCGAAGAGACGCUCGCCUCCUCUGGACGAGGUAAUUGUCCUCCCGGCGUUCGACGAGCCUCGCGGCGUUGUCGAAGGAGCUGGCCGAGGGCGCGGGGUCGAGGUGGUGCUCGCGCCGACGUCGGGGAAGAAGCUCUGGUGGACCGGUGAGGAGAUGGUGGUGGUGGCGAUAUGGGAAGGUGGCGUGCUACGAGGAAGGUAUGUGGGCGCGGACUAGCAGGCCAGGGGAAAAGUAGGCAGGCGUCGCACGCGUCCGCCUCGUAUCUGUGCCGAUGCAAAUGAGGCUCAAAUUUAAACCAGAAAUGAUCGGUACACAGAUGAAAAGCGGAUAUGCGUCCGUUUGGGUCGACGCGUUAGACCGACUUUUGUGUCCGUUUUAACCCAAACGGACACAAGCGGACGAAAUGGGUCUGUGAGUUGGAGUUGCUCUAAAAGGUUAUUGUUUUUCCUUCCAUUUUUUCAUUUCCUGAGCUAAUUUGGAAAUAUACCUGAAACACUUUUAGGCAAAAAAAAAAUGCACAGGUUUUUUUUUUGUGGUGGUGGGUGUCUAAGGCCCUGUUUGGAACCAUAAUAGAUUAUGAUAAUCUGGAUUAUAAAGAUAAAUUAUAUAAUCUGGUUUAUAAAAAUAAUCUAGAUGAACAUGUUUGGAGGCCAGAUUAUAUAAACUGUAAUCCAGGUUUUACAUUGCAUAAUGACCUAUCUACCAUCUGUUUUUUUUAAAGAGGAGGGUAGCGAUGGUAGAAAUGUUAUUAUCUCCAACUUUACAAGGGUAAUGGGUCAUUAGCAAUCCAUAAUCUGAUUUUAGCUGGUAUAGAGUAGAUUAUGAGUUUUUAAUAAUCUAUCCAUCUAGUUUUUAUAAUCUACACUAUAAGUUGUCCUGUUUGGAAACAUAAUAGAUUAUAAAAACUGGAUUAUAUAAUCUAGAUGGUUCCAAACAGGGCCUAAAUUUAGUGGAAGGACUUGGUGCACAUAAAUCUAAAACCUCAAAUUCUAAGGAGUUCAGUUUACAGAAAUUAUAUAAGUUAUUAUGUUUUAGGAAAGUACAAAAAUAUGCUCUGAUCUUCUGAAGUCGACACUGUGGAAGGGAACUUGAGAAAUCCAGAUACAGCGGAAACCCACAUCCGUAUUUCUCCCCUCCUCGAACACCACCAGACCAGUUACUCCUACAACACCGGCUAAAACCCAGAUCGUGAACUCCCUCAGCUGGCAUCGGCAGCUUCCAUGGGACCGGAUGGCACACGAUCACGACUCGAACCAAGAAUUAGCCGGCGGUGCUUCGUGGGUACCACCAGACUGCGGCGUGCCUUUGCGUAAGAUGCUUCAGAAGACGAUCCACCGCAACGCCCACGAAUGCGACUUCACAGUAGCGCGAAUGCGCCCUUCCUUCUCGCACCGUCGCGCUCGCACCGUUCGCCAUGAGCAGUCGCCGUCAGAAUUGCCGGGUCAAGGCUCGGGGCAAGAGGCGAAACGGCGUCGGGUUUCCGUCCCGAGGCUGGCCUACGGUGCGUCGAGGAGACGGCUGAAGCUCUGUGGUCUCGUUCCAUUACCAGAAGAUAUUCAGAGCUGGGCCAAGCAGCGUGCUUUCAACAAACAAGCAAGUUUCAGCUACAACCGCAGGCUGCUUUCAACAUUUCCAGCGGCCACAAUCUGUAUUGCCUAUCAUCAAGUGUACCGAAGCUUUAUAUAUACUACAGAACACACUCAUCACAGCAGGCACGCUAAACAGCUAAUGGCUAUCCGCUAUAGUUGCCGCUACCAGGCUGUUGUAGCAGGGUGGCCCUGGAGCUGGCCCUGGCGAUUGCCGCUUCAGGCAUAGUUCCAUGUCGUCGGCAUCCUUGUGGACUGAAGAGGGGGCACAUUUCGCACGUUCACGUCAAGCGGCAACAUCCGGUACUCGAUGUCGAGGUCCUUCAGUACUCUGAUCAUCUCUUGGAGCACGAGUUCCCUCCUCACAAACCUCAUGCCCAUGUCCUGGAAGUUGAGUGUGUGCCGGAGCCAUAUGGAUACCUUGAGCUUGUUGGUCUCAUCUACAUCUCGGAGGACCACCAUCGCACCCGGGUACCAAUGCUCCUUCUUACCGUCAACGUAACUGGGCCACAAGCAAAAAACAAACCAUAUCAGUUUGAUGUGGUAUAUCAGCAGCAAAUGGCACUACAAACUACAUAUGCGUAUGUUCCCACAUUGACCAUACAUGCCUGCCGACGACUGAAUUCCACAAGUAAUAACAGAGGAAAGUUGCCCACGGUAUGUUUACACCUAUAUUGUCAACAUGGAACUGAGAUAGCAGAAGCACCGAUACGCACCGUAGUAUUCUUUCCUUCAUGAGAGCCAGUUUUUCCACCGGCGUGGCAACAUGAAUAGAGAAGUCAAUUCCUUCUCCCAUAUCAGGACUCCUGUAGAAAUUAAAAAUCGGCUUGGUGGCCAGCACACUGUUCGGAUAAUAGAUCUUCAGGUUAUCAUAACGUAGGAAGACUGUUGUCAUGAUAUUCAUUUCCUCCACAACAACCUGAAAUUUAAGUGCUUAAAACGUCAGUCACGGAAUGCAAGGGAGUAUUAAACAAAUAAGGAGCACCGAGAAGAUAUAUUCAUUACCUGAACUUCUUCAAUCUCACAGCGGUCGCCAACAUCAAAAGGAUGCAUCACGAAUAAGAAAAUAAUUGCCUCAAAAAUUGUCUUCAUAGUAUUCCCGAACACAAAAACUGCCACAAGAAGCUGUGAACUGAUGAAGACAAAGAAAUGUGUCGUCGCUAUGCCCAGAAUAAGAAGCCAGAGAGCAGACACUAUGAGGCCAACAACAAUAUUGCACAUCUGGUUGAGCUUGUUAACUGCAGUUUUUGUAUCAUUAAGUGUUAGGGCAAGAGCUUUGCGCUCUCUAAAUGCAUUCACCUACAGAAGAAAGCAUGUUAGAAAAGGCAUCUUGACGGCAAAAAUCAAUGGUAACUCUAUGCAACUUAGAUAGUAGGGUAAUAAGAUCAUUACCACCCAGUUCUUCAGAGACCUCCUGCUGACCCUACAGUGCUCCUGUGCCCCUUCAAAAAGAUGCAUAGCUUUGAUGGCUUCCUCCUGCCUCAUGAAGCGCAUCAUGUCUGCCAAGUAUAUGUACCUGCAUUAUUCAUACAUUUAUGGUCAACAAUCUGAAUCAGUAAAUUGCCACUAUUCUAAGAACUACAAGAUUUGAAAUAUUGCAGUGAAGGCUGAGGGCAAGUAUUCUUGUAAAGUUGUGUAAUAUGUCCAUUUUUAUGAUUAACAGCGAAUACAGCAGUGUACUAUAAGUCUAACAAUUAGCCUGCUAUUUAUGAAAUUAACAGAACUGUUAUAUUACAGGUGUACCUCAUGAGCCCAAAAUUCCUACAUGAAAGAAGUUGUCUGUCUAAAAUAAUGCAACUUGCAAACUAAAAGAUAAGGAUGCGUAUCUAAGACAACAAAGAAAUGCUUACUUGGAUCCAGGCUUAGCCACAUUAUGAAAGAUCUUCUUGGCGGCCACCUGCGCCUCAUAUUCGCUGCGAAUCUGUGUCGCUGACUCGUCCCCCUCUCCCGUUGCCUGCUGAAUCUGCUCGUCCAUUGUGGUGAGCGUCCCAAAACGAACAAUCUUCAUCAGCCUCUUCAUGUUCCAUGCCGAGACGUUUUUCUGAUUGAGCCUGUGGAGCUUGUCAAUGGUGAUCCCUUCAUCAAUCUCACGCUGUUUCUUCUCCUUUGACAGCUGCCUGCUCGAUUGGUCUCCCUUGGAAAUUAAGCCCGAGAUCCGGAUGCUCUUUUGCCCCGAAAGAUUCUUGGCCGGCAAGGCACCACGUAGCUCUUUCGGGAUGGUUGCGCCUGCCCGUUGCAGCUCACGCACCUCGGCAAGCACGUAGUCUUCGUCAACAAGCGGCGGCCCAGAGAGCGUCUCGAUGACAUACUGGUUGAACAAUGCCUCUUGAAUCCGAUCAAAGUACGUCGAGACAUGGAAGGACGAGGCCAGCACCUUGAGCAGCAGCGUCUUGACGAGGCGGAUGAGCGUGGCGACGAGGAAGCAGAAGAGCACCUUGGUCACGUAGGGCAGCACCGCCGUGUUGGUCUCCCGUUGGACGUUCUCGUCAAACAAGAAGUGCCAAGAGGCCAGAACCAGGCCGAGCCAGAGCGCGUUCUGCACGGCGCCGCGCACGCCGUACACGAAGUAGAGCACGCGCUUCCGCAGCACGAAGUUGCGCUCGACGCAGAACACCACGAUCCGGAUGACCCAGCCGGAGACGAGACGGCCGCAGAUGAGCACGAACACGAGGAGCUCCCACUUCCAGAGGUGCAGCUCCCAGACCUUCUUCCGGGACAAGGGCUUUAUCGUGAGGCUGCACACCAAUGCCCCGAUGAUGAGCACCAGGCCGACCCACUGCAGUAUGGUGAGAGCGUCCAGCUUCCCACGCUUGAAGUCGUCAGGGAUGUCGUCGUCUAUGAAGGGAUCGUCCUCCUCUUCCUCCAUGGGGCCCGACUUGCCGAUGACCCCCGACUUGCGCCCUGAGGGAGACUGGCCGGAUUUGCCGGUCAUACGCCCUGAAGGAAACUGGCCGGACUUGGGAGGCCGGGCAGAAGACUUGCGCUCCUCGUCGACGGCAGGGGGCGCCAUCGGUGACUGCGGCGGCGGGUCCAUGAGCCGGGAGCGCGUCUUGGCUCGCAGUAAUGGGCCCUUCCCCGCUGGAGUGGAAGUGGAGGUGUUGCGUGUUCCGUCAUCGCCGGCGCGCCUACGGCCGCCGGCGGUAUCGGAGUCGGAUGAAGACGAGGAGGACGACUGGCGGUCCUUGAAGGAGACACGCGGCGUCUCCCGUUCUCUGGAGUUGGAUAAGGACGGAUGUGACGACCUCCCGAUGUCGUCCAUCUCCAGGUCGAGGUCGAGCGACAGCUCGGCCCCGGCCGCCUUCUGCUUCCGGAGGAAGUUCCCGAUGAGGCGCGUGGGCGGGUCCUCGGCGGCGGCGUCCACCACCGGCUGCUUCGGCGAGAGCGAAGGGGACGACGCCUGCGACGACGGCGGCGGCUGCGCCGGCCGGUUCUUGAAGCUGAAGUCCUCGACGCGGGGCGCGGGGGCUCCCCCUUUCCCGCCGCCCUCGUUCUUCCAGAAGUCGUAGCUCCCGUCGUCCCACCCCUUGGUCGGCGAGCUGGCGGCGGUCGACAGCGUCCUGCCCGCCGUCGGCUUGGCGCCGGCAUUCCCAGCCGCCCCGCCGACGUCGGCGCCGGGGACGGAGAAGGGCGCGGGGCCGUUGCCGUUGCCGUUGCCGUCGAUCUUGAGCACCACCUCCCGCCGCUCGCCGAGGCCGGGCGCCAUGGCCUGCUCGUCCGACAUGGACAGCGACCUCAGGCUGCUCUUCCGCUGCACCUGGUCCAUCGCCGCCGACCAACACGCACCACAGACACACGCACACGCACACGCACACGAGACGCUCGCUCCUUCCUCCCUUUCACCGCUUCCGCGAUAACUCGGCGAAAAUCAACCGCUCGAGCGUUGCAAAACUAGGGCCCCGGGAUGGUGGUGGUAUUCACGAGGGAGGGCGACGGAGAGGGUUCGGGAACAACGUGGAGCGGCACAAAGCUGACAACACUUGGCGAACCUUUUCGCCGCUCCCUUCCCUCCCUCUGCGUUGUUGGGCCUCGCGCCGGUCCGCGAUACUUGUAGGCAGCGGCGCCAGCGCACGCCGGGAUCCACGUACGUGGCGCGCUGCGGGAUGGGAACUGACUAAACAAACGGAUUUGCUGCCGCUAAUCAGAGAUUUGGGUGCGCAGGGCCUCGACUAUCACAUCCGGGAUUUGCGGCGCGGAAGUGGGAGCGCGUCACCAUUUUUUUGGUAGUGAAUUAACCUGUCGAGCGUCGACCAAGGUGAAAGAGACAAGAUCGAAUACUGUACACAGUGCCACACUACGGUGGUAGUAGAGUACUUUGGUCUAGGUGUGUAUGUAAGUAUUGCGUGACGCGACACGGUACCUGUACGGUACGCCGUACAUAUACACGACUAAUGUGAACCGGAGAGGGUGUUGCCGUCGCUGCGAUCGGUCUCACUCGUGCUAAUCUCGGGUCAUGCCGGCCAUGUUUAAAGGAUCGAUCCCGUGGAAAAAGAUUGGCACCAUCGAUACAAAGCAUUUGUACGUGCAUGCUUAGCAUGUGACCUCUGCUUUCGGCCCCGUCACCGGUCGUAUCUCCCAACCGCGGCACGCCACCGGUAAUCCACCACGUCCGUUUCUCGGUUACCGUCCUAAUCUCGUGAUUUGGAUGGAUGACGAUCAUGGAGAUGGAAUAAGGCACAAUGGGAGCAGCAGGUCGGCUUGGCGUCCGUCGGCCUCGGCGGACCCAGCCAGCCGGCUAACUUCUCUGGUCAGAGGAGGCUUGGAGAGCGCAGCGGAACCAAAACGUAAAUUCUUCACAUGGGUGCCGUUGGCUGCAGCAUAACGAGAUCUUGACGCCAUGGUUUGGCCAUUAGCGGCUGGGCUCCAAGAGGCCAUGGCCCGUGCAGUACUACCAAUUAUGACCCUCCAAUAAUCGGAAGCGCCCCCACUUAUAUUAGGCACCCCUCAAAGAAAACUUAUACGUACUCAAGAGUAUUAGGCAAAAAGUUUGGGGGAUGGAGAGAGAACGUGUAUAAUGUGCAAGCGUUCAGGCUGUUUUCGAAAGAAAGAGAAAAUUGUUUUGCUGUUCGUAGAACGCCCGAGAUUACUGUUUCUAACGCACGCCCGAGAUUUAUGGCCAGCGACGAGCUUUGCUUUGCAGAACCAUGGGAGGAGCUCGAAGUAAUGGCGGUCCCGGUGGGUGUGGAUAAGCUAGAUUUGGAAGGCCGACGGAUAGAUAGGGCUCAUCUGACAGGGUGGUGGGCCCACAUGUAAGGCCGGAGGGCAUUCCCCUCCUCAAGAAAAGGAGAGUCGGAGGGCAAUGAUCUAAGCCGGCGUCACGAGGAGACUAGGUGAUGGCCCUACAUACCAGUCCGAUGGCCUACCAAGUUCGUAUACUGUAAUACUGUAUGGAGGAGCAUUAUUUGUAGAAUUUCAUUGAUUGUCACUGCAUAUUUGGCCAUGCACUGUUUCCUUCAUCACUUAGCCUACUUGGAGGAACCGCUUAUAGUCUUUACACGGCACGAAAUCUAUCAAUUACUGUAGAUGCCAAUCAUUAAACGCGUGGUUGAUGGGCAACAGUACUACUAGUAAUGUACAGCCAAACUUUGUUUUAUCCGGCAGGGAAGGAACAAAAAACGGAAGUCGGAGAAAAUCAGGGGUACGGUGAUUCAUUAGCUAGGUAGCAUCUGAGCCAGGCUAGAGGAAGUACCACAUGUAUACCAGACCAUAGAGCGGACCUCCGGGGGCUGUUUGUUUGAGUCUAGGCGUAGGCUGGGGCUUUUUAGAGCAAGCAACCCAUGAGUUGAUACCCUACUUUUUAGAGUGCCCCGUCCGGCGCGCCGUGGAGCUGACACGAGAACGAACUGUGUUCCAAACCCUUUGUAUAUCCUAGGUUAGCUGUUGUUUGUAUCAUCAUCUAUUCAUCAUCGUGAACAAAAGAUUGGAGGAUUCGUGGACUCGUGGUGCAUGGAGGACAGAUCAUUCACCUUUUCCCCUUAGUCUAACAUCAUGUCAUUCAUGUGUGUCCUCCCUUUAUACCGAGCCGUUUGACUAGUGACACCAAAAGAGAGCGCAUCCCUUACAUGACCACGCCGCGCAUCUACUCCAAGAUAAGGUCAGAGAUCACCCGCUCUACUCCUCCUCCUCUAGCUGGUGGCCAGGACCAAAGCGGAUCGCCCGUUGAUGCGCCGGUAAAAAAGGAAAAGAAUGCUCCACUUUCACCCGCUCCUACCGGGAAAAGAGAGCAACGUGUACGAACGGAACCUCACGAGAGAACUCGGGUGCGCCGGCCAGGCGCUGAGCUGCGUGCACCUGUGCCGCGCCGCGUCAAGCCCGGAUCCCUGUAGCAUCCGCACGCGGCGGGGCCGCGCUGGCGGAACCACCGUAGCUUUCUUUCUCGGGGAAUGGUACGGCACGCCAGGUAGCCAGGCAGGCACGCAGUACGUUACGUUUUUGGGCUGCGCAUGUCGAGACACAGGUGUGCGUGCGUGUGGGCAUCUGUACGCGCGACGGAGCACCGGACGACGGGGACAUGGUCUACGAGAUGGCUACGGCUGUGCUGGCCUGUACCGGCGGCGUUGUCGCGCUCGCGUCCCGUUUCAUACCGGCCGAGCUGGGCAGGCACGAGCAGCCUGGAUCGGGUGGCUGGAGAGUACCCCGACCACGCCUCCGGCACCGGCUCUGGCGAUAUGAUGGUUUUUGCCGGAGGGGCGGACAGGUGUGUGGGCCGGAUUGGGCAGGCGAUUCGUCGCGUGCUUGAGCGGGGAUAGUCGGGGAAGGGUUUUGUAGUUUUGCGUUUCCGGGUGAUGGAGAUGUGCCCAUGCACGACGAGACUGCUGUUUUCAGGGAGAGGCUUUCCUUCGUCUCGUCUCUCGUGGGGUCUCGGCGUCGUCCUCUCCAUGUCGACCACUGGGGACAGACAGACAGACAGACAAUCGGAUGGCACGCGGGCCAAUUCUUUUUCUGUUUAACGUACUACUGCUACUCCAUAAUGAUCGGGUAGCUCGCGGGAAUUCCUUGUUUUUUCUUCAGGGAAAAAUCGCUGUUUAUUUGUGAUGUUCAACGGGAGGAGGACGCGAAUUUGGAGGUGGUUGUGGCCUCUGACCAGAUCGAGGGAAGAGGACGAUCGUCCACAGGUUUUCUACUGCCGGGGCGGAGCAUCUAUGGACAGUGCUCGGUAGAGAACUCGGUGUUAGCUUCUCAGGCUGCAGUCGUGAUAAAUAUCAGGCUUUCAAGUACUGUGUGUACAGGUGUGUGGGCGUACUGCACUGGUGCCGGACUGUGGCGGCGUGGACGUGGCUAGGGAUGAAAACGGAGUGAAAACGGACGGAACUGGAUGCUAUCAGAUCUGUUUUCAUAUUUUUUUCAGAAGCAAAAACGAAUACGAAAACCCCGGAAAUGAAUAUGCAAACAGAUACUACCGGAAACAGACACAGAGCGAAUACGGAACGGACACGGAAACAUGAGUGGGCAUUUUUUGAAAAUUUAAAACCCCUUGAAUCAUGUAGAAAUAAACAUAAAACCAAAAAUAUAAUGAAAUAUUACCAUGGCUAAAAAUAAUAUGAUUGUGUUGGCACCUUAGCAUAGUAUAAUAGUAGUAGCAGUCAACAAUUGUGUAUAGGGUCUAGUUGAGUAUGUAUGUGGUAAUUGGGCAUCAAAUGAUCCAUUAUGACUAUUUUGUCAUUGUGUGUUGUUUGAUAGUUGGGCUACAAAGCAACCAUAGGCCUAUACAAAAAAUGAAAAUAUCAUAUUCACGAAAACGGAAAGUUUCAUUUCAACAUCUGUUCCACCGAAAGAACUGUUCCGUUUUUGUUUCCGCUUCCGUAUAAAAUAUUCCAUUUCCAUUUUUAUUUUACAAAUUUUCAUUUCCGUUUCAUAUUUCCUUUUCAUUUUUAUUUUUUCUACGAAAAAGCAGAAAGUUUUCACUCCGUUUUCAUCCUUAGGCGUGGCUCCUCCUACCUUCACCAAUAUGGAUUUCUGAGAGCAAAAACAGGAAAUUUUGGAAAGCAAAAAGACUUGCGAAUAUUGCGUCACGGUAAUUCACGCCUGCUGCAUCACUACGUUGUGGUAUCACUUCCUCUUCAUUACGGUGUGUUUACCUCCCUCCAAAAGGCUUUGCUGGAGGGAUUCUUGUGGAAAUAGAUAAUUGUGACUUUGGUAUUAUCUUUUCUUUGUCAAAACGGAAGAAGCUAGCCCUACGGCGAAUCCAGUAGCUCGAAAAGUGAAGGGCACAUAGUUUUGGACUGCACUAACGUCCAAACGUUAUGCUUAUAAGCGAUAGAUCCGAACGAGUAUUCUCUUCCGAUCCAACUCCUCCCGCUUCGUUCCCCUCCUGCUUAUUUUUUCUUCGAUCCAACUCCUCCCGCUUCGUACCCUUGCCGCUUUUUUUUCCUAGGGUGAUGGAAAAGUUGUAAGAAGUGGGAUUCGAAGAAACCAACCAGCAUUGCAUGCCUAUGCCUCAUGCAUGCAUGCAAGUAAGACAAAAAUUGCUGACAUCAUAAAAAAUUUCAUGGUGUUUCAACUAUCUUUUUUUGCCUGGGUCGGAAAUUGACCAUGAUGUUUAUAAGUAAAUUAUCAUGUCUACAGUAUCGCCUACCAUCGGUGAUGUGCCUUGGCCGUAGGGUGAGGUCCACAUGCCGACAUGGCAUGACUCACUUUAUAAACAGAACUUUGCGGGUCGUGGUAGUCCACGGUUGUUUAGGUGUGUGUUGGGUUGUGCCGUACCCGGGUCGGCCUGUUGGCCACCUAUAAUCAGGUCUGUUGAUGGGGAUAUGUACCUAGGAUAGGGGUCAUAGGCCUGACCUAAAUGUUCUAUCCAAGGGCACCUCAUUAUUAGGUCAAGGGUCAGUCAGAAGACACCGACUGGAUGAAGAUGGUACUUAAAAGUCACCCUGUACGAAGGCACUCGGAUUAAAUUUACAUCCACUCGACAACCCAAAUGCACUCGGAAGGAUUCCAGUCGGUAUUGAAGAUCAGAAGUCACCCACGACGGCCACCGGACACACGUUCAACCAAUGAUCUUUAGUAGCAUUUAUUACCCACUAACGUUAUCAGUGACAUAUAUCUUUAACUCAUCUUGAUCGAGCCCUUAGAUGCUGAGGUAUUGAUAAGAGGUGGCGCACUCUAUAUAAGCCACCCCUCUCCUCUGGCACAAGGGUUCGCACCCCGUGUAUUACACAAAACUAGCCCGCAAAAGCUCCCGAGCACCUGAGACGUAGGGUUGUUACCUCUAAGAGAGGGGCCCGAACUCAUACAUCUUGCGUACAAUCUUGCCAUAGCUAAGACUCUGCCCUCUCCAUUCGUACCCUAGACCUCUACUGUCAGGUUUAAUCCCACGACAGUUGGCGCCCACCGUGGAGCAGACGUCUAAGCGACUUCCGGCAAGUUUGCAUUUUUUUUCACUCUUCAUCAUGUCUUCCGGCAGCAGUUCGUUCAUGGGCAAUGAGAUCCAUUUCGGCGCCCUCAUCUUUGUCGCCGACGACUCAGCGUGGCUCCCAGAAGUGCCACUGGACGUCAAGACGCUCCCAGUUCGUGGUGGGACGCACUUCUGUGCAAAAUCCUUCGGCGUUCUCCUUCUGCAGUCGUCGAGUGCGUUGUCAGCUCUUCACUCCGCUGUUCGUCACCGCAAGCGAUCCGAUCGCUCUCGACUCCAGCGGUGGGUGAAGCACGUGGUGGCUCGUCAUGCGUUGUUUCCGUCGACCCCUCAGGUUGCAGCCAUCGAACCUGUUGUACCUCUUCAGGACCCGAUCCACUCGGCGUUAGUCCAGUCUGACGUUCCUUCCGAGUGCGAGAGCUGCAACCCAGCAGCAGAGGUCUUCAUAGAGGGGUCCACAGAGAGCCCACCCGGGUUCGGUCGUGGCGAGCACGAGGCCGGUGAACCGUCGUCUGGACGCGGUCGUCGUCGUCAUCAAACUUCCAGUCGGCAUCAACAGAACUCUUCUCAGGCGACCAUCGCACCAAUACUGAGGUAUAUCAUACUCCGGUACUUAAUGUCGCAGCCGCAGCCAAAAUAGCAGAUUCAAUUCAGCCUUCAGAUUCAGAGGCAGGCAGAAGUUUAGAGCAGAUUCGAGCUUUGCUUCAAGCAGCACAUCAACAGAAUUCAGCUGUAUCACAGUCGAUCAAUAGAUUGCACAGAAAUUCGCCAAGGGCGGAGACAGUCCGGUCAGUAUACAGUCCAGGUUCACCUAGCGUCACAGAGGCGGAGGUUACCGAGAGUAUCAGCACAGAGACCUGGGUUGGAACCAACUUCCCCCUCGUCAUCACCGUGAUGACCACCGUCGAGUGCAUUCUCCUCCGAGGAGCGGCUCGUAUGUGCCCCGGCACUAUGAUGACCGGCGCCCGUUCGGUGAUGAGCGGAACCCCGGAUUUGAUGCAAGAUAUGUACUUGCACAGAGAAGGAUUGAUAGAGGAAGAGCCUACCGGGAAGGUCUCUACAGAGAUCAACCGAGUGGAAGUGGAACCACAGUUUCUGAUCCCGAGUGUUUCAGUAGAGCAAUCCGCUCUGCUGAUAUCCCUCCUAAUUUUAGGUUGGCGACUGGAGUGAGUAAGUUCACAUGCGAGUCUAAGCCCGAGACUUGGUUAGAUGAUUACCGAGUUGCAAUACAGAUUGGCGGCUGCUAUCCCACAGACAACAGCGCCAGAAAUUAACACGUUGACGGAGGCUGGGCUUGCGUUGGUUUUUCCCUUGAAGAGGAAAGGGUGAUGCAGCACAGGAGCAGUAAGUAUUUCUCUCACUUUGAGAACCAAGGUAUCGAUCCAGAAGGAGGAUCUCAUCAAGUCCAGAGUACCUGCGCAAACACAAACAAGCUUGCACCCAACACUUCAAAGGGGUUGUCAAUCCCUUCAAGAUUGUUUGCAAAGUGAGAUCUGAAGGCGGAAAGUGGAACGAAGUAAAAAGUGUAAGGCUGAAAAUAUGGUGUGGAGUAGACCCUGGGGGCCAUAAUGUUCACUAGAGGCUUCUCUCAAAAUAGCAAGUAUUACGGUGGGUGAACAAAUUACCGUCGAGCAAUUGAUAGAACCGCGCAAAGUCAUGGCGAUAUCUAAGGCAAUGNNNNNNNNNNNNNNNNNNNNNNNNNNNNNNNNNNNNNNNNNNNNNNNNNNNNNNNNNNNNNNNNNNNNNNNNNNNNNNNNNNNNNNNNNNNNNNNNNNNNNNNNNNNNNNNNNNNNNNNNNNNNNNNNNNNNNNNNNNNNNNNNNNNNNNNNNNNNNNNNNNNNNNNNNNNNNNNNNNNNNNNNNNNNNNNNNNNNNNNNNNNNNNNNNNNNNNNNNNNNNNNNNNNNNNNNNNNNNNNNNNNNNNNNNNNNNNNNNNNNNNNAACGCUUUAAGCAAGAUGACAUGAUGUAGAGGGAUAAUCUCAAACCAAUGAUAAACCCCAUCUUUUUACCCUUGAUGGCAACAACACGAUGCGUGCUUCGCUACCCCUUCUGCCACUGGGUGAGGUCACCGCACGGUAUGAACCCAAAACCAAACACUUAUCCCAUUGCAAGAAUCAUAGAUCUAGUUGGCCAGACAAAACCCACAACUCGAAGAGAAUUACAAGGAUAUGAAAUCAUGCAUAAGAGAGAUGAGAAGAAACUCAAAUAAGAUUCAUAGAUAAUCUGAUCAUAAAUCCACAAUUCAUCGGAUCUCGACAAACACACCGCAAAAGAAGAUUACAUCGGAUAGAUAUCCGUGAAGAUCAUGGAGAACUUUGUAUUGAAGAUCCAAGAGAGAGAAGAAGCCAUCUAGUUACUAGCUAUGGACCCGUAGGUCUAUGGUGAACUACUCACGCAUCAUCGGAGAGGUCAUGGUGUUGAUGAAGAAGCCCUCCGUAUCUGAAUCUCCCCUCCGACAUGGCACCAGAACGUACCCCAGAUGGGAUCUUGCGGAGACAGAAGCUUGCGGCGGCGGAAAAGUACUUUCGAUGAUCUCCUUGUUUUUUCUGGAAUUUCUGGAAUUAUAUAGGAGAAAGACCUAGGGCAAAGGGCGUCUAGGGGGGCCCACAAGCCUGGAUGGCGCGGCCUCCCCCCUGGCCGCGGGAUGGGGGCUUGUGGGGCCCCUCAGGCUCCCCUACCUUGGCUCCCAAGCUUCCCGAUCUUCUUCCAUUCCAAAAAAAAUCUUUUCGAGGAUUUUCUUCCGUUUGGACUCCAUUUCAAAAUCUCCUCUGAAAUGGGUCAAAAACGUGGAAAAAACAGGAACUGGCACUUGGCACUGAGUUAAUAAGUUAGUCCCAAAAAAUAUAUAAAAGGCAUACAAAACAUCCAAAGUUUGACAAGAUAGUGGCAUGAAACCAUCAAAAAUUAUAGAUACGUUGGAGACGUAUCAAGCAUCCCCAAGCUUAACUCCUGCUUGUCCUCGAGUAGGGAAUGAAUUUUUGAUGUGGAAUUCUACCUAGCAUAGUUGUCCUUUGCAACUUCUUUCACGUGGCAUGAAUGUUCAGAUCCGUAAGAUUCGAAACAAUAGUUUGCUAUUGACAUGAAAACAAUAAUACUUCAAGCAAACUAGCAUGGUAUUCAUGAACUUUCAAAAUAACAAGGCCAAUGAAAGUUAUCCCUACAAAAUCAUAUAGUCUGGCUAUGCUCCAUCAUCCUCACACAACUAAUGUAAAUCAUGCACAACCCCGGUAUUGGCCAAGUAAUUGUUUUCGCACUCUUACUUUCUCAAACUUUUUAUGACUAUCACACAAUACAUGAGCACGAGCCAUGGAUAUAUCACUAUAGGUGGAAUAGAGUGUGGUGGUGGUUGUGAGACAAAAAAGGGAGGAGAUGGUCACAUUGACUAGGCGUAUCAAAAAGGCUAUGGAGAUGCCCAUUAAUAGAUAUCAAUGUGAAUGAGUAGGGAUUGCCAUACAAGAGAUGCACUAGAGCUAUAAGUAUGUGAAAGCUCAAGAGUAGAACUAGUGGGUGUGCAUCCAACUUGCUUUGUCACGAAGACCUAGGGCAAUUUUGAGGAAUCCCAUCAUUGGAAUAUACAAGCCAAGUUAUAUAACGAAGAUUCCCACUAGCAUAUGGUAGUGACAAAGCAAGAAGCUCUCAAUCAUGAAGAACAUGGUGCUAUCAUGAAGCACAAGUGUGGAAAAAGAUAGUAGCAUUGUCCCUUCUCUCUUUUUCUCUCUUUAUUUAUUUGGGCUCUUAGGCCUCUUUUUUUUCUUUUGUUUUCUCCCCUUUUUUUUUUUUUGUUUUUGGGCUCUUUGGCCUCUUUUUUAUUUCCUCACAUGGGACAAUGCUCUAAUAAUGAUGAUCAUCACACUUUCAUUUACUCACAGCUCAAAAUGAUGAUGACUCUAUUGGAAAUGCCUCCGGUAGUGUACCUGGAUGUGCAACGAUCUAGCAUGGCGUAUGACGUUGAAACAUCUCGCUAGCUAUCUUACAAUCAUGCAAUGGCAAUAUGAGAGUGACGGCACAAGUCAUGAGACGGAACGGUGGGAGUUGCAUGGCAAUAUAUCUCGGAAUGGCUAUGAAAAUGUCAUAGUAGGUAGGUAUGGUGGCUGUUUUCAGGAAGGAAUUUGGUGGAUUUGUGCACCGGCGAGAAUUGCGCGGCACUAGAGAGGCUAGCAAUGGUGAAAGGUGAAAGUGCAUCUAUACCAUGGACUCACAUUAGUCAUGAAGAACUCACAUACUUGUUGCGGAAGUUUUUAUUAGUAAUCGAAACAAAGUGCUAAACGCAUACUCCGAGGGGAAGGGUUGGUAGGUGUUAACCAUCGCGCGAUCCCUACCUCAACACAAAGGAUGACAAUCAAUAAAUCAAUUAUGCUCCGACUUCCUAACAUAGCGGUUCACCAUACGUGCAUGCUACGGGAAUCACUAACUUCAACACAAGUAUUUCUAGAUUCACAACACCCUACUAACAUAACUCUUAAUAUUACCGAAUCCACGUCUCAAAACUAAUUGAGAGGAACCAAAACUUCUCUUUGUAUUCAAUGCACAUGAAGAUGGAGGUUUUUGUAUCCUCUUUGGGUACCUAUCACAUUUGGGACUACUUUCAUAGCAUAAGACAACUACCAAAUCACGCAUCUCCGUGCUCUAAAGAUAUAAGUGAAGCACAAGAGCAAAAGUAUCUAACUCAAAAGAUAUAAGUGAAGCACUAUGAGCAUUCUAGCAAAAUCACGAUGAUUGCAUGUCUCUCUCUCUAAAAAAGGUGUGAAUCAAGGAUGAUUGUGACACAACAAAAAUAAAAGACUCCUACGAUACAAGACGCUCCAAGCAAAACACAUAUCAUGUGGUGAUAAAAAUAUAGCUCCAAGUAAUGUUACCGAUGGAUUGAAGACGAAAGAGGGGAUGCUUUCCCGGGGCAUCCCCAAGCUUAGGCUUUUUGGUGUCCUUGAAUUUGGAUUGGGAUGACUUGGGCAUCCCCAAACUUGAGCUCUUUCCACUCCUUAUCUCAUCGUCCACGAGAACAUCACCCAAAACUUGAAAACUUCACAACACAAAACUUAAACAGAAACUCGUGAUAACAUUAGCACAAGAAAACAAACUACCACUUCUUUUGGUACUGUAGAAAACUUUAAUUCUACCUAUAUUGAUGUUGGGCUACUGUAUUCUCACUUUUCCAUGGCUAGUACCCCCGAUACUAACCAUAGUUUCAUCAAAACAAGCAAACAACUCAACAAAAACAGAAUCUGUCAAAAACAGACCAGUUUGUAGAAAUCUGUAUACUUCGUAUACUUUUGAUACCUAAAAAAAUCUGAAAAAUUACGACGGCCUGGGGAAAAAGCAUAUAAAUCAGCAGCAAAAAGAAUCUACUCAAAAUCUCUUUCUUAAUAAAAAUGAAAAAUCAUCUCGUGAGCGAAAAGUUUCUGUCUUUUUCCAGCAAGAUCAAACAACCAUUACCAAGACUAGUCAUAAAGGCUUUGCUUGGCUCAAACACAAAAAGAAACACAAAAAACACAAUCACAACAGAAUUAUGAAAGUGUGGACGCAACAAAACAUAAAUGAAAAUAUAAAUUCAUUGGGUUGGCUCCCAACAAGCGCUAUUGUUUAACGCCCUUAGCUAGGCAUUGAUAAUUCAAUGAUGCUCACACAAAAGACAAGAAUUGAAGCACAACAAGAGCAUCAUAAAGCAUGUGAAAAUCACAUCUAAGUCUAACAUACUUCCUAUGCAUAGGCAUUUUAUAGGAAAACAUAUUGUCAAGACAACCAAUAGUUGCCAUAUGCAAGGAAGAAGAAAGAGACAAUAGCAAUCUCCACAUAACGAGAGGUAAUUUGGUAACAUGAAUGUUUCUACCACAAUAUUUUCCUCUCUCAUAGCAAUUGCAUGUGGGAUCAUAAUCAAAUUCAACAAUAUAGCUAUCCCAUAGGAUAUUCUUUUCACGAUCCACAUGCAUGAAAAGUUGACGCUCUUAAAAAAUAGUGGGAUUAUCGUCAACUAAAGUCAUGACGUCUCCAAACCCACUUUCAAUAUUAUUGCAAAUAUCAUUGCAACAAGUAGUGGACAUAGAAAAACUAGCACCCCCAAGCUUAGGGUUUUGCAUAUUUUUAGCAUGAUUGUCAUUAAUAGAAUUUAUAAUGAAAUCAUUGCAAUCAUGCUUUUCAUUCAAGGAGCCGUCGUGAAUCAUUUCAGAAAUUUCCUCAUCACGAUUUUCAGAUUCACGCAUCUCAAGCAAAACUCCAUAGAGAAAGUCAAGUGCACUCAACUCACUAGCAAUUGGUUCCACAUAAGUGGAUCUCUUAAAGAGAUUAGUAAGUGGGUGAGGAUCCAUAUCACUAGAUUUUCAGCAAGCGAAGAUGCAAGCAUAUUGAAGGCACAUAGCACACAAGUGAACAAAGAGCAAGCGAGAGAAAAGGGCGAACGAAAAGUCAAACGAAAAAGGCAAAUUGGUGAAGUGGGGGAGAGGAAAACGAGAGGCAACUGGAAAACAAAGUAAAUGCAAGAGAUGAGUUUGAGACACCUACUUGGAUGAGUUCUUGACUUGAUCUUCCUCCCUGGCAACGACGCCAUAAAUUCUUCUGCUAUCCCACAGACAAUAGCGCCAAAAAUUGACACGUUGACAGAGGGUAGGCUUGCGUUGGUUUUCCCUUGAAAAUGAAAGGGUGAUGCAGCACAGGAGCAGUAAGUAUUUCCCUUAGUUUGAGAACCAAGGUAUCGAUCCAGAAGGAGGGUCUCAACAAGUCCAGAGUACCUGCGCAAACACAAACAAGCUUGCAGCCAAUGCUUCAAAGGGGUUGUCAAUCCCUUCAAGAUUGUUUUCAAAGUGUGAUCUAAAGGCGGAAAGUGCAACGAAGUAAAAAGUGUAAGGCUGAAAAUAUGGUGUGGAGUAGACCCUGGGGGCCAUAGUGUUCACUAGAGGCUUCUCUCAAAAUAGCAAGUAUUACGGUGGGUGAACAAAUUACUGUCGAGCAAUNNNNNNNNNNNNNNNNNNNNNNNNNNNNNNNNNNNNNNNNNNNNNNNNNNNNNNNNNNNNNNNNNNNNNNNNNNNNNNNNNNNNNNNNNNNNNNNNNNNNNNNNNNNNNNNNNNNNNNNNNNNNNNNNNNNNNNNNNNNNNNNNNNNNNNNNNNNNNNNNNNNNNNNNNNNNNNNNNNNNNACAUAUAGGCAUCACGUACGAGACAAGUAGACCGAUACUUUCUGCAUCUACUACUAUUACUCCACACAUCGACCGCUAUCCAGCAUGAAUCUAGUGUAUUGAGUUCAUGGCGAACAGAGUAACGCUUUAAGCAAGAUUACGUGAUGUAGAGGGAUAAUCUCAAACAAAUGAUAAAACCCCAUCUUUUUACCCUUGAUGGCAACAACACGAUGCGUGCCUCGCUACCCCUUCUGUCACUGGGUGAGGUCACCGCACGGUAUGAACCCAAAACCAAGCACUUCUCCCAUUGCAAGAAUCAUAGAUCUUGUUGGCCAGACAAAACCCACAACUCGAAGAGAAUUAGAAGGAUAUGAAAUCAUGCAUAAGAGAGAUGAGAAGAAACUCAAAUAAGAUUCAUAGAUAAUCUGAUCAUAAAUCCACAAUUCAUCGGAUCUCGACAAACACACCGCAAAAGAAGAUUACAUCGGAUAGAUAUCCGUGAAGAUCAUGGAGAACUUUGUAUUGAAGAUCCAAGAGAGAGAAGAAGCCAUCUAGUUACUAGCUAUAGACCCGUAGGUCUAUGGUGAACUACUCACGCAUCAUCGGAGAGGUCAUUGUGUUGAUAAAGAAGCCCUCCGUAUUCGAAUCUCCGCUCCCUCAGGGCUCCAGAACGUGCCCCAGAUGGUAUCUUGCGGAGACAGAAGCUUGCGGCGGCGGAAAAGUACUUCCGAUGAUCUCCUGAUUUUUUUUGGAAUUUAUGGGAAUAUAUAGGCGAAAGACCUAGGGAAAAGGGCGUCCAGGGGGCCCACAAGCCUGGAUGGCGCGACCUCCCCCUGGCCACGGGGUGGGGGAUUGUGGGGCCCCUGAGGCUCCCCUGCCUUGGCUCCCAAGCUUCCCGAUCUUCGUCUGUUCCAAAAAAAAUCUUUUCGGGGAUUUUCUUCCGUUUGGACUCCGAUUCAAAAUCUCCUUUGAAAGGGGUCAAAAAUAUGGAAAAAACAGGAACUCGCACUUGGCACUGAGUUAAUAAGUUAGUCCCAAAAAAUAUAUAAAAGGCAUACAAAACAUCCAAAGUUUGACAAUAUAAUAGCAUGAAACCAUCAAGAAUUAUAGAUACGUUGGAGACGUAUCAGCGGCGGCAACAACAAUGUUGCAAUGAAGCACUUGCCCCUGAUGCUGGACGGCUCAACCCGUGCAUGGUUGAAUCAAUUGGCUCCUUCAAGUAUAUACUGUUGGGCAGAUCUGGCCCGAGUGUUCAUCAAGACCUUUGAGGGCACGCACAAGCGUCCUGCUGGCCUUUCCGAGCUACAACACCGCGUACAGAAGCCGAGUGAGUCCUUGCGCGAUUACAUUCAGCGUUGGACCACCCUUCACCACACGGUGGAGAAUGUUACCGAGCACCAAGCAGUCUGCGCCUGCAAGGCAGGUGUCAGGUAUCGAGAGCUGUAUCUGAAGUUUGGUCGCUCAGGCGACAUGUCAAUGAGUAAAAUGAUGGAGAUAGCCACCCGUUAUGCAAACGGGGAAGAAGAAGACCGCCUCCAUAGCGGCAAGGGUAAAGCAGUCGACAACAUUGAUGCUAAUUCCAAUUGGAAAGAGAAGAAGAAGUUUUAAAAUGCAACGCGAGCAGAAGCGGCCGCUCUGGCGGCAGGAAAGUUUAAGGGAAAGGCCAAGGCACCAUUCCCUCCGAAGAAAUCCAAGAUGCAGUCAGAUGUGUUGGACCAGCCGUAUGUUUUUCACACGAAGAAAGAUGAUGAAGGCAACCUAAUAUUGCCAAAGCAUACCACUCGAUAGUGUCGGUUGUUGGUCCAAGAUUUCAAGGGUCAGUCGAGUGCAAAAGAGCCUGAAGAAGAAGAUAAUGAAGACAGGGAGGGCUUCCCCAAGGUCAAUGCAACUCUGAUGAUUUUUGCUGAUGUAGAGAGAAAAAGUCGAUUGAAAGUCAUUAACAGGGAGGUCAACAUGGCAGGACCAACCACCCCAACGUACCUGAAGUGGUCGCAAACUCCCAUCACGUUUGAUCAGUCAGAGCAUCCAGUUGUUGUUCCGACUCCAGGUCGCCAGGAUCUGGUAGUCGACCCAGUUGUCGAAGGUGUUUGGCUCCACAAAUUGUUGAUGGAUGGAGGGAGUGGGCAGAAUAUCCUAUAUGCAAAAACUCUCAAGGGGAUGGGCAUUCCGAUGUCCCGACUCAGCGAGAGUACCAUGUCUUUUCAUGGAGUAAUCCCAGGAAAGAAGGCCAAGUCACUCGAUCAGAUCGGACUGGAUGUUGUUUUCGGCUCUGACCGUAAUUUUCGCAAAGAGAAGCUAACAUUUUAGGUGGUGGACUUCCAGAGUGCAUAUCAUGCUAUUCUGUGUCGUCCUGCUUAUGCACGUAUCAUGGCCGGACCAUGUUACGUGUACCUAAAGAUGAAGAUGCCAGGCCCUAAAGGGAUCAUCACUGUUUCCGGCAAUUGGCAGAGUGCCAAAGAUUGUUUGCAGCAAGGUUCUAAGAUUGCAGAUCAACAAAUGGAUGUGGUAGAAUUGGAAGAGUACUGGAGGACCGCCGACCCAUCUGACCUAGUGCGCUCUAAGAAGCCAGCUUCUGAGUCCGCUUUUCAGUCGGUGGGACAUGUCAAACCAGUGAACGUUCAUCCAACUGAUCCCAAUGCAGCUCCAACCAACAUAUCAACGACACUCAACAGCAAAUAGGAAGCCGAGCUCAUCGAGUUCCUUAGUGGGAACUGGGACAUCUUCGCAUGGAAGCCUGCUAACAUGCCGGGUGUACCCAGGGAGCUGGCUGAACACCAUUUGCGAGUGGAUCCGAAGGCGAAGCCAGUCAGAGAGUGCCCGCGAUGAUUUGCGUUAGAAAAGAGGAAAGCAAUUGGCAAGGAGGUAGCGAAGCUCUUGGAAGCCAAAUUCAUUUGGGAGAUUUACAACUCUGAGUGGCUCUCGAAUGUUUUCAUGGUUCCCAAGAAGUAUAAUUCACUUCGCAUGUGUAUCGACUUCAAAAACGUUAAUAAGGUAUGUCCGAAAGACCACUUCCUGCUCCCCCGCAAUGAUCAGAUUGUCGAUUCCACUGCGGGAUGCGAGCGUUUGUCUUUUUUGGAUGCUUCUCUGGUUACUAUUAUAUCCGUUUGUUUGGCCCAGAUGAAAUAAAAACAGCCUUCAUCACCCGUUUCAGGUGUUACUGUUACAUCACUAUGCCGUUCGGUCUGAAGAAUGCUGGUGCAACCUUCAUGCGCAUGAUCCAGAAGUGUCUACUCAACCAUAUCGGUCAAAAUAUUGAAGUGUACAUGGAUGAUAUUGUUGUCAAGUCGCGCAAAGGUUCCGACCUGCUGACUGACUUGGCAGAAACAUUUGCUACUUUGAGAAAAUAUGAAAUCAAGCUCAAUCCAGCUAAGUACACUUUUGGCGUUCCUGGGGGUAAGUUACUCAGUUUUCUCGUUUCCGAACAAGGGAUCGACGUUAACCCUGAGAAGAUUGGCGCCAUCGUCAGAAUGCAGAGCCCUGUGCGAGUGCAUGACAUGCAGAAACUUACAGGAUGUCUGACAUCAUUGAGUCGGUUUAUAUCUCGUCUCAGUGAGAAGGCAGUGCCUUUGUACCGAUUGAUGAAGAAGUCGGAUGUAUUCGAGUGGAAUGAUGAAGCAGAAGCAGCGUUUGUAGAGCUCAAAGCUCUUCUUUCCACCCAGCGGGUGCUUGCUGCUCCGCACAGCAAAGAACCACUGCUCCUAUACAUCGCAGCCACCAAUCAAGUCGUCAGUACAGUCCUGAUUGUCGAGAGAGAAGAAUAAGGUAAAGCCUACAAGGUUCAACGUCGAGUCUAUUAUAUGUCAGAAGUGUUGACUCCUUCGAAGCAAAGGUAUCCCCAUUACCAGAAGCUUCUUUAUGGAAUAUAUUUGACAGCAAAGAAACUGGCACAUUACUUUCAAGAUCACUCCAUAGCAGUCGUCAGUAAUGCUCCCCUAUCAGAGAUCCUUCACAAUCGGCAUGCAAUGGGCCGAGUGGCCAAAUGGGCUAUGGAGCUGUUGUAUUUGUAUAUCAAGUUUGAAGCAAAGAAAGCCAUCAAAUCUCAGGCCUUGGCUGAUUUUAUGGCCGAGUGGGUGGAACAGCAACAACCUGCAUAGAUUCACUCUGCGCAUGGGACUAUGUUCUUUGAUGGAUCCAAAAUGUUAAAUAGGUCCAGUGCUGGUGUGGUACUGGUGUCUCCAAAAGGCGACAAGCUUAACUAUGUCCUUUAGAUCAACUUUGAUUCAUCCAACAAUGAAGCCGAGUAUGAAGCUCUCCUUUACAGGUUGCGUAUGGCCAUCUCACUCGGUGUCCGACGCCUGAUGGUCUACGACGACUCAGACUUUGUGGUCAAUCAGGUGAUGAAGGAGUGGAACGUCCGGAACCCUGCCAUGAGAGGUUAUUGUAAUGUAGUGAGGAAGCUGGAGAAGAAGUUUGAAGGCUUAGAACUCCAUCAUGUACCCCGACUGAAGAACCAGGCAGCUGAUGAAUUGGCUAAGAUCGGAUCUACUCGGAAGCCUAUACCCAGCAAUGUAUGUUUGGAACACUUGCACACUCCGUCUGUGCAACAGGAUCCAUUCACUUAAGAGCCCCCACAACCAACAAGUACUUCUGAUAUGACUGAAGUUGAUGUUCAAGCAGUCAUUGACCUUAUCAUGGAAGUUUUGGUGAUUACUCCUGACUGGACACUGCCAUGUAUUGCAUACAUUUUAAGGCGAGAGUUGCCAAGAGAUGAAGGCGAAGCCCGACAGAUUGUCCGCAGGUCAAAGGCCUUCAGAGUAAUGGGUGAUCAGCUUUACAGAGAAAGCGUUACCGGUGUAGCUCAACGAUGUAUCUCUCCUGAGGAGGGCCAACUGAUUCUGGAAGAAAUCCACUCGGGGACUUGUGGUCAUCAUGUAUCCUCUCGGACCAUUGUUGCCAAAGAAUACCGAUCUGGAUUCUUCUGGCCUCGCACUAAUGAAAUGGCCAAAGACCUCGUCGACCGUUGUGAAGGUUGUCAGUUCUACUCCAACUUGUCUCACAAACGUGCAUCAUCCCUGAAGAGGAUUCCUCUCAUUUGGCUGUUUGCUGUAUGGGGCUUGGACAUGGUCGGACCUUUCCGGACAGGUCAGAGUGGUUUCACACACUUGCUCGUUGCAGUCGACAAGUUCACCAAAUGUAUUGAAGCCAAGCCAAUCAAGAAGCUGGAUGCCCGCACAACCAUCAAGUUUGUGAAGGAAAUUACAUUCCAGUAUGGAGUCCCGCAUAGCAUCAUCACGGACAAUGGGUCAAACUUCGACUUGGACGAGUUCAGACGUUUCUACACUAACCAAGGGACCCUAGUGGAUAAUGCAUCCGUUGCUCAUCCGCAAACCAACGGUCAAGCAGAGCGAGCAAAUGGUCUGAUCCUACAAGGAUUAAAGCCUCGACUCAUGUGAGACCUUGAGUAUGCCGUAGGCACUUGGGUGACUGAACUACCCUCUGUUAUCUGGGGUUUGAGGACAACACCGGACCGGUCGAUGGGGCGAACUCCUUUCUUCCUGGUCUAUGGAGCCGAAGCUGUUCUACCGAGUGACUUGAUUCACAGUUUCCCUCGAGUGGAUUUCUAUUCAGAAGCUGAUGCCGAGCAAGCACGUCAAGAUGGAGUAGAUCUUCUGGAGGAAGAACGCGAGAUGGCGCUGAUUCGAUCUACGGUUUAUCAACAGGACUUGUGGUGUUUUCAUUCAAGGCAAGUAAGGAGUCGAGCAUUCCAUGAAGGUGAUCUGGUGCUCCAAGUGGAUCAGCAACAGCCUCAUAAGUUAGCUCCUGUUUGGGAAGGACCUUUCAUCAUCACAAAGGUGUUAAACAAUGGAGCUUACCGACUCUACAAUCUUGAGAAGAGGACAGAUGAACCGCGUGCAUGGAAUGCGGAUCUACUAAAGCGUUUGUAUGCUUGAUUACCGAUCUAUACGAUGCAACAUACAAAUUUGUUGAAUAAAGUUGCUUGUCAGAGUCGUAACUUCCUCAGUUUUAGUCGAUUCCGGUCGAGUGGCUACACGCCCAAAAAAUGUACUCCGAGUGAAGAGCGAUUCUCACACUCGGGGACUUAGCUGCGAACAAGAUUCGCCUAAGUUAACAAACUCUUUCGAGUGGAUAAAAACUAUCCACUCGAACGCUUAGCUGCAAACCAGUCGCCUAAGUAUGAAAUGUACUCCGAGUGAAGAGCGAUCCUCACACUCGGGGGCUUAGCUGCGAAGAUGAUUCGCCUAAGUUAACAAACUCUUCUGAGUGGAUAAAAACUAUCCACUCGGACGCUUAGCUGUGAACCAGUCUUCGCCUAUGCACGAAACAUACUUCGAGUGAAGAGCAAUCCUCACACUCGGGGGCUUAGCUGCGAACAAGAUUCGCCUAAGUUAACAAACUCUUUCGAGUGGAUAAAACUAUCCAUUCAAACGCUUAGCUGCUGAAAGGGUCGAUAUGGUUGACUAGAGGGGGGGGGGGGAAUAGGCAACGACCACUUUUUAAUUGUUCUUAACAAGUUAGGGCUAGCAACAUAGAGGUUCUCUAAAAAGACAACUAGGUGAUGAACCUAUAUGAUGCUACCAACUAUAAUCUCUAAGGCACGUAGGAAAUAGUCUACAACAAUAACAUACACAAUGUAAAGAUUAGAGGUAACCGCAAGUGGAACCAAUGAAGACGAGGAUGUGUUACCGAAGUUCCUUCCCUUUGACAGGAAGUACGUCUCCGUUGGAGCGGUGUGGAGGCACAAUGCUCCCCAAUAAGCCACUAGGGCCACCGUAUUAUCCUCACGCCCUCACACAAUGCAAGGUGCCGUGAUUCCACUAUAGGUGCUCUUGAAGGCGGCGACCGAACCUUUACAAACAAGGUUGGGGAAAACUCCACACAGAGCUUGGAGGCUCCCAACAAGACCACGGAGCUUCACCACAAUGGAAUGUGGCUCCGAGGUGACCUCAACCGUCUAGGGUGCUCAAACACCCAUGAGUAACAAGAUCCGCAAGGGAUUAGUGGGGGGAAUCAAUUUUCUCUUGGUGGAAGUGUAGAUCUAGGCCUUCUCAACCAAUCCUUAGGAAAUCACCAAGUUUGAUUGGCUAGGGAGAGAAAUCGGGCACUUUUGAGCUUAGGGAGCAACAAUGGAGCUUGGGAGGGUAAAAGGUAGGGUUCUUGAGCAAGAAGAACCCUUUAUAUAGUGGGGUAAAAAUCCAACCGUUUUCCCACUCACAGCACGAGCCCAGCGGUACUAUCGCUGGCCCUCCGGCGGUACUACCGAUGGCUGCAUUGGUACUACCGCUGACCCUCCGGCGGUACUACCGCUGGCUGCAGCGGUACUACCGUUGAGCCCAUGGUAGCGCAAAGAUACUACCGGGCCGACCACCGCCAAGAAAGUCUUCACAAAAAGUCCGACGAAGUACAACCGCAAUGAUGACGGUACUAAAGUCCUGGAGCGGUACUACCGUUGACCAGGGACGGUACUACCGCUCGGCCAGCGGUACUAAUGCCAGCUCUAGCGGUACUACCACGAGGGCUAGCGGUACUACCGCCAGCUCUAGCGGUACUACCGCUAGGUCCAACGGUACUACCGCUAGGGGACAUUUUUGCAAGAAGAAAAGAAAGAACAAAGAGGGGAAAACUCCAUAGUUGCAGGGGAAAGGAGAUGGAGAAAAAGUGUGUUUGUGCAAGAUUGAUUCCACCCAAACCUUCCCAAUACGGAUCCCCUCUUCAUAGUACGGUGUUCCUACGACUCAAAACCACCAAAGCGAAUCGUAGAAGACAUUGUGCCUCUAUUCCAUGGAGGGUGCCGAAUCGUCUUGUGCCUUUGUCAUGUAUUAUCUGAAAUGCUCAAUGCACACGAUUAGUCCACUAAGGUACUAUCAUCAAUCACCAAAAUUACUUAGGCAUAAAUAUGCCCUAACAAUCUCCCUUUUUUGGUGGAUUGAUGACAAUACCAGAUUUGCACAGUAGAAAGUAUGUGAUCAUAAAGAUAAUUUAAUAUAGAUAAUUGAAGAGCAUAUGACUCACAACAUAUGAUUAAAAUAGGUCUCACAAUAAAAACAAGGUCUCACAUCACACCUAGUAAAGAUAGCAAAUACGAUCAAACCAAGUUCAAAGCAAACACGAUAAAGAUAAAGCAAGCAAAUCCAACUCCUAGACUCUCUCCCCCUUUGGCACCAAGACACCAAUAAGGGGCACACCUAAGACACAGGUGGUCACUCCUCAUCCUCAGACUCAUCUGUGGCAUUCGGAUCCUGCUCGUCCUGCUUUUCCUCAAUGUCAUCGUCAGAAACCUCCUCCUCAGCAUCAGAUCCAUCCCACUGGUAACAUUGAGCCCUCAUCCAGUCAGUCUCUGGAGUGAUGUCGUCCCCCGAGCCACUCGAUAUUGCCACAUCAAGUGUCCUUAAGACACGCUUGUGACUCCGACGGUUCUCCUUCUGGGCCACAUGAGACUGAUACUGUCCCUUGGCCUGCAUACAAAAGAGAAUCUUCAUCUUAUCCUUCAGCUUCACAGCCCAAGAUGGCAUAGCAGAAGAGCGGGUAUGCGAAGCAAAUCCUCCUCCAGCAGCAGUCUCUGUGUCAGUGUCCAUGGGCUGAGAAGAAGUUGAGGUGCUGGCCCAUUUGUCCUUGAGACGCAGCUUGCUAGGAUCAUGCACAAAAUAGUCAGGUUCAACAGGGAGGGGCUCUUCCGGAUAGGUAUCUUUCCACUUCUUCUGAAUAAAGGCAAACAUGUAAGGCCCGUAGAUGGGAACCUUAUGGUUCAUGAUGCAAUUCCAGAGCUUACGGAACAUCACAUCAGAUAUGUCGAGAGGCGCAGUGUCCUUAUUCCUUGCCUCCUCGCACAGAAAAAGCAUCUCAGCCAGAUGUCCAUGCACCUCGUCCUUGUUGCCAAUAUGAGGGAACAGGGUGUUGCGGAAGAUCCGAUCCAUGAUAUCCAGAUGCGUGGGGAGCACACCCUUUUUUAUGUAAAGAUGUUGCAUCCUGUCCUUGGGGGUGGAAGUAGAGGUAGGUGGAGCAUGAGGACGCAGCCCAAGAACAGUUUCUUGCCCCUGGAAGUCAACGUUGAGGAGCUGCAUGAACUCCGUCCAGGUACCAGUCAACUUCUGACUCCCUGUCAUCCAGGUCAUGGUGCGCUCAUCAUCAGGUUGAAAGUGAACGGUGACAUAAAACUGGGCCACAAUAUCUGGAUUGAUGUCCUUUCUGAAGGUGAUGACAUCCGUAAUGCCAAGCUUGUCAACCAAGGAGAGAGCCUCGCCAAAGUAGUCAGGAUGCCGCCGAAGGUGAGCGAGGUUGAUCCACUGCACUGGGACAUAGAUCUUCUUGAAGGGCAUGAUGAUGUCAUGAAAGAACAUUGCCUGUUCCCGUGACCAAACAUGAUCGACACCCUUGAGUUGAACCUUUUCAUUACCAUAGGGAUCACGGGUACGGAGUGCCACAAAGUCCUUAGGAGGCCUAGUGCGGACGUUGAGCUCUUUGGACUUAGUGGCAACCUUCUUGAAAGACUUCUUUUUAGGGUUCAGACUCGAAGGUGUGGAACCUUCUGGAGCGUCUGGAUUGCGGUACUGCUUUGAUUGGGUGUUACGUGCAGGAUUCGAGUGACGAGAACCACCCGUGACACACAAGACACACACACAAAAAGAGCGACAAAAGGAGUCAUGGCAAUGUUCAAAAAUCAUAAGAAGAAACACACAUUGCCAAGGGAAAUAAAAAAAAAUGCCCUGCUGGCGGUAGUACCGCUUGCCCUGGCGGUAGUACCGCUGGGAGCAUAGCGGUAGUACCGCGAGGCUAGCGGUAGUACCACCGGGCUGGCGGUAGUACCGCUGCCUCCUUAGCGGUAGUACCGCCCGAGUGGAGCGGUAGUACCGCUAGGGGUUGAUUUUCAGAUCUGGACAGAUUUGAACCACCUAAAUUACUAGAUUCGUUUCAAGAGAUCCACGGCUAACAAAUAAACUUAUCACAAGAAUCACCAUAGCCCGAAAACAUGUGGAACUCUAGAUCAUCUAGAUGGAGACAAGCCUAGUCAAUGGGAUCCAAGUUUUAGAUCAAAUCCAUGAGAUGUUUGAUAAUAGCUACUAGAUCUAAAACAUGGAGAACUAGGGCAUGUCGAAAUAUUUGCAAUGAAGAACAUUAGACCUAAAAUCCCCUAAGAUUUCUCCCUCGUUCCAUCCAAAAAACUAAGCACAAAGCAUAUCCAUGGAUCCAAAUCAACAAGAUCCUAACCCUAGAAACAAACACACCAACCAAGAGAGGAAGGGGAGAAGCUUUACCGGGGUCCAUGGCACUUGACGGAGGAAGAAGGAGGGGAGCAAAUCCUCUAACUGAAAAGAGAGGAGAGGCUCCGCAGAGAGAGAUCUAAACUGGGGGGAUUCGGUGUGGAGGGAGAGAGAUCCACGAGGAAGAAGACGCAGGGCAAGAAAAACGGCUCCCCCUCCCUUUAUAUAGUCCAAGGGGUACGGGCUACCCUGGCAGUAGUACCGCUCCCCCUGGCGGUAGUACCGCCGGGGUCAUAGCGGUAGUACCGCCAUCUUGGCAGUAGUACCGCUCCCCCUUGAGACAGCCCUAAAAAGCCCUAGUCAAGCCACGAUAUACUGGGGUCCUCGCGGUAGUACCGCUCCCCCUGGCGGUAGUACCGCUGGGGUCCUGGCAGUAGGACCGCUACCCCUGGCGGUAGUACCGCUCCAAAAAGGCACACAGAGACUUAGGACUUCGUGGAAAUGAUGUGGGCAAUGACUAGUCAGUGUAGAAAAAAAGGUAACACCAGAAAGAUAUACUGACUAGUUAUUUUGUAUCCUUUCUACAACACGAGAGAAAGGUGGGUGGUGGCCGGAGCCACCUAUGUUUGAGACAAAGGUAUGACACCGCGAAGAAUUAUCCUUGGGUUCAUGACCAACGCUCGUCUUUGAAGCACAAGUGCCAUUUAAUAAUGGCCAAAGUGAAAGACUUGAUCGAUUUAUGCAUAAUGGGGGGAGGGAAAGUUCAUUGAGAGAACAACACUCCCCCUAUGUCCAUGCCUACACCUAGAACAAGAUAUAAUGCAUAGUGAGGUGCAAAGUGCCUAGUUUCAAUCCACAUUACUUGAAUCAAUGAUAUUUAGCUCAUGCCUUAACUCCCGGAACCUUGCUUCAUCUAGGGGCUUAGUGAAAAUAUCUGCAAGUUGCUCUUCAGUGUUGAUGAAGUGAACCUCAAUAUCACCUCGCUUGAUAUGUUCGCGAAUGAAGUGAUGGCGAAUAUCAAUGUGCUUGGUCUUGCUAUCACUACUGGAAUUCAGAAAUUUGUCGUCCGCCUUUCCUUUGCCGUCUGCUGACACAUGGCAAAGAGCUUCUUUGCCAUCAGCUGGCACAAAGCAGACGACAAAGACAACACCUAAGGCAAAAGUUUUCUUUGCCGUCGGCCUUCCCUAUGUCGUCGGCCAGCGGACGGCAAAGGAACCACAGGCGGACGGCAAAGGGGUGGCAGACGGCAAAGGGGGNNNNNNNNNNNNNNNNNNNNNNNNNNNNNNNNNNNNNNNNNNNNNNNNNNNNNNNNNNNNNNNNNNNNNNNNNNNNNNNNNNNNNNNNNNNNNNNNNNNNNNNNNNNNNNNNNNNNNNNNNNNNNNNNNNNNNNNNNNNNNNNNNNNNNNNNNNNNNNNNNNNNNNNNNNNNNNNNNNNNNNNNNNNNNNNNNNNNNNNNNNNNNNNNNNNNNNNNNNNNNNNNNNNNNNNNNNNNNNNNNNNNNNNNNNNNNNNNNNNNNNNCUCUCACUGGCCAGUCCCCUCCGCUCCGACAGUUUCUCUGAGCCGCUCGUCCCCUGCCUGCCAGCCGCCUCCCCUCCCGCCGACCGUCUCCUCCCCCGCCCCUCCUCCCCUCCCGUGGCACCCCUCCUNUAGAUUUAGUUAGUUGAUUUAGUUAUUUGAUUUAGUGGUAGUUGAUUUAGUUAGUUGUUUUAAUUAGAUUUAGUUAGUUGAUUUGAAUAGUAGGUUUAGUUAAAUAGUAGGUUUAGUUAGUUAUUUGAUUUGUUAAUUUAGAGGUAGAUUCUAUUUUGUUAAUUAGUGGUAGAUUCUUUUUUAGUUAAUGAUUGGUAGAUUUUGUUUUUGUUAUUUUUUUGCUGUUUAGUGCUAUAUAGGUUUAGCGAUAGGUUUAGUGAUAGGUUUAGAUUCUACAUAGUCAUAAUUGAAAUAAGUAGAAAAAAGAUGAAGAAUAAAAGAAGAAUAAGUAGAUAAGGGAAGAAUAAGAAGAAGAGGAGGAGGAGGAGGAGGAUGAGGAGGAUAAAAAGAAGAGGAAGAAAAAGAGGAGAGAGGAGAAGAAUAAAGAAGAAGAAAAAGGAAAAGAAGGAAGAAGAAGAAGAAGAGGGAAAUGGAAAAGAAGGAAGAAGAAGAAGAAGAAAAGGAAGGAAGGAAGAAGAAGAAGAAGAAAAGGAAGAUGAGGAAAAAAAAGAAGAUGAUGAAGAAGAAAAUGACACCAUGACACCUCGACACCCCGACACGAUGCCCGAAACCCCGACACGACAUCCUGAUGACACCCUGGCAGAAUACACCGCCCCGACGCCACUGACCCCCAACCCCUGACCCCUGACACCUCUUGGGCCUCUUGUUGACCGAAAAGUCCCCCGACCACCGACCCCUGACGCCACUGACCCUGGACCCCCGACGACACUGACCCCGACCACCGACGCCACUAGCCCCCGAACCCCGACGCCACCAACACCCGACACCACCGACCCUCGACGACACUGAGUCCCGACGCCACUAACCCCCGACCCCCGACAACUCUUCUGCCUCCGGUUGAACGAGAAGGUGCUUUUUGGCCUUCCACAAACCGACGGGGUCAUAGUUUUGUAAAUUAUGAGUUAGGUCACAUAUUUUCCGAUUAUGUUAAUUAUAAAAACAUUGUAUUUGUGUUGAUCGUGUGAUUUUCAAUGUGCAGUUGUUCGACGACCUCCACGUGCGUUGGACGAGCUCCGCCCUUGCGUUUGUUGGUGAGCAAAAAUGACUUCUCCUCCUACCCCCUUAAUUUGCUCUGUCCCGGUCUUUGUGCUGAUGAAACUUGCUAGCUAUAGGUUUCUUCAAUCAUGAGUAUGCGUGACCAGUAUGCAUCUCCCGUUCGAAAUGGCGACAUCUAUAAAUAUGCAUUUCUUUGCAUAUUUAUAACCGCCAUCCUUUCGAAUUGUCCAACAUUAUCCAUGGACAACCCGAGUAUGUGUAGAUUGGGUUUGUUUUCCCGUAUGCUGUGCUCCUGAUCCGAUGCGGAAUUUCGUCAGUGCCUCCCCUGUUGUUCUCCGGGUACACAUCCUCUCUGCUUAUUGCCGAGACGUGUAUCAGGAGAACAACGGGGAGGUGCUGCCGAAAUUCUGCGUCGCUUCUGGAGCAGAGCAUGGGAAAACAAACCCAGUCUACACAUACUCGGGUGGGAUUAGGACCUAUCUUUACCUAUUAGCGUGUAGGUUGCAUGGACUUAAUAAAACUGACAAACUUGAUUAGCGUAUGAAUAUAGAUGAUGAAUUAUAUAUUUAUUUCUUGUGCCCCCAUAGGUAGCUAGGCAACAUCAGUGAUCGUGCUUGGAUGUACACUGGUCACCCUAGUCAGAAAGACAUGACCCAUGAAUGGUUAACUAAAACCAGGGGGUUUGUGAGAGCCGCAUUUGCAAAUGGCCAGCAAAAAACAUGGUGCCCCUGUCCCAACUGCGACAACUGGAAAAAGCAGACAGAGUUUGAAAUGGGUAAUCGCCUAAUUAUACGGUGUGGACUUUUCAUGGUGAGUCUGACCAACGUGCCAGAGCUGAGGUGAUUCGUCGCCGCACCGACGAGCAUGGUACCGGGAUUGAAGACAUGGUGCAAGAUUUUGAUGAUGCUCGGGAUUCAGACGAUGAGAUGGAGGAAUCUGCAAAGGCCUUCUAUGAAAUGUUGGAGUCUUCAAAACGUCCUCUCCAUGAGCAGACUGAGCUUUGUCAGUUGGAUGCCAUCGCUCAAGUAAUGGCUCUGAAGGAUCAAUUCAACCUAGGCAGAGAAUGCUACGACGCGAUGAUGACGAUAUUUGGACGCUUUCUACCCAAAGGCCAUGUACUGCCUACAAACCUGUACCAGUCAGAGAAAAUCCUUCGUGUACUUAAGAUGCCCUAUGAGAAGAUACAUGCCUGUGAGAAUGGAUGUGCCUUAUUUAGGCUUGAGUAUGCGGCCUUGAACUAUUGCCCCAUUUGCAAUUCUUCCAGGUAUAUUGUGGUAGACAACGACAUGGGUGAGAAGAAUCAGACCAAAAUCGCCAUUAGUGUUCUUUGGUAUCUGCCAAUCGUACCAAGACUUCAACGUCUUUUUAUGGUCGAAGAGACGGCCAGACAGAUGACAUGGCACAAAUUGGGCAAAAGAACCGAACUAGAUGCGGAUGGGAACAAGAUGCUGGUAAACACUUCAGACGGUUUUGCGUGGAGGCACUUCGAUGCAUUACAUAAGGAUAAAUCGGAAGAUCCAAGGCAACCUAGAGUUACCAUCAACACGGAUGGGUUCAAUGUGUAUGGUAUGACGGCAACACAAUAUAGUUGUUGGCCUGUAUUUGUCAUUCCACUAAAUUUGCCACCCGGAGAGAUUAUGAAAAGAAAGAACAUUUUCCUGACGUUGAUAAUUCUAGGGCCCAACUAUCCCGGGAAGAAUAUGAAUGUUUACAUGUAGCCGCUUAAGGAUGAGUUGCAAGAAGCCUGGGAUAAUGGGAUCAAGACCUACGACGCGGCUACCAAUUUUUUUUUCAAAAUGCAUGUGUGGUACAUGUACUCGACGCAUGAUUAUCCGGCGUUUGCGCUAUUCGCUGGCUGGUGUGUGCAUGGAAGGUUCCCGUGCACCACAUGCAAGGCAGCUCUUCAGUUCCGUUGGCUGUAGGUUGGUCGCAAGUAUUCUUGCUUCGACAUGCAUAGACAAUUCCUGGAUCCUGACCAUAAGUUCAGAAAAGACAAGAAGAAUUUCAUCAAAGGUAGAGUUGUCAAAAACACUGCACCAGCUGCGUUGACAGGCCAACAGACCCUUGAUCAGUUAAACGCUCUCGGGUAUAAUACGGAACAUGCCUGGACUCACAAGUCAUGCUUAUGGGAUCUGCCUUACUUCAAAGACCUCCUUUGCCCACACAACAUUGACGUGAUGCACACUGAAAAGAAUAUUGCGGAGGGCAUUUUUGGCACAUUGUUCGGCAUAGAGGGGAAGUCAAAAGAUAAUCCUAAGGCUAGAAUCGACCUGGAGGCUCUAUGUGAUAGACCGUUGCAAAACUUGCGACAACGGAAAGGAAAGCAAAGCAUAGCGAAGCCAAAGGCAUGGUUCAAUCUUGAAAGGCCAGCUAUGAGGGAAAUGCUAUUGUGGGUGAAAAUGCGGUUGAUGUUCCCCGAUGGGUAUGCUGCGAAUCUAAAGAGGGGAGCGAGUCUUGAGAAAUUGAAAAUAUUUGGGCUCGAGAGUCAUGAUUGGCACAUAUGGAUUAAGCGGGUAAUGCCGAUGAUGUUGCGUGGCUUUAUCCCUGAGGAUGAAUGGCUAGUACUGGCAGAGCUGAGCUAUUUCUUCCGUUCUCUUUGUGCGAAAGAACUAUCGCCUGUCGUGCUAGAUGAAAUGGAAGAGUUGGCGCCGGAGUUGAUCUGCAAAUUAGAAAAGAUCUUUCCACUGGGCUUCUUUAAUCCAAUGCAACAUUUGAUUUUGCAUCUCCCGACCGAGGCAAGAAUGGGGGGGCCUGUUCAAAAUCGAUGGUGCUACUCAACUGAGAGGAUGCAGAAGACGCUUUGAGCUAAGUGUAAAAAUAAACGUAGAAUUGAAGCAUGGAUGGUCGAGGCAUUCAUUACUGAGGAGGCGGCAAACUUUGUGACAGCACACUACGAAGCCAAAAAUCAUCAUUUGCAUAACCCGAAGCCUCGGUACAAUGAUGGCGAUCGAAAAAAGUUCGAUCCAACCUCAGCCUAUUCAAAGGUAAGCUCGCACCAUCCGGUGCUUCGAAAGGGAAAUUGUUGGAUGUCGAAGAAUGGCGGACCAUUUCAUUGUAUAUCUUCACCAACCUAACAGAAGUGCGGCCGUACAUCGAGUAAGUUCUCGGUAAUUUAUUGUUCCGCAACUUCUAAUUGCUUUGAACUACUCUUAUUCCCAGAUAUUUGAUAUAGUCGAUACGUCGCUGAAUUCUCAGAUGGAGCGGUCAUCGAAAAGGAUUCCGUCGAAGAGUAUGAGCUUCUCGCAAAGCAUGGAGGCAACUAUCCCGGUUUCAUCUCUUUGUUCAAACAAAGGGUAAUUAAUUACCAUUAAGGGCCCAUUUGAUUUCUUGGUCUAAUUUGCGGCUAAUGCAUCCAUUCUUUCGUAUUAAAUUUGUAGGAUGAUGCAGAGUCUAUGGACGCCGAGUUGAGACAAGUUGCUAAUGGUUUUGACUAUAAGGUCCGUUCAUUUGACAAAUACAACAUCAACGGGUAUCACUUUCGUACCUUUGGCAAAGAGCUAUCUAUGCCCGACCUAAAGACUACAAAUUGUUUUGUCUCUGCUAUCGGCGAAGGAGACACCGAGUAUUAUGGAAGAGUUGAAGGAAUUUAUGAACUUCUAUUCUAUGGUGAAAACCCACCGUCCGUUGUAGUCUUCAAAUGUUAUUGGUUUGAGCCGAGGGAGACUAGAAGGACUCAUGAACAUAUAGGACUAGUCGAAAUCAACCAAAACACCCACUUAGAUGUUCCCAAUGUCUAUAUUACGGCUCAACAGGCGACACAAGUUUUCUAUCUACCGUGGGCCUGCCAAACUGAUCCAAAUCUCAAAGAUUGGGAUGUCGUUUAUGAAGUGCCACCACAUUUUAGACCACCUACCCUCAAUGAAGAGGAUUGCGAACCUCACAUUAACCCACACACAUAUGAAGGAUAAUUCUUCCAAGAAACACGUAUGUCCAAGAAACGUUUCAAGAACCGCUCUACUUCACCCCAGAACAUUGAAGUAGACAGCGACAGUGAAUCCGUCUUAACCCGUGAGCCCGAACAGGAAGAGCUGGAAGAAGAAGAGGUUACUGUUGCGGAUGACCUAUCACUUCUUGACCAAUUACAUAAUGGUGGCCUUCCACAUGUUCUUUCUGAUAGUGAUGAUGAUGAUGCAUUUAUUGAUGAUAGUGAUGAUCAUGAUGCAUUUAUUGACCCCGAAGCAUAUAUAGACGAGCACGAUUGUUAUUAGUUCAUGUCAGGUAUUCAACUAUUAUACUAUAUAUAGAUUUUGAGUUCAUGUUAGGUAUUCAAUUUUUAUUAGUCAUGUUGGUAUUUAUGACGAUGAUACACUUAAAUUAUAUACAUUUUAUUACUCCUGUUGGUAUUUAUGUUGUACUAAUUUCAUUUACUCUUUGUCAUGACAGGUGUUGAAAGAUGGUGGGAAAGGGUCGAAAGCACUCCGCGGCUCCUUCUUCGUCGGCGGGUGAUGGGAUGGGUACUUCCAUUCCUGCCUCGCCUCUUCGAAGAGCGUUGCUCUCUACUAUGCAAGGAGCGCCCCCCGUGAGAGGAGGUCGACCCCCCGCGAAGCCGAGAGGCACUAAAGGUACAUGUUGUAUUCAUGUUGGUAUUUAUGUUGUACUCAUGUUGUAUGCAUAUUGGUAUUUAUAUACAUUUUAUUACUCAUGUUGGUAUUUAUGUUGUACUAAAGGUACACGUGGCCGCGGGAGAGGUAGGGCGGUGGCUGCCACGCCUUCUGAGGUGGCGGCUACACAGUCUCCGCCACCACCCCAAGCUGAUUCACCUGAGCACAGGACUUCUAGGGUGGAUUCGUCUGAGGUAGAGGCUACACGGUCUCCGGUUCACGAGCCUCGGGUCGACAAGCCUCAGGUCGACGAGCCUUCGACCCACGAGACUCGUGUCCCAGAGGCUUCAUUCCAGGAGACUCCGGAGCAAAGCAGGGAUGAGGGUACGUCCCAAGAGACCCAGUGGGAUGCUGGUAGCGACGAGGAGCUGGGUGAGGGGGCUACCGUCUACCAGCGUGGUAGUUCGGGGAUCCCGCUCGUGCCAACGACCCCCCGAGCAGAGGUGGUCGAUUAGGCCAAAUGGGGACAAGUAAGUUAAUUUACUCUUAUUUAACCUUUUGCCUUCACGUUUUCUCAAAUAUCUAAUGUUUUGGCUUUAAUUUGUCAUACUGCAGGGGUUGGAUUGUUGCCAAGGGUGUCCGCAAGCCCAACAUCGUCCUUGGUGUGCUUUUGCCGUACAAACUUCCCAGGGUUUGUUACGUUGCCCGGUCGGGAGCGAGAGGUAGGAAUGACCUGGGAGCACUACUUGGGUGCCCCGGCCCCGCCGGAGGUGGAGAUCGACGGUGUUUUGUGCGAUACGAGGGCGGACAUGGUGAUCCGAAAGUUCUGCGUAAUUUCUCCUUCACACAAUUAUAAAUCAACCAUAGCUAUAUAUUGUACUAAUCGGUGUUGUCUCGUUUGCAGACCUACUACAGGUGUGAGGAGGGAUACGAGGAGGACGCGGCAAAGGUUAUCGAAACCGAAUGUCGCCGCCUACUUCAAAACUUUCGGGACGAGGCUCGGGUGCAGGCUGUUCGAGACUACUAUGCCACACGACGUAUUAGGAUUGACGAGGCGAAGUGCCGUGAUGCUAAGAUGGAGAAGGAGCAUUACAUGAAGGUAAUUACAUAUUAUUAAGGCUUUGUAGUUAGUUUCCUUGAUUUGGUUCUUACGCGCUCAAAUUUCUCUUUAUUAACUUAGGUGCCCCCGAGAUGGUGUGUGGAUAAGAUGGAUUGUUGGGAGGCCUUGGUGGAUCAGUGGUGCUCCGAAACGUGGGAGGCCAGCCACAACAACGCCAAGGAGAGGCGUGGCAAAAUGGUUGGUGUGCCACACCAUCAAGGGAGCGUCAACUUAAUCCAAUUUGGCGAGAACUGGGUAUGUGGUUUGCUUCAUGCCUCAUGCAAUUCAUUCUUAAUGCUAUCUUGAGCCCUUUACUAAUACAAUUUUCCUCUCUCUCUCUUUUAGGCGUGUCACAAUAAGAUGGAGGCGCCACACAUGUACGACCUGUAUGCAAUGGCCCAUACUGCCUCGUACAAGAAGGUCAAGGCAUUCUCUGAGUCUAACCUCGAGCAUCCAAAAAACUUCACCAACAUCUCCUCCCACCACAAGCUCGUGAAGUACAGAGAUCACGGGAAGGCGAGGAAAGGGGAGGACUUUAACCCGAGCGAUGGGCCUAUUGAUCCAGAGCUGGUGAUGAUAGCUGGCAACGGGAGGCCCCAUGGCUCGAUCGCCAUUGGAGACGGCCUUAUACAUUGUCCUAGCACUCUCUGGCAGAUAAAGGCACGCCAAACGAGCUCUUGUCCGGAGAUAACACGUCGUCCACGGCCAGUCGAGCUCGCCAUCGAGGUUAGUUUAAUGGACUCAACUAUCUUUCCGCAUUAUGUUGUGCAUUGGAACCAAUAUGAUUACAUUGCUAACAAUGAGUUGUGUUGUAGGCUGCUAUUCAGAAAGAGAGAGAGGCAAUGCAGGCGGCUAUGGCGGAGAAGGAUAAGGAAAUUAGGGAGCUGGAGGAGAGGACGACUGCAUUGGUGGAGGCGGAGAGGGCACGGAAUGAUGCGUCUAACAGGGCCAUAUACGAGCUCUUCGUGGUAAGUUUCUUCUUCAUGUUAUUUCAAAUCUUGCAUUUGAAUGACCAUUUCAUUAAUAAAUAAAAAGUUUGACUUAUCGAAACCAAAUGUACAGUCUAUGUGCGAGAAGAGCGGCCAAGUCCCUCCGCCGAUGCGAGUCAUUAACGUGGCGGGGACGGUGAGUUUCAUUUCAGUGUAGUGAUCUUAAGAGUGUCCUCAUGCUAACUACACAUUACAAACAAUGUUUGGUGCAGAAUAUCUCCCGAAACGCAUCGCACGACCCUUCUACAGUCGAGCCUUCUCCACGGCAGCCUUCUCCAGGUGAAACAAGCCAGAGCCACUGUGCUUCACCGCUGUGAUGACGAUAAUGGUAUGUUAUUUCUAGUGUUUUAAUAAAAAAUGGCUAGACUUCCAUCUAAAUGACAUAAUUAGCUUAGUUAGCUUCAAGAAAGGCUAAAUUGNNNNNNNNNNNNNNNNNNNNNNNNNNNNNNNNNNNNNNNNNNNNNNNNNNNNNNNNNNNNNNNNNNNNNNNNNNNNNNNNNNNNNNNNNNNNNNNNNNNNUGUCUUGUGAGUAGUUACUUUUGUUCCUGAGGACAUGGGAUAAGUCAUGUUAAUAAUAGUCAUGUGAAUUUGGUAUUCGUUCGGUAUUUUGAUAUGAUGUAUGUUGUUUUUCCUCUAGUGGUGUUAUGUGAACGUCGACUACAUAACAAUUCACCAUAUUUGGGCCUAGAGGAAGGCAUUGGGAAGUAGUAAGUAGAUGAUGGGUUGCUGGAGUGACUGAAGCUUAAACCCCAGUCUAUGUGUUGCUUCGUGAGGGGCUGAUUUGGAUCCACUAGUUUAAUGAUAUGGUUAGACUUUGUCUUAAUUACUCUUUUGUAGUUGUGGAUGCUUGCGAGAGAGGUUAAUCAUAAGUGGGAUGCUUUUCCAAGUAAGGGCAGUACCCAAGCGCCGGUCCACCCACAUAUCAAACUAUCAAAGUAACGAACGUGAAUCAUAUGAACAUGAUGAAACUUGCAUGACAGAAAUUCCCGUGUGUCCUCGGGAGCAUUUUUCCUCCUAUAAGACUUUGUUCAGGCUUGUCCCUUGCUACAAAAGGGAUUGGGCCACUUGCUGCACCAUUUCUACUACUUGUUACUUGUUACUUUUUGCUCGCUACGUUUCACCUCNNNNNNNNNNNNNNNNNNNNNNNNNNNNNNNNNNNNNNNNNNNNNNNNNNNNNNNNNNNNNNNNNNNNNNNNNNNNNNNNNNNNNNNNNNNNNNNNNNNNGGGAAUAGGUCAUCUUGUAGCUACGUAAGCCUUAUUACGUCAUUUAGGAGAGAAAUUAGCUAACUAUAGGUCAUUUUUUAUUUAAUAGGUCAUUUUGGAGCUAACUAAGCCAAUUCUGUCAUUUCGUAGGAUANNNNNNNNNNNNNNNNNNNNNNNNNNNNNNNNNNNNNNNNNNNNNNNNNNNNNNNAGAAGGAGGAGGAGGAGUAGGAGGAGGAGAAGGAAGAGGAGAAGAAGAAUAAAAGAAGAAGGAGAAGGAGAAGGAGGAAGAAGGAGGAAGAAGAAGGAGAAGGGGGAGCUCCUUCUCCUUCUUCUCCUCCUUCUUCUCCUUCUUCUUNGAGAAGAAGAAGUAAAAGAAGGAGGAGGAGAAGGAGGAGGAGAAGGAGAAGGAAGAGGAGAAGAAAAAGAAAAGAAGAAGGAGAAGGAGAAGGAGGAAGAAGGAGGAAGAAGAAGGAGAAGGAGGAGCUCCUUCUCCUUCUUCUCCUCCUUCUUCUCCUUCUUCUUAUCCUCCCCCUUCUCCUUCUUCUUCUUCUCUUCUUCUUCUUCUUCCUUCUUUUCAUUUUUCCUCUUUCUUCUCCUCUUGUCCCCUUCUUCGGGCUAAAUUGGCUUAGAAUGCCUUNNNNNNNNNNNNNNNNNNNNNNNNNNNNNNNNNNNNNNNNNNNNNNNNNNNNNNNNNNNNNNNNNNNNNNNNNNNNNNNNNNNNNNNNNNNNNNNNNNNNUCCUGAAGCGCUUCUACACGUGAACGUCGACUGAAGCGAUGUAAAGAACAAGUAUUGGCGAAACAAUAUAAAGCAGAUUGAGGUUUUUACAGGUUCAAAGUUCUUCUGCGGUCGCAGACUCCGGUCUCAAAAAAAAACUUAGCUGCGACCCCGAAUCGCCUAAGUAUUAACUUUCUCCGAGUGUGCACUNNNNNNNNNNNNNNNNNNNNNNNNNNNNNNNNNNNNNNNNNNNNNNNNNNNNNNNNNNNNNNNNNNNNNNNNNNNNNNNNNNNNNNNNNNNNNNNNNNNNNNNNNNNNNNNNNNNNNNNNNNNNNNNNNNNNNNNNNNNNNNNNNNNNNNNNNNNNNNNNNUCACACUCGGGGGCUUAGCUGCGAUCCAGCAUCGCCUAAGUAUUAACUUUCUCUGAGUGUGCACUUAACAUCACACUCGGGGGCUUAGCUGCGAUCCAGCAUCGCCUAAGUAUUAACUUUCUCCGAGUAUGCACUUAGCGUCACACUCGGGGGCUUAGCUGCGAUUCAGCAUCGCCUAAGUAUUAACUUUCUCCAAGUGUGCACUUAGCGUCNNNNNNNNNNNNNNNNNNNNNNNNNNNNNNNNNNNNNNNNNNNNNNNNNNNNNNNNNNNNNNNNNNNNNNNNNNNNNNNNNNNNNNNNNNNNNNNNNNNNNNNNNNNNNNNNNNNNNNNNNNNNNNNNNNNNNNNNNNNNNNNNNNNNNNNNNNNNNNNNNNNNNNNNNNNNNNNNNNNNNNNNNNNNNNNNNNNNNNNNNNNNCUUAGCGUCACACUCGGAGGCUUAGCUGCGAUUCAGCAUCGCCUAAGUACUAACCUUCUCCGAGUGUGCACUUCACGUCACACUCGGGGGCUUAGCUGCGAUCCAGCAUCGCCUAAGUAUUAAAUUUCUUCGAGUGUGCACUUAACGUCACUAUCGGGGGCUUAGCUGCGAUCCAGCAUCGCCUAAGUAUUAACUCUCUCCGAGUGUGCACUUNNNNNNNNNNNNNNNNNNNNNNNNNNNNNNNNNNNNNNNNNNNNNNNNNNNNNNNNNNNNNNNNNNNNNNNNNNNNNNNNNNNNNNNNNNNNNNNNNNNNNNNNNNNNNNNNNNNNNNNNNNNNNNNNNNNNNCGUCACACUCGGGGGCUAAGCUGCGAUCCAGCAUCGCCUAAGUAUUAACCUUCUCCGAGUGCGCACUACACGUCACACUCGGGGGCUUAGCUGCGAUCCAGCAUCGCCUAAGUAUUAACCUUCUCCGAGUGUGCACUACACGUCACACUCGGGGGCUUAGCUGCGAUCCAGCAUCGCCUAAGUAUUAACCUUCUCCGAGUGUGCACUUCACGUCACACUCGGGGGCUUAACAGCGAUCCAGCAUCGACUGUUUGCCUUUGGCUUCACCAAGAAACGCCAAACAAAAACUCGAAUCAACAUUGCAACAGAAGAGCAAAAAUCGGAUUCCAAAAUUCUCGCAAACAUAGCUAACUCGGUGCGGAUCAAGCUUACCCGCACCGAUUUAAAAGUGUGAUAGCCAACAGAAGUGGCCAAAGUACCUUACAGAUAAAACACUCGGCAUACCGAGGAUAAAGUUUUCUUACGCGUCAGCAGGGUCAGCGCCAUGACUGGAGGGCUCAACAAAGGUGUCCAAGUCAAUUCCAUCGGCGAUGCGGGUCGCACUCUCAAGGAACGUCUCCAUGAAGUCUUCGAAUCAAAGCUUCUUCGUGUUGGCGACCUUCAGUGUCUUCAGCUUUUCCUCACGCACCUCCUUGCAAUGGACUCGGACCAAGGACAGAGAAACAUUUGCACCGUAACGAGCUGCAGAUUUCUUCCACAACUGCACUCUGUUGGGAAUCUCCUCCAGUCGGGUCAUCAGGUUCUCCAUCUCCUGCCGCGACUCAUCUUCUGGGCAAAGCUCCUUGUCGAUUCGGCCGACGACUUCUCUCAGUCGACCGAUGAAAGGACCAACUUUGCCCACCCGGAUGUGCGCACGGAGCAGAUCCUGAUUGGCGUCGUCGCCGAGUGGAACGUUCUCAAGAAUCGAACGCUCCACGUCAGCUGCUUCAGCUUCGGCGUCAAAGCAAAAAUCUGCGACAAUAGGACAAACAGACAAUAAGCGUCGAGUAUCACGUGCAUAGCACAACCACUCGGAAAAAGCAGGACUUACCAGCCAGACGCGUCAUCAUCUGCCGAGCCGAGUCAAUGACAUAUUUCUCUUGAGCCCUGCAUCGUUUGUUCAGCACGUCCAUCUGACUCAUCAGCACAGUCUUGUGUUUCCCCAUCUUUUCCACUUCCCCAGUCAACACCUUGUUCACUUCACGCGCCUGCUCCAAUGACUUCUCCCGUUCCGCCAGAGCAUCCUUCAUGCCGGCCAUUGCGAGCAUUGCCGCAUCAAGCUCACCAGCGAACUGGUUCCUCUCCGCUCUCAGAGCCUCAUAGGACGUCUCCAUUUCACAAGUUUUCUGCCAACAAGAAACAAGGGACAAUCAGAAAGUUCAACAGUUAACAGUCUAAGUUCUUCAGACCCCUGUCGACGCAAGCAGUCGACAGCGGUCUCGGGGACUACACCCAGUGGGUUCACUAAGAGUGACCCCACUGGCAUGCACCUCAAGCAGGCCUGCCCUAUUGAGAUGCAUGUUAUCAACUACGCCUCCGAGGCCAAUACUACCCGACCUGAGUACAACUUACUCUCGGGGACUCUUAUCGUAAGUGCACUCCGACUGCAACAACUACUCGCACUCGGUAAUCCUAUCUACAGACACAACCAAACUCAAGGCAAAAUGUAUAAAGACAACUGUCGGUGCAAGCACUCGACAGAAGUCUCGGGGACUACACCCACUGGGUUCACUCAGAGUGAACCCAUUGCAAACAACAGCUGCUAUUCAAGAACACCCAGUGGAUUACAGAGGAAAAGUAAAUACUUACUAGACCACUUACUCAGAUAUCAUCGCGCAGCUCCAAGCUCCGCUGGUACAAGGCCGCAAUGGAGUCAUAGGCCCUCUUGGCUUCUCCAGCCAUCAGCUCCGCCUACACCAUAGCCCCCUUGGCCGCUCCCACCUACUCCUCCGAAAGACGCUGGAUGCUGAAUUCAGCAUUCGACGAACCUGGAAUCGUCGGAGGUUCCUGAGGCAUCCCAAGGUCCGCCCCAGUCGGCUCCUCCUCAACUAGCACUGGUUCAGUCGGUGGCGGCGCCUCUGUCGGCAGCACGUCGGCGGCGAGAGCGGCAGCGGGAGGAGCAGCCUCAAGAACAGGUUCCACAGCUAGGUCGGCUCUCCCCUGGUCGCCCUCAUUCAGGCAGAUCGCCCCUGGCAAGCCGAAUGACACGAGGUCUCAGAAAAAGAAAGAAGCACCUGACUGGGACGCGAUGGUAUAAAACACUCGACGUUCCUACAACGCACCUGGAUGGGACGAGACGACGUUGUCCGUGUCCAUGGGGUUGUCUUCCUGGCGCGCCGGAGAGGUGGCAGAAGUAGCGACCCUGUCGACUGAGAUCCAUUCGGCCAGUAAACAGAAGUUCACUCGGAUAUCAGAAAAAACUAAAAGCUGAGUACACUUACGUGGAGGUGACGGGGACAGCGACCCUCAUUCGUGGCAGAGCCUUCCGAGGUUUAGUCCCACUCGGCUUGGGCGCCUUAGAAGAUUGGCCCGCAGGCUCAGCGGCGGCAUCCCUGGUCCUCUUAGCGCUUCGGACACUCGGGACCACUGGAGCAGUAGGCGGAGCACUCGAAGACGCGGGAGGAGCUGAGGGGACAGCGGGCUCGUGUCGGCGCUUAGUCCGAUGCUCCAGUUGUGGAGGUGGCGAGUCCUGCUCCUCGUCUUCUUCCUCUUCCUUGCUGGACUCUUCCUCCGACUCCCCAGUGUCGGAGACAUAUUCAGCGCUCUCCAUGCUGCCCUCCUGGCUGCCCUCCUCCUCCUCGGCCGAGUUCCCGUUCAAGACGGGAGAAAACCAGUUGGUCCACUCUUGCAUAAAAUUCAGUCGGCGACAGCAAACAUCACACAGAGAUUCAAGCAAACGACAAGAUUAAGACAGUUAGGAGCACUCGACAAGAGUCUCUCACCUGAUUCGGCGGAGGAUUAUCCGCGCAGAAGGGCUUCACUCGUCGUGAUCCUUUGGGGUUCUCGCAGGGGCCCGUGAUCUGGAGCACCCACGAGGUCACCCUCUCCUCAGUCACGCCCACAACAUUGGUCCGAGUGGAAUCCUCGGGCCCCAUAUAAUGCCACAUGGCAUGGUCGCGAGCUUGCAGAGGCUGGAUCCGCCGACCAAGGAAGACUUCCAGCAGGUCUAUACCGGUGACCCCCCCUCCUGACGACGUCCACGAGUGCCUCAACCAAGGGCUGGACGUCGUUCUUCUCCGCCUUCGAGAGCGCGAGCUGCUUAGGCGGGGCGGGCCGGUCUAGACUAAAAGGAGGCAGACCAGUCGACGCAUUCGGACAGGCGAUAUCCUGGCAGUAGAACCACAUCGACUGCCAGUUCCUAACCGACUCACUUAACUGGAGAGCAGGAUAGCUACUCCGACUCUUCUUCUGGAAUCCUAAACCCCCGCAGAGCUGGAGGAGGUGCGUCUUAUCAUCCGACUGGCUAAGUCGUUUCAUGGUUUGGGAUCGGGCGGAGAAGAUGUGUUUGAACAAACCCCAAUGGGGAGGGCAGCCGAUGAAACACUCACAUAAGACUAUGAAGGCAGAAAGGUGCGCGAUGGCAUUCGGAGGGAAAUGGUGAAGUUGGGCACCAAAGUGAUUCAUGAUGCCCUUGAAGAAAGGAUGUGGGGGCAAAGAAAAACCUCGAUUGACGUGGCUGAGGAUCAAGACGCGCUCCCCCUCCCGAGGCGCUGGCUCGACCUCGUCCUCUGCUGGCAGCCUCCAGGACUUGUGCACGAUCACCCCGUGCUCCACCAGCUGCAGUAGAUCCCCCUCCAUCACCGUGGAGGGGAGGAAGUCGCCCUGGAUCCAUCCCGCCGGCAGUGGCCGCUGCCGCCGCUGAGCAGGCGCCGCCGUCUUCCCCUUCUUCUUCCUCGCCUCCAUCUUGCUGGUUUGGCCCUUGGUCAUGGCGGUGGCUGCGAGCCCUCGGGAAGAAGGAGAAGGGAGGAGGAUAGGAGCAUUGGAGGUGGCGAGAAGGACAGGGCAAGCGAGAGCGAAAGAUUCGGCGAGCGUAACGAAGAAGUCUCGCCGCCUAGAUUUAAAUAGCGUUCAGACUGGGUCACUGGCGGGUGGCCCCAAAACCUUAUCCGCCCGACCGGCCGCGGCGAUAUCAGUGGAGGAGUUGAAGGCGCGAGAAUUGAGGCGUCAGGCGCUACUCGAGUGCGCUGGCGUCAUCCCCAUUGAGCGCGCGAAACCCGAAAUUUGAGAUCCCGGAAAAUCCGCCGCUGUCAGUUGACCGGUCGCAUCAAAAGAUGCCGCAGAAACACUCGGCUCCCGACAGUCUGUUUCGCAAGCACAUCCACUCGGAUCGUUGGUCAGAAAAGAUAAAAUGGACAGAGGCAAGCAACGCCCAAGCCGAAUCUAAUCUAGUCGGAUCCGAACUUCAAGCACCGCUUCGUUGUUUCAACCUCAAUCCAUUCGGGGACUAAUGUUGGGGUCAUAGUCCUAGGGUAGGGUCAUAGGCCUGCCAUACAGGUCCUACCCAAGGACUACCCCACACAAAGGACGGAGCCCUAAGUCUGCCCCGACUGAAUUAUGGAGUCCCCAUCAUCCAGUCGGUAACAGAUCCUCAAUCAUCCAGUCGGAGACUAGCAUUCGGAGGAUACCAAGCUAACCGACUGGCUACACUCGGUACAUCGUAACCUCUCUGGAGGGAAACGGUCGUACGUUUCCGGGUGCAUUUAUUAGCAUUUAGAGCAUACGUUAUCUGUAACGUACGCAUUCAAUCCCCACUACUCCACCCCCAUACCGGAAUCGUUGUGGAGGGCAGCGCACUCUAUAUAAGCCGCCCUCCCCCACUGGUAGAGGGGUUAGCAAAUCAUUGUGUUCCAUAUUACACUCGACAACAAGCUCCGAGAGCACUGAGACGUAGGGCUAUUACCUCCACCACAGAGGGGCCUGAACUCAUACAACCUCGCCGUAGCUAGGACUCUACCCAUCUCAUUCGUACCCUACACAUCUACUGUCAGGCUUAUACCCAUGACAGCAACUAUAUUGGGUAGCCCUCAUACCAAAAGGAUUGAACCCAUCGAGGCUGAUGGAGAUUCGACAAUUCCUUGGUUCUUUAGGUUUUUCCUUAUGUAUACUAUCGAAUGCCUUCCAUGCGUCACGAUCUGAAGGGUGUACCAACAUCGGAACUCCGUGUUCAUCUAAUUCUUUCCUAAUUCCAUGUCUGUGCCAUGUCAUCUGUUUUGAUGUUUCUUCGAGCAUGUAAAGUCGUUGAACUCUUGGUAGGAUCUGCAGAUACCGUAGGACACUCACGGGGAUUUUGCUCUGCUUCUUCUCACCUUCACCGUUUUCUACCUCAACAUAUCUGGAGGACUUGCAAAAUGGACAAUAUGUUUCGUCUGCAUACUCUUUCCUAAAUAAGGCACAUCCCUUCUCACAAGCAUGUAUCUGCUCAUACGGCAUCUUGAGUGCACUAAGGAUUUUGUCUGACUCAUAUAGGUUUGAAGGCAUAAUAUGACCUUCUGGUAGAAAGCGCCCAAAUAGGGUCAUCACUGAGUCAAACAGGUCUCUUCCAAUGUUGAAUUGGGCUUUCAGAGCCAUUACUUGUGCGAUGGCAUCUAGCUGAGAAAUCUUAGUGUGCUCGUGAAGAGGACGUUUUGAAGACUCCAACAUGGCAUAGAAGGCUUUCGCGGAUUCCUCCAUCUCUUCGUCCUUGUUCCGAGCAUCAUCAAAGUCAUUCACCAUGUCUUCAAUCCCUGUACCAUAAUCAUCGGUGCGCCGACGCAACACCUCGUCUCUGUUACGUUGGGCCGACUCACCAUGAAAUGUCCACAAGGUAUAGCCGGGAGUAAAACAACGCAUCUGCAGGUGUUUACCCAUUACAUCCUUUGUCUGUCGCGAAUAAUUCUUGCACUUAGUGCAAGGGCACCAUGUUUUUGGCUGGCCUUUAGAAAAUGUCGUUUCCACGAAUUCAUAGGUUUUGCUCAACCAUUCAUCGGUCAUAUCUCUCUGACUAUGGUGACCGGUGUACAUCCAUUCACGAUCAGUCAUUCUGGCAAGCUAGCUACAAAGUAUCCACAUAUAAAACAAUAUAAAUUAUCAGUUCAUCAAGUAUGUUAAAUUAAUUAUGGCCAUUUUUUAAUCAUGGUUAAUACAUUGGGAUGCACGGCAUGCACACCUACCAGCUACUAGGUAAAGAUGGGUCCUAAUCCCACCCGAGUAUGUGUAGAUUGGGCCAUUUCCCCAUGCUCUGCUCCCGACCCAACGCAAACUUUCGGCAGCACCUCCCCGUUGUUCUCCUGAUACACGUCUCGGCAACUAACCGAGAGGAUGUGUACCCGGAGAACAACAAGGAGGAGCUGUCGAAACUCUGCAUGGGAUCCGAAGCAAAGCGUGGGAAACGACCCAAUCUACACAUACCCGGGUUGUCCAUGGAUAACGUUGGACAAUUUGAAAGAAUCGCCGUUAUAAAUAUGCAAAUGCAUGCAUAUUUAUGACAGGAACCCUUUCGAACGGGAGACGCAUAUUGGUUGUGCAAGAACUUUGCAUUUUAAUACUAAAAAUACCUAGCUAGAUAGUGUCAUUAGCACGAAGGCCGGAACAGAGCAAAAUAAAGGGGGUGGAGGAGGAGUUAACAAAUGUGCUCACUUUCAAAUGCAGGGGAGGUCGUCUAAAACCAAACCCUCGCGGAGAAGCUACUGCACAUUUAAAUGCACUCAAUCAACACAAAUAUGCACUCGCGGUAAUUAAAUAAUUGCUAACUAAAUUUAACUUCUCUCCCCCUUCUAUUUUCUCUUUUUCCUUUUCUUCUUCUUCUUUCUCUUUUUCUACUCUGAGUAAUUAAAUAAUUGCUAACUAAAUAAUUCUCCCCCUUCUUCUUUCUCUUUUUCCUUUUCUUCUUCUUCUCUUAAUCUCCUUCUAAUUGCUAACUAAAUUUAACUAAAAAUCUCCCACUAAAAAUCUACCAUUAAGUAAUUCUUAACUAAAUUUAACUAAAAAUCUNNNNNNNNNNNNNNNNNNNNNNNNNNNNNNNNNNNNNNNNNNNNNNNNNNNNNNNNNNNNNNNNNNNNNNNNNNNNNNNNNNNNNNNNNNNNNNNNNNNNCUCCAAAAAGGCAUUCUCAGCCAAUUUAGCCCGAAGAAGGGGACAAGAGGAGAAGAAAGAGCAAAAAUGAAAGGAAGGAAGGAAGAAGAAGAAGAGAAGUAGAAGAAGGAGAAGGAGGAGGAUAAGAAGAAGGAGAAGAAGGAGGAGGAGAAGGAGAAGGAUCUCCUCCUUCUCCUUCUCCUUCCUCCUUCUUCCUCCUUAUCCUUCUCCUUCUUGUUUUCUUCUUCUUCUCCUCUUCCUUCUCCUUCUCCUCCUCCUCCUCCUCCUCCUUCUUUUACCUCUUCUUUUCUUUCUCUUCUUCUACGUAGCUUAGACUCAUCCAAGAAAGGCUAAAUUGGCUAACUAUCCUACGAAAUGACANNNNNNNNNNNNNNNNNNNNNNNNNNNNNNNNNNNNNNNNNNNNNNNNNNNNNNNNNNNNNNNNNNNNNNNNNNNNNNNNNNNNNNNNNNNNNNNNNNNNNNNNNNNNNNNNNNNNNNNNNNNNNNNNNNNNNNNNNNNNNNNNNNNNNNNNNNNNNNNNNNNNNNNNNNNNNNNNNNNNNNNNNNNNNNNNNNNNNNNNNNNNNNNNNNNNNNNNNNNNNNNNNNNNNNNNNNNNNNNNNNGUAGCUGCAAGAUGACCCAUUCCCCCUAACUUAGGUAUUAAAUGGCCUAUAAUUAGCCUAGUUAGAUCCAAAAUGGCUUAAUAAGCAUAGUUUGUUCCCGAAUGACCUAUUUUACCCAAGUUAGCUCCGAAACGACGUAUAGUUAGCUAGGGUUCCACCUAGAUGACAUAAUUAGCUUAGUUAGCUCCUAAAUGGUCUAUUUAAUAAGACAUGACCUAUACUUAGNNNNNNNNNNNNNNNNNNNNNNNNNNNNNNNNNNNNNNNNNNNNNNNNNNNNNNNNNNNNNNNNNNNNNNNNNNNNNNNNNNNNNNNNNNNNNNNNNNNNNNNNNNNNNNNNNNNNNNNNNNNNNNNNNNNNNNNNNNNNNNNNNNNNNNNNNNNNNNNNNNNNNNNNNNNNNNNNNNNNNNNNNNNNNNNNNNNCUUAGCCCGAAGAAGGGACAAGAGGAGAAGAAAGAGGAAAAAUGAAAGGAAGGAAGAAGAAGAAGAAGAAGAGAAGAAGAAGAAGGAGAAAGAGGAGGAUAAGAAGAAGGAGAAGAAGGAGGAGAAGAAGGAGAAGGAGAUCCUCCUUCUCCUUCUUCUUCAUCCUUCCUCCUUCUCCUUCUCAUUCUUCUUUUCUUCUUCUUCUCCUCUUCCUUCUCCUCCUCCUCCUCCUUCUUUUACUUCUUCUUCUCUUUCUCUUCUUCUAUGUAGCUUAGACUCAUCCAAGAAAGGCUAAACUGGCUAAUUAUCCUACGAAAUGACAUAAUUAGCUUAGUUAGGUCCAAAAUGACCUAUUUAAUAAAAAAAUGACCUAUAGUNNNNNNNNNNNNNNNNNNNNNNNNNNNNNNNNNNNNNNNNNNNNNNNNNNNNNNNNNNNNNNNNNNNNNNNNNNNNNNNNNNNNNNNNNNNNNNNNNNNNUGAUAGAACCGCGCAAAGUCAUGACGAUAUCUAAGGCAAUGAUCAUACAUAUAGGCAUCACGUCCGAGACAAGUAGACCGAUACUUUCUGCAUCUACUACUAUCACUCCACACAUCGACCGCUAUCCAGCAUGCAUCUAGUGUAUUGAGUUCAUGACAAACAGAGUAAUGCCUUAAGCAAGAUGACAUGAUGUAGAGGGAUAAAUUCAUGCAAUAGAUAUAAAUCCCAUCUUUUUACCCUUGAUGGCAACAACAUGAUGCGUGCCUCGCUACCCCUUCUGUCACUGGGUGAGGUCACCGAACGGUAUGAACCCAAACCCAAGCACUUCUCCCAUUACAAGAACGAUAGAUGAAGUUGGCCAAACAAAACCCACAACUCGAAGAGAAUUACAAGGAUAUGAAAUCAUGCAUAUAAGAGAUCAGAAGAAACUCAAAUAAGAUUCAUAGAUAAUCNNNNNNNNNNNNNNNNNNNNNNNNNNNNNNNNNNNNNNNNNNNNNNNNNNNNNNNNNNNNNNNNNNNNNNNNNNNNNNNNNNNNNNNNNNNNNNNNNNNNNNNNNNNNNNNNNNNNNNNNNNNNNNNNNNNNNNNNNNNNNNNNNNNNNNNNNNNNNNNNNNNNNNNNNNNNNNNNNNNNNNNNNNNNNNNNNNNNNNNNNNNNNNNNNNNNNNNNNNNNNNNNNNNNNNNNNNNNNNNNNNNNNNNNNNNNNNNNNNNNNNNNNNNNNNNNNNNNNNNNNNNNNNNNNNNNNNNNNNNNNNNNNNNNNNNNNNNNNNNNNNNNNNNNNNNNNNNNNNNNNNNNNNNNNNNNNNNNNNNNNNNNNNNNNNNNNNNNNNNNNNNNNNNNNNNNNNNNNNNNNNNNNNNNNNNNNNNNNNNNNNNNNNNNNNNNNNNNNNNNNNNNNNNNNNNNNNNNNNNNNNNNNNNNNNNNNNNNNNNNNNNNNNNNNNNNNNNNNNNNNNNNNNNNNNNNNNNNNNNNNNNNNNNNNNNNNNNNNNNNNNNNNNNNNNNNNNNNNNNNNNNNNNNNNNNNNNNNNNNNNNNNNNNNNNNNNNNNNNNNNNNNNNNNNNNNNNNNNNNNNNNNNNNNNNNNNNNNNNNNNNNNNNNNNNNNNNNNNNNNNNNNNNNNNNNNNNNNNNNNNNNNNNNNNNNNNNNNNNNNNNNNNNNNNNNNNNNNNNNNNNNNNNNNNNNNNNNNNNNNNNNNNNNNNNNNNNNNNNNNNNNNNNNNNNNNNNNNNNNNNNNNNNNNNNNNNNNNNNNNNNNNNNNNNNNNNNNNNNNNNNNNNNNNNNNNNNNNNNNNNNNNNNNNNNNNNNNNNNNNNNNNNNNNNNNNNNNNNNNNNNNNNNNNNNNNNNNNNNNNNNNNNNNNNNNNNNNNNNNNNNNNNNNNNNNNNNNNNNNNNNNNNNNNNNNNNNNNNNNNNNNNNNNNNNNNNNNNNNNNNNNNNNNNNNNNNNNNNNNNNNNNNNNNNNNNNNNNNNNNNNNNNNNNNNNNNNNNNNNNNNNNNNNNNNNNNNNNNNNNNNNNNNNNNNNNNNNNNNNNNNNNNNNNNNNNNNNNNNNNNNNNNNNNNNNNNNNNNNNNNNNNNNNNNNNNNNNNNNNNNNNNNNNNNNNNNNNNNNNNNNNNNNNNNNNNNNNNNNNNNNNNNNNNNNNNNNNNNNNNNNNNNNNNNNNNNNNNNNNNNNNNNNNNNNNNNNNNNNNNNNNNNNNNNNNNNNNNNNNNNNNNNNNNNNNNNNNNNNNNNNNNNNNNNNNNNNNNNNNNNNNNNNNNNNNNNNNNNNNNNNNNNNNNNNNNNNNNNNNNNNNNNNNNNNNNNNNNNNNNNNNNNNNNNNNNNNNNNNNNNNNNNNNNNNNNNNNNNNNNNNNNNNNNNNNNNNNNNNNNNNNNNNNNNNNNNNNNNNNNNNNNNNNNNNNNNNNNNNNNNNNNNNNNNNNNNNNNNNNNNNNNNNNNNNNNNNNNNNNNNNNNNNNNNNNNNNNNNNNNNNNNNNNNNNNNNNNNNNNNNNNNNNNNNNNNNNNNNNNNNNNNNNNNNNNNNNNNNNNNNNNNNNNNNNNNNNNNNNNNNNNNNNNNNNNNNNNNNNNNNNNNNNNNNNNNNNNNNNNNNNNNNNNNNNNNNNNNNNNNNNNNNNNNNNNNNNNNNNNNNNNNNNNNNNNNNNNNNNNNNNNNNNNNNNNNNNNNNNNNNNNNNNNNNNNNNNNNNNNNNNNNNNNNNNNNNNNNNNNNNNNNNNNNNNNNNNNNNNNNNNNNNNNNNNNNNNNNNNNNNNNNNNNNNNNNNNNNNNNNNNNNNNNNNNNNNNNNNNNNNNNNNNNNNNNNNNNNNNNNNNNNNNNNNNNNNNNNNNNNNNNNNNNNNNNNNNNNNNNNNNNNNNNNNNNNNNNNNNNNNNNNNNNNNNNNNNNNNNNNNNNNNNNNNNNNNNNNNNNNNNNNNNNNNNNNNNNNNNNNNNNNNNNNNNNNNNNNNNNNNNNNNNNNNNNNNNNNNNNNNNNNNNNNNNNNNNNNNNNNNNNNNNNNNNNNNNNNNNNNNNNNNNNNNNNNNNNNNNNNNNNNNNNNNNNNNNNNNNNNNNNNNNNNNNNNNNNNNNNNNNNNNNNNNNNNNNNNNNNNNNNNNNNNNNNNNNNNNNNNNNNNNNNNNNNNNNNNNNNNNNNNNNNNNNNNNNNNNNNNNNNNNNNNNNNNNNNNNNNNNNNNNNNNNNNNNNNNNNNNNNNNNNNNNNNNNNNNNNNNNNNNNNNNNNNNNNNNNNNNNNNNNNNNNNNNNNNNNNNNNNNNNNNNNNNNNNNNNNNNNNNNNNNNNNNNNNNNNNNNNNNNNNNNNNNNNNNNNNNNNNNNNNNNNNNNNNNNNNNNNNNNNNNNNNNNNNNNNNNNNNNNNNNNNNNNNNNNNNNNNNNNNNNNNNNNNNNNNNNNNNNNNNNNNNNNNNNNNNNNNNNNNNNNNNNNNNNNNNNNNNNNNNNNNNNNNNNNNNNNNNNNNNNNNNNNNNNNNNNNNNNNNNNNNNNNNNNNNNNNNNNNNNNNNNNNNNNNNNNNNNNNNNNNNNNNNNNNNNNNNNNNNNNNNNNNNNNNNNNNNNNNNNNNNNNNNNNNNNNNNNNNNNNNNNNNNNNNNNNNNNNNNNNNNNNNNNNNNNNNNNNNNNNNNNNNNNNNNNNNNNNNNNNNNNNNNNNNNNNNNNNNNNNNNNNNNNNNNNNNNNNNNNNNNNNNNNNNNNNNNNNNNNNNNNNNNNNNNNNNNNNNNNNNNNNNNNNNNNNNNNNNNNNNNNNNNNNNNNNNNNNNNNNNNNNNNNNNNNNNNNNNNNNNNNNNNNNNNNNNNNNNNNNNNNNNNNNNNNNNNNNNNNNNNNNNNNNNNNNNNNNNNNNNNNNNNNNNNNNNNNNNNNNNNNNNNNNNNNNNNNNNNNNNNNNNNNNNNNNNNNNNNNNNNNNNNNNNNNNNNNNNNNNNNNNNNNNNNNNNNNNNNNNNNNNNNNNNNNNNNNNNNNNNNNNNNNNNNGAAUAACAUACGGGAUUAUAUGAAUCCUUGGCACUGAGGUUCAAACGAUAAGAUCUUCGUAGAAUAUGUAGGAUCCAAUAUGGGCAUCCAGGUCCCGCUAUUGGAUAUUGACCGAGGAGUCUCUCGGGUCAUGUCUACAUAGUUCUCGAACCCGCAGGGUCUGCACACUUAAGGUUCGACGUUGUUUUAUGCGUAUUUGAGUUAUAUGGUUGGUUACCGAAUGUUGUUNNNNNNNNNNNNNNNNNNNNNNNNNNNNNNNNNNNNNNNNNNNNNNNNNNNNNNNNNNNNNNNNNNNNNNNNNNNNNNNNNNNNNNNNNNNNNNNNNNNNGCCGCCAACGCUAAGCAUGGGGCAUCCGCCAGGCAAAGGUAGGGCUUCCACGAGAGUGCGUAGGAGUAGGCCGCCGACGCUGAGCAUGGGGCAUCCGCCAGGCGGAGCUGGGGCUUCCACGAGAGUGGGUAGGAGUAGACUGUCUUGUGCUCAUCCUUCUUGUGCUUCUCAUUGUAGAAGUUGACGAGGAGUUGUGAGACCUCCUUGAUGAUGAUGCGCUUGAAUCCAAGUGUGAUGGUGGCCUUGAGCCUAGCAAAGAGUCCCUCAUACUCGGCGAUGUUGUUGGAGACCUUGUCGGUGCACCUUAAACAGAGUUGCACUGCAUAGUUAAGCUUGUCACUUGUGGGCAUAGUGAGAACCACACUAGCCCUUGCGCCCUGGCGCGUGAAGGCCCCAUUGAAUGCGUGGUCUAGACUCCAAAGGAGGCCUCCUCGGGCAAGAGCGGCACCCUGGGGCGGGGCCAUCCACUCCGCCGCGAAAUCUACCAAGGUCGUGCCCCUAAUGGUCCUGGUGGUGAGGACUACAACCCGAAGGGCUACCACUCGAUGUCCCAUUCAGCAACGUGGUCAGUAGUGUUCGGGCUCCGUGGGACCGAGGAGCUCAGGCAGCGGCGCCGCGGAGGCCUCCGUAGGCGCGACUCUAGAGGCCUCCUGAGGAGGUGCCUCAGCACGCGUCAACGCGGCCUUGAGGGGCUUGAGCGACGCCUCCAUGGGGGUGGCAUCUACACGCGCGGACUCGACAUCCUUCUUCUUGGCGUAGGCUCACUCCUCUUGCUCCACCACAAGGGUCGCACUGGCCGCUUGGGGGGUGGACGCCCUGUAGGCGCGUGCGAGGGCGUGCAUUGCAUCCUUCUCAUCGCAAUGGAUGGUGAGGGUGUUGCUGCAUUCGGGCACCUUGAUAAGGCCGUAGGCACGAAGGGUUGCAGCCACGAACUUGGAGAGCGCCGGGAAGCCCAAGAUGGCAUUGUAGGGCAGGCCGGUGUGGGCCACAUCAAAGACGAUGAACUCUAUAUGCUAACUAUUAUGGGUGUUGAAGGUCAUGGGAAGGCCCACCUACCCCAGGGGGAGAGUGGAGCCCUUGGUGACGUCCGAGAAGGUCUUGGUGGGUAUUAGGCGCUUGUAGGGACUUGGAGCAUCUUGAAAGUCACUAUCGAGAGCAUGCUGAGGCAUGCGCCACCGACGACGAGCAUCCUGGUGAUGGCCACACCGCUGAUAGCGGGAGUACAUAGUACAGGGACAUUGCCCAUAGCCCUAGUGGACUUGGUAUGAUGGUUGGCAUCGAAGGCGAUGGAGGGACACGUUCACCUUGUGUGUGAAGUGCUUGACAUGGUGGCAGGAUGGUGGGGCCUAGGAGCCUCCUAGGAUGUAGGCCACCCUGCAGGGCUCUCAUACGUCUCCAACGUAUCUAUAAUUUUUAUUGUUCCAUGCUGAUAUAUUAUCAUUUUAGAAUACUUUUGGGGUAUUUAUUUACCAAUUUAUAUUAUUUUUGAGCACUAACCUAUUGACCCAAUGCCCAGUGCCAGUUGUUGUUUUCUGUAUGUUUUUCACUUUUCAGGUUCUCAAUACCAAACAAAGUCCAAUUGACCUAAAAAAAUUGGUGUUUUUUUCUCGACCAAAAGAAGACCGAGAAGCAUCGAAAGAAGGCCGGAGGCCUCACGAGGGGCCCACAAACCAACAGGGAGCGGCCUAGGGGGUCGCGCCUUGAUGUCUUGGGCCUCCCUCGUGACCCUCCAACCUUCGUUCUCUGGCUUAUUAGUUCUCCUUUACCCUAGAAACACCAAAAGAGGCCACGAAACACUUUUUACGCUGCCGCAAGUCUCUGUUCCAAAGGGAAGCCAUGUGGAGCUCCGUUCCGGCACCCAGCGGGAGGGGGAAUCGAUCAUGGAGAGCCUAUACAUCAACCUUGUUUCCCUCACCACGAUGUGUGAGUAGUUCACCAUAGACCUACGGGUCCAUGGCCAAUACCUAGAUCGCAAUCUCUCUCUUGAUCUUCAAUGCAAUGAUCAUUGCAUCUUCGCCUUGAUCCACAUGAUGUAAUUCACUUUUGUGCGGUGUGUUUGUUGGAUCCGAUGAAUUGUGGGUGUAUGUUCAGAUUAUUCAUGAUAUAUAUUUGAGUCUUCUCUGAAAUCUUAUAUGAUUCGUAUGUGCAUGAUUAUUAUAGCUUCAUAAUUCUCUCUGAUCUAUUGAAAUGGUUUGGCUAACUAGAUUGAUAUUUCUUCGGUGAGAGAGGUGCAUUGUAGUAGGUUGAACCUAGAGAAUUUCUAUAUCCCAAUGACGGAAGGGGACAUGAUGCAUCUUUUUGUUGUUGCUACUGAGGAUAAAACUAUGGGGUUUAUUCAUAUUGCUUGGGUUUACUUUGUCUACAUCAUGUCAUCUUUCUCCAUGCAUUACUUUCAUUCGUCAUGAACUUAAUACGUAGAGAGGAAAUCAUAGAAGCAAUCUUGAAGUUAAGUAAUAGUAAUAGGUGCAGGCAGGAGUCAGCCAAUUUGUUCAUGGACGUGAUACCUAUAUACGCAUGAUCAUUUCUGUGAAUAUCGCAUAACUAUCCGCUUUUCUAUCAAUUUCCCAACAGUAAUUGGUUUACCAACCAUAUGUUAUUUUCCAUGAGAGAUGCCAUUAGGGAAAACUAUGGCCCUCGGGUCUAUUCACAACAUGUUCACAAAACUUUCAAUGGCUUGCUGCCAUUAAUUUGUUUUGUUUUUAUUUUGCAAUUUACAAUUAUCUACAACUAUCUACACACCUUACUUUCUUGCAAAUAACGAGACCAGGGGGAUUGACAACCCUCUUUCUCGUGUUGGGUGCAAGUUGUUAGUUCUUUUGUGUGUAGCCGCCGAAGACGAUUGUGGUUGAUAUUCCUAUUGGUUCAAUAAACCUUGAUUUCAUCACUAAGGGAAAUACUUACCCAUAUUGUGCUGCGAUAACCCAUUCCUCUUCACAGAAAACCCAACGCAGAUCACAAGUAUCGGGAAGGAUUUCUGGCACAGUUGUCGGUGAAUAUCAUCACCAACUACCAAGUAACUCCACACAAAUUUUCAUUCACUUGUUCCUAUUUUUAUUUGCUGGUACAUUUAGUUUGUCCCAUAAAAAAUAAAAAUACGAAAAAAUUUACCUUUGCUUGCUUAGCUUGUCACUAGAUUGCCUCUUCGUUGUGUAGUUUGCUUGUCCCACUUGUUACUUUGCUUGCUUGGUCACCAUGUCGCGAGAUAAGUUCCACAAUAUCUCUUAUUACCAAAUAAUCUUGGAUACAGAAGGUUCUAUGAAAAGUUCCAUGACUUCACAAUAUGAGCAUAUUGAAUUCUUUGCUUCUGAGAUUAAGGAACACUCAACUUUGCUUGAUGUUAUUAGUGAUAGACAUGAUGAAGUCAAUAAGGAAGUGUCUAAUCUACAAUCAAAAUUUGCUAAAAUUGAAGAAUUGUUAGGAAAGAUCUGUGAUAAGCAAACCACUCUAGUAAAUAGGAGUGCCGCUAAACCAGAAUAUUUUCCUACUAAUACUCAUGAUGAAAAUCUUAAAAUGAUUGGAACUUCUCCUAUUGAAUCUUUUUUUACUUCUAUGAAUAUUAAUGGUAAAGAGACUGGAGAUGAGUCAAAUCUAGUAAAGGAGCGUCCAGUUUGCGUGGAGGGUGAUGAUUUUAAUGCUAAAACUGAAAAAGUGGGCUUGGCGAGGUCAAAACAUUAACUAAUGAUGUGCCCACCAUCUUGGAUUACAAGGACUUCGAUUAUGAUAAUUUCUCAUUAGUAUAAUGUAUUUCCUUUCUGCAAUCCAUUAUUAUCUCACCCAAUGCUUAUGAAUAAAAUAGAGCUUUUACUCAACAUAUAGUAGAAGUUGUGAUAAAAGGUUAUGAUGAGAAACUUAAGCUUGAAGUUUCUAUUCCUAGAAAGUUGCGUGAUGAGUGGGAACCUACUAUCAAAAUUAGGAUAAAUAAAUAUGAAUGCAAUGCUUUGUGUGACCUUGGUUCUAGCGUUUCAACUAUACCUAAAUCUUUAUGUGAUGUACUUGGUCUCACUAAUAUUGAAAAAUGUUCCCUAAACUUGCAUCUUGUGGAUUAUACCAUUAAUAAACCCUUAGGUAGAAUUAAUGAUGUGCUCAUAAUUGCAAAUAAAACUUAUGUGUGUGUAGAUUCCAUUGUUCUUGACAUUGAUUACAAUCCUACUUGUCCAAUUAUAUUUGGAAGACCUUUCCUUCGAACUAUAGGUGCAAUUAUUGACAUGAAAGAGGGAAACAUAAGGUUUCAAUUUCCCUUAAAGAAAGGAAUGGAACACUUCCCUAGGAAUAUAAUUUGAACACCUUAUGAAUCAAUCAUGAGAGCUACUUAUGGGUGGAGUGUCCAAGAUGACAACACUUGAAACUAUGCAAUAUGUCUAGCUAGGGGCGUAAACAAUAGCGCUUGUUGGGAGGCAACCCAAUAGCUAUAUUUAUUUUUUACCUUUUACUUUCUAUUUAUUUUUUAUAACAUGAUUAUUGCUAGUGUAGUGAUCAUGUUUUUAUGUUUUAGUUAGUGUUUGUGCCAAGUAAAGCCUUUUGGAUGAUUUGCAUGAUAAGUAAAAUUGAUACGGUGUAAAAACAGACACUUUGAUGACGAGUGCGGAAUUUCUUUGAUUUUACUGGAAUAUCUUUUUAAGCUGAAUUCUUUUACACUGUAUUUAUGAAGACAUUCCUUAGCUCGUCCUAAUUUUUAAGAAUUUUUGGAGUUACAUAAGUAUAGGUUCAUUGCAGAUUACUAUACACUAUUAUGUUUCAGUCAGAUUCUAUUUUUUGCUUGCAUAGUUUGCUUGUUCUGAUGAUGCUAUGGUUUGUAUCGGGGGGUAUAAGCCAUGGGGAAGUUAGAACACAGUACCUUAUGCUCAAAUAAAAUAAGAAUCAACUCAUAACAGUACCUGAAAGUAUUUGAUAUGUUGCUUAGACUAACGGAUCUCACAAAUUUUUGUUGAGUUUUAUGUGAUUGAAAUUUAAGUUUUAGGUAUUAUCUCGAUGGACUAAGGAUUGAGGAGAAGCAAAAUCCUAAGCUUGGGGAUUCCCAAGGCACACAAAGGUAAUAUUCUAGGAAGACUCAAGCAUGUAAGCUUGGGGAUGCCCCGGAAGGCAUCCCCUCUUUCGUCUCAAUCCAUCGGUAUGUCACUUGGAGCUACAUUUUUAUUCAUCGCAUGAUAUGAGUUUUUCUUGGAGCGUCGUUUGCUUUUGUUUGAUUUUACUUUUAGUUUUCCAUAAUCAUUGUUUGCUGGACACACCUAUUUGAUAGAUAUACCACAUCAUCAUAAUUUUUUUAGAAUACUCUAUGUGCUUCACUUAUAUCUUUUGAGCUUAGCAGUUGCUCUAGUACUUCACUUAUAUCUUGUUGAGCCUGGUGGCGUGUAGAUGUUAUAGAACUAAUAUGCUCCCAUUCUUCACUUAUAUUUGUUUGAGAGUAAAUUCAAUAGUGAUAGUAAUUUGCAUGGGUCAUAAGACUAGAUAAAAAAUAAUGGUUAUUCAAUGGGUGAUAAUUAAAACCUACAUCUAGCACAUAUAGAGAAGUCGUGGGUUAAUGAUAUUGAUGUGGUAUGAAAAAGCUGUGAGUGCAUUAUUGUUAAUUCAGAGAAGUGUCGAUAUUAAGAGAUGUUAAACUUAUGGUCCAUCUAAAAAAUUAAAAGGGUAUGGUGAUGAUGUGUGUGCAAAUCUAUUCCUUCUUGAAAUCCUAGUGUUGUUUUGAGUCGGAGUCGUGCGAUCAUUAAUUCCUACCAACCCACUCCCUCGGGGUAUGCGAGUGGUACUUUUAUUUCUGAUAAAACUAAUAGAAGUUUGCAAUAAGUAUAUGAGUUUUUAUGACUAAUGUGACACCAUGGACAUAUGCAAUCUCACCUCCUCAUAUUUGCUUGCCUCUUCGAUACCGUGCAUAGCCCAUUCUCACCUCGAAGUGGUGCAACUUUCGCCGGUGCAUCCAAACCCAGUGAAAUGACACACUCUGUAGCACAUAAACCUUUUUAUAUCCUCCUCAAUACAGCCACCAUACGUACCUAUCAUGGCAUUUCCAUGGCCAUUCCAAGAUAUAUUAAGAUGCAAAUGCCAUCGUCACUUCGCAUGACUAGUUUUUUCAUCAUCAUAUUACUUUGCAUGAUCAUAAAGAGCUGACAUAGUAUUUGUGGCAAAUCCACCAUUCAUUAUAAUAUUUGUGGCAAAUCAACCAUCAUCAUAUGUUGAAUACAUGUCACGCUAGAUCAUUGCACAUCCUGGUACACUGUCACAUGCAUUCAUAUUGGAGUCAUAUUGCUUCAUAGUUCAUCAUAUUGAGUUGUCAAUGAGUUGUAAGUAAAUAAAAGUGUGAUGAUCAUCAUUAUUAGUUUAUUGUCCCUGUGAGGAAAUAAAGAUGGGGGAGGCCUGAUACGUCUCCAUCGUAUCUACUUUUCCAAACCCUUUUGCCCUUGUUUUGGACUCUAAUUUGCAUGAUUUGAAUGGAACUAACCCGGACAGACGCUGUUUUCAGAAGAAUUGCCAUGGUGUUGGUUUUGUGCAGAAAUAAAAGUUCUUGGAAUGACCUGGAAAUUUACGAGGAUUUGUUUGUGGAAUAUAUAAAAAAUACUAGCGCAAGAAUUACCUGGAGGGACACAGCCUCGAGCCCACAAGCCCAGGAGGCGCCCCCCUGGCCGCGCUUGGCAGGCUUGUGGGGCCCUCAUGGCUCCGCCGCCUCCAACUCCAGCUCUAUAUAUUCUCUCUCGCCCGGGAAAAAAUCGGAGAGAAGAGUUCAUCGCAUUUUACGAUACGGAGCCGCCGCCACCACCUGUUCUUCCUCUAGAGGGCAGAUCUGGAGUCCGUUCUGGGCUCCGGAUAGGGGUAAACGACGCCUUCGUCCUCGCCAACCAUCCUUCAUCGCCAAUUCCAUGAUGCUCUUCAUCGUUCGUGAGUAAUCUCAUCAUAGGCUUGCUGGACGAUGAUAGGUUGGAUGAGAUCUAUCAUAUAAUCGAGUUAGUUUUGAUGGGGAUUGAUCCCUAGUAUCCACUAUGUUCUGAGAUUGAUGUUGCUACUACUUUGCUAUGCUUAAUGCUUGUCACUAGGGCCCGAGUGCCAUCAUUUCAGAUCUGAACCUAUUAUGUUUCCAUCAAUAUAUGUGUGUUCUUGAUCCUAUCUUUCAAGUUGUAGUCACCUACUAUGUGUAUGACCCGACAACCCCGGAGAUGUACUUGUGGGUUAUCAAGACUAUUUUCUGGCGUCGUUGCCGGGGAGGCCUAGCUCUAUUCUCUGAGUCACUUGGGAUUUACGUCUGUUGAUCACUAUGAGGAAUCCGAGAGAUCCAAAAACUAGAGUCUUGCCCUCAACUACGAGGACAGGUAAGGAACUGCCAUCUAGCUCUGCACUUGAUUCACCUUCAGUUAUGAGUAAGUUUGUGACACCACCACCUACGAGAAAUUCUGAUGUGUCGCAUGUGCUUGAUGAUGCUACUUCUGCUAUCCAUGAUGCUUGUGAUGAUGCUUUGCGUGAUACUACUUUGCCACUAGGUGCAUUCCUUGAUGCACAAAUUGCUAGAGUUGCUGCUGAAUGUGAUGAUACUUCUGAAACUGCUGAAAUUAUUGAAGUAGAACCUGUUGUUUCACGUGUUAGAACUAGUUCUCCUAGAUAUGAAUUGCCUGAUAUACCUGAGGGUUAGGUUAUGGAGGGAGAGGUAGCUGAGGACUUUCUUGCUUGUAAGGAUAGUUAUGAUCUUGAGAAUUUAUUGCGCAAGUGGAAAGAAAAAUCUCUGAAUGCUAGAAUGAAAUAAAAUCCUAAGUUUGCUACUUCACCCACCUUUGUAACCGAUAAGGAUUAUGAACUCUCUGUCGAUCCUCAGUUAAUCACUCUGGUGGAAUCUGAUACUUUUCAUGGUUAUGAGUCUGAAACGGUUGUAGAACUUCUUACCAAGCUGAAUUAUAUAGCCACCCUAUUCACGAGUGAGGAAAAGAUUUGCCAUUACUAUAUCCUUAAGUUGUUUCCUUUCUCGCUAAAGGAUGACGCUAAGACUUGGUUCACUUCUCUUGCUCCUGGUUGUGUGCGUAGUCCCUAGGAUAUGAUCUACUACUUCUCUAAGAAAUAUUUUCCUGCCCAUAAGAAACAAGUUGCCUUGCAGGAAAUAUAUAAUUUUGUGCAAGUUGAGGAAGAGAGUCUCCCACAAGCUUGGGGGAGGCUUGUCCAGUUACUGAAUGCUUUUCCUGAUCACCCUCUUGAGAAGAAUGAAAUACUUGAUAUCUUUUAUAAUGGACUACCCGAUGCUUCUAGGGACCACCUAGAUAGUUGUGUUGGUUGUGUUUUCAGAGAACGAAUUGUGGAACAAGCUGAAAUUCUAUUGAAUAAUAUCUUGAGCAAUGAUAAUGCUUGGACUAUUCCCGAACCACCUCCGAAGCCAACUCCGAAGAAAAUAGGUAUUCUAUUCCUCAGUCCUGAAGAUAUGCAAGAAGCCAAGAAAUCUAUGCAAGAGGAAGGUAUUAAAUGUGAAGAUGUUAAGAAUCUACCACCUAUCGAACAAAUACAUGGUCUUGAUCACCCGACACACGUGUAGAGGUAAAUUCUCUUCAUAGAUUCAAUGAGAGUGAUAUUCCUUUUGAUAAACCUGCUAGCUUAUGCUUAGAUGAAUUUGAUAACUUUGUUGCCAAACAACAAAGUUUCAAUGAUUAUGUUAGCAGACAAUUGGAACAGAAUGCUCGUAUGCUUAGUCAUUUAAGUGCUUGUGUGGAUAGAAAUGUCAAUGAUCUUAAGCUUUUGAGUAAACAUGCCUCUAUGGUCACUACUCAGGUAGAACAAGUACUUAAGGCUCAAAAUGACUUGCUCAAUGAGUUGAAUGACAAUUCUGUUAGAGUCGUCACUAGAGGUGGUAGAAUGACUCAGGAACCUUUGUAUCUUGAGGGCCAUCCUAAGAGAAUUGAACAAGAUUCUCAAGGAGUUAGCGCUGAUGCACCUAGUCAUCCUAGUAAUAGGAAGAAAAAUAAAGAUGAUAGGAACUUGCAUGCUAGCAAACCUGCUGCUGUUAUACCUGAGAAUCCAAAUGAUAUCUCUGUUUCUGAUGCCGAAACACAAUCUGGUGAUGAACAUGAGCCUAGUGAUAAUAUUGGUAGUGGUGUUCAUGAUGAUGCUCAACCUAGUAAUGAUAAGGAUGUGGAGAUUGAACCUAGUGUUGAUCUUGAUAACCCACAACCUAAGAACAAGAGAUAUGAUAAGAACGACUUCAUUGCUAGGAAGCAUGGUAAAUAAAGAGAACCAUGGGUUCAGAAACCCAUGCCCUUUCCUCCCAAACCAUCCAAGAAAAAGGAUGAUGAAGAUUUUGAGCGUUUUAUUGAAAUGAUUCGAUCUAUCUUUCUGCAAAUGCAUUUGACAGAUAUGCUCAAAAUGUCUUCUUAUGCCAAGUACAUGAAAGAUAUUGUGACAAAUAAAAGGAAGAUACCUGAGGUUGAGAUUUCCACCAUGCUUGCUAAUUACACCUUCAAGGGUGGAACUCCUAAGAAACUAGGUGAUCCCGGAGUGCCCACUAUACCUUGCUCCAUUAAAGGCAAUUAUGUUAGAACCGCUUUAUGCGAUCUUGGAGUUGGUGUUAGUGUUAUGCCUCUCUCUCUUUACCGUAGACUUGAAUUGGAUAAGUUGACAUCCACUGAAAUCUCCUUGCAAAUGGCCGACAAAUCAACUGCUUUCCCUAUCGGCAUUCGCGAGGGUGUGCCUGUUGUGGUUGAUAACGUUACUAUCUUAACGGACAUUGUUAUUCUGGAUAUUUAAAAGGAUAAUGCCAUGGCGGUCAUCCUUGGAAGACCCUUUUUAAACACUGCAAGGGCUGUUAUUGAUUGCAACAAAGGCAAUGUCAUUUUCCAUGUUAAUGGUAAUGGGCAUACGGUGCACUUUCCGAAGAAACAAUAUCGAGUACAUUGCAUCAAUGUUAUUGAAAGAACUUCAUCAAUUCUUAUUGGGAGCUUUGAAUGCCCUAUACCUACUGUCAAGAUGAAGUACGAUUUACUUGUUGGGGAUAUGCACAUCCCCGUUGAGGUAACCUAGUGAUUAUUCAAAAAUUCUCCGGUUUUAUGCGAUUCGAAAAAAGUUUGUCAAGGAGACUUUAUCAACCUCAUUGACGGAUUUCUUUUGAUGACCAUGAGAUGGAUGAAUCUAGGAGUCACAAACCUCCUGUUCCGAACUUUUAUUUUCUGUUGCUUAGAAGAAAAAUGAUAAAUUUAGCUUUAUUUUCCAGUUUUCUACUUUUUGCAUCCCUUAGAAAAGUGUCCCGAAAAUAAAAGUUAUCCAAAUGCCCUGAAAUUCAAGUAUGAUUUUUUCUGGAAUUUUUGAAAAAUUCUGAGACACAGAGCUAGUCAGGGGGAUGCACCAGUGGGGCCACAAGCCUAGGAUGCACGGCCACCCCCCAGGUCGCGCCUGGCAGGCUUGUGGGCCCCACGUGGCCCCCCUCCACUUAUUCUAGCUCCCAUCUCCUUCUCCUACCUCCAGAAAAAAUCAUUCCACAGCUCAAACCUGUGUUCUUGCUCUUCUUGCUGCGUUUUUCGAUCUCCUUGUGCAAAUCCCCAUUCACCAAACUGUUUUGGGGAAAUUGUUCCUUGGUAUGUGACUCCUCCAUUGGUCCAAUUAGGUUUUGCUCUAGUGCCUUAUUCAUUGUGUAUUUUUGCUGCCUUGGUGACCCUGUUCUUGAGCUUUGCAUGCUAAUUUUAGUUGGUCCCAAGUAGUUUUGAUGCAUGAUAUGGCCUCUAGGCACUUGAAGGAGUAGUUGCUAUGAGUUUUGUUGAGCCUUGUUCACCUUUCUCUUGAGUCACUAAAAAUUUCAGAAAAAGAAGACGUUCAGGAGAAACUAUCAUGGUGGUUCCUCAAGCAAAAGGGGUCCCCGUCUCUCGAUUCGGGAGCCCGAUCCUUAUCAGCCAAGGGACGCACCGGUACAACCAUGUGAAUGGCCUUCCGAUGAAUUCAUGAUUGAUGCAGGUUUCAAAGAUGAGUUUGAUACAUUUGUUCACAAUGUCGGGCUCGAAGAAUUCAUCUCCAACAAAUGCGAACAGUAUACUACACUCAUUGCCUCUUUUGUUCGUAGAUUCAAAUUUUCAGUUGGCCGUGACGCAUCCAUACUGUUUGAUCUGUAUGGCAAAUCGUACACCAUGGAUUUAGAGGAUUUUAAUAGAAUUCGCAAGAUACCUGAUUGGGGUAGUCUCAAUGAUCCUCCUAAGUCUUCGGUUAGAGAUUUUAUCUCUAGUAUAACUGUUGGAGAAACUAGAGAUACUACGCACGCUACCAUGGGGAGCAUUCAUUUUCCUGCCUUGCAUUACUUUGCCCUCUUCAUAGGUAGAUACAUUAACGGCAAAAUUGAGCAUUGUCACCUCUGCGCACCUGACCUUAGUAUUCUUAAGAGCGCAGUAAUGGGUGAUAGAAGUUUCAAAAUGGGAGCUAUAAUCGCGGGGAGGCUAAAUAAUAAUGCUAAUGAAGGGGAUUUCUUUGGUGGGAUCUAUGCCACUCGCAUAGCAAAUUUUCUUGGAGUACCCAUCCGCGAAGGAGAUCCCCCGCUCCAUACAACUUUCCUUGAUCGCGCCGCUAUGACACGUUAUCAGUUCCUUGAGAGGGAUAAUGAAUCCCUCCUAUACCGGGUAAUAUUUAACCGAUAGCGUGUUUUCCAUAUUACCCUUCCUGCUCAUGCCUUCUUUGACUUUCAGGUAAAACGGAGAUAUUACAUAACGAGAGGAGAGGCAGAGGAGUAUGAGAGGGAGGCAAAGGCUGCUCGCCUCCGUGAGCCAGCUAUUCAGGCGGUAGCUGCCGCGUUCCCGUACAACCCCCAAUAUGAUUUUGGAUAUCACCCAGACCAGCCGUGGGAGUAGACCAACUUAGGCCAAAAGCCUAAGCUUGGGGGAGUACGUAUUUCUCACUUACUUUAUAUUCAUGCUUACACUUUGAUAGUCGGUGUUCACACCUUGCCACUGUAUCAUCCAUGCUAGUUUAUUUCUUUUUCUCGCUUUCUUCUCAUGUGUUUGUUAGUUUGAGAAAAAAAAUUAGUUGUAAGUUUGCUUUCCAGUUUGCUUAGUGGUGUUUGAAGAGAAAACCCAAAAAGAUUUCCCGUUCUUGUUUUGCUUGUUGGGAGCUUUCCCGUGUAAAUAGUUUUCUUUUUCUUUGGGUCAAAGCAGAAGGCCAUAGUUAAAUGGUUUAGUGGCUCUCACAUGCAUAUAUGUUUAUCCGUCAAAGAGCCAUAUUACUAUGUCUUCUCCUUUGAGUUUUCUUGCAGAUUCCAGCUUAGUCCAAUGCACGAACACUCUCAUUAUGAUUCACAUCAUUCGGUCGUGCAAAUGAAAGGCAAUAAUGACGAUAUAUGAUGAAGUGACUGGGCGUGGAAAAGCUUGUAUGAACUCGAUCUAUUUUGUUUUUGUAAAUAUGACUAGCUCAUUGUUCCUAAUUCAGCUUUGUUAUGAGAGAAACAUGUUUGCAAUGACAACUUAGAGAUCAUAGUUUCUGAUGCCAUGCUUAAUUAGCUAGGAGCUUAUAAUGGUUUGUCUUGGAUGCCAUCAUGAAUUUCAAGAUGAUUAUGAUGUAGUAUGAUAGGAUGGUAUCCUCCUUUGAAUGAUUCAAGUGGCUUGACUUGGGACAUUUUUACGCAUGUAGUUGAAACAAAAUCAACAUAGCCUUGAUGAUAUUCAUGUUUAUGGUAAUUUAUGUCCUACUCAUGCUUGCACUCAAUGUUGGUUAAUUUCAAUGCAUUUUGAUGACUGUUGUCGCUCUCUAGUUGGUCGCUUCCCAGUCUUUUGCUAGCCUUCACUUGUACUAAGCAGGAAUACUGCUUGUGCAUCCACUUCCAUAAACCCAAAGUUGUUCAUAUGAGUCCACCAUACCUACCUAUAUGCGGUAUCUACCUGUCGUUCCAAGUAAAUUUGCAUGUGCCACUCUCUAAAACUUCAAGUAAUAAUCUAUUUUGUAUGCCCGAACCGCUCAUGUGGUGACAAGGGGAGAUCGGUAUCUUCCAUGCUAGGCGUGUUAUCCUCGAUACGUGUUUAUUCACUAUCACUCAUGAGAAAGGGUCGGUAAUCGGAAUGCCCAGUUCCAUGCUCAAAUCAAAAAGAUAAUUGCAAACAAAACUCCCCCUGGAUUGUUGUUGGUAUGGAUGGCACCCGAGGAUUCAGCUAGUCGUGGAGUGUGAUUGAUCGGUGGUGGGGGAGUCAAAACUUUACUUUUCUGUUUGGGAACCGCCUAAAGUAUGUGUAGCAUGGAAGAUGGUGGAAACUCUUGGUCAUCGCAUUGACAAUGAAAGCAUGCCACCCAAAAUUAUUUGUCUAUGUUUUAAAAGCUUGAGCUCUGGCACCUCUGCAAAUCAAUGCUUCCCUCUAUGAAGGGCCUAUCUAUUUAUGUUUCUAUUGAGUCAUCGUCUUCUUUCAAAAAGUACCAAUUAGAGAGCACCUCCGUCAUUUUUAUGCUUUGCUAUUAAUUGAUAUUGAGUAUGACUGUGACUGGAUCUUCUUUGCCAUGAAUUACAAUGUUCAGUCAACCCUUGGUCUUUGAAGGUGCUCUGCAUCUUAGUUUUGCGGUCUCAGAAAGAGUUAGCGAGAUACCACCUAUUCAUAUUGCUUGAUGAUUGUUUUGAUUGAAGUGUUGACGUUUGAAACUUAUUAUUAUUGCUCGCUAGUUGAUUAUGCCAUUGGUAUGAGUUUGCCAUGAGACCUAGAUGUCAUUGCUUAUGUGGUUAGCUUAUGAUCUUGCUGAAAAUCCGAAUAUGAGUUAGACAUAAUUACAACAACAAGAUCAAACAGAGUUUGUAAAAGUUUUUCUUUUGUCUCUUUCAGUUUGUCAACUGAAUUGCUUGAGGACAAGCAAGGCUUUAAGCUUGGGGGAGUUGAUACGUCUCCAUCGUAUCAACUUUUCCAAACUCCUUUGACCUUGUUUUGGACUCUAAUUUGUAAGAUUUGAAUGGAACUAACCCCGACUGACGCUGUUUUCAGCAGAAUUGCCAUGGUGUUGUUUUGCGCGGAAAUAGAAGUUCUCGGAAUGACCUAGAAAUUUACAAGGAUUUUUUGUGGAAUAUAUAAAAAAUACUAGCACAAGAAUUACCUGAGGGACGGAGCCUGGAGCCCACAAGCCCAGGAGGCGCCCCCCUGGCUGCGCCUGGCACGCUUGUGGGGCCCUCGUGGCUCCGUCGCCUCCAACUCCAGCUCUAUAUAUUCUCUCUCGCCUGGAAAAAAUCGGAGAGAAGAGUUCAUAGAGUUUUACGAUACGGAGCCGCCACCACCACCUGUUCUUCCUAUGGAGGGCAGAUCUGGAGUCUGUUUUGGGCUCCGGAGAGGGGGAAUCGACACCUUCGUCAUCGCCAAUUCCAUGAUGCUCUUCAUCGUUCGUGAGUAAUUUCAUCGUAGGCUUGGUGGAAGGUGAUGGGUUGGAUGAGAUCUAUCAUGUAAUCGAGUUAGUUUUGAUGGGGAUUGAUCCCUAGUAUCCACUAUGUUCUGAUGUUGCUACUACUUUGUUAUGCUUAAUGCUUGUCACUAGGGCCCGAGUGCCAUGAUUUCAGAUCUGAACCUAUUAUGUGUCCAUCAAUAUAUGUGUGUUCUUGAUCCUAUCUUGCAAGUUGUAGUCACCUACUAUGUGUUAUGACCCGGCAACCCCGGAGUGAUUAUAGCCAGAACCACUCUCGGAGAUGACCAUGGUAUAAGGAGUUCAUGUAUUCACUAAGUGCUAAUGCUUUGUUCCGGUUCUCUAUUAAAAGGAGACCUUAAUAUCCCUUAGUUUACAUUAGGACCCCACUGCCACGGGAGGGAUGGACAAUAGAUGUCAUGCAAGUUCUUUUCCAUAAGCACGUAUGACUAUAUACGGAAUGCAUGCCUACAUUACAUUGACGAACUGGAGCUAGUUACAUAUCUCCCCAUGGUAUAACGGUUACAUGAUGAAUGUCAUCCGGCAUAAUUAUCCAUCACCUAUCCAAUGCCUACGAGUUUUUCCUACUAGUCCUUGCUAUGCUACUUUGCCGCUACUGCUGUCACUGCUCCUACUGUUACCGUUAUUGUUGUCACUACUGCUACUGUUACCACUGCUACUGUUGCUAUCACACUACUCUGCUACUGAAAAUUUGUUGUAGAUACUAAGUCUUUCAGGUGUGGUUGAAUUGACAACUCAACUGCUAAUACUCGAGAAUAUUCUUUUGCUUCCCCUUGUGUCUAAUCAACAAAUUUGGGUUGAAUACUCUACCCUCAAAAACUAUUGCGAUCCUCUAUACUUGUGGGUUAUCAAGGCCAAAUGAGCCCACCAUAAUAANAUGAAUGAGAGAAAAAGAGAGAAGGGACUUUGCUACUAUCCUUUACCACACUUGUGCCUCAAAGUGGCAUCUUGUUCUUCAUAUAGAGAGUCUCGUGUUAUAUUAUUCAUAUGAUAGUGGGAAUUACUUUUUCAUAAAAUUGGCUUCUAUAUUCCUAUGACGGGCUUCCUCAAAAGCCUGAGGUCUUCAUGAGCAAGCAAGUUGGAUGCACAGCCCACUUAGCUUCGCUGGAGCUUUCAUACACUUAUGGCUCUAGUGCAUCGUUUGCAUGGAAAUCCAUACUCCUUGCAUCAAUAUCUAUCGAUGGGCAUCUUCGUGGCCCGUUGGUACUCCUAGUUGUUGUGAGGCUAUAUUCUCCACUUUACACCCCUUUGAAACGCACCACCUUACUGUAUUCCACAUUUAUGCUAUGUCCAAUGGUUCACGCUCAUGUAUUGCGUGAAGAAUAAAAAGUUGAUGCAUAUUGAAAAAGUAUGAUCCAAUUGCAUGACUUGUACACCGUGCUGAUUAACAUUUGUAUUAAUGUGGUUAAUAUGGAGCCAUGCCUUGCUAAUAUAAAAUAAGAUGGAUAGGGGUAAAACAUUUUUUGAGGAUCGUAUACUUUGAAAGAUUGAUAUUUUGCUGCUUAUACCUAUAAGUACUACUAUGUUAAUGUUUUUUAAUUCAUCGUUUCUCAGUGAGCAUACAUGCAUAAGGUUACAUCAUGGGUAGCAUGUGACAUCAAAAACUCUGCUUUUAUCAUUUACCUACUCGAGGACGAGCACGAAUUAAGCUUGGGGAUGCUUGAUACGUCUCCAACGUAUCUAUAAUUUUUUAUUGUUCCAUGAUGACAUAUUAUCAUUUUAGAAUACUUUUGGGGUAUAUAUUAACAAUUUAUAUUAUUUUUUAGCACUAACCUAUUGACCCAGUGCCCAGUGCCAGUUGUUGUUUUCUGCAUGUUUUUCACUUUUUCGGUUUUCAAUACCAAACGAAGUCUAAUUGAUCUGAAACUUUUUGGUGAUUUUUCUGGACCAAAAUAAGACCAAGGAGCAUCGGAAGAAGGUUCGAUGCCUCAUUAGGGGCACAUAAGCCAACAAGGUGUGACCUGGGGGCGCCCUGAUGGCUUGUACCUCCCUCGUGGCCCUCCCGACUCUGUUCUCUGGCUUAUAAAUUCUCCUUUAUCCUAGAAACACCAGAAGAGGCCAGUAACACUUUUUAUGUUGUCGCAAGUAUCUGUUUCAAUGGGAUGCCAUAUGGAGCUCCGUUUCGGCACCGUGUCGGAGAGAGGUCGAUCAUGGAGGGCCUCUACAUCAACCUUGUUGCCCUCUCCAUGAUGUGUGAGUAGUUCACCACACACCUACGGGUCCAUGGCCAGUACCUAGAUGACAUUCUCUCUUGAUCUUCAAUACAAUGGUCAUCGCAUCUUCUCUUUGAUCCACAUGAUGUAACUUACUUUUGUGUGGUGCGUUUGUUGGGAUCCAAUGAAUUGUGGGUUUAUGUUCAGAUUAUUCAUGAUAAAUAUUUGAAUCUAAUCUAAAAUAUUAUAUGAUUCUUAUGUGCAUGAUUAUAAUAGCUUCGUAAUUCUCUCCGAUCUAUUGAAAUAGUUUGGCCAACUAGAUUGAUAUUUUUUUGGUGAGAGAGGUGCGUUGUAGUAGGUUCAACCCAGCGAAUUUCUAUAUCCCAGUGACAGAAGGAGACAAGAUGCGUCUUUAUGUUGCUACUACUAAGGAUAAAAUGAUGGGGUUUAUUCACAUUGCUUGAGUUUACAUUCUCUACAUCAUGGAAUCUUUCUCCAUGCAUUACUUCGUUUGUCAUGAACUUAAUACGUAGAGAGGCAAGCAUAGAAGCAAUCUUGAAGUUUAGUAAUAGUAAUAGGUGCACGCACGAGUCGGUCUAUUUGUUUAUGGACGUAAUGCCUAUAUACACAUGAUCAUUGUCGUGAAUAUCGCAUAACUAUUCACUUUUCUGUCAAUUGCCCAACAGUAAUUUGUUUACCCAUCGUAUGCUAUUUUCCAUGAGAGAUGCCAUUAGGGAAAACUAUGGCCCUCGGGUCUAUUCACACCAUAUUUACAAAACCUUCAAUACCUUGCUGCAAUUUAUUGUUUUCUUUUUAUUUUGCAAUUUACAAUUAUCUACAACUAUGUGCACAACUUACUUGCUUGCAAAUAACGAGACCAAAGGGGAUUGACAACCCUCUUGCCCGCGUUGGGUGCAAGUUGUUUGUUCUUUUGUGUACAUCCGCUAAAGACGGUUGUGGUUGAUAUUCCUAUUGGUUCGAUAAACCUUGGUUUCGUCACUCACGAAAAUACUUACCUAUUUUGUGCUGUGAUAACCCGUUCAUCUACACGGAAAACCCAACGCGGAUCACAAGUAUUAGGCUCUUGGGAGCCCCCACUGGUGACAACACCCCUAGUUGGAGUCGUACGUCCGCCGCGCCCAACCGCAGAGUCGUCACGGGGGAAAUGAUAGAUGAUUUGGCAGGGGGACCAACACCGCCCAGUGCGGACGAACCAUGGGUUAGCCUUGAGGCACACGCCCGAACGGUGCCAUUCGGUUGCGUCACGGCUAAGAGGUGGAGAAGAAGCGGUGUGUCUGGGUCGCUCGGUGCGCCGCAUUGAAGCAAGUGAGGACCGAGGGGGGCCUCGCCACUGCAUGCGGCACAGACGAGGCUCAUGACAUGCUUAAGUCGAGCGCCGCACUGUCCCUGGUGGGGCGACAUCACAGCAGCCCCUCCGCUAAGAGCAGCGCAACGUGUGGAGCAGGAGGGUUGCGACUCACCGGCGAGGGGUGGAAGCGGAGCAGCCAAGCGCAUGCUUGUUCUCCGACGGGUAGACGAAGGAGGUCGCCUUCUCUCUAACGGGCUUGGUGGUGUCCCAAGGGCGCCGCCCAGGGGCACCACGGGUGGCGGCUCAGCGUGCAGCACGCUCCCGACAAGCGGUGGCAUCAUCCAUGUCGAUGUUGAUGUUGAGGUCAAAGGUGCAAACACAGCAAGCUGCCCCUACCCGGUGCGCCAAAUUUCAGAGUCAAGGAUGUGCAUCCCCAUACUUCUCCAAAGAACUAGGUUCGGACACUCGGGGUGCUUGGCUUGGCAACUUGCAACACGAUGGUAAACACGGCAAGAUCGACGGUAAGCUCACUCCUUCUCACCAGACACGAACCAGACACGUGAGAUACCCAGGUUCGGGCCACCGUGCAGUGUAGAACCCUACUCCUGCUUGUGUUAGAAUUCUUUGUACUCGAGAGCUAUGCUCGAGGUACAUGAGGUGUGUUGGAGAGAAUGGCUUGAUCCCCUUAGACGUAAGUGGUUGUCCCCUCUUGUAGUGCCUUGGUCCUCUUCCCCGAAAAUAUGAGCGAGUAAGGGUGUCCACGUGGCGGAAAUUCAAAGGGGGACAGGAGCUCGGACUAAUCCGGACAAAAGGUUGUCUCCCCCUGCUAAAGCAGUCUUCGUGACGUGUUUGUGGGCUCGGCGAUGACCUUCAUCCUGCCUCGCUGAUCCGUCGUGAUCCUCUUUCAUCAAAAUGGCAAGCUUUGGGAUCCUGUCUUUGGCGAGAGAGCGGUCGCAGCACUCUAAUCACCAAAGAUGAAUUCAUCCUUGUCCGCGCAUGCUCGCAUGGCCUCUAUCAACCUUGUCUAUGUGGGUGCAUCACUCACGUGUUGGGCGCGGAGCCCUGUGGCAGGUAUCGUACAUCGUCCUCGUGGAUCGACCUCAUGAGGGGAGCCUCGUGAGACAAUCUGGCACUUGGUGGCCCGGGUUACGCCUAGUCUGGUGGUGAGCAGCCUCGCAAGCAUAGCCCCGCACAAGGCGGCUUCUUUCGGAGCGACCGUGGCUAAUCCAUCUCGCCGCGGGCCGGUGGCAAAUGGGUCGUGGUACCCUGGUUCCCACUUGGCCGACGGGAACACUAAAAGUUGCCACAUUUUGCACUAGUCAUUGUAACCGAGUUUUUACUUUGGUUCCACCGAGUUGAAUAAUAAUGUUGUAACUGUUGGAUUUUUGGAGAUGUCUAUAUAUACACAUCCACCUCCCUCUCAUACGUAGAGAGAGCACUCAAAACAAGCCAACACUAGCCCCAUCCAUUUUCUGAGAAGGAACCACAUACUCGUGUGUUGAGAUCAACAUAUACGAGUCCAAUCAUAUGAAUCUUGAUUUCUAGCCUCCCCAAGUUUCUUUCCACCCAAUUAAACUCUUCUACUGAGCCAAAUUUGUGACAGAAAGAUUGAGUGUUGAGGAGACUAUCUUUUGAAGCACAAGAUCAAGGAGUUCAUCAUCCAUACCACAUCUAUUGCCUUUUGGAGAGUGGCAUCUCCUAGAUAUGUUGGGUGUUGCUUGGGAGUCUCCCACUUCACGUGGAGUUGAACCAAGAAGUUUGUAAGGCCAAGGUGACCGCCUACUUCGUGAAGAUCUACCCUCAGUGAGGCUAGUCCUUCAUAGACAUAAGCCAUGAAGGUAUUAUCACACCCUAUGUUUUGCCUUACUUUGCUAAGUUAACAUAGCUUGAAAAUUAGGACCAAUUAAAACUUUUGUUGUGUGAUGUGAUGCUUGAACUGAUUGUUGUUUGCUUGCUUCUGUUUUAAAUCACAAGAACAAUCCUCCUACUUUUUAUACUCACCUCCUUGCUCCAAAUCCUUGCCCAACGACCAUGCCAUGUGUAUAGGACCUAAAACUAUUUUUACAAAAUAUCAUUUUUACCAAAAAGCAUUUAAUUAAUUUAAGCUUUCAAAACCCCCUCAAUUGCGGUUUGUAAUACAAGUCCUCAAAUUAGGAGGUAUAUUUUGCUCAAAAUAUUUUAUUUGGAUCUUUUUAUCAAAAAUACUUCCCAAAAACAGAAAAUAAUUAUCUUUUUACUAUCUUAUUUAAAUACCUUUUUCUGAGGCCGGAAAUGAUAUUUAUAGGGGGGAAUUAUUUUUAUGCCAAAACAUUUGAGAAAAGUUAGGGAAACUUAGUGGACAUAUGUUUUCCAUAUAUAAGAGUUUUAACAAAUGGUCAUGUUCAAAAUAUUGGACAAAACCCUCCAAAACCCUUUUUGCCUAUUUCAAGCUUUUGAAAUAUUGCUAUAAGAAUCAUUAUCAAAUAAUUCUAGUAAAAUUCUACCAUGUCACACAUGAUAUAUGUUAUGAUCUUGCCAAGUUUCAUCUCAACCCAAGUUGAUUUCAUUCACCAAAAUAUCCCAAAACCCUGUGUGUCCACAACCAAAUUUGAGCAACUCUACAUUGCCAGGUUUCUCCUUUUGUGCUCAAAUUUUGUGGGCGUGAUCUCAUACUCAAAUAACGCAUCCACACCAAGUGGUGCAUCAAGGAGAAUAGAUCCACUUGUACAAAGCCCCUCAAAACCACUUCUGCUGAUUUCUAGAAUUGGGAAUAUUUGCAUUGGCAAGUUUCUCCAAAUGACUCCAAACUUUUGGGGCAUGCUCUAAUCCUCAAAUAAUGCCACCACACAAAGUGGUGCAUUAGGGGGAAUUAAUUUGCAUGGGUUUGUCUAGGGAAAACCAUUUCUCCUGAUUUCUAGGGUUUACCAUCUCUACAUUGGAAACUUUCUCCAACAAAUCUCAAAUUUGGUGUCCAACCUCAUUUUCACCUAACAUUUGAUCUUGUUAAAUCUCACGGCAAGUAGACUCCAUUUUCUUGCACAAAACAACAUCAAACACCUUCUCGUGAUUUAGUAAAAACCCACCUUUUGACCCCUUACAUGGUUCCCCUUACUCUCAAACUUUUACCACAACCCCAAGUUGAUGUCUUCUACCUCCAAUAAGAAACCCAGCCCCCCAGGUCAAUAAUUGGUGGGGGUAAAACCCCCAUUUAUCCCAUGGACAGCAAGAAUCCACUUCUCUCUCAGCUUCCCCCCUUUCCUAGCCAGUACCCAGGGUAUCCAAAGCCCUUUUGCACCUAUUUUACUCCUCCCGCAGCUAGUGUACAAGGGUGGUCAUGCCAGAGCGCGUGCAGACGCGCCCAUGCUAGACAAAAGCUCACUCUGGAGCACACUGCAGUGCACUCAAGAACUGACGCCACACUAAUGACCUCCUCGAGCCCCUCCUACUUGCAGGACCACAUCAGCAUACAUGAUUCACCAUACGGUCAUCCCCAUCCUCUCUCUCUCUCCCUCCUGCGGCCCUCCUCGCAUGCACGCCGACCGCCCAAGCACACCAAUGGACGGCCUCGCACAGGCAAGCUUCUACCGCUCACUCCUUCCUCUUUUUUCCCUCCCCUAGUCCGAGACCAAGUCCACCAAUGCCAUAGACAUGGCCUAGGGUGCCCUCGUGGCCUAUGGCCUCACCCUCGCCCUCGACCUCGCCCUGCUCCAUGUCCACGGUAAGCACGCUCCCAAGCCAUUCAAGGCCUCCCUCGAGCCCCCACUCGGCUCCCUUUUCCCCCUCUCUCCCCCAGAGCCCCAGUAUCGCCAAAUCGUCCUCCCAUGCCCUUCUCCUCCCUCAUUGACGACAUUGUCACCUAGGCCUUCUCCUAAAUUCGGGCUCCCUCGAGCUUUCCCUCUCCCCUGACCCCUCCAGUGCCCUCUCGCCACCAUCUCUAAGCCCCGCAGCGCCACCAUUUCUCCUCGGAGACGCCCUGGGCUCAAUGGCAGUGAUGACCGGAGGUCCCCUCCACGACCAAAUAGACCAUCACCGCUAUAGCCCUCCCGUGCAUGAGCACGACAGGGGAUUGAUAUGUCUCCAAUGUAUCUAUAAUUUUUUAUGGUUCCAUGCUAUUAUCUUGUCAAACUUUGGAUGUUUUGUAUGCCUUUUAUAUCUUUUUUGGGACUAACUUAUUAACUCAGUGCCAAGUGCCAGUUCCUUUUUCUUCUGUGUUUUUGACCCCUUUCACAGGAGAUUUUUAAACGGUGUCCAAACGGAAUAAAACUUCCGAAAAGUUUUUUUCCGGAACAGAAGAUACGCAGGGGACGUGAGAACCAAGGCAAAGGCCACCAGGGGAGGCCACAAGCCCACUAGGCGUGGCUAGGGGCGCGCGCCUAGUAGUCUUGUGGGCCCCGUGUGGCUUGUCUGCCCUACCUCUUCCGCCUAUAAAUUCCCGACAAAUCCUAAACUACGAGAGAGAUCCAACAAAAUACUUUUCCAUCGCCGCAAGCUUCUGUCUCCGCAAGAUCCCAUCUAGGGCACAUUUUGGUGCCCUGCCGGAGGGGGGAUUCGGAUAUGGAGGGCUUCUUCAUCAACACCAUGACCUCUCCGAUGAUGCGUGAGUAGUUCACCAUAGACCUUCGGGUCCGUAGCUAGUAGCUAGAUGACUUCUUCUCUCUCUUGGAUCUUCAAUACAAAGUUCUCCAUGAUCUUCAUGGAGAUCUAUCCGAUGUAAUCUUCUUUGCGGUGUGUUUGUCGAGAUCCGAUGAAUUGUGGAUUUAUGAUCGGAUUAUCUAUGAAUCUUAUUUGAGUUUCUUCUGAUCUCUUAUAUGCAUGAUUUCAUAUCCUUGUAAUUCUCUUCGAGUUGUGGGUUUUGUUCAGCCAACUUGAUCUAUGAUUCUUGCAAUGGGAGAAGUGCUUGGUUUUGGGUUCAUGCCGUGCGGUGACCUCACCCAGUGACAGAAGGGGUAGCGAGGCACGCAUCGUGUUGUUGCCAUCAAGGGUAAAAGGAUGGGGUUUACAUCAUUGGUUUGAGUUUAUCCCUCUACAUCAUGUCAUCUUGCUUAAAGCGUUACUCUGUUCGUCAUGAACUCGAUACACUAGAUGCAUGCUGGAUAGCAGUCGAUGUGUGGAGUAAUAGUAUUAGAUGCAGAAAGUAUCGGUCUACUUGUCUCGGACGUGAUGCCUAUAUGUAUGAUCAUUGCCUUAGAUAUCGUCAUGACUUUGGGCGGUUCUAUCAAUUGCUCGACAGUAAUUUGUUUACCCACCGUAAUAUUUGCUAUUUUGAGAGAAGCCUCUAGUGAACAAUAUGGCCCCCGGGUCUACUUCACUUCAUAUUUUCAGCCUUACACUUUUACUUCGUUGCACUUUCCACCUUCAGAUCUCACUUUGCAAUCAAUCUUGAAGGGACUGACAACCCUUUUAUAGCGUUGGGUGCAAGCUCGUUGUGUUUGCGCAGGUACUCUGAACACUUGGCUUGAUUCUCCUACUGGAUUGAUACCUUGGUUCUCAAACUGAGGGAAAUACUUACUGCUCCUGUGCUGCAUCACCCUCUCCUCUUCAAGGGAAAACCAACGCAAGUUCAAGAGGCAGCAGAAGGAUUUAUGGCACCGUUGCCGGGGAGGAUCAAGUCAAAGAAUAGUCUCCCGUCAACGUGUCAAUCUCUGGCACCGAGGAUUAUUCUAAGUGAAGCUUAUCCAAGUAACUGUCGCAAACUCAUCUCUUGCAUUUACUUUUUUUGCCUCUCGUUUUCCUCUCCCCCACUUCUGAAAAAUAAAAAUUUACAAAAAUAUUUGUCUUUUUCGUUCGCCCUUUUCUUUCGCUUGCUUUCUGUUGCUUGUGUGCUAUGUGCCUUCAAUAUGCUUGCAUCUUCGCUUGCUGAAAAUCUAUUGAUAUGGAUCCAAUUAUGUUGAACCAUUUGCUAGUGAGUUGAGUGCACUUGACUUUCUCUAUGGAGUUUUGCUUGAGAUGCAUGAAUCUGAAAAUCGUGAUGAAGAAAUUUAUGAAGUGAUUCACGAGGGCUCCUUGAAUGAAAAGCAUGAUUCAAUGAUUUCAUUAUAAAUUCUAUUAAUGACAAUCAUGCUAAAAAUAUGCAAAACCCUAAGCUUGGGGAUGCUAGUUUUGCUAUGUCCACUACUUGUUGCAAUGAUCAUGAUUGGGGUAAUGAUUUUUCUUAUGAUCUUGAAAAUUUGUUUAAGCCUCUUGAUGAAUAUGAUAUUUGCAAUAAUAUUGAAAGUGGGUUUGGAGAAGUCAUGACUUUAGUUGAUGAUAAUCCCACUAUUUUUGUAGAGCGUCAACUUUGCAUGCAUGUGGAUCAUGAAAAGAAUAUCCUAUGUGAUAUCUAUAUUGUUGAAUUUGAAUAUGAUCCCACAUGUAAUUGCUAUGAGAGAGGAAAAUAUUGUGGUAGAAACUUUCAUGUUACCAAAUCACCUCUCGUUAUGUUGAGAUUGCUAUUGUCUCUUUCUUCUUCCUUGCAUAUGGUAACUAUUGGUUGUCUUAACAAUUUGUUUUCCUAUAAAAUGCCUAUGCGUAGGAAGUAUGUUAGACUUAGAUGUGAUUUUUACAUGCUUUAUGAUGCUCUCGUUGUGCUUCAAUUCUUAUCUUUUGUGUGAGCAUCAUUGAAUUAUCAAUGCCUAGCUAAGCGCGUUAAACAAUAGCGCUUGUUGGGAGGCAACCCAAUGAAUUUAUCUUUUUCUUUCUGUUUUGUUGCGUCCACACCAUCAUAAUUCUGUUAUGAUUUUGUUUUUUNGAUAGUGUCUUUUGUGUUUCUUUUUGUGUUUGAGCCAAGCAAAACCUUUAUGACUAGUUUGGUGUUGGUUGUUUGAUCCUGCUGGAAAAAGACAGAAAUUGCUCGCUCACGAAAGUAUUUGGCAUUUUUAUUCAGAAAGAGAUUUUGAGUUGAUUCUUUUUUCUCCUGGUUGAUAUUUAUUUUUCCCAGGCUGUAGUAAUUUUUCAGAAUUUUUGAGGUAACAGAAGUAUACGAAGUAUACAGAUUGCUACAGACUGGUAUGUUUUUGACAAAUUCUGUUUUUCUUGUGUUGGUUGCUUGUUUUGAUGAAACUAUGGAUAGUAUCGGGGGGUACUAUCCAUGGAAAAGUGAGAAUACAGUAACCUAACACCAACAUAAUUAAAAAUCAAGAUUGCUACAGUACCUCAAGAGGUGGUAGUUUCUUUUCUUGUGCUAAUGAUAUCACGAGUUUCUGUUUAAGUUUUGUGUUGUGAAGUUUUCAAGUUUUGGGUGAUGUUCUCACGAACAAGGGAUAAACAGUGGAAAGAGCUCAAGCUUGGGGAUUCCCAAGGCAUCCCAAGCCAAAUUCAAAGACACCAAAAAGCCUAAGCUUGGGGAUGCCCCGGGAAGGCAUCCCCUCUUUCGUCUUCAAUCCAUCGGUAACAUUACUUGGAGCUAUAUUUUUAUUCACCACAUGAUAUGUGUUUUGCUUGGAGCGUCUUGUAUCGUAGGAGUCUUUUCUUUUUGUUGUGUCACAAUCAUCCUUGAUGCACACCUUUUGAUAGAGACAUGCACUCAUCGUGAAUUUGCUAGAAUGCUCAUUGUGCUUCACUUACAUCUUUUGAGCUAGACAAUGUUGCUCUAUGUGCUUCACUCAGAUCUUUUAGAGCACAGCAGUGUGUAACUUGGUAGUUGGCUUGUGCUAUGAAAGUAGUCCCAAAGGUUAUAGGUACCCGAAGAGGAUAAAAUAAAACUUCCAUCUUCAUGUGCAUUGAGUAGAAAGAGAAGUUUGAUUCCUCUCAAUUAGUUUUGCGACGUGGAUUUGGUAAUAUUAAGAGUUAUGUUAGUAGGGUGUUGUGAAUCUAGAAAUACUUGUGUUGAAGUUAGUGAUUCCCGUAACAUGCAUGUAUGGUGAACCGCUAUGUUAGGAAGUCGGAGCAUAAUUGAUCUAUUGAUUGUCAUCCUUUGUGUUGCAGUCAGGAUCGCGCGAUGGUUUACACCUACCAACCCUUCCCCUAGGAGUAUGCAUUUAACACUUUGUUUCGAUUACUAAUAAAAACUUUCCAACAAGUAUGUGAGUUCUUCAUGACUAAUGUGAGUCCAUGGUAUAGAUGCACUUUCACCUUCCACCAUUGCUAGCCUCUCUAGUACCACGCAAUUUUCGCCGGUGCACAAACCCACCAUAUGCCUUCCUCAAAACAGCCACCAUACCUACCUACUAUGACAUUUUCAUAGCCAUUUCGAGAUAUAUUUCCAUGCAACUAUCGCCAUUCCAUCUCAUGACUUGUGACGUCACUCUCAUAUUGCCAUUGCAUGAUCGUAAGAUAGCUAGCGAGAUUUUUGAACAUCAUACGCCAAGCUAGAUCGUUGCACAUCCCGGUACACUGCCGGAGGCAUUUCCUAUAGAGUCGUCAUCGUUCUAAGCUUUGAGCUGUGAGUAAAUAAAAGUGUGAUGAUCAGCAUUAUUAGAGAAUUGUCCCAUGUGAGGAAAUAAAAAAAGGCCAAAGUUGCCCACAUAAAAAAAUAUGGAAAGGGGCCAAAGAGCACAAACAAAAAAAAGAGAAAAAGCGAGAAGGGGCAAUGCUACUAUCUCUUUCCACACUUGUGCUUCAUAAUAGCACCAUGUUCUUCAUGAUUGAGAGCUUCUCAUUUUGUCACCACCAUAUGCUAGUGGGAAUCUUCAUUAUAUAACUUGGCUUGUAUAUUCCAAUGAUGGGCUUCCUCAAAAUUGCCCUAGGUAUUCGUGAGCAAGCAAGUUGGAUGCACACCCACUAGUUCUCCUUUUGAGCUUUCACAUACUUAUAGCUCUAGUGCAUCCUUUGUAUGGAAAUCCCUACUCAUUCACAUUGAUAUCUAUUAAUGGGCAUCUCCAUAGUCCUUUGAUACGCCGAGUCAAUGUGACCAUCUCCUCCUUUUUGUCUCACAACCUCCACCACACUCUAUUCCACCAUAGUGCUAUAUCCAUGGCUCAUGCUCAUGUAUUGCGUGAGAGUUGAAAAAGGUUUGAGAAAUUAAGAGUACGAAAACAAUUACGUGGCCAAUACCGAGGUUGUGCAUGAUUUAAAUUAGUUGUGUGGGGAUGAUAGAGCAUAGCCAGACUAUAUGAUUUUGUAGGGAUAACUUUCUUUGGCCUUGUUAUUUCGAAAGUUCAUGAUUACCUUGCUAGUUUGCUUGAAGUAUUAUUGUUUUCAUGUCAAUAGCAAACUAUUGUUUUGAAUCUUACGGAUCAGAACAUUCAUGUCACAUGAAAGAAGUUACAAAGGAUAACUAUGCUAGGUAGCAUUCCACAUCAAAAAUUCAGUCUUUACCACUUCCCUACUCGAGGACGAGCAGGAGUUAAGCUUGGGGAUGCUUGAUACGUCUCCAACGUAUCUAUAAUUUUUGAUGGUUCCAUGCUAUUAUCUUGUCAAACUUUGGAUGUUUUGUAUGCCUUUUAUAUCUUUUUUGGGACUAACUUAUUAACUCAGUGCCAAGUGCUAGUUCCUAUUUUUUCCAUGUUUUUGACCCCUUUCAGAGGAGAUUUUUAAACGGUGUCCAAAUGGAAUAAAACUUCUGAAAAGAUUUUUUCUGGAACAGAAGAUACGCAGGGGAUGUGAGAACCAAGGCAUAGGACGCCACGGGAGGCAUCAAGCCCUCUAGGCACGGCCAGGGAGGUCGCGCCUAGCAGGAUUGUGGGGCCCCUGUGGCUCGUCUGCCCUACCUCUUCCGCCAAUAAAUUUCUGAAAAAUCCAAAACUGCGAGAGAGAUCCAUGAAAAUACUUUUCCGCCGCCGCAAGCUUCUAUCUCCGCAAGAUCCCAUCUGGGGCACAUUCUGGUGCCCUGCCGGAGGGGGAUUCGGAUACGGAGGGCUUCUUCAUCAACACCAUGACCUCUCCGAUGAUGUGUGAGUAGUUCACCAUAGACCUUCGGGUCCAUAGCUAGUAGCUAGAUGGCUUCUUCUCUCUCUUGGAUCUUCAAUACAAAGUUUUUCAUGAUCUUCAUGGAGAUCUAUCCUAUGUAAUCUUCUUUGAGGCGUGUUUGUCGAGAUCUGAUGAAUUGUGGAUUUAUGAUCAGAUUAUCUAUGAAUCUUAUUUGAGUUUCUUCUGAUCUCUUAUAUGCAUGAUUUCAUAUAUUUGUAAUUCUCUUCGAGUUGUGGGUUUUGUUUGGCCAACUUGAUCUAUGAUUCUUGCAAUGGGAGAAGUGCUUGGUUUUGGGUUCAUACCAUGCGGUGACCUCACCCAGUGACAGAAGGGGUAGCGAGGCACGCAUCAUGUUGUUGCCAUCAAGGGUAAAAAUAUGNNNNNNNNNNNNNNNNNNNNNNNNNNNNNNNNNNNNNNNNNNNNNNNNNNNNNNNNNNNNNNNNNNNNNNNNNNNNNNNNNNNNNNNNNNNNNNNNNNNNCCACUGUGCUGGAAAGGGAAAGCUUCACCCAGGCUCAAAGAGACGGAUGGAUAUUUUCAAGACCCAAGGCUUACCUGCAUAGCCACAAGUCAUUAUGGGCUUUGGCUUGGUUGAACAAUGCGGCGACUCUGGACAGGCGGUGCUAGCAGAUGUAGACGAACAGUAGGAAUGGAUGGGCACCGACAGGGAUUCAGAGGGACCCGUUGAAAGACCAUGUUUUGAUCAUCCGGUCUUCAAACACCCUGAAGUGCGAGGACAUACACGGAGGAGAUCAAAUCUUGUGGGGAAUGUGUGCAAAACUCUGCAGAGUACUCAAACCUAAUCGAUUAGCCAUGUCCACGGUCAUGGACAACUUGAGCCAAAGGAACUGAAGUUAUCUGGAUUUCUCAACACCAUAAUAUAUAUAUUUGAUGAGGGUAAUUAUUGACAACUCGGGUACGAGAACUGGUUGGCGGAACCAUCUUGUUAACUACCAACCUUGUAGUAACGUUUUGCUUUCAACCCCUCUUGUUGUAGGAUAAAACUGGCUUUAUGCAAAACUUAGCUCCACCGACCAAAUAUGCAUGUAGAGAUAGUUGAUUAUGACUUUACCCCUCUCUUAUGUGACUUGCCGGCAUAUUCAAUAUGCUGACCUACACGGCUGCAACGUCUUAUGUUGCAGAUAUUUUCUUCGACGAGUAAGAGUACGAUUCAGGGUUACGGUCUACACUCAACUUGCCGUUGGUGUUUAUUGGGACUCCACUCCCUUGACUGCUUCCGCUGAAAUAAUUAAGGUAUAUAUCAGUUUUACGCUAUUUACAUGUGAUUGCACUUUGAUAUAUACAUUGAUGUACUGUGUGUGCCAGCAUACUGAUCCAGGGAUGGCACAGAAACACAGAGGCUUGACUCAUUUUGAGUCGGGUCGCUACAGAGAUGGUAUCAGAGCACAUGUUGACUGUAGGACGUGACCCUAGAAACUGGAAAUUGCUUAGGAAAGGAUCUCUCAAAAUUUUUAUUUUCAACAACACCUUUUACUUCUCAUCUCUUCUAAUUUCAUCAAAUGUUCCCCCUCACCUCAAAUGGUUAUACAAUCCCCUUACCCCUUUGACCUCAUCAAGAAUCAACAGAGUCCCACUUCAAAGUAAAGAGGAUUUCACCACGCGUUUGAAGAAUUGAAGCUACACCAACAGUAGACUCCCAAGACCCGAAGAACUCGAAGACCCUGAAGUGUUCGAAUAUUUAUAUGACCAUUAGAAGUCCAAACCCUUGUUAUAUACCCACGUUAGUUACGACGAUUUGUGAGCCGUCAUUGUCGUGUGUUUUUCCGACGGCCACAAAUAAAACCUAUUCUCAAAAAUAUUGUUUGUAUUGUGUGUAUCUCCCUCCCUCUCUUACCCGUCUCAUCCCCAAAACCUCAACCCUAACAGAUGGAGUAUGAAGCUGGACUUGUAGUCUCUGGACCAAAGACCCAGCUGGAGGCUAAAAUAUGGAUUCAGAACAUGGAGAACCACUUCGGAGCAACUUGAUCUCGAGGAAGUAUGAAGUGGAACACGCUCUUCAGUACUUUACACAAAGUGCUGCAAUCUGGUGCAAAAUGCAUCAUGCCAUACAAGGAUUUAGUGGAGCAGAAACUUGGGACGAAUUCAAGAAGGCUCUGUUAAGACCCCGUCUCAUUCAGAAGAGCUAUGAUAAUCCGAUGAAGAAGCCUUGUGCAUGCAAGAUCUGGGGAGAAAUAGGACACACCCAGGAAGAACACAAUGAUGGAUGCCCUCAUUAUGAAGAAAAUCACUUAUCAGAGGUAUGCCCAACUAGUCAGGUGACUUGUUUCUUGUGUGAAGGAACCACCCACUACCCAGCCCAGUGUCACAUUUACCCCAAGGUGCAACAAGUUGUCAAGCAGCAGGAAGAAGCAAUGAAGGAAACGCUCAAGAAGAAGAUUUUAGAAGAACUGGCCAGAAUGAAGGAGUCCGGAAAGAAGAGAAAGUACACCAGCCAGAGUCAAAUCCCUACACAUAAAGACCUGAGUCAUAUCAGAUGUUUCAAGUGUAAGGAAUUGGGCCACUACAACAAUAUGUGCCCAGGAAGGAAGCAGGAAACCCAAGGAGCAAAAACAAACACCAAGAAGCCCAGAGACUUGUCAGAACUCAUUUGCUUUCGUUGCAAGGAAGUAGGACAUUAUGCUAGUAAUUUUCCAGAGGGGAAGAAAGCUAAAAGAUUGAGUAGUUAAGUUUUGACAAUGGCAAUACGUGUAACAUGAAGUCCUCUUGUUAUAACUAGUUUAUGGAGCUAAAUUUUGUAACGAAAGUCUCUGAGAUUGUAAUAAUUUCAUCAAUCAAAGGAAUUUAUUAUGUCAUGAUUUCCUAUGUUGAAAUUGUGUGAGUUGUUUCUCUAUGAACAAAGAUAUCUGGCCAUUUUUGAGGAUAUGAGAAAAUAUGAUCUAUGCAGACAUGAGUAUAUUUCAUUUUAAGUGUGGUAGUAAUCGGUAAACCCACAGGACCCAAGGAGUAGGAAUGUACCAUGCAUACCAAGAAGCCAAACCCAUUGAAUACAGUCGAAGGAAAUGUUGGAUCAUAUCAAACUAUGGGGGUGACAACAGAAGAAUAGUGUACCUUGGAAUUGGAAAUUUGAGGAGAGAUUUAAUAUGAGGAACAAACACUUUUGUUGGUACACAGACCAAUGGAAAAGGAAAAUGAGUUCAAGGGACACAACCGGUACCAAGGAUGCAUCUAAGGAUUUUCAUGAAGGUAAUCCCAAGAGCAUGAAGGAAUAAGCUAUGAUGGAGCAGCAAACGUUUUCUUAGGAGCAUACGAAAACCUGAGAGUGGUGAAGAAUACGAUAAAAUGUUUUGUUCAGCUUGCAGAACCUACGGAUCCAUGCGAACUUCGUUCGUGUACAAGAGAAAUUCUGCAAUGCUUGUGAGGAUGCCCAAGUGUUAGAAUGCGAGAUUCGCUAAACCUUAUACAGAGAAAUGAUUUGGGUGCGGAAUGGAUUGAUCACCAUGACGACUUACUCUUAUCAUUUAUCUUGCUAUUCGGAAUGGUAAAUCUGAGAGACUUACCCAUAGAGAGAGACGACGUUCUUUGAAGCUUUUGUUUAAGCCUUAGAGUGGUAUAAGAAAAGCCCAUGUACAUGGCAAUAGUUGUCACGCGUAGGAAAUUUUACGGUGAGGAUGAAACCAAGACCCCUCUCUCUGUAGGAUAACCACAAAUGGUAGACCACCAUGAGAACCAUCGAUAUGUUAUUUAGAAUUGACCACGAGACUGCCAGUUAAGAAGACCCAGUGACGAAAGAAGCUUAUAUCAAUAGAAGAUAUGAAGACUGUGAGGAGUCAUGAUGCCAAAACCCCCAGAGGAUCGUUAAAGCAUUUUGAGGGACCAGUAUCUCUCAUUUUAAGUGUGGUAGCAUCCCACCUUGCCGGAGAUUGGAUUUGUUAGAAGACCCCCAAACCCUAACCUUUCUUUCUAGCCUCUUUGAAUCUCGAGGACGAGAUUCAUUUUAAGUGAGGUAGUUUGUAACAUCCCAAAAUUAUAAAUUUUGGAAUGUUAACAUAAUUAUUAUUAGAUUGUUUGUUGGUUGCCUGAGUGAUUGAAACUUGUGUGAAAUUUGAAACUUUUCGAAACUUUUGAACGAGAGGGAAUAAAAUGACUUUCCCCUUCUCCGGUGAAUUCAAAAUAAAUCUUUUAAAAGCAACGAGAGAAGAUGACAUGACUUCUUCAACUAUAAAGAAUUUGAACGGAGAUAUUUGCAUUGAAUUCUUUUGCAUUUCCAUUAGUUUUCUUCGUGCAACAAAAUGCCGGGAAAUACAUUUCCAGAGAGGAGGAACAUGACCCUCGAACCCACGGGCAUUUUGAAAGUUAUUUGAACCCUCAAACUUAGAGGAUCAUUUGAAAAUUAUUUGCAAAAAGAAAUAAUGCUUUUAGGGAUUUUCGGAAAAACAUUUUUNNNNNNNNNNNNNNNNNNNNNNNNNNNNNNNNNNNNNNNNNCAUCUAUAUUUUAUUUUUGUGAUAAGUUUAGUAUAUAAAAACUCUUUAUUCUGAAUUGAUUUGAUUUCCUUUUUAACAUUUUAGUUUCCUAGUUUCAAAAAUAGGAAGGAGAUCACUUUUAUUAGGAAAUACCCCCUGGCCCAUUAAACACUUUCCUAUUUUUGGCCCAACAAGAGAUCUUCUUCUUCCUCCUCUCUCUCUCACGUGACAGUAGCUUUCCAUCCAUGGAGAGGAGAAUCCCCUCCUCCGGGAUUCGCGACGCACAUACCUUCCCGGCGCCUCCCGUCGCCUCUAUAAGAAGCCCCACGUCCUCCUCGUUCCAUUCCCGUUGAAAACUCCACCUCUCCUCGCCUCUAGCUCGUGCCCCACCUCGCCGGAGUCGUCACCGGAAACUCACCGGAGAGCACCAACAGGAGCUUCCCUCUCCACCUCGCCGACCCCUCCACCUCUCCUCCCUCGCGGCACCCCCCUCCUCCACCGCCGCCACCCCUCCACCUUGCCCCCUGCUCCUCCCCACGCCAGAACCUUCCCAUCGCCCCCUGCUUCCCCAUUGCCAGGAGGCCAGCAGCCCACCUCGCCCCCCUGCAGCCCCCCUCCCUCCACCUCGCCCCCCNNNNNNNNNNNNNNNNNNNNNNNNNNNNNNNNNNNNNNNNNNNNNNNNNNNNNNNNNNNNNNNNNNNNNNNNNNNNNNNNNNNNNNNNNNNNNNNNNNNNNNNNNNNNNNNNNNNNNNNNNNNNNNNNNNNNNNNNNNNNNNNNNNNNNNNNNNNNNNNNNNNNNNNNNNNNNNNNNNNNNNNNNNNNNNNNNNNNNNNNNNNNNNNNNNNNNNNNNNNNNNNNNNNNNNNNNNNNNNNNNNNNNNNNNNNNNNNNNNNNNNNNNNNNNNNNNNNNNNNNNNNNNNNNNNNNNNNNNNNNNNNNNNNNNNNNNNNNNNNNNNNNNNNNNNNNNNNNNNNNNNNNNNNNNNNNNNNNNNNNNNNNNNNNNNNNNNNNNNNNNNNNNNNNNNNNNNNNNNNNNNNNNNNNNNNNNNNNNNNNNNNNNNNNNNNNNNNNNNNNNNNNNNNNNNNNNNNNNNNNNNNNNNNNNNNNNNNNNNNNNNNNNNNNNNNNNNNNNNNNNNNNNNNNNNNNNNNNNNNNNNNNNNNNNNNNNNNNNNNNNNNNNNNNNNNNNNNNNNNNNNNNNNNNNNNNNNNNNNNNNNNNNNNNNNNNNNNNNNNNNNNNNNNNNNNNNNNNNNNNNNNNNNNNNNNNNNNNNNNNNNNNNNNNNNNNNNNNNNNNNNNNNNNNNNNNNNNNNNNNNNNNNNNNNNNNNNNNNNNNNNNNNNNNNNNNNNNNNNNNNNNNNNNNNNNNNNNNNNNNNNNNNNNNNNNNNNNNNNNNNNNNNNNNNNNNNNNNNNNNNNNNNNNNNNNNNNNNNNNNNNNNNNNNNNNNNNNNNNNNNNNNNNNNNNNNNNNNNNNNNNNNNNNNNNNNNNNNNNNNNNNNNNNNNNNNNNNNNNNNNNNNNNNNNNNNNNNNNNNNNNNNNNNNNNNNNNNNNNNNNNNNNNNNNNNNNNNNNNNNNNNNNNNNNNNNNNNNNNNNNNNNNNNNNNNNNNNNNNNNNNNNNNNNNNNNNNNNNNNNNNNNNNNNNNNNNNNNNNNNNNNNNNNNNNNNNNNNNNNNNNNNNNNNNNNNNNNNNNNNNNNNNNNNNNNNNNNNNNNNNNNNNNNNNNNNNNNNNNNNNNNNNNNNNNNNNNNNNNNNNNNNNNNNNNNNNNNNNNNNNNNNNNNNNNNNNNNNNNNNNNNNNNNNNNNNNNNNNNNNNNNNNNNNNNNNNNNNNNNNNNNNNNNNNNNNNNNNNNNNNNNCCUCCCCUCCCUUCUUCUUUUUUUUACUUGUCUUGUUUUGUUUUAGUUUUAGCCCUUAGAUCUCUAGUAGAUGGCUUAGAUUAGAUCUUAGGUAACCCUUAGGUUUAGUUUAGAAAACCAAUUGUUUUUAUUUCACUUAUUCCUUUAACCAGAAAAUUUUGUUAAGCCUAGGCCGUUUGCUCCUAAGUUAGCAGCAAACACCUCCCGCAACCAAUAACAACAUGCCACAUGUACCCCCUAUUUGUAGAUAGUUAGCUUCAGUUUUUUCCGUCUAAAUUGCAAAAACAGAAAGUUUUUGUUUUGUUUUGGCCAUAACUUUUGAUCCACAAGUCCAAUGGAGUUGAUUAUUUUUCCAGUAGGUCACAAAUUUCCUGUAGUUUGUAAAAAAAAUAUAAUUUGUCUGUGUUUGAAUUUUUCAAAUAUAAGUUAGAGCAGAUUUAGUUUAAACCUUGUUCUGCCUAUUCCAGGAGUUUGAAAAAUGAUUUUGAGUUGAUUCUUUUUGCUACUGUUUUCUAGUGAUAAAAUCUUACUGUGGUAAAAAUUUCAGAUUUGUUUGAGUAUCUUAGCUCACUGUUUCAUGUGAAACAAUUUCUGUUUCACCUCUUUUAGGAUUUCGGCUAAUUCAUUUUCUACUUUUGUUUUAAAAUAUUUUCUUUAUUAUUUCAGAAAUAUUAUGUUUUGUUUCUGUUAGAUAAACAGUAGUUUUGCAACAAGUUCUUAUUUUAUUUUUAUUUGUUUUCAUUAAAUCAAUUCUAGCUCCGUAGUAACGUGCAAUUGUUUUCAGCAUUGUUUCAAACCCCGUUUGGGAAUACUUUCAAAAAGUUUUUUGAAAAAUACUUUAUUUUAUCUUAGUUAAACUUAUAACUUAGUUCUUUGCCAUUUUUUCUAUUAGACAAAACUAUUUAGUGGUUGACGUAGUAGAAGACUCUUUAGUUCUAUUUGAAGUUUCUUUCGGUUUCGCUCUCUCUCUUUUGUUUGAUUGCUAGAGUGAUUGCUAGUAUGUGUGCUUAUGUGGAUGAUAUGUUUGUUAUAUAGAUUUCAUUGGAGAAUGACGAGUAGUCUAUCAAGUUAUUUUCUCGAGGAAUUCUUCUUCGUCAACAUCACAGGCAAGUCACUUUGAUCAUACUAUCACCCAUGUUUUAUGCAUUAUAGUUCUACCAUCCUAUGCCCAAAUUUGCAUGCUGCCUAGGUACUUGGAAACUUUAGCAUAGUUGUAGUAUCAUGUGGUAGGAACACAACAACCCCGAUACUUGGCCCCGGGACGACAAUUUCUUAAUGCUAUGCUUGAGUAGACGGGUUAUCGGUUGAGUGUAUACCACGAGUGAUGCGAGGUUGAUAUAAUAAUCAAGACCGGACUAAGACAAGAUUUUCAAGACCUCGGACGCAAUGCAACACUAGGUGAAGGACGGUUGAUCGGCUCCCUGGAAAACCCAGUGGAUGCCCGGGAUGCUGGAGAGGCCAUGUCAUCCUGCGGAAAGCUUCACCCAGGCUCAAAGAGACGGAUGGAUAUUUUCAAGACCCAAGGCUUACCUGCACAGCCACAAGUCAUUAUGGGCUCUGGCUUGGUUGGACAACGCGACGACUCUGGACAGGCGGUGCUAGCAGAUGUAGACGAACGGUAGGAAUGGAUGGGCACCGACAGGGAUUAAGAGGGACCCGUUGAAAGACCAUGUUUUGAUCAUCCGGUCUUCAAACACCCUGAAGUACGAGGACAUACACGGAGGCUAUCAAAGCUUGUGGGGAAUGUGUGCAAAACUCUGCAGAGUACUCAAACCUAAUCGAUUAGCCGUGUCCACGGUCAUGGACAACUUGAUCCAAAGGAACUGAAGUUAUCUGGAUUUCUCAACACCAUAAUAUAUAUAUAUUUGAUGAGGGUAAUUAUUGACAACUCGGGUACGAGAACUGGUUGGCGGAACUAUCUCGUUAACUACCAACCUUGUAGUAAUGUUUUGCUUUCAACCCCUCUUAUUGUAGGAUAAAACUGGCUUUAUGCAAAACUUAGCUCCACCGACCAAAUAUGCAUGUAGAGAUAGUUGAUUAUGACUUUACCCCUCUCUUAUGUGACUUGCCGGCAUAUUCAAUAUGCUGACCUACACGGCUGCAACGUCUUAUGUUGCAGAUAUUUUCUUCGACGAGUAAGAGUACGAUUCAGGGUUACGGUCUACACUCAACUUGCCGUUGGUGUUUAUUGGGACUCCACUCCCUUGACUGCUUCCGCUGAAAUAAUUAAGGUAUAUAUCAGUUUUACGCUAUUUACAUGUGAUUGCACUUUGAUAUAUACAUUGAUGUACUGUGUGUGCCAGCAUACUGAUCCAGGGAUGGCACAGAAACACAGAGGCUUGACUCGUUUUGAGUCGGGUCGCUACAUAUCGGUAUUAAGAGGUGUUAGUUUCUUGUUUGUGUGAAUAUUAAAAUGGCAUGGCGAUGAUGUAUGAGCAUUUCUAUUCCUCGUUGAAAUCCUAGUGUUGUUUCGAGUCGGAGUCAAGCGAUGGUUAACUCCUCCCAACCCUCUCCCUUGGGUCAUGCGAGUAGUGCUUUGAUUUUUGACGAAACUAAUAUAACUUUGCAAUAAGUAUAUGAGUUCUUCAACACUAAGUGGCAAUAUCUCAACUGUAUACUUUUCUAGGCUUGUUAUAUGCACAUAGCAUAUUACUCCCCCAUAAUGUGAUAACCCAACAUUAUUAACAAGUGUAAAAUGAAAACCAACAAGACAUAAUUAAUGGACCAUUUAGAAUUUGAAUUUCACAUGAGUAACACAUACCACAUAGAGACUAGAUAAUCUUGUAGUAUCAAUACUAAGUGUUAUUCCUCAUGUACACACAUAUUUAGGAUCUGAAGUGCACAAAGCACAUCACUCCCCCAAAAUGAGAUAAUCCAUUAAUCUCUCAAAAGAGCCAACAAAGAUACAACAAUAUGCAAAAAGGCUCAACAUAAGACUCACAUGUACAUGAUGUGCAAACCAAUAUACACAUACUUGAUUACUCAAGAUAAGCAAGUUGGAAGCACAGCAUACAGAAGCACAUGCAAGGUACAAAACCACAACAUGCAAAGGGGCAAGUAACUAACAAUGUAACCAAUUUAAGCACAAGUUGCCAUAAGGAGGCACGUUGAAUAUAAGAUAGAAACUCGAUAAUCCAAAUGACUUGGCUUGAUAUAAUAUGAAUGAUGAAUAUCCCUUAAUUCUUCAUAAUUUAGCAAAGUCUCCAAUGCCCUCCAACAUCACCUAUUGAUCAAUUUUGAGCUUGUGGGUACCCAACCAAGUUGGGUCCUAAGAGGUUAAUCACAAUAGUCUUGGCUACCCAAAUGGUUCUUUUCUUGACACCACUUUGAGUACCAGCAAACUUGGCAAACACAUUGCCAACCUUAUGCUUCCCAAGAGAAUAGAUAUCAUCAAUAAUGAUUGGGUUGGAUAAGUUACCAUUCGUGCAUGAAGAAGCAAAGUGACCCUUCUCAUGACAUAAGUAGCAACAUCUACCCUUUACUUUCUUCUCAAUUGAUUUCUCAAUUUGAGGAGCAUUGGCUUGGGUGUUCUUGGGAAGAGGCCUUUCUUCAAAUUAUGGUUGAGCAUGUAAUUGAACUUGUGGCCGCUUCCCUUGUUGCUUGUGACUAAGCGGCUUUCUCUUCAAUGGGCGCGAUCUAACAUGUGCCCUUCAAUCUUGCACUUGAAGCAAACAAUCUUGGCCAAAUUCUUGACUUGUUCUUGGCCCUUCUUCUUGAAGCUUUUGGACUUAUUAUUCUUGUUCGAGUUGAAUCCAAGUUCACAUUUUUCAUUUGGGAAUUUUUUCCCAAACAAGACAUUGUUGAGUGUGGACAUCCCUUCAUGACUCUUUUCCAAGUAUUUAUUCAAAGAAGUGACUUGGGCCUUGAACUAUUUGAUUUCCUCUACAUGGUUAGUAUCAACACACAUACUAGAGGAAGUAUAAGCUUCAUUAUUAGAGCAGCAAGGCAAGGAAAGUAAUUCAUCAUAAUAUGUAGCAACAUUAUGAGUAGAUGAAUUACGAAGACUAGCACAUGGCAAUAUAGCAUUUUGACUAGAAGUAGUGUUAAUGUUCACAUGAGGCUCACUUGAUGUUACCUUGGUAGUAAUACCCUCAUGAGCUCAUUUUAGCACAUUAUGGUAUACUAGAAGAUCACCGUGAGAGCUUGUGAGCAUUAUAUGACUUUGUUCCAAUUUCCAAUAAUUGCCAAAUAGCAACUCAAGUUGAGCCCUUAGCUUGACAUUCUCCUUUAAAAUGGAUGCUUAAAAAGAAAUAGAGUUAGUAGGAGAAGCAUCAUCAUUAAUAAAAAGAGGAGAAGGCAACUUGGAAAUCUUUUUAGCAUAUGAAGCUUCAAGUUGAGCAUGAGACUCGAUGAGUUCGAUGAGCGAACUCUUAAUAGCCCUUGAGUCAUUUUCGAAGGGCUCAUAGUCCUCAAGGAGUUUAGCAUGUGCAACUUCAAGCUUAUUAUUUUUUGUUCUAAAAUCAUUAGCCACCUUGAGAGCUCUAUCAUGGGAUUCCUUUAAUCUAGAUAAUUCUAGAGCAAAGGUCUCCUCAAGAGAUUCCUUGGUGGUUUGUUCAUUUUCAAGAGCUUGGGAUAGCUCCGCUAUCUCAUUACCGUAAUCGUGCUCAUGACCUUCCAUUGUCUCAAUGGUGGUCUCAUGCUCCUCGAGAUGAGAUUCCAACUCCUAAAUAUAUUUCCUGCCCUCAAUGGCAAUAGACAUGAUUUCCUUGAAGUUGGAACGAGCAAGAUUAUUCUAAUGAAGAACUUUAAAAAUCAUAUCACCCUUAAGUUUUAAGGAUGCAAUAUUGUCACUCUCUUCAUCAUUAUCUUCAUCCUCCUUAUCAUCAACAUCAUCAUCAUGAGAUACAUUGGGAUUCAAAGUAGGAGAUACCUUUGAAUCCUUAGCCAUAAGGUAACAGUGAGAAACAAUAGAUGAUGAUGUAGGAUCCCUUGAAGCAUCAUUCAAGGCCACAUCUUGUUCCAUGGAGUGAUUGAUUUCCUCUACAUUGUUAGCACAACACCUCGAGGAAAUAGAUACAUUUUUAUCAUGCCAACAAGAUAUAGAAAGCAUAUCAUCAUGAGAUUAAGUCAAGCAGUUUUUACAUGAUAUGCAAGGACUAUCAACACAACCAUGUAAAAUGUUUAGAGUUCUCGAAGUGUUAACGCCCAAAGAUGAAGCAUCGCAAUAAUAUAGUGAUGAAGCAUCAUCAACAAUAAGCCCACUAUUAUCAUUGCAAUGAUCACCACUACUCACCAUAUAAUUACCUUGUGGCAAUCCACAUGUAGGUGAAGUAGAUGAAGUUGAGAAGACCACACGACCGGAGGUGGAGGGAGAAUAAUCAUUCCCAUAAAUCUUGGACACACCAUAUUUACCUUGAAGUUUUGUACACAACUCAUGAGCAUCCCGGAAUGGCAUGAGUUGAAAUAUAACUACAUUGCUCAAAACAUCAAAAAGCAUGUUAGAAGCUUGAGCAUUGAGAUAAGAUUUUUUCUCAUCCUCUCAAGAUAUGUUUUGAGAAUCCUUUCGAGGACAAAAACCCAUAUCUACAAACCGUUCUAAAUUUGGGUCCUUGACCCUAAAUAGAUUAAGCAUGUCAAUUACCCAAACAUCAAAAUUUGUGCAAUUGAAACUAAGAGUGUCACAGAAUCCUAAUCCCCUAGUCGACAUCCUUACUCUCUAGGUGGUAAAACCUAAUAACGAGAGACCUAGCUCAAAUACCAAUUGAAAGGACGUGGAUGUCGCCUAGAGGGGGUGCAUAGGCGCUUUAAAAUAAUUACGGUUUUAGGCUUGAACAAAUGUGGAAUAAAACUAACAUUUAAUUUGUCAAGCACAAAACCUAAAACAACCAGGCUCACCUAUGAGAACCAACAACUUAUGCUAGGCAAGAUAAACAACUAAGUGAUAGCAAGAUAUAUGACAAGAAACAAUAUGGCUAUCACAAAGUAAAGUGCAUAAGCAAAGGCCUCAGGUAAGAGAUAACCGAGGCACGUGGAGACGAUGAUGUAUCCCGAAGUUCACACCCUUGCGGAUGCUAAUCUCCGUUUGGAGCAGUGUGGAGGCACAAUGCUCCCCAAUAUGCCACUAAGGCCACCACAAUCUCCUCACGCCCUCGCACAAUGCAAGAUGUCAUGAUUCCACUAAGGGACCCUUGAGGGUGGUCACCGAACCCUUACAAACAAGGUUGGGGCAAUCUCCACAACUUAAUUGGAGGCUCCCAACAACACCACGAAGCUUAACCACAAUGGAAUAUGGCUUUGAGAUAACCUCAAAUGCUCGGGGCAAUCUCCACAACCUAAUUGGAGACCCCGACGCUUGCUCGGACCUUUGCACCACAAUGAUUGAGCUUCGAGGCACCACCAAGCUUCUAGGAUACCAAAGCACCCAAGAAGAACAAGAAUUAGGGUACCAAGCACCCAAGAGUAAUAGGAUUAUCAAACUUCACUUCCACGUAUCAUCACGGAGAACUCAAACCUAUGCACCAAAUGCAAUGGCAAGGGCACACGGAGUGCCCAAGUCCUUCUCUCCCAAAUCCCGCCACAACAACUAAUGCUAUGGUGGAAAAUGAGAGGAAGAACGAAGAAGAACACCAAGAACUCCAAGAACUAGAUCCAAGGGGUUCCCCUCACAUAGAGGAGAAAGUGAUUGGUGGAAAAGUGGAUCUAGAUCUCCUCUCUCUUUUCCCUUAAAAAGGAGCAAGAAUCAUUGGAGGGAUUGAGAGUUAGCAAGCUCUAAGAAGGUAAGCAAAGGGGGGGAACGAGCUCAAGAGUUGGGGAGCCAUUGGGGAAGAAGACCCCCAUAAAUAGGUCCCCACAAAUCUGCCCGUUAUGUGCACAAUAACACAGGGGCGAUAAAACCGGUGAUAUUGAUUUCCUCAAGAUGGACCACCUUUCCUGAUUGUGUUGGUCAGAUAAAGACUAGUUGAUUGCUCCCCCAUACUCACUAUGGGUGAGCCACUCUUUAGCACAUCUCCACAAGUCCAUUGCCACAUCAAUGGAUGGCAAGCUUCAAGCAUGAUAUAUUCGUGAUGCUCCACUUGAACUUGCACACCGCAAUCUUGAUGAGGGUCACCACUUGAUGUCAUCCUCCAUGGAUUGUAUGAGAUCUUCCUAUUGAAGCAAGCCCAUGGAAACACACCUAACCCCAUGUACAACUCUCACAAAGACCGUGGGUUAGUACACAAAGUUUAAUGGACAAUGCUUACCAUACCAUGGGAUCACUUGAUCCCUCUUGGUACACCUUGUACGCUUUGUGUGUUGAUCAACUUGAUUCACUCUUUGACUUAGUCUUGAUCAACCUUGUGUCUUUAUGACCAAUCUUUUGGAUAAAACCUUGAAUACCACCUUGGUCAUCAUAUAAACUCCUUGAAACCAACAGAUGGACUUCAAUUAGUGCCUCUGGAAAAAUCCUUUGAAUAUAACUUAAGGCAACCAAUAGUCCAUAGCGAUUGUAAUCAAUUACCAAAACCGCAUACGGAGAAAUAUGCUCUAACACCUUCCUAUAUCUUCCUCAAAACAGCCACCAUAACUACCUAUCAUGGCAUUUCCAUAUCCAUUCCAAGAUAUAUUGCCAUACAAAUUCCACUGCUACAUCAUAUGAAUAGUUCAUUCAUCAUCAUAUUGCUUUGCAGGAUCAUAUAAAGAUGACAUAGAAUUUGUGGCAAAGCCAUCAUUUAUUAUAUUGUUGAUACAUGUCACGUUAGAUCAUUGCACAUCCUGGUACACAGGCAGAGGAAUUCAUAUUGAGUCAUAGUUCUUCAUAUUGAGCUUUCAUGAGUUGUAAGUAAAUAAAAGUGUGAUGAUCACCAUUAUUAGAGCAUAGUCCGAGUGAGGAAAGGAUGAUGGACACUAUGAUUCCCCCACAAGUCGGGAAGAGACUCCAAACGAAAAAUAAAAAUGGGGGACGCCAAAUGAGCCCCCCAUUAUAUAAAUAAUAGAAAAAUAGAAAAAAUGAAUGAGAGAAAAAGAGAGAAGGGACUUUGCUACUAUCCUUUACCACACUUGUGCCUCAGAGUGGCACUUUGUUCCUCAUAUAGAGAGUCUCAUGAUAUGUCAUCUUCAUAUGCUAGUGGGAAUUAUACUUUCAUUAUUACAAACUUAGCUUGCAUAUUUCGCUGACGAGCUUCCUCAAAUGCCCAUGGUAUUAAUGAGCAAGCAAGUUGGAUGCACACCCCCACUUAGCUUCAUUUGAGAUUUCAUACACUUAUAGCUCUAGUGCAUCAUUUGCAUGGCAAUCCCUACUCCUUACAAUGACAUCUACCGAUGGGCAUUUCCAUAGCCCGUCGGUACGCCUAGUUGAUGUGAGACUAUCUUCUCCACUUUUUCCCCUUUGAUAUCUACCACCAUAUUCUAUUCCACCCUUAUGCUAUGUCCAUGGUUCACGCUCAUGUAGUGAAGAAUAAAAAGUUGAUUCACUUUGAAAAAGUAUGAUCCAAUCGCAUGACUUGGACACCUUGGUGCUUAACAUUUCUAUUAAAGUGGUGAAUAUGGAGCCAUGCAUUGCUAAUAUGGAAGACGAAUGGUGGUAAACAUUCUUUUAGGAUCAUAUACUUUGAAAGAUUUAUGAUUUUGCUGCUUAUGCUUAUAAAUAUUACUAUGUUGAUGUUUGUUAAUAAAUAUUUUCUAAAUGAGCAUACAUGCAAAAGAUCACAUAUUGUAUAGCAUGUGACAUCAAAAAUCUGUUUUUAUCAUUUACCUACUCGAGGACGAGGAAGAAUUAAGCUUGGGGAUGCUUGAUACGCCUCCAACGUAUCUAUAAUUUUUGAUUGUUUCAUGCUAUUAUAUUAUCAUUCUAGGUUACUUUUUGGGUCAUAAUUCACCAAUUUAUAUUGUUUUUGAGCACUAACCUAUUAACAGAGUGCCUAAUGCAGUUUCAUUUUCUUUGCGUUUUAUACUUUUUAGAUUUAUUGUACCAAACGAAGUUCAAUUGCCUCGAAACUUUUUUAUGAUUUUUAUGGACCAAAAGAAAACUUGGAAUAUUCGGGAGGAGACCUGAAGCCACAUGAGGGAGGCAGAAGCCAACAAGGCACUGUCAAGGGGGGUGGUCGUGCCCUAAUGGCUUGUCCCUCCCUGGUGGCCCCUCUUGAUCCGUUCUCUGGCCUAUAGAUUCACAUAUAAUCCAGAAGACCCUAAGGAGGAAUGUGAAUCACUUUUUUGGCAGCCGCAAGUCUCUGUUCCACAGUGAUCCCAUCUAGAGCUUCGUUCCAGCACCCUGCCGAAGGGGGGAUCGAUCAUGUAGGGCCUUUUCAUAAACCUUGUUGUCAUGAUGAUGACGUGAGUAGUACACCACAGACAUAUAGGUCUGUAGUUGGUAUCUAGAUGUCUAUCUCUCUCUCUCUCUUGAUCUUCAAUAACACGAUCAUCGCAUCUUGGUUUUAAUUGUCUGAUGUAAUGCUUUUGUAUGGCAUGUUUGUUGGGAUCUGAUGAAUUGUGAGUUUAUGUUCAGAUUAUUCAUGAAAACUAUUUAAGUCUUCUCUCGAAUUAUUAUGAUUCUUACUUGCUUGAUCAUCACAGCUUCGUAAUUUUCUCUGAUCUAUUGAAUUUCUUUUGCCAAGUAGUUUGGUAUUUCUUUUCUGAGAGGGGUGUGUUGUGGUGGGUUCAACCUGGCGAGUUUCUAUAUCCCAGUCAUAGAAGGGGACAAGUUGCAUAUUUGUGUUGCUGCCUCUAAGGCUAAAACAAUGGGGUUUAUUCACAUCGGUUGAGUUUACUUUGUCUACAUUAUGUCAUCACUCUCCAAGCAUUAGUCAUUUUUUUACUUAAUACUCUAGAUGCAUGUUGGAUAGCGAUUGAUGGGUGGAGUAAUAGUAGUAGGUGCAGGCAGGAGUCUUCCUAUUUGCUUAUGGACGUGAUGCAUAUGUACACAUGAUCAUUGUCAUGAAAAUCGCUUAACUAUCCAUUGUUCUAUCAAUUGUGCAACAGUAAUUUGUUUGCCCACCAUAUGUUCCUUUCAUGAGAGAUGCCACUAGAGAACACUAUGGCCCUAGGUUCUAUUCACUUAUAUUUCAGAAAACUUAUAAUUUCCUCGUUGUUUUUAUUUGUCUUUUAUUUUAUUUUGAAGUUACAAUUAUCUACACACCUCAUUUGCUUGCAAAUAACGAGAUCAAGGGGAUUGGGAACCCUCUUGCCCGCGUUGGGUGCAAGUUGUUUGCUCUUUUGUGUGCAACCAUUGAAGACGGUUGAGGAUUGAUAUUCAUAUUAGUUCGAUAAACAUUGGUUUCUUAACUUGGGGAAAUACCUAGCCAUAUUGUGCUUCAAUUACCCAUUCCUGUUCACGGAAAACCCAAUGUAGAUCACAAGUAUCAUUGCAAUACGUUCAUGAUUCGCUUAUAGUGGGUGGCUAGAGUUACAAAAGCUUACACCCAGUAAGGGGGUUGUUGCAUAUGGGAGUAAACAGGACUUGAUGUUUAAUGCUAUGGUUGGGUUUUACCUUAAUGACAUUUAGUAGUUGGGGAUGUUUGCUAGAGUUCCAAUCAUAAGUGCACAUGAUCCAAGUAGAGAAAGUGUGUUAGCGUAUGCCUCUCCCUCAUUGCAUAUGAUAAGUAUUUAUCAUGUUACAUUCAAUUGCCCAGGGAAAAUCUUUCUCUUGUACUAUAAAAAACUUUCUACUAAAGAACUAACUAAAUUAGUAUUUAUCUAAAACAACACCUAACUUUUAAUUUUGUGAUCUUUAUUACCAUGCAAAACCAUUUAUUACCCCUACUAAGUACUUCUAGUUUUAUUCUCGCAAAAUAGUUUCAUACUUGUUCUAGGUAAAGUAAGCGUUAGCGUGCGUAGAGUUGUAGCGGUGGUCUAUAGAACUUGAGAGAAUAUUAAUUCUACCUUUAGCUCCUCAUUGGGUUCGACACUCUUACUUAUUGAAAAAGGCUACAAACGAUCCCAUACACUUGUGGGUUAUCAAGAUGCUUAUCUCUAUACCUUCGAGGUUUUUGGUAACUUGUUGCCAAAGGGGGAGAAGUUGUACAAAUCAAAGAGAUUCAAAAGAGAGAGUGUGUGUGUUAUUUUUUGGUUGCUCUUCUCGUUUAAAACAUUUGGCCUAUAUUUUGGUUGUCUUAAACUUUGCGGUGUUUGAUCAUACGAUUUGUGAUUGAUGUUACUAUUUCCUAUAUCUGUGAUAUUCAUAUGAUGAUCAUUCACUCAUCUUUGGUGUUAUGUGCAUUGUAAUCCAUUCAUGUCAUUUAUGCGCACCACCAAGAUGUAUGUGACAUAAAAGAGUGACCCAUGAUCCUAAUAGAUUAUGCAUUUGCAUUCAAAUGAAAAUUUAAAGUAAUGCACAAAUUUAGGGGGUCUCUUUCUUAUCACAUACUUCUCAAAGCGACAAUGCUAAACAUUGAUUAUAUUCUAUGUCGAAGCUUUGAUCUAUAUGUUGUCAUCAAUUACCAAAAGAGGGGUGAUUAAAAGCACAACUUCUCCCUAGGUGGUUUUGGUAAUCAAUAACAUAUAUUUCAUUGGACUAAUGAUUCUACCAAGUAUAUUUUAGGAAUAGUUCAAUGAAUGGAUUGGCAAAGUAUUGUGAGGAGAUCUCCUAGAUGCUUGGAACAUCAAUUGGGAAAACCUUCAAGACUCUACAUUUUGCAUUUUGUAAGAAAUCACAUUUGAGUCCAUAGGAAAGCCAAUACUAUUAAAAGGGGAUGAGGUAUCUAUGAUGACGUGGUUGCUCAAGUGCUUAGAGUUAGCAAACGAAAACCUCAUGAAUUCUCCCACAAAAGUAUUUUGUCCAAACCCCAAAGCCUAAAUUCGGUGCCACCGAGUUUCCAAAUUCAUCCCUAGUAAGUUUUACCCUAGACAGAAUCCAGGGCCAAUCCUAACCUCUCGAUGACACCAAGUUCUAUUUUGGUCCCGCCAAAAAAUAGUGUCCAACUCCUUGGUAUCUAUCUGCUAAAAGUCAAAAUCUCUGAGUUUUACAAAUCAUUGUCACUGAGUCUAUGUAACUGCCUGGGCCAACCAAAAUAACACUCACUGAGAUUUAUAUAUCGGUCUCACCAGAACUCUCGGAGUCAAGGAUCUACGUCCCUGGACUUCUCCAAAUAACAAGGUUCAAACACUAGGGGACUUGGCUUGACAACCUGCAAUAUGAUGGUAAACAUUGCAAGAUCGACGGCGAGCUCACUCCUUCUCGCCGGACACGAACGGGAUGCACGAGCUACCCUAGUUCGGGCCACCGUGCGGUGUAAAACCCUACUGCUGCUUGUGUUGGAUUUCUGUGUAAUGGAGAGUUUUGCUCGAGGUACAUGAGGUGUGGGGGAGAGAAUGGCUUGAUCCCCUUACAUGGAAGUAGCCCGUCCCCUCUUGUAGUGCAAUGGUCCUCUUCCGCAAAAACAUGAGCGGGAAUGGGUGGCCACAGGGCAGAAAUUCGAAGAGCUCAGACUAAUCCAAAAAAUUGCGGUCUCCGCCUCCUAAAGUAGUCUUCGUGACGCGUUUGUGGGCUCGGCGAUGACCACCGUCCUGCCGCACUGAUCUGUCGCGAUCUGUUUCACCGAAAUGGCAAGCUUUGGGAUCCUGCCUUUGGGGAUGAAGUAGGCGUUGCACCCUAAUCACUAAAGAGUAAAUACUCCUUGUCUUCCCAUGCUGGCACGAACUCUAUCGUCCUUGUCUAUGCGGGUGCGUCACCCACGUGAUGGGUGCAGAGACCCGUGACUUGUACCAUAUGUCGGGCCUUGAUACGUCUCCAACAUAUCUAUAAUUUUUGAUGGUUUCAUGCCAUUAUCUUGUCAAUCUUUGGAUGUUUUGUAUGCCUUUUAUAUAUUUUUUGGGACUAACUUAUUAACUCAGUGCCAAGUGUCAGUUCUUGUUUUUUCGUAUUUUUGACCCUUUUCACAGGACUAUUUUAAACGGAGUCCAAACGGAAUAAAACUUCCGAAAAGAUUUUUUCCGAAACACAAGACGACCAGGAGACUUGAGAACCAAGGCAGAGGGCCACCAGGGACCCCACAAGCCCCCUAGCCGCGGCUAGGGGGCCCGCGCCUCCCAGGCUUGUGGGAUACCUAGGCCUCCUCUACCCUAGGUCUUUCGCCUAUAUAUUCCCUAAAAUCCCAGAAAAAAUCAGGAGAUCCACGAAAAUACUUUUCCGCCGCCGCAAGCUUCUAUCUCCGCAAGAUCCCAUCUGGGGCACGUUCUGGUGCCCUGCCGGAGAGGGGAUUCGGAUACGGAGGGCUUCUUCAUCAACACGAUGACCUCUCCGAUGAUACAUGAGUAGUUCACCAUAGACCUACGAGUCCACAGCUAAUAGCUAGAUGGAUUGUUCUCUCUCUUGGAUCUUCAAUACAAAGUUCUCCAUGAUCUUCAUGGAGAUCUAUCCGAUGUAAUCCUCUUUCGUGGUGUGUUUUCGAGAUACGAAGAAUCGUGGAUUUAUGAUCAGAUUAUCUAUGAAUCUUAUUUGAGUUUCUUCUGAUCUCUUAUAUGCAUGAUUUCAUAUCCUUGUAAUUCUCUUCGAGUUGUGGGUUUUGUUUGGCCAGCGUGAUCUAUGAUUCUUGCAAUGGGAGAAGUGCUUGGUUUUGGGUUCAUACCGUGCAGUGACCUCAUCCAGUGACAGAAGGGGUAGCGAGGCACGCAUCUGUUGUUUCCAUCAAGGGUAAAACGAUGGGGUUUUCAUCAUUGGUUUGAGUUUAUCCCUCUACAUCAUGUCAUCUUGCUUAAGGUGUUACUAUGUUCGUCAUGAACUCAAUACACUAGAUGCAUACUGGAUAGCGGUCGAUGAGUGGAGUAAUAGUAGUAGAUGCAGAUAGUAUCAGUCUACUUGUCUCGGACGUGAUGCCUAUAUGUAUGAUCAUUGCCUUAGAUAUCGUCAUGACUUUGCGCGGUUCUAUCAAUUGCUCGACAGUAAUUUGUUCAUCCACCGUAAUAUUUUCCAUUUUGAGAGAAGCCUCUAGUGAACACUAUGGCCCCGGGGUCUACUUCACACCAUAUUUCCAGCCUUGCACUUUUACUUCGUUGCACUUUCUGCCUUCAGUUCUCACUUUGCAAUCAAUCUUGAAGGGAUUGACAACCCCUUUAUAGCGUUGGGUGCAAGCUCUUCUGUGUUUGUGCAGGUACUCUGGACUUGACGCGAUUCUCCUAGUGGAUUGAUACCUUGGUUCUCAAACUGAGGGAAAUACUUACUGCUCCUGUGCUGCAUCGCCCUUUCCUCUUCAAGGGAAAACCAACGCAACCUCAAGAGACGACAGAAGAUUUCUGUCGCCGUAGCAAAAGUAUUUUUGGCGCCGUUGCCGGGGAGGAUCAAGUCAAGAACUCAUCCAAGUAAGUGUCGCAAACUCAUCUCUUGCAUUUACUUUUUUUCCUCCGUUUUCCUCUCCCCCACUUCUGAAAAACAAAAAUUUACAAAAAUAUUUUCCUUUAUCGUUUGCCUUUUUCGUUCGCCCGUUUCUCUCGCUUGCUUUCCGUUCACUUGUGUGCUUGCUUGCUUGCUGAAGUCACCAUGACUAGAAACACCAAACUUUGUGACUUCUCGAAUACUAAUAAUAAUGAUUUUAUUAGUACUCCAAUUGCUCCCGCCACUAGUGCGGAGUCAUAUGAAAUCAAUGUUGCUUUGCUGAAUCUUGUUAUGAAAGAGCAAUUCUCCAGCCUUCCUAGUGAAGAUGUCGCAUCCCAUCUUAAUACCUUCAUUGAGCUUUGCGAUAUGCAAAAUAAGAAAGAUGUGGAUAAUAAUGUGAUUAAAUUGAAGCUUUUUCCUUUCUCGUUGUGAGAUCGAGCAAAAACUUGGUUUUCCUCUUUGCCCUAAAAUAGUAUUGAUUCUUGGAAUAAGUGCAAAGAUUCUUACAUAUCCAAGUAUUUUCCGCCGGCUAAGAUUAUCUCUCUCCGUAAUGAUAUCAUGAAUUUUAAGCAACUUGAUCAUGAACAUGUUGCACAAUCUUGGGAGAGGAUGAAAUUGAUGAUUAGAAAUUGUCUCGCUCAUGGCUUGAGUCUUUGGAUGAUUAUACAAAUCUUUAACGCUCGCUUGAAUUUCUCUUCUAUAAAUAUCUUGGACUCCACCUCAGGUGGAACGUUCAUGGAAAUCACGUUAGGAGAAGCUACAAAACUCCUAGACAAUAUCAUGACGAACUACUCUCAGUGGCACACUGAAAGGUCACCUACUAGUAAGAAGGUACACGCUAUAGAAGAAAUUAACUCGUUAAGUGCUAAGAUGGAUGAGUUAAUGAAUUUGGUUGCUAGUAGAAGUGCUCCUUUAGAUCCUAAUGACAUUCGCUUGUCUUCCUUGAUUGAGAGUAGAAACGCUAGCUUGGACGUUAAUUUUGUUGGUAGGAAUAAUUUUGGCAACAACAAUGCUUUUAGAGGAAGCUAUGUUCCUAGGCCUUUUCCUAGUAACCCCUCUAGUAACUUUGGCAACUCCUACAACAAUACUCAUGGAAAUAAAAAUAGAUUACCCAUUGAUCUAGAGAGUAAUAUCAAAGAGUUUAUCAACUCACAAAAGAUUUUCAAUGCGUCCAUAGAGGAAAAACUACUCAAAAUUGACGAUUUGGCUAGGAGCGUUGAUAGAAUGUCUAGUGAUAUUGAUGCUUUGAAAGUUAGAUGUGCUCCUCCCAAGAUCAAUAUGGAUGAAACUUUGAAAGCUAUGCGUGUUUCCAUGAGUGAGAGCAAAGAAAGAACCGGCCAAAUUCGUGCUAGACAUGAAUGGCUUAAAAAGGCGUGUUCCCGUGAUGAAAAUCACGAAGAUCUUAAAGUGCUUGGUGUGACUCCCAUUGAAUCUUUGUUUUCUUGUGUCAAACCUAAUGAUGAUGGGGCUGGAUAUGAGUCCACCUUGGUUGAAAAACGUCCCAAUGAUUCGGAGUCCAUCUAUCUUGAUGGUAAAAGCAUUGAAAGUGGAGUAGAAGAUAUUAAAACUUUGAGUAGUAAUGAAAUUACAACUUUGGAUUUCAAGGAAUUCAAUUAUGAUAGUUGCUCCUUGAUUGAAUGCAUUUCCUUGAUGCAAUCCAUGCUAAACUCUCCACACGCUUAUAGCCAAAACAAGGCCUUUACCGAUCAUAUCGUCGAAGUUAUGAUAAAAUCUCUUGAAGAGAAACUUGAAUUGGAAGUUUCUAUCCCUAGAAAGCUUCAUGAUGAGUGGGAACCUACUAUCAAAAUCAAAAUCAAAAACUAUGAAUGCAAUGCUUUGUGUGAGUUGGGUGCUAGUGUUUCCGCGAUUCCAAAGUCUUUAUGUGAUGUUCUGGGUUUUAAUGAGAUUGAGGAGUGUUCUCUUAAUUUGCAUCUUGCGGAUUCUACUAUCAAGAAACCCAUGGGAAGGAUCAAUGAUGUUCUUAUUAUUGCAAAUAGGAACUAUGUACCCGUGGAUUUCAUUGUGCUUGACAUUGAUUGUAAUCCUACAUGCCCUAUCAUUCUUGGUAGACCUUUCCUAAGGACUAUCGGUGCUAUCAUCAAUAUGAAGGAAGGGAAUAUUAUAUUUCAAUUUCCUUUAAGGAAGGGCAUGGAACACUUUCCUAGAAAGAAAAUAAGAUUGCCCUAUCAAUCCAUGAUGAGGGCUACUUAUGGUUUGAGCACCAAAGACGACGAUACAUGAUUAUAUCGCUUUAUGCCCAGCUAAGGGCGUUAAACAAUAGCGCUUGUUGGGAGGCAACCCAAUGAAUUUAUAUUUUUCUUUCUGUUUUGUUGUGUCCACACCAUCAUAAUUCUGUUAUGAUAGUGUCUUUUGUGUUUCUUUUUGUGUUUGAGCCAAGCAAACCCUUUAUGACUAGUCUUGGUGAUGGUUGUUUGAUCCUGCUCGAAAAAGACAGAAACUUUUCGCUCACGAGAUUAUUUUUGAUUUUUAUUCAGAAAGAGCUUUUGAGUUGAUUCUUUUUAUGCUGGUUUAUAUGAAUUUUUCCCAGGCUGUCAUAAUUUGUCAGAAUUUUUGAGGUACCACAAGUAUACGAAGUAUACAGAUUGCUACAGAGUGGUCUAUUUUUGACAGAUUCUAUUUUUGUUGAAUUGAUUGCUUGUUUUGAUGAAACUAUGGAUAGUAUCGGGGGGUACUAGCCAUGGAAAAGUGCGAAUCCAGUAAUCUAACACCAAUAUAAAUAGAAUUCAAGUUUGCUACAGUACCUAAAGAGGUGGUAGUUUGUUUUCUUGUGCUAAUGAUAUCACGAGUUUCUGUUUAAGUUUUGUGUUGUGAAGUCUUCAAGUUUUGGGUGAUGUUCUCAUGGACAAAGGGAUAAAGAGUGGAAAGGUCUCAAGCUUGGGGAUGCCCAAGGCAUCCCAAGACAAAUUCAAGGACACCAAAAAUCCUAAGCUUGGGGAUGCCCCGGGAAGGCAUCCCCUCUUUUGUCUUCAAUCCAUCGGUAACAUUACUUGGAGCUAUAUUUUUAUUCACCACAUGAUAUGUGUUUUGCUUGGAGCGUCUUGUAUCGUAGGAGUCUUGUCUUUUUUUUGUGUCACAAUCAUCCUUGCUGCACACCUUUUGAGAGAGACAUGCACUCAUCGUGAUUUUGCUAGAAUGUUCAUUGUGCUUCACUUAUAUAUUUUGAGCUAGAUAAUUUUGCUCUGUGUGCUUCACUUAGAACUUUUAGAGCAUGGUGGUGCGUGACUUGGUAGUUGGCUUGUGCUAUGAAAGUAGUCCCAAAGGUGAUAGGUACCCAAAGUGGAUACAAAAACCUCCAUCUUCAUGUACAUUGAGAAGAAAGAUAAGUUUUGAUUCCUCUCAAUUAGUUUUGAGACGUGGAUUUGGUAAUAUUAAGAGUUAUGUUAGUAGGGUGUUAUGAAUCUAGAAAUACUUGUGUUGAAGUUAGUGAUUCCCGUAGCAUGCACGUAUGGUGAACCGCUAUGUUAAGAAGUCGAAGCAUAAUUGAUCUAUUGAUUGUCAUCCUUUGUGUUGAGGUCGGGAUCGCGCAAUGGUUAACACCUACCAACCCUUCCCCUAGGAGUAUGCGUUUAGCACUUUGUUUCGAUUACUAAUAAAAACUUUCACAACAAGUAUGUGAUCUCUUGAUGACUAAUGUGAGUACAUGGUAUAGAUGCACUUUCACCUUCCACCAUUGCUAGCCUCUCUAGUGUCGCGCAACUUACACCGGUGCACAAACCCACCAUAUGCCUUCCUCAAAAAAGCCACCAUACCUACCUACUAUGGCAUUUUCAUAGCCAUUCCAAGAUAUAUUGCCAUGCAACUCCCAUCAUUCCAUCUCAUGACUUAUGCCGUCACUCUCAUAUUGCCAUUGCAUGAUCCUAAGAUAGAUAGCGAGAUGUUUCAACAACAUACGCCAAGCUAGAUCGUUGCACAUCCCGGUACACUGCCGGAGGCAUUUCCUAUAUAGUCAUCAUCGUUCUGAGCUUUGAGUUGUGAGUAAAUAAAAGUGUGAUGAUCAUCAUUAUUAGAGCAUUUUCCCAUGUGAGGAAAUAAAAAAGGCCAAAGAGCCCAAACAAAAAGAGUCCAAAGAGCCCAAAUAAAAAAAGAGAGAAAAAGAGAGAAGGGACAAUGUUACUAUCUUUUUCCACACUUGUGCUUCAUAAUAGCACCAUGUUCUUCAUGAUUGAGAUCCUCUCGUUUCGUCACCACGAUAUGUUAGUGGGAAUCUUUAUUAUAUAACUUGGCUUGUAUAUUCCAAGGAUGGGCUUCCUCAAAUUGCCAUAGGUCUUCGUGAGCAAGCAAGCUCGAUGCACACCCACUAGUUCUCCUUUUGAGCUUUCACAUUCUUAUAGCUCUAGUCAUCCUUUGUAUGGAAAUCCCUACUCAUUCACAUUGAUAUCUAUUAAUGGGCAUCUCCAUAACCCUUUGAUACGCCGAGUCAAUGUGACCAUCUCCUCCUUUUUUCUCUCACAACCACCACAACACUCUAUUCCACCUAUAGUGCUAUAUCCAUGGCUCACGCUCAUGUAUUACAUGAUAGUUGAAAAAGGUUUGAGAAAGUAAGAGUGCGAAAACAAUUACUUGGCCAAUACCGGGGUUGUGCAUGAUUUAAAUUAGUUGUGUGGGGAUGAUGGAGCAUAGCCAGACUAUAUGAUUUUGCAGGGAUAACUUUCUUUGGCCUUGUUAUUUCGAAAGUUCAUGAUUACCUUGCUAGUUUGCUUGAAGUAUUAUUGUUUUCAUGUCAAUAGCAAACUAUUGUUUUGAAUCUAACGGAUCUGAACAUUCAUGUCACAUGAAAGAAGUUACAAAGGACAACUAUGCUAGGUAGCAUUCCACAUCAAAAAUUCAGUCUUUAUCACUUCCCUACUCGAGGACGAGCAGGAGUUAAGCUUGGGGAUGCUUGAUAAGUCUCCAACAUAUCUAUAAUUUUUGAUGGUUUCAUGUUGUUAUCUUGUCAAACUUUGGAUGUUUUGUAUGCCUUUUAUAUCUUUUUUGGGACUAACUUAUUAACUCGGCGCCAAGUGCGAGUUCCUAUUUUUCCGUGUUUUUGACCCUUUUCGAAGGAGGAUUUUAAAUGGAGUCCAAACGGAAUAAAACUUCCGAAAAUAUUUUUUUCGAAACAGAAGACGAUCGGGAGACUUGAGAACCAAGGCAGAGGGCCACCAGGAACCCCACAAGCCCCCUAGCCACGGCCAGGGAGGGCCCGCGCCUCCCAGGCUUGUGGGCUCCCUGGGUCUCCUCUGCCCUAGGUCUUUCACCUAUAUAUUCCCUAAAAUCCCAGAAAAAAUCAGGAGAUCCACGAAAAUACUUUUCCGCCGCCGCAAGCUUCUGUCUCCGCAAGAUCCCAUUUGGGGCACGUUCCGGUGCCCUGUCGAAGGGGGGAUUCGGAUAAAGAGGGCAUCUUCAUCAACACCAUGACCUCUCCGAUGAUGCGUGAGUAGUUCACCAUAGACCUACGGGUCCAUAGCUAGUAGCUAGAUGACUUCUUCUCUCUCUUGGAUCUUUAAUACAAAGUUCUCCAUGAUCUUCAUGGAGAUCUAUCCAAUGUAAUCUUAUUUUGCGGUGUGUUUGUCGAGAGCCGAUGAAUUGUGGAUUUAUGAUCAGAUUAUCUAUGAAUCUUAUUUGACUUUCUUCUGAUCUCUAAUAUGCAUGAUUUCAUAUCCUUGUAAUUCUCUUCGAGUUGUUGGUUUUGUUUGGCCAACUUGAUCUAUGAUUCUUGCAAUUGGAGAAGUGCUUGGUUUUGGGUUCAUACCGUGCGGUGAUCUCACCCAGUGUCAGAAGGGGUAGCGAGGCACGCAUCAUGUUGUUGCCAUCAAGGGUAAAAAGAUGGGGUUUUCAUCACUGGUUUGAGUUUAUCCCUCUACAUCAUGUCAUCUUGCUUAAGGCAUUACUCUGUUCGUCAUGAACUCAAUACACUAGAUGCAUGCUGGAUAGCGGUCGAUGUGUGCAGUUAUAGUAGUAGAUGCAGAAAGUAUCGGUCUACUUGUCUCGGACGUGAUGCCUAUAUGUAUGAUCAUUGCCUUAGAUAUCGUCAUGACUUUGCGCGGUUCUAUCAAUUUCUUGACAGUAAUUUGUUCACCCACCAUAAUAUUUGCUUUUUUGAGAGAAGCCUCUAGUGAACAAUGGUUUUUGACCCUUUUCAGAGGAGGAUUUUAAAUGGAGUCCAAACGGAAUAAAACUUCCAAAAAGAUUUUUUCCGAAACAGAAGAUGAUCGGGAGACUUGAGAACCAAGGAAGAGGGCCACCAGGGACCCCACAAGCCCCCUAGCCCAGGCCAGGGAGGGCCCGCGCCUCCCAGACUUGUGGGCUCCCUAGGCCUCCUCUGCCCUAGGUCUUUCACCUAUAUAUUCCCUAAAAUCCCAGAAAAAAUCAGGAGAUCCACGAAAAUACUUUUCCGCCGCCGCAAGCUUCUGUCUCCGCAAGAUCCCAUCUGGGCACGUUCUGGUGCCCUGCCGGAGGGGGGAUUCGGAUACAAAGGGCUUCUUCAUCAACACCAUGACGUCUCCGAUGAUGCGUGAGUAGUUCACCAUAGACCUACGGGUCCAUAGCUAGUAGCUAGAUGGCUUCUUCUCUCUCUUGGAUCUUCAAUACAAAGUUCUCCAUGAUCUUCAUGGAGAUCUAUCCAAUGUAAUCUCCUUUUGCGGUGUGUUUGUCAAGAUCCGAUGAAUUGUGGAUUUAUGAUCAGAUUAUCUAUGAAUCUUAUUUGAGUUUCUUCUGGUCUCUUAUAUGCAUGAUUUCAUAUCCUUGUAAUUCUCUUCGAGUUGUUGGUUUUGUUUGGCCAACUUGAUCUAUGAUUCUUGCAAUUGGAGAAGUGCUUGGUUUUGGCUUCAUACCGUGCGGUGACCUCACCUAGUGACAGAAGGGGUAGCGAGGCACGCAUCAUGUUGUUGUCAUCAAGGGUAAAAAGAUGGGGUUUUCAUCACUGGUUUGAGUUUAUCCCUCUACAUCAUGUCAUCUUGCUUAAGGUGUUACUCUGUUCGUCAUGAACUCAAUACACUAGAUGCAUGCUGGAUAGCGGUCGAUGUGUGCAGUAAUAGUAGUAGAUGCAGAAAGUAUCGGUCUACUUGUCUCGGACGUGAUGCCUAUAUGUAUGAUCAUUGCCUUAGAUAUCGUCAUGACUUUGCGCGGUUCUAUCAAUUGCUCGACAGUAAUUUGUUCACCCACCAUAAUAUUUGCUAUUUUGAGAGAAGCCUCUAGUGAACACUAUGGCCCCCGGGUCUACUUCACAUCAUAUUUUCAGCCUUACACUUUUGCUUCGUUGCACUUUGUGCCUUCAGUUCUCACUUUGAAAUCAAUCUUGAAGGGAUUGACAACCCCUUUAUAGCGUUAAGCUCUUUUGUGUUUGUGCAGGUACUCUGGACUUGACGCGAUUCUCCUACUGGAUUGAUACCUUGGUUCUCAAACUGAGGGAAAUACUUACUGCUCUUAUGUUGUAUCUCCCUUUCCUCUUCAAGGGAAAAACAAACGCAAGCUCAAGAGACGACAAAAUAUUUAUGUCACCGCAGCAGGACUCAUGGAGCGGCCUUGCGAGGGGAGCCUCGCAAGGCAGUCUCGCGCUUGGUGGCGUGUGCUAGGCGUAGCCUGGCAGUGAGGGGCCUCGCGAGGCAACCCCCCGUGAGGCGGCUUCUUCCGGAGCGGCCAUGGCCAAGCCAUCUCACUGCAAGCCGUCCCAAAUAUUGCCUCCUAAGCCGGUGGCACACGGGUCGUGGUACCGUGGUUCCCAUUGGGCCGACAGUAGCCUUGAGGCCCACGGCAUGCAUGUUCCGCCCUUUAGGGAUGAAACGGCACGAGGCCCAUUGAGUUGUCGGGUCCAGAGGCGACGUGUGGCUUUGAUGAGUCUAUGUCCAUGUAGGAAUCUUGAGUUGGCCACCGAGGAGAAGGAGAAGGCCAAGAAUAAGAAGACCAAGGUUGAAGGACCUUCCCCUCCCCUGAAGGUCAUCUCGCCCACUAUGCCGACGUACCUGACGGUGAAACCGGUGGUUGGCAGCGAGGAGGGUGAGCUUGAGCUCGAGGUGACCCCAUGGGAUGGGGUGACGCCGCCAGUGCUGGAGGCGUUCAUCCUGAUCCCGCCAUGUCAAACGAAGAGCGCGACCCCUGCUAGGGGAGACAGCGUGCAGCUAUCGAAAGGGCUCGAGAUCAUGCCCUCUCGCGUGAUGGCACCAGCGGACGAUGAGGAGGCCCGGGCGAGCCGUAUCCUAGUGCUGGGGGAGAGCAACAUCAUGCCCUGGGCGGGGCCUUAGCGGCUUCAGUAAGGAGGUGGAGUUGUGCAUGGAGUAGCCGCAGCGCCUGGCACAAGGGUGGAGCCACCUUUAGGAUGAGACAAAGCUCGAUUGCCGAUGGGGCGAGGAGGCCCUAGCGCAAUGCGAUCAGCUUGCCAAAGAUGCCUGGGCAUCCCUCGUGAAGGCCCUCAAUGACGCUAGGAGGCCAAGCGGCGGUGGGAGGGGGCCUGAUGUCCACGAGAAGACUUUCUAGGAGCAGGCUGCUUUGUGGGAGCGCCCUCUCAAAAUGUGGGAGGUGGCCGUGGAGGCCUACUAGAGUCGGCUCACGUACCACGAAUUUGAGCUCCCGAAAUGUUGAAGAGGUCCUUAGGCACCUGGAGGCAGCCACCACUCAUGAGGUGAAUGAUGAGGCCCGGGAGCAAGAGUUCGCGUCUUCCGUGUCCUUGCGGGAGGUAGAGCGGGAGAACCUGUUGGCGAAGGAGCACGAGCUGGCAGCUACCCAAGCCACUCUCGAUGAGAAGAAGGGCCUCGCUACCCAGCGGGCAGGCUCCAGGCCGAGGUCAAUGACCUCAAGAAGCAGCUGCUCGAUGUGGACGCCACCAUCAUGGAGGUGUGUCGUGACCUGUUGACCCACGCGACGACACGACUCUUCAACAACCUUCUCCGCCUCGAGGGUCCCUUCGAUUUUGGGCGGGAGGAAGCCCCCGUCCCGGUGGAGCUACGCGAAGGCCUUGAGGAGGUUGCGAGAGAGCAUGUGGUCGGCUUUCUCGGGCGGCAUGCCUUCGAGGCUGAGUUCAGUGGCGGCGCUAGCGAGCCCCUCGUGGUGAUGGCGAGAGCGACGAUAGUGGCAUCUCGCACGCUUAGACUCUCCUUGGAUCAUUGAUAUAAUGGAACAGAUGCGGCCUCAUGGGGGCGUGAAAACAUUCACAUGACGCUUUUGACUUAAGCACUUGAUGCCUUAUGCAUUUUCAUUUCCCUCCCGAAGCCUUUCUUUCCCUUUACAUUGCCCUAACACCGUGCGUCAGUGGGACCCAGCCCCCAAGGCGGGCUACACCGUCAGUGGUAUGCGUGGAGAGUGCGCUCAGCAAGGGCAGAUGGUGUAAGGAUCUUAGGGUUGGUAGGAGUCCCUGACGCGCGAUGCUCAGCCCCUCCCCCCCCCCCACCGCCACCCCUUGACAUACAGGCGACUCGUGCCAAGGAAAUCAAGAUGCCUCGAGAAGGAAACGAGAGGGAGAAAAAACCUGAGGGGUGCUUUAAACUUAGCUCCUUCGACGUGUGUGGAUAGGGGCGAGUCCUUGAUGACCCACAAGUAUAGGGUAUCAAUCAUAGUUCUUUCGAUAAGUAAGAGUGUCGAACUCUACGAGGAGUGAAAUGAAGUGACAAGCGGUAUUCAGCAAGGUAAUUUAUGCAAGCAUUAAAAUAGCGGUAACAAGUUGUUUGAUAGCAAGAUAAUUGUAACAAGUGACAAGUAGCAAUAGUAACAAAAGGUGCAGAAAGGUAUCCCAAUCCUUUUGUGGCAAAGGACAAGCCAAAACAAUUUCUUAUAAUAGGCAAGGACUUCUUGAGGGCACACGGGAAUUUCAUCUAGUCACUUUCUUCAUGUUGGGUUAAUUCGCGUUGGGUACUUUGAUAAUUUGAUAUGUGGGUGGACCGGUGCUUGGAUGAUGUUCUUACUUGAAAAAACAUCCCACUUAUGAUUAACCCUCCUGCAAGCAUCCGCAACUAUGAGAAAAGUAUUAAGAAUAAAUUCUAACCAUCGCAUUAAACAUAAGGAUCCAAAUGAGCCCCUUACGGAAUAACGCAUAAACUAGGGUUUAAGUUUCUGUCACUCUCCCAACCCACCAUCUAAUUACUACUCCACAAUGCAUUCCCUUAGGCCCAAAGAUGGUGAAGUGUUAUGUAGUCGACGUUCACAUAACACCACUAAGGGAAUCACAACAUGGCUUCUCCCAUGGCCUCAAGAACAAAAGUACCUACUCACAAGUGAUAAAAAUGCUCAUGGUCAGAGAGGUAUUAAAUAGCAUAUUGGAUCUGAACAUAUGAUCUUCCACCAAAUAAACCAUAAAGCAUCAACUACAAGAUGUAAUCAACACUACUAGUCACACCCAAGGUACCAAUCCGAGGUUCUGGUACAAGAUUGAGCACAAGAGAUGAACUAGGGUUUUGAGAAGAGAUGGUGUUGAUGAAGAUUGGCCUCCCCAAGAUGAGAGGGUUGUUGGUGAUCACGAUGGCCUCGAUUUCCUCUCCGGGAGGGAAGUUCCUCCGGCGAAUCGCGCUGCCGGAGAGCAAAAGUGCUCCUGCCCAGGUUUCGCCUCGAGACGGCGGCUCUUCGUCCCCAAAGUCAUCUCCUGGUUUUUUAGGUUAAAAGGGAAUUUAUACCACAAGAUGGUCGCUGGGGGUGGGUCAGGGGGCCCACUAGACAUCAGGUCGCACGAGGGGAACUGGCGCGCCCUGAUGCCUAGUGGCCGCCUGGUAGCCCCCUCUGGUACUUCUUUGCUCUAGUAAUUUUUCUUUAUUGCAAAAUAGAUCUCUGUAAAAUUUCAGCCCAUUUGGAGAUGUGGAGAAUAGGUAUCUCUGACGUAGCUUUUUCACAUCCAGGAUAUCAUCUGCCGGCAUUCUCCCUCUUGAUGUAAACUUUGCAUAAUAUGAGAGAAAAUGCAUUAGAAUUACUCCACCAAGUGGCAAAAUGCAUAAAAUCACUACAAAUAACUGUAACCAAACAUGAUACAAAAUGGACGUAUCAGUCCUUCGUGGGGAGCGGCUCAUGAGGCGCAGUCCCUCGCGAAGCCUUCUGCCCGUAGGACACCGCUCACGAGGCCUCCCGGGGAGGGGCUCGUGAGUCCUUUGAUAUCCUGCACUAGGGAAACUACCGAGUUUUUGCAAGUAAUGCAGCGGGGCAUGCUUGCGGGGUCGUUUGUGGGUGUUGCGCGAGGAGUCAAGAGAACCAAGGACCUUGUGAGGUGACGUACACGAGAGUAGGCCCACAAGUCAAAGCUCAGUCACUUGGAUUUUGCAGCGCUGCUAGGACUGACCUAAGAUCAUGCACCAUUCCCAACCUCCGCUCCCAUGACAGGCACGGGGAAGAUCACUAGUGCAUGCCCCUCCCGAGGCAUACUCAUAUUGAGGAUGCGACAGCCGGGGGGCCCUCGGGCAAGUUGGCUGCCAGCACCAAGCAUGGUGCAUCCGCUAGGCCAAGUUGGGGCUUCCACAAGAGUUGGUAGGAGUAGGCCUCUAGGGUUGAGCAUGGGGAAUCCGCCAGACCGAGCUGGGACUUCCGUGAGAGUGGGUAAGAGUAGGCCGUGAGCGCUGAGCAUGGGAGAUCCGCCAGCCCAAGCCGGGGCUUCCAUGAGAGUAGAUAGGAGUAGGCCGCCAGCACUGAGCAUGGGCAUCUACCAGGCUGAGCUGGGGCUUCCACGAGAGUGGGUAGGAGUAGGCCACCAACGUUGAGCAUGGGGCAUCCGCCAGACCGAGCUGGAGCUUCCAUGAGAGUGGGCAUGAGUAGGCCGCCAACACUGAGCAUGGGGCAUCCGCCAGGAUGAGCUGGGGCUUCCACAAGAGUGGGUAGGAGUAGGCUGCCAGCGUUGAACAUGGGGCUUCCGCCAGGCCAAGUUGGGGCUUCCACGAGAGUGGGUAGGAGUAGUCCGCCAGAGCUGAGCAUGGGGCAUCCGCUAGGCCGAGAUGGGGCUUCCAGGAGAAUGGGUAUGAGUAGGCCGCUACCACUGAGCAUGGGGCAUCCGCCAGGCAGAGCUAGGGCUUCCACGAUAUUAGAUAGGAGUAGGCUCGCAGCGCUGAGCAUGGGGCAUCCGCCAAACCGAGAUGUGGCCUCCACGAGAGUGUGUAGGAGUAGGCCGCCAACGCUAAGCAUGGGGCAUCCGCCAGGCAAAGGUAGGGCUUCCACGAGAGUGGGUAGGAGUAGGCCGCCGACGCUGAGCAUGGGGCAUCCGCCAGGCGGAGCUGGGGCUUCCACGAGAGUGGGUAGGAGUAGACUGUCAUGUGCUCAUCCUUCUCGUGCUUCUCAUUGUAGAAGUUGACGAGGAGUUGUGAGACCUCCUUGAUGAUGAUGCGCUUGAAUCCAAGUGUGAUGGUGGCCUUGAGCCUAGCAAAGAGUCCCUCAUACUCGGCGAUGUUGUUGGAGACCUUGUCGGUGCACCUUAAACAGAGUUGCACUGCAUAGUUAAGCUUGUCACUUGUGGGCAUAGUGAGAACCACACUAGCCCUUGCGCCCUGGCGCGUGAAGGCCCCAUUGAAUGCGUGGUCUAGACUCCAAAGGAGGCCUCCUCGGGCAAGAGCGGCACCCUGGGGCGGGGCCAUCCACUCCGCCGCGAAAUCUACCAAGGUCGUGCCCCUAAUGGUCCUGGUGGUGAGGACUACAACCCGAAGGGCUACCACUCGAUGUCCCAUUCAGCAACGUGGUCAGUAGUGUUCGGGCUCCGUGGGACCGAGGAGCUCAGGCAGCGGCGCCGCGGAGGCCUCCGUAGGCGCGACUCUAGAGGCCUCCUGAGGAGGUGCCUCAGCACGCGUCAACGCGGCCUUGAGGGGCUUGAGCGACGCCUCCAUGGGGGUGGCAUCUACACGCGCGGACUCGACAUCCUUCUUCUUGGCGUAGGCUCACUCCUCUUGCUCCACCACAAGGGUCGCACUGGCCGCUUGGGGGGUGGACGCCCUGUAGGCGCGUGCGAGGGCGUGCAUUGCAUCCUUCUCAUCGCAAUGGAUGGUGAGGGUGUUGCUGCAUUCGGGCACCUUGAUAAGGCCGUAGGCACGAAGGGUUGCAGCCACGAACUUGGAGAGCGCCGGGAAGCCCAAGAUGGCAUUGUAGGGCAGGCCGGUGUGGGCCACAUCAAAGACGAUGAACUCUAUAUGCUAACUAUUAUGGGUGUUGAAGGUCAUGGGAAGGCCCACCUACCCCAGGGGGAGAGUGGAGCCCUUGGUGACGUCCGAGAAGGUCUUGGUGGGUAUUAGGCGCUUGUAGGGACUUGGAGCAUCUUGAAAGUCACUAUCGAGAGCAUGCUGAGGCAUGCGCCACCGACGACGAGCAUCCUGGUGAUGGCCACACCGCUGAUAGCGGGAGUACAUAGUACAGGGACAUUGCCCAUAGCCCUAGUGGACUUGGUAUGAUGGUUGGCAUCGAAGGCGAUGGAGGGACACGUUCACCUUGUGUGUGAAGUGCUUGACAUGGUGGCAGGAUGGUGGGGCCUAGGAGCCUCCUAGGAUGUAGGCCACCCUGCAGGGCUCUCAUACGUCUCCAACGUAUCUAUAAUUUUUAUUGUUCCAUGCUGAUAUAUUAUCAUUUUAGAAUACUUUUGGGGUAUUUAUUUACCAAUUUAUAUUAUUUUUGAGCACUAACCUAUUGACCCAAUGCCCAGUGCCAGUUGUUGUUUUCUGUAUGUUUUUCACUUUUCAGGUUCUCAAUACCAAACAAAGUCCAAUUGACCUAAAAAAAUUGGUGUUUUUUUCUCGACCAAAAGAAGACCGAGAAGCAUCGAAAGAAGGCCGGAGGCCUCACGAGGGGCCCACAAACCAACAGGGAGCGGCCUAGGGGGUCGCGCCUUGAUGUCUUGGGCCUCCCUCGUGACCCUCCAACCUUCGUUCUCUGGCUUAUUAGUUCUCCUUUACCCUAGAAACACCAAAAGAGGCCACGAAACACUUUUUACGCUGCCGCAAGUCUCUGUUCCAAAGGGAAGCCAUGUGGAGCUCCGUUCCGGCACCCAGCGGGAGGGGGAAUCGAUCAUGGAGAGCCUAUACAUCAACCUUGUUUCCCUCACCACGAUGUGUGAGUAGUUCACCAUAGACCUACGGGUCCAUGGCCAAUACCUAGAUCGCAAUCUCUCUCUUGAUCUUCAAUGCAAUGAUCAUUGCAUCUUCGCCUUGAUCCACAUGAUGUAAUUCACUUUUGUGCGGUGUGUUUGUUGGAUCCGAUGAAUUGUGGGUGUAUGUUCAGAUUAUUCAUGAUAUAUAUUUGAGUCUUCUCUGAAAUCUUAUAUGAUUCGUAUGUGCAUGAUUAUUAUAGCUUCAUAAUUCUCUCUGAUCUAUUGAAAUGGUUUGGCUAACUAGAUUGAUAUUUCUUCGGUGAGAGAGGUGCAUUGUAGUAGGUUGAACCUAGAGAAUUUCUAUAUCCCAAUGACGGAAGGGGACAUGAUGCAUCUUUUUGUUGUUGCUACUGAGGAUAAAACUAUGGGGUUUAUUCAUAUUGCUUGGGUUUACUUUGUCUACAUCAUGUCAUCUUUCUCCAUGCAUUACUUUCAUUCGUCAUGAACUUAAUACGUAGAGAGGAAAUCAUAGAAGCAAUCUUGAAGUUAAGUAAUAGUAAUAGGUGCAGGCAGGAGUCAGCCAAUUUGUUCAUGGACGUGAUACCUAUAUACGCAUGAUCAUUUCUGUGAAUAUCGCAUAACUAUCCGCUUUUCUAUCAAUUUCCCAACAGUAAUUGGUUUACCAACCAUAUGUUAUUUUCCAUGAGAGAUGCCAUUAGGGAAAACUAUGGCCCUCGGGUCUAUUCACAACAUGUUCACAAAACUUUCAAUGGCUUGCUGCCAUUAAUCCCCCCCCCCCCCCCCUGCAAUUUACAAUUAUCUACAACUAUCUACACACCUUACUUUCUUGCAAAUAACGAGACCAGGGGGAUUGACAACCCUCUUUCUCGUGUUGGGUGCAAGUUGUUAGUUCUUUUGUGUGUAGCCGCCGAAGACGAUUGUGGUUGAUAUUCCUAUUGGUUCAAUAAACCUUGAUUUCAUCACUAAGGGAAAUACUUACCCAUAUUGUGCUGCGAUAACCCAUUCCUCUUCACAGAAAACCCAACGCAGAUCACAAGUAUCGGGAAGGAUUUCUGGCACAGUUGUCGGUGAAUAUCAUCACCAACUACCAAGUAACUCCACACAAAUUUUCAUUCACUUGUUCCUAUUUUUAUUUGCUGGUACAUUUAGUUUGUCNCAUAAAAAAUAAGAAUACAAAAAAAUUUACCUUUGCUUGCUUAGCUUGUCACUAGAUUGCCUCUUCGUUGUGUAGUUUGCUUGUCCCACUUGUUACUUUGCUUGCUUGGUCACCAUGUCGCGAGAUAAGUUCCACAAUAUCUCUUAUUACCAAAUAAUCUUGGAUACAGAAGGUUCUAUGAAAAGUUCCAUGACUUCACAAUAUGAGCAUAUUGAAUUCUUUGCUUCUGAGAUUAAGGAACACUCAACUUUGCUUGAUGUUAUUAGUGAUAGACAUGAUGAAGUCAAUAAGGAAGUGUCUAAUCUACAAUCAAAAUUUGCUAAAAUUGAAGAAUUGUUAGGAAAGAUCUGUGAUAAGCAAACCACUCUAGUAAAUAGGAGUGCCGCUAAACCAGAAUAUUUUCCUACUAAUACUCAUGAUGAAAAUCUUAAAAUGAUUGGAACUUCUCCUAUUGAAUCUUUUUUUACUUCUAUGAAUAUUAAUGGUAAAGAGACUGGAGAUGAGUCAAAUCUAGUAAAGGAGCGUCCAGUUUGCGUGGAGGGUGAUGAUUUUAAUGCUAAAACUGAAAAAGUGGGCUUGGCGAGGUCAAAACAUUAACUAAUGAUGUGCCCACCAUCUUGGAUUACAAGGACUUCGAUUAUGAUAAUUUCUCAUUAGUAUAAUGUAUUUCCUUUCUGCAAUCCAUUAUUAUCUCACCCAAUGCUUAUGAAUAAAAUAGAGCUUUUACUCAACAUAUAGUAGAAGUUGUGAUAAAAGGUUAUGAUGAGAAACUUAAGCUUGAAGUUUCUAUUCCUAGAAAGUUGCGUGAUGAGUGGGAACCUACUAUCAAAAUUAGGAUAAAUAAAUAUGAAUGCAAUGCUUUGUGUGACCUUGGUUCUAGCGUUUCAACUAUACCUAAAUCUUUAUGUGAUGUACUUGGUCUCACUAAUAUUGAAAAAUGUUCCCUAAACUUGCAUCUUGUGGAUUAUACCAUUAAUAAACCCUUAGGUAGAAUUAAUGAUGUGCUCAUAAUUGCAAAUAAAACUUAUGUGUGUGUAGAUUCCAUUGUUCUUGACAUUGAUUACAAUCCUACUUGUCCAAUUAUAUUUGGAAGACCUUUCCUUCGAACUAUAGGUGCAAUUAUUGACAUGAAAGAGGGAAACAUAAGGUUUCAAUUUCCCUUAAAGAAAGGAAUGGAACACUUCCCUAGGAAUAUAAUUUGAACACCUUAUGAAUCAAUCAUGAGAGCUACUUAUGGGUGGAGUGUCCAAGAUGACAACACUUGAAACUAUGCAAUAUGUCUAGCUAGGGGCGUAAACAAUAGCGCUUGUUGGGAGGCAACCCAAUAGCUAUAUUUAUUUUUUACCUUUUACUUUCUAUUUAUUUUUUAUAACAUGAUUAUUGCUAGUGUAGUGAUCAUGUUUUUAUGUUUUAGUUAGUGUUUGUGCCAAGUAAAGCCUUUUGGAUGAUUUGCAUGAUAAGUAAAAUUGAUACGGUGUAAAAACAGACACUUUGAUGACGAGUGCGGAAUUUCUUUGAUUUUACUGGAAUAUCUUUUUAAGCUGAAUUCUUUUACACUGUAUUUAUGAAGACAUUCCUUAGCUCGUCCUAAUUUUUAAGAAUUUUUGGAGUUACAUAAGUAUAGGUUCAUUGCAGAUUACUAUACACUAUUAUGUUUCAGUCAGAUUCUAUUUUUUGCUUGCAUAGUUUGCUUGUUCUGAUGAUGCUAUGGUUUGUAUCGGGGGGUAUAAGCCAUGGGGAAGUUAGAACACAGUACCUUAUGCUCAAAUAAAAUAAGAAUCAACUCAUAACAGUACCUGAAAGUAUUUGAUAUGUUGCUUAGACUAACGGAUCUCACAAAUUUUUGUUGAGUUUUAUGUGAUUGAAAUUUAAGUUUUAGGUAUUAUCUCGAUGGACUAAGGAUUGAGGAGAAGCAAAAUCCUAAGCUUGGGGAUUCCCAAGGCACACAAAGGUAAUAUUCUAGGAAGACUCAAGCAUGUAAGCUUGGGGAUGCCCCGGAAGGCAUCCCCUCUUUCGUCUCAAUCCAUCGGUAUGUCACUUGGAGCUACAUUUUUAUUCAUCGCAUGAUAUGAGUUUUUCUUGGAGCGUCGUUUGCUUUUGUUUGAUUUUACUUUUAGUUUUCCAUAAUCAUUGUUUGCUGGACACACCUAUUUGAUAGAUAUACCACAUCAUCAUAAUUUUUUUAGAAUACUCUAUGUGCUUCACUUAUAUCUUUUGAGCUUAGCAGUUGCUCUAGUACUUCACUUAUAUCUUGUUGAGCCUGGUGGCGUGUAGAUGUUAUAGAACUAAUAUGCUCCCAUUCUUCACUUAUAUUUGUUUGAGAGUAAAUUCAAUAGUGAUAGUAAUUUGCAUGGGUCAUAAGACUAGAUAAAAAAUAAUGGUUAUUCAAUGGGUGAUAAUUAAAACCUACAUCUAGCACAUAUAGAGAAGUCGUGGGUUAAUGAUAUUGAUGUGGUAUGAAAAAGCUGUGAGUGCAUUAUUGUUAAUUCAGAGAAGUGUCGAUAUUAAGAGAUGUUAAACUUAUGGUCCAUCUAAAAAAUUAAAAGGGUAUGGUGAUGAUGUGUGUGCAAAUCUAUUCCUUCUUGAAAUCCUAGUGUUGUUUUGAGUCGGAGUCGUGCGAUCAUUAAUUCCUACCAACCCACUCCCUCGGGGUAUGCGAGUGGUACUUUUAUUUCUGAUAAAACUAAUAGAAGUUUGCAAUAAGUAUAUGAGUUUUUAUGACUAAUGUGACACCAUGGACAUAUGCAAUCUCACCUCCUCAUAUUUGCUUGCCUCUUCGAUACCGUGCAUAGCCCAUUCUCACCUCGAAGUGGUGCAACUUUCGCCGGUGCAUCCAAACCCAGUGAAAUGACACACUCUGUAGCACAUAAACCUUUUUAUAUCCUCCUCAAUACAGCCACCAUACGUACCUAUCAUGGCAUUUCCAUGGCCAUUCCAAGAUAUAUUAAGAUGCAAAUGCCAUCGUCACUUCGCAUGACUAGUUUUUUCAUCAUCAUAUUACUUUGCAUGAUCAUAAAGAGCUGACAUAGUAUUUGUGGCAAAUCCACCAUUCAUUAUAAUAUUUGUGGCAAAUCAACCAUCAUCAUAUGUUGAAUACAUGUCACGCUAGAUCAUUGCACAUCCUGGUACACUGUCACAUGCAUUCAUAUUGGAGUCAUAUUGCUUCAUAGUUCAUCAUAUUGAGUUGUCAAUGAGUUGUAAGUAAAUAAAAGUGUGAUGAUCAUCAUUAUUAGUUUAUUGUCCCUGUGAGGAAAUAAAGAUGGGGGAGGCCUGAUACGUCUCCAUCGUAUCUACUUUUCCAAACCCUUUUGCCCUUGUUUUGGACUCUAAUUUGCAUGAUUUGAAUGGAACUAACCCGGACAGACGCUGUUUUCAGAAGAAUUGCCAUGGUGUUGGUUUUGUGCAGAAAUAAAAGUUCUUGGAAUGACCUGGAAAUUUACGAGGAUUUGUUUGUGGAAUAUAUAAAAAAUACUAGCGCAAGAAUUACCUGGAGGGACACAGCCUCGAGCCCACAAGCCCAGGAGGCGCCCCCCUGGCCGCGCUUGGCAGGCUUGUGGGGCCCUCAUGGCUCCGCCGCCUCCAACUCCAGCUCUAUAUAUUCUCUCUCGCCCGGGAAAAAAUCGGAGAGAAGAGUUCAUCGCAUUUUACGAUACGGAGCCGCCGCCACCACCUGUUCUUCCUCUAGAGGGCAGAUCUGGAGUCCGUUCUGGGCUCCGGAUAGGGGUAAACGACGCCUUCGUCCUCGCCAACCAUCCUUCAUCGCCAAUUCCAUGAUGCUCUUCAUCGUUCGUGAGUAAUCUCAUCAUAGGCUUGCUGGACGAUGAUAGGUUGGAUGAGAUCUAUCAUAUAAUCGAGUUAGUUUUGAUGGGGAUUGAUCCCUAGUAUCCACUAUGUUCUGAGAUUGAUGUUGCUACUACUUUGCUAUGCUUAAUGCUUGUCACUAGGGCCCGAGUGCCAUCAUUUCAGAUCUGAACCUAUUAUGUUUCCAUCAAUAUAUGUGUGUUCUUGAUCCUAUCUUUCAAGUUGUAGUCACCUACUAUGUGUAUGACCCGACAACCCCGGAGAUGUACUUGUGGGUUAUCAAGACUAUUUUCUGGCGUCGUUGCCGGGGAGGCCUAGCUCUAUUCUCUGAGUCACUUGGGAUUUACGUCUGUUGAUCACUAUGAGGAAUCCGAGAGAUCCAAAAACUAGAGUCUUGCCCUCAACUACGAGGACAGGUAAGGAACUGCCAUCUAGCUCUGCACUUGAUUCACCUUCAGUUAUGAGUAAGUUUGUGACACCACCACCUACGAGAAAUUCUGAUGUGUCGCAUGUGCUUGAUGAUGCUACUUCUGCUAUCCAUGAUGCUUGUGAUGAUGCUUUGCGUGAUACUACUUUGCCACUAGGUGCAUUCCUUGAUGCACAAAUUGCUAGAGUUGCUGCUGAAUGUGAUGAUACUUCUGAAACUGCUGAAAUUAUUGAAGUAGAACCUGUUGUUUCACGUGUUAGAACUAGUUCUCCUAGAUAUGAAUUGCCUGAUAUACCUGAGGGUUAGGUUAUGGAGGGAGAGGUAGCUGAGGACUUUCUUGCUUGUAAGGAUAGUUAUGAUCUUGAGAAUUUAUUGCGCAAGUGGAAAGAAAAAUCUCUGAAUGCUAGAAUGAAAUAAAAUCCUAAGUUUGCUACUUCACCCACCUUUGUAACCGAUAAGGAUUAUGAACUCUCUGUCGAUCCUCAGUUAAUCACUCUGGUGGAAUCUGAUACUUUUCAUGGUUAUGAGUCUGAAACGGUUGUAGAACUUCUUACCAAGCUGAAUUAUAUAGCCACCCUAUUCACGAGUGAGGAAAAGAUUUGCCAUUACUAUAUCCUUAAGUUGUUUCCUUUCUCGCUAAAGGAUGACGCUAAGACUUGGUUCACUUCUCUUGCUCCUGGUUGUGUGCGUAGUCCCUAGGAUAUGAUCUACUACUUCUCUAAGAAAUAUUUUCCUGCCCAUAAGAAACAAGUUGCCUUGCAGGAAAUAUAUAAUUUUGUGCAAGUUGAGGAAGAGAGUCUCCCACAAGCUUGGGGGAGGCUUGUCCAGUUACUGAAUGCUUUUCCUGAUCACCCUCUUGAGAAGAAUGAAAUACUUGAUAUCUUUUAUAAUGGACUACCCGAUGCUUCUAGGGACCACCUAGAUAGUUGUGUUGGUUGUGUUUUCAGAGAACGAAUUGUGGAACAAGCUGAAAUUCUAUUGAAUAAUAUCUUGAGCAAUGAUAAUGCUUGGACUAUUCCCGAACCACCUCCGAAGCCAACUCCGAAGAAAAUAGGUAUUCUAUUCCUCAGUCCUGAAGAUAUGCAAGAAGCCAAGAAAUCUAUGCAAGAGGAAGGUAUUAAAUGUGAAGAUGUUAAGAAUCUACCACCUAUCGAACAAAUACAUGGUCUUGAUCACCCGACACACGUGUAGAGGUAAAUUCUCUUCAUAGAUUCAAUGAGAGUGAUAUUCCUUUUGAUAAACCUGCUAGCUUAUGCUUAGAUGAAUUUGAUAACUUUGUUGCCAAACAACAAAGUUUCAAUGAUUAUGUUAGCAGACAAUUGGAACAGAAUGCUCGUAUGCUUAGUCAUUUAAGUGCUUGUGUGGAUAGAAAUGUCAAUGAUCUUAAGCUUUUGAGUAAACAUGCCUCUAUGGUCACUACUCAGGUAGAACAAGUACUUAAGGCUCAAAAUGACUUGCUCAAUGAGUUGAAUGACAAUUCUGUUAGAGUCGUCACUAGAGGUGGUAGAAUGACUCAGGAACCUUUGUAUCUUGAGGGCCAUCCUAAGAGAAUUGAACAAGAUUCUCAAGGAGUUAGCGCUGAUGCACCUAGUCAUCCUAGUAAUAGGAAGAAAAAUAAAGAUGAUAGGAACUUGCAUGCUAGCAAACCUGCUGCUGUUAUACCUGAGAAUCCAAAUGAUAUCUCUGUUUCUGAUGCCGAAACACAAUCUGGUGAUGAACAUGAGCCUAGUGAUAAUAUUGGUAGUGGUGUUCAUGAUGAUGCUCAACCUAGUAAUGAUAAGGAUGUGGAGAUUGAACCUAGUGUUGAUCUUGAUAACCCACAACCUAAGAACAAGAGAUAUGAUAAGAACGACUUCAUUGCUAGGAAGCAUGGUAAAUAAAGAGAACCAUGGGUUCAGAAACCCAUGCCCUUUCCUCCCAAACCAUCCAAGAAAAAGGAUGAUGAAGAUUUUGAGCGUUUUAUUGAAAUGAUUCGAUCUAUCUUUCUGCAAAUGCAUUUGACAGAUAUGCUCAAAAUGUCUUCUUAUGCCAAGUACAUGAAAGAUAUUGUGACAAAUAAAAGGAAGAUACCUGAGGUUGAGAUUUCCACCAUGCUUGCUAAUUACACCUUCAAGGGUGGAACUCCUAAGAAACUAGGUGAUCCCGGAGUGCCCACUAUACCUUGCUCCAUUAAAGGCAAUUAUGUUAGAACCGCUUUAUGCGAUCUUGGAGUUGGUGUUAGUGUUAUGCCUCUCUCUCUUUACCGUAGACUUGAAUUGGAUAAGUUGACAUCCACUGAAAUCUCCUUGCAAAUGGCCGACAAAUCAACUGCUUUCCCUAUCGGCAUUCGCGAGGGUGUGCCUGUUGUGGUUGAUAACGUUACUAUCUUAACGGACAUUGUUAUUCUGGAUAUUUAAAAGGAUAAUGCCAUGGCGGUCAUCCUUGGAAGACCCUUUUUAAACACUGCAAGGGCUGUUAUUGAUUGCAACAAAGGCAAUGUCAGUUUCCAUGUUAAUGGUAAUGGGCAUACGGUGCACUUUCCGAAGAAACAAUAUCGAGUACAUUGCAUCAAUGUUAUUGAAAGAACUUCAUCAAUUCUUAUUGGGAGCUUUGAAUGCCCUAUACCUACUGUCAAGAUGAAGUACGAUUUACUUGUUGGGGAUAUGCACAUCCCCGUUGAGGUAACCUAGUGAUUAUUCAAAAAUUCUCCGGUUUUAUGCGAUUCGAAAAAAGUUUGUCAAGGAGACUUUAUCAACCUCAUUGACGGAUUUCUUUUGAUGACCAUGAGAUGGAUGAAUCUAGGAGUCACAAACCUCCUGUUCCGAACUUUUAUUUUCUGUUGCUUAGAAGAAAAAUGAUAAAUUUAGCUUUAUUUUCCAGUUUUCUACUUUUUGCAUCCCUUAGAAAAGUGUCCCGAAAAUAAAAGUUAUCCAAAUGCCCUGAAAUUCAAGUAUGAUUUUUUCUGGAAUUUUUGAAAAAUUCUGAGACACAGAGCUAGUCAGGGGGAUGCACCAGUGGGGCCACAAGCCUAGGAUGCACGGCCACCCCCCAGGUCGCGCCUGGCAGGCUUGUGGGCCCCACGUGGCCCCCCUCCACUUAUUCUAGCUCCCAUCUCCUUCUCCUACCUCCAGAAAAAAUCAUUCCACAGCUCAAACCUGUGUUCUUGCUCUUCUUGCUGCGUUUUUCGAUCUCCUUGUGCAAAUCCCCAUUCACCAAACUGUUUUGGGGAAAUUGUUCCUUGGUAUGUGACUCCUCCAUUGGUCCAAUUAGGUUUUGCUCUAGUGCCUUAUUCAUUGUGUAUUUUUGCUGCCUUGGUGACCCUGUUCUUGAGCUUUGCAUGCUAAUUUUAGUUGGUCCCAAGUAGUUUUGAUGCAUGAUAUGGCCUCUAGGCACUUGAAGGAGUAGUUGCUAUGAGUUUUGUUGAGCCUUGUUCACCUUUCUCUUGAGUCACUAAAAAUUUCAGAAAAAGAAGACGUUCAGGAGAAACUAUCAUGGUGGUUCCUCAAGCAAAAGGGGUCCCCGUCUCUCGAUUCGGGAGCCCGAUCCUUAUCAGCCAAGGGACGCACCGGUACAACCAUGUGAAUGGCCUUCCGAUGAAUUCAUGAUUGAUGCAGGUUUCAAAGAUGAGUUUGAUACAUUUGUUCACAAUGUCGGGCUCGAAGAAUUCAUCUCCAACAAAUGCGAACAGUAUACUACACUCAUUGCCUCUUUUGUUCGUAGAUUCAAAUUUUCAGUUGGCCGUGACGCAUCCAUACUGUUUGAUCUGUAUGGCAAAUCGUACACCAUGGAUUUAGAGGAUUUUAAUAGAAUUCGCAAGAUACCUGAUUGGGGUAGUCUCAAUGAUCCUCCUAAGUCUUCGGUUAGAGAUUUUAUCUCUAGUAUAACUGUUGGAGAAACUAGAGAUACUACGCACGCUACCAUGGGGAGCAUUCAUUUUCCUGCCUUGCAUUACUUUGCCCUCUUCAUAGGUAGAUACAUUAACGGCAAAAUUGAGCAUUGUCACCUCUGCGCACCUGACCUUAGUAUUCUUAAGAGCGCAGUAAUGGGUGAUAGAAGUUUCAAAAUGGGAGCUAUAAUCGCGGGGAGGCUAAAUAAUAAUGCUAAUGAAGGGGAUUUCUUUGGUGGGAUCUAUGCCACUCGCAUAGCAAAUUUUCUUGGAGUACCCAUCCGCGAAGGAGAUCCCCCGCUCCAUACAACUUUCCUUGAUCGCGCCGCUAUGACACGUUAUCAGUUCCUUGAGAGGGAUAAUGAAUCCCUCCUAUACCGGGUAAUAUUUAACCGAUAGCGUGUUUUCCAUAUUACCCUUCCUGCUCAUGCCUUCUUUGACUUUCAGGUAAAACGGAGAUAUUACAUAACGAGAGGAGAGGCAGAGGAGUAUGAGAGGGAGGCAAAGGCUGCUCGCCUCCGUGAGCCAGCUAUUCAGGCGGUAGCUGCCGCGUUCCCGUACAACCCCCAAUAUGAUUUUGGAUAUCACCCAGACCAGCCGUGGGAGUAGACCAACUUAGGCCAAAAGCCUAAGCUUGGGGGAGUACGUAUUUCUCACUUACUUUAUAUUCAUGCUUACACUUUGAUAGUCGGUGUUCACACCUUGCCACUGUAUCAUCCAUGCUAGUUUAUUUCUUUUUCUCGCUUUCUUCUCAUGUGUUUGUUAGUUUGAGAAAAAAAAUUAGUUGUAAGUUUGCUUUCCAGUUUGCUUAGUGGUGUUUGAAGAGAAAACCCAAAAAGAUUUCCCGUUCUUGUUUUGCUUGUUGGGAGCUUUCCCGUGUAAAUAGUUUUCUUUUUCUUUGGGUCAAAGCAGAAGGCCAUAGUUAAAUGGUUUAGUGGCUCUCACAUGCAUAUAUGUUUAUCCGUCAAAGAGCCAUAUUACUAUGUCUUCUCCUUUGAGUUUUCUUGCAGAUUCCAGCUUAGUCCAAUGCACGAACACUCUCAUUAUGAUUCACAUCAUUCGGUCGUGCAAAUGAAAGGCAAUAAUGACGAUAUAUGAUGAAGUGACUGGGCGUGGAAAAGCUUGUAUGAACUCGAUCUAUUUUGUUUUUGUAAAUAUGACUAGCUCAUUGUUCCUAAUUCAGCUUUGUUAUGAGAGAAACAUGUUUGCAAUGACAACUUAGAGAUCAUAGUUUCUGAUGCCAUGCUUAAUUAGCUAGGAGCUUAUAAUGGUUUGUCUUGGAUGCCAUCAUGAAUUUCAAGAUGAUUAUGAUGUAGUAUGAUAGGAUGGUAUCCUCCUUUGAAUGAUUCAAGUGGCUUGACUUGGGACAUUUUUACGCAUGUAGUUGAAACAAAAUCAACAUAGCCUUGAUGAUAUUCAUGUUUAUGGUAAUUUAUGUCCUACUCAUGCUUGCACUCAAUGUUGGUUAAUUUCAAUGCAUUUUGAUGACUGUUGUCGCUCUCUAGUUGGUCGCUUCCCAGUCUUUUGCUAGCCUUCACUUGUACUAAGCAGGAAUACUGCUUGUGCAUCCACUUCCAUAAACCCAAAGUUGUUCAUAUGAGUCCACCAUACCUACCUAUAUGCGGUAUCUACCUGUCGUUCCAAGUAAAUUUGCAUGUGCCACUCUCUAAAACUUCAAGUAAUAAUCUAUUUUGUAUGCCCGAACCGCUCAUGUGGUGACAAGGGGCGAUCGGUAUCUUCCAUGCUAGGCGUGUUAUCCUCGAUACGUGUUUAUUCACUAUCACUCAUGAGAAAGGGUCGGUAAUCGGAAUGCCCAGUUCCAUGCUCAAAUCAAAAAGAUAAUUGCAAACAAAACUCCCCCUGGAUUGUUGUUGGUAUGGAUGGCACCCGAGGAUUCAGCUAGUCGUGGAGUGUGAUUGAUCGGUGGUGGGGGAGUCAAAACUUUACUUUUCUGUUUGGGAACCGCCUAAAGUAUGUGUAGCAUGGAAGAUGGUGGAAACUCUUGGUCAUCGCAUUGACAAUGAAAGCAUGCCACCCAAAAUUAUUUGUCUAUGUUUUAAAAGCUUGAGCUCUGGCACCUCUGCAAAUCAAUGCUUCCCUCUAUGAAGGGCCUAUCUAUUUAUGUUUCUAUUGAGUCAUCGUCUUCUUUCAAAAAGUACCAAUUAGAGAGCACCUCCGUCAUUUUUAUGCUUUGCUAUUAAUUGAUAUUGAGUAUGACUGUGACUGGAUCUUCUUUGCCAUGAAUUACAAUGUUCAGUCAACCCUUGGUCUUUGAAGGUGCUCUGCAUCUUAGUUUUGCGGUCUCAGAAAGAGUUAGCGAGAUACCACCUAUUCAUAUUGCUUGAUGAUUGUUUUGAUUGAAGUGUUGACGUUUGAAACUUAUUAUUAUUGCUCGCUAGUUGAUUAUGCCAUUGGUAUGAGUUUGCCAUGAGACCUAGAUGUCAUUGCUUAUGUGGUUAGCUUAUGAUCUUGCUGAAAAUCCGAAUAUGAGUUAGACAUAAUUACAACAACAAGAUCAAACAGAGUUUGUAAAAGUUUUUCUUUUGUCUCUUUCAGUUUGUCAACUGAAUUGCUUGAGGACAAGCAAGGCUUUAAGCUUGGGGGAGUUGAUACGUCUCCAUCGUAUCAACUUUUCCAAACUCCUUUGACCUUGUUUUGGACUCUAAUUUGUAAGAUUUGAAUGGAACUAACCCCGACUGACGCUGUUUUCAGCAGAAUUGCCAUGGUGUUGUUUUGCGCGGAAAUAGAAGUUCUCGGAAUGACCUAGAAAUUUACAAGGAUUUUUUGUGGAAUAUAUAAAAAAUACUAGCACAAGAAUUACCUGAGGGACGGAGCCUGGAGCCCACAAGCCCAGGAGGCGCCCCCCUGGCUGCGCCUGGCACGCUUGUGGGGCCCUCGUGGCUCCGUCGCCUCCAACUCCAGCUCUAUAUAUUCUCUCUCGCCUGGAAAAAAUCGGAGAGAAGAGUUCAUAGAGUUUUACGAUACGGAGCCGCCACCACCACCUGUUCUUCCUAUGGAGGGCAGAUCUGGAGUCUGUUUUGGGCUCCGGAGAGGGGGAAUCGACACCUUCGUCAUCGCCAAUUCCAUGAUGCUCUUCAUCGUUCGUGAGUAAUCUCAUCGUAGGCUUGGUGGAAGGUGAUGGGUUGGAUGAGAUCUAUCAUGUAAUCGAGUUAGUUUUGAUGGGGAUUGAUCCCUAGUAUCCACUAUGUUCUGAUGUUGCUACUACUUUGUUAUGCUUAAUGCUUGUCACUAGGGCCCGAGUGCCAUGAUUUCAGAUCUGAACCUAUUAUGUGUCCAUCAAUAUAUGUGUGUUCUUGAUCCUAUCUUGCAAGUUGUAGUCACCUACUAUGUGUUAUGACCCGGCAACCCCGGAGUGAUUAUAGCCAGAACCACUCUCGGAGAUGACCAUGGUAUAAGGAGUUCAUGUAUUCACUAAGUGCUAAUGCUUUGUUCCGGUUCUCUAUUAAAAGGAGACCUUAAUAUCCCUUAGUUUACAUUAGGACCCCACUGCCACGGGAGGGAUGGACAAUAGAUGUCAUGCAAGUUCUUUUCCAUAAGCACGUAUGACUAUAUACGGAAUGCAUGCCUACAUUACAUUGACGAACUGGAGCUAGUUACAUAUCUCCCCAUGGUAUAACGGUUACAUGAUGAAUGUCAUCCGGCAUAAUUAUCCAUCACCUAUCCAAUGCCUACGAGUUUUUCCUACUAGUCCUUGCUAUGCUACUUUGCCGCUACUGCUGUCACUGCUCCUACUGUUACCGUUAUUGUUGUCACUACUGCUACUGUUACCACUGCUACUGUUGCUAUCACACUACUCUGCUACUGAAAAUUUGUUGUAGAUACUAAGUCUUUCAGGUGUGGUUGAAUUGACAACUCAACUGCUAAUACUCGAGAAUAUUCUUUUGCUUCCCCUUGUGUCUAAUCAACAAAUUUGGGUUGAAUACUCUACCCUCAAAAACUAUUGCGAUCCUCUAUACUUGUGGGUUAUCAAGGCCAAAUGAGCCCACCAUAAUAAUUGUCUCUUAUACACAUCUNAAAAAGAGAUAAGGGACUUUGCUACUAUCCUUUACCACACUUGUGCCUCAAAGUGGCAUCUUGUUCUUCAUAUAGAGAGUCUCGUGUUAUAUUAUUCAUAUGAUAGUGGGAAUUACUUUUUCAUAAAAUUGGCUUCUAUAUUCCUAUGACGGGCUUCCUCAAAAGCCUGAGGUCUUCAUGAGCAAGCAAGUUGGAUGCACAGCCCACUUAGCUUCGCUGGAGCUUUCAUACACUUAUGGCUCUAGUGCAUCGUUUGCAUGGAAAUCCAUACUCCUUGCAUCAAUAUCUAUCGAUGGGCAUCUUCGUGGCCCGUUGGUACUCCUAGUUGUUGUGAGGCUAUAUUCUCCACUUUACACCCCUUUGAAACGCACCACCUUACUGUAUUCCACAUUUAUGCUAUGUCCAAUGGUUCACGCUCAUGUAUUGCGUGAAGAAUAAAAAGUUGAUGCAUAUUGAAAAAGUAUGAUCCAAUUGCAUGACUUGUACACCGUGCUGAUUAACAUUUGUAUUAAUGUGGUUAAUAUGGAGCCAUGCCUUGCUAAUAUAAAAUAAGAUGGAUAGGGGUAAAACAUUUUUUGAGGAUCGUAUACUUUGAAAGAUUGAUAUUUUGCUGCUUAUACCUAUAAGUACUACUAUGUUAAUGUUUUUUAAUUCAUCGUUUCUCAGUGAGCAUACAUGCAUAAGGUUACAUCAUGGGUAGCAUGUGACAUCAAAAACUCUGCUUUUAUCAUUUACCUACUCGAGGACGAGCACGAAUUAAGCUUGGGGAUGCUUGAUACGUCUCCAACGUAUCUAUAAUUUUUUAUUGUUCCAUGAUGACAUAUUAUCAUUUUAGAAUACUUUUGGGGUAUAUAUUAACAAUUUAUAUUAUUUUUUAGCACUAACCUAUUGACCCAGUGCCCAGUGCCAGUUGUUGUUUUCUGCAUGUUUUUCACUUUUUCGGUUUUCAAUACCAAACGAAGUCUAAUUGAUCUGAAACUUUUUGGUGAUUUUUCUGGACCAAAAUAAGACCAAGGAGCAUCGGAAGAAGGUUCGAUGCCUCAUUAGGGGCACAUAAGCCAACAAGGUGUGACCUGGGGGCGCCCUGAUGGCUUGUACCUCCCUCGUGGCCCUCCCGACUCUGUUCUCUGGCUUAUAAAUUCUCCUUUAUCCUAGAAACACCAGAAGAGGCCAGUAACACUUUUUAUGUUGUCGCAAGUAUCUGUUUCAAUGGGAUGCCAUAUGGAGCUCCGUUUCGGCACCGUGUCGGAGAGAGGUCGAUCAUGGAGGGCCUCUACAUCAACCUUGUUGCCCUCUCCAUGAUGUGUGAGUAGUUCACCACACACCUACGGGUCCAUGGCCAGUACCUAGAUGACAUUCUCUCUUGAUCUUCAAUACAAUGGUCAUCGCAUCUUCUCUUUGAUCCACAUGAUGUAACUUACUUUUGUGUGGUGCGUUUGUUGGGAUCCAAUGAAUUGUGGGUUUAUGUUCAGAUUAUUCAUGAUAAAUAUUUGAAUCUAAUCUAAAAUAUUAUAUGAUUCUUAUGUGCAUGAUUAUAAUAGCUUCGUAAUUCUCUCCGAUCUAUUGAAAUAGUUUGGCCAACUAGAUUGAUAUUUUUUUGGUGAGAGAGGUGCGUUGUAGUAGGUUCAACCCAGCGAAUUUCUAUAUCCCAGUGACAGAAGGAGACAAGAUGCGUCUUUAUGUUGCUACUACUAAGGAUAAAAUGAUGGGGUUUAUUCACAUUGCUUGAGUUUACAUUCUCUACAUCAUGGAAUCUUUCUCCAUGCAUUACUUCGUUUGUCAUGAACUUAAUACGUAGAGAGGCAAGCAUAGAAGCAAUCUUGAAGUUUAGUAAUAGUAAUAGGUGCACGCACGAGUCGGUCUAUUUGUUUAUGGACGUAAUGCCUAUAUACACAUGAUCAUUGUCGUGAAUAUCGCAUAACUAUUCACUUUUCUGUCAAUUGCCCAACAGUAAUUUGUUUACCCAUCGUAUGCUAUUUUCCAUGAGAGAUGCCAUUAGGGAAAACUAUGGCCCUCGGGUCUAUUCACACCAUAUUUACAAAACCUUCAAUACCUUGCUGCAAUUUAUUGUUUUCUUUUUAUUUUGCAAUUUACAAUUAUCUACAACUAUGUGCACAACUUACUUGCUUGCAAAUAACGAGACCAAAGGGGAUUGACAACCCUCUUGCCCGCGUUGGGUGCAAGUUGUUUGUUCUUUUGUGUACAUCCGCUAAAGACGGUUGUGGUUGAUAUUCCUAUUGGUUCGAUAAACCUUGGUUUCGUCACUCACGAAAAUACUUACCUAUUUUGUGCUGUGAUAACCCGUUCAUCUACACGGAAAACCCAACGCGGAUCACAAGUAUUAGGCUCUUGGGAGCCCCCACUGGUGACAACACCCCUAGUUGGAGUCGUACGUCCGCCGCGCCCAACCGCAGAGUCGUCACGGGGGAAAUGAUAGAUGAUUUGGCAGGGGGACCAACACCGCCCAGUGCGGACGAACCAUGGGUUAGCCUUGAGGCACACGCCCGAACGGUGCCAUUCGGUUGCGUCACGGCUAAGAGGUGGAGAAGAAGCGGUGUGUCUGGGUCGCUCGGUGCGCCGCAUUGAAGCAAGUGAGGACCGAGGGGGGCCUCGCCACUGCAUGCGGCACAGACGAGGCUCAUGACAUGCUUAAGUCGAGCGCCGCACUGUCCCUGGUGGGGCGACAUCACAGCAGCCCCUCCGCUAAGAGCAGCGCAACGUGUGGAGCAGGAGGGUUGCGACUCACCGGCGAGGGGUGGAAGCGGAGCAGCCAAGCGCAUGCUUGUUCUCCGACGGGUAGACGAAGGAGGUCGCCUUCUCUCUAACGGGCUUGGUGGUGUCCCAAGGGCGCCGCCCAGGGGCACCACGGGUGGCGGCUCAGCGUGCAGCACGCUCCCGACAAGCGGUGGCAUCAUCCAUGUCGAUGUUGAUGUUGAGGUCAAAGGUGCAAACACAGCAAGCUGCCCCUACCCGGUGCGCCAAAUUUCAGAGUCAAGGAUGUGCAUCCCCAUACUUCUCCAAAGAACUAGGUUCGGACACUCGGGGUGCUUGGCUUGGCAACUUGCAACACGAUGGUAAACACGGCAAGAUCGACGGUAAGCUCACUCCUUCUCACCAGACACGAACCAGACACGUGAGAUACCCAGGUUCGGGCCACCGUGCAGUGUAGAACCCUACUCCUGCUUGUGUUAGAAUUCUUUGUACUCGAGAGCUAUGCUCGAGGUACAUGAGGUGUGUUGGAGAGAAUGGCUUGAUCCCCUUAGACGUAAGUGGUUGUCCCCUCUUGUAGUGCCUUGGUCCUCUUCCCCGAAAAUAUGAGCGAGUAAGGGUGUCCACGUGGCGGAAAUUCAAAGGGGGACAGGAGCUCGGACUAAUCCGGACAAAAGGUUGUCUCCCCCUGCUAAAGCAGUCUUCGUGACGUGUUUGUGGGCUCGGCGAUGACCUUCAUCCUGCCUCGCUGAUCCGUCGUGAUCCUCUUUCAUCAAAAUGGCAAGCUUUGGGAUCCUGUCUUUGGCGAGAGAGCGGUCGCAGCACUCUAAUCACCAAAGAUGAAUUCAUCCUUGUCCGCGCAUGCUCGCAUGGCCUCUAUCAACCUUGUCUAUGUGGGUGCAUCACUCACGUGUUGGGCGCGGAGCCCUGUGGCAGGUAUCGUACAUCGUCCUCGUGGAUCGACCUCAUGAGGGGAGCCUCGUGAGACAAUCUGGCACUUGGUGGCCCGGGUUACGCCUAGUCUGGUGGUGAGCAGCCUCGCAAGCAUAGCCCCGCACAAGGCGGCUUCUUUCGGAGCGACCGUGGCUAAUCCAUCUCGCCGCGGGCCGGUGGCAAAUGGGUCGUGGUACCCUGGUUCCCACUUGGCCGACGGGAACACUAAAAGUUGCCACAUUUUGCACUAGUCAUUGUAACCGAGUUUUUACUUUGGUUCCACCGAGUUGAAUAAUAAUGUUGUAACUGUUGGAUUUUUGGAGAUGUCUAUAUAUACACAUCCACCUCCCUCUCAUACGUAGAGAGAGCACUCAAAACAAGCCAACACUAGCCCCAUCCAUUUUCUGAGAAGGAACCACAUACUCGUGUGUUGAGAUCAACAUAUACGAGUCCAAUCAUAUGAAUCUUGAUUUCUAGCCUCCCCAAGUUUCUUUCCACCCAAUUAAACUCUUCUACUGAGCCAAAUUUGUGACAGAAAGAUUGAGUGUUGAGGAGACUAUCUUUUGAAGCACAAGAUCAAGGAGUUCAUCAUCCAUACCACAUCUAUUGCCUUUUGGAGAGUGGCAUCUCCUAGAUAUGUUGGGUGUUGCUUGGGAGUCUCCCACUUCACGUGGAGUUGAACCAAGAAGUUUGUAAGGCCAAGGUGACCGCCUACUUCGUGAAGAUCUACCCUCAGUGAGGCUAGUCCUUCAUAGACAUAAGCCAUGAAGGUAUUAUCACACCCUAUGUUUUGCCUUACUUUGCUAAGUUAACAUAGCUUGAAAAUUAGGACCAAUUAAAACUUUUGUUGUGUGAUGUGAUGCUUGAACUGAUUGUUGUUUGCUUGCUUCUGUUUUAAAUCACAAGAACAAUCCUCCUACUUUUUAUACUCACCUCCUUGCUCCAAAUCCUUGCCCAACGACCAUGCCAUGUGUAUAGGACCUAAAACUAUUUUUACAAAAUAUCAUUUUUACCAAAAAGCAUUUAAUUAAUUUAAGCUUUCAAAACCCCCUCAAUUGCGGUUUGUAAUACAAGUCCUCAAAUUAGGAGGUAUAUUUUGCUCAAAAUAUUUUAUUUGGAUCUUUUUAUCAAAAAUACUUCCCAAAAACAGAAAAUAAUUAUCUUUUUACUAUCUUAUUUAAAUACCUUUUUCUGAGGCCGGAAAUGAUAUUUAUAGGGGGGAAUUAUUUUUAUGCCAAAACAUUUGAGAAAAGUUAGGGAAACUUAGUGGACAUAUGUUUUCCAUAUAUAAGAGUUUUAACAAAUGGUCAUGUUCAAAAUAUUGGACAAAACCCUCCAAAACCCUUUUUGCCUAUUUCAAGCUUUUGAAAUAUUGCUAUAAGAAUCAUUAUCAAAUAAUUCUAGUAAAAUUCUACCAUGUCACACAUGAUAUAUGUUAUGAUCUUGCCAAGUUUCAUCUCAACCCAAGUUGAUUUCAUUCACCAAAAUAUCCCAAAACCCUGUGUGUCCACAACCAAAUUUGAGCAACUCUACAUUGCCAGGUUUCUCCUUUUGUGCUCAAAUUUUGUGGGCGUGAUCUCAUACUCAAAUAACGCAUCCACACCAAGUGGUGCAUCAAGGAGAAUAGAUCCACUUGUACAAAGCCCCUCAAAACCACUUCUGCUGAUUUCUAGAAUUGGGAAUAUUUGCAUUGGCAAGUUUCUCCAAAUGACUCCAAACUUUUGGGGCAUGCUCUAAUCCUCAAAUAAUGCCACCACACAAAGUGGUGCAUUAGGGGGAAUUAAUUUGCAUGGGUUUGUCUAGGGAAAACCAUUUCUCCUGAUUUCUAGGGUUUACCAUCUCUACAUUGGAAACUUUCUCCAACAAAUCUCAAAUUUGGUGUCCAACCUCAUUUUCACCUAACAUUUGAUCUUGUUAAAUCUCACGGCAAGUAGACUCCAUUUUCUUGCACAAAACAACAUCAAACACCUUCUCGUGAUUUAGUAAAAACCCACCUUUUGACCCCUUACAUGGUUCCCCUUACUCUCAAACUUUUACCACAACCCCAAGUUGAUGUCUUCUACCUCCAAUAAGAAACCCAGCCCCCCAGGUCAAUAAUUGGUGGGGGUAAAACCCCCAUUUAUCCCAUGGACAGCAAGAAUCCACUUCUCUCUCAGCUUCCCCCCUUUCCUAGCCAGUACCCAGGGUAUCCAAAGCCCUUUUGCACCUAUUUUACUCCUCCCGCAGCUAGUGUACAAGGGUGGUCAUGCCAGAGCGCGUGCAGACGCGCCCAUGCUAGACAAAAGCUCACUCUGGAGCACACUGCAGUGCACUCAAGAACUGACGCCACACUAAUGACCUCCUCGAGCCCCUCCUACUUGCAGGACCACAUCAGCAUACAUGAUUCACCAUACGGUCAUCCCCAUCCUCUCUCUCUCUCCCUCCUGCGGCCCUCCUCGCAUGCACGCCGACCGCCCAAGCACACCAAUGGACGGCCUCGCACAGGCAAGCUUCUACCGCUCACUCCUUCCUCUUUUUUCCCUCCCCUAGUCCGAGACCAAGUCCACCAAUGCCAUAGACAUGGCCUAGGGUGCCCUCGUGGCCUAUGGCCUCACCCUCGCCCUCGACCUCGCCCUGCUCCAUGUCCACGGUAAGCACGCUCCCAAGCCAUUCAAGGCCUCCCUCGAGCCCCCACUCGGCUCCCUUUUCCCCCUCUCUCCCCCAGAGCCCCAGUAUCGCCAAAUCGUCCUCCCAUGCCCUUCUCCUCCCUCAUUGACGACAUUGUCACCUAGGCCUUCUCCUAAAUUCGGGCUCCCUCGAGCUUUCCCUCUCCCCUGACCCCUCCAGUGCCCUCUCGCCACCAUCUCUAAGCCCCGCAGCGCCACCAUUUCUCCUCGGAGACGCCCUGGGCUCAAUGGCAGUGAUGACCGGAGGUCCCCUCCACGACCAAAUAGACCAUCACCGCUAUAGCCCUCCCGUGCAUGAGCACGACAGGGGAUUGAUAUGUCUCCAAUGUAUCUAUAAUUUUUUAUGGUUCCAUGCUAUUAUCUUGUCAAACUUUGGAUGUUUUGUAUGCCUUUUAUAUCUUUUUUGGGACUAACUUAUUAACUCAGUGCCAAGUGCCAGUUCCUUUUUCUUCUGUGUUUUUGACCCCUUUCACAGGAGAUUUUUAAACGGUGUCCAAACGGAAUAAAACUUCCGAAAAGUUUUUUUCCGGAACAGAAGAUACGCAGGGGACGUGAGAACCAAGGCAAAGGCCACCAGGGGAGGCCACAAGCCCACUAGGCGUGGCUAGGGGCGCGCGCCUAGUAGUCUUGUGGGCCCCGUGUGGCUUGUCUGCCCUACCUCUUCCGCCUAUAAAUUCCCGACAAAUCCUAAACUACGAGAGAGAUCCAACAAAAUACUUUUCCAUCGCCGCAAGCUUCUGUCUCCGCAAGAUCCCAUCUAGGGCACAUUUUGGUGCCCUGCCGGAGGGGGGAUUCGGAUAUGGAGGGCUUCUUCAUCAACACCAUGACCUCUCCGAUGAUGCGUGAGUAGUUCACCAUAGACCUUCGGGUCCGUAGCUAGUAGCUAGAUGACUUCUUCUCUCUCUUGGAUCUUCAAUACAAAGUUCUCCAUGAUCUUCAUGGAGAUCUAUCCGAUGUAAUCUUCUUUGCGGUGUGUUUGUCGAGAUCCGAUGAAUUGUGGAUUUAUGAUCGGAUUAUCUAUGAAUCUUAUUUGAGUUUCUUCUGAUCUCUUAUAUGCAUGAUUUCAUAUCCUUGUAAUUCUCUUCGAGUUGUGGGUUUUGUUCAGCCAACUUGAUCUAUGAUUCUUGCAAUGGGAGAAGUGCUUGGUUUUGGGUUCAUGCCGUGCGGUGACCUCACCCAGUGACAGAAGGGGUAGCGAGGCACGCAUCGUGUUGUUGCCAUCAAGGGUAAAAGGAUGGGGUUUACAUCAUUGGUUUGAGUUUAUCCCUCUACAUCAUGUCAUCUUGCUUAAAGCGUUACUCUGUUCGUCAUGAACUCGAUACACUAGAUGCAUGCUGGAUAGCAGUCGAUGUGUGGAGUAAUAGUAUUAGAUGCAGAAAGUAUCGGUCUACUUGUCUCGGACGUGAUGCCUAUAUGUAUGAUCAUUGCCUUAGAUAUCGUCAUGACUUUGGGCGGUUCUAUCAAUUGCUCGACAGUAAUUUGUUUACCCACCGUAAUAUUUGCUAUUUUGAGAGAAGCCUCUAGUGAACAAUAUGGCCCCCGGGUCUACUUCACUUCAUAUUUUCAGCCUUACACUUUUACUUCGUUGCACUUUCCACCUUCAGAUCUCACUUUGCAAUCAAUCUUGAAGGGACUGACAACCCUUUUAUAGCGUUGGGUGCAAGCUCGUUGUGUUUGCGCAGGUACUCUGAACACUUGGCUUGAUUCUCCUACUGGAUUGAUACCUUGGUUCUCAAACUGAGGGAAAUACUUACUGCUCCUGUGCUGCAUCACCCUCUCCUCUUCAAGGGAAAACCAACGCAAGUUCAAGAGGCAGCAGAAGGAUUUAUGGCACCGUUGCCGGGGAGGAUCAAGUCAAAGAAUAGUCUCCCGUCAACGUGUCAAUCUCUGGCACCGAGGAUUAUUCUAAGUGAAGCUUAUCCAAGUAACUGUCGCAAACUCAUCUCUUGCAUUUACUUUUUUUGCCUCUCGUUUUCCUCUCCCCCACUUCUGAAAAAUAAAAAUUUACAAAAAUAUUUGUCUUUUUCGUUCGCCCUUUUCUUUCGCUUGCUUUCUGUUGCUUGUGUGCUAUGUGCCUUCAAUAUGCUUGCAUCUUCGCUUGCUGAAAAUCUAUUGAUAUGGAUCCAAUUAUGUUGAACCAUUUGCUAGUGAGUUGAGUGCACUUGACUUUCUCUAUGGAGUUUUGCUUGAGAUGCAUGAAUCUGAAAAUCGUGAUGAAGAAAUUUAUGAAGUGAUUCACGAGGGCUCCUUGAAUGAAAAGCAUGAUUCAAUGAUUUCAUUAUAAAUUCUAUUAAUGACAAUCAUGCUAAAAAUAUGCAAAACCCUAAGCUUGGGGAUGCUAGUUUUGCUAUGUCCACUACUUGUUGCAAUGAUCAUGAUUGGGGUAAUGAUUUUUCUUAUGAUCUUGAAAAUUUGUUUAAGCCUCUUGAUGAAUAUGAUAUUUGCAAUAAUAUUGAAAGUGGGUUUGGAGAAGUCAUGACUUUAGUUGAUGAUAAUCCCACUAUUUUUGUAGAGCGUCAACUUUGCAUGCAUGUGGAUCAUGAAAAGAAUAUCCUAUGUGAUAUCUAUAUUGUUGAAUUUGAAUAUGAUCCCACAUGUAAUUGCUAUGAGAGAGGAAAAUAUUGUGGUAGAAACUUUCAUGUUACCAAAUCACCUCUCGUUAUGUUGAGAUUGCUAUUGUCUCUUUCUUCUUCCUUGCAUAUGGUAACUAUUGGUUGUCUUAACAAUUUGUUUUCCUAUAAAAUGCCUAUGCGUAGGAAGUAUGUUAGACUUAGAUGUGAUUUUUACAUGCUUUAUGAUGCUCUCGUUGUGCUUCAAUUCUUAUCUUUUGUGUGAGCAUCAUUGAAUUAUCAAUGCCUAGCUAAGCGCGUUAAACAAUAGCGCUUGUUGGGAGGCAACCCAAUGAAUUUAUCUUUUUCUUUCUGUUUUGUUGCGUCCACACCAUCAUAAUUCUGUUAUGAUUUUGUUUUUUUGUGUUUCUUUUUGUGUUUGAGCCAAGCAAAACCUUUAUGACUAGUUUGGUGUUGGUUGUUUGAUCCUGCUGGAAAAAGACAGAAAUUGCUCGCUCACGAAAGUAUUUGGCAUUUUUAUUCAGAAAGAGAUUUUGAGUUGAUUCUUUUUUCUCCUGGUUGAUAUUUAUUUUUCCCAGGCUGUAGUAAUUUUUCAGAAUUUUUGAGGUAACAGAAGUAUACGAAGUAUACAGAUUGCUACAGACUGGUAUGUUUUUGACAAAUUCUGUUUUUCUUGUGUUGGUUGCUUGUUUUGAUGAAACUAUGGAUAGUAUCGGGGGGUACUAUCCAUGGAAAAGUGAGAAUACAGUAACCUAACACCAACAUAAUUAAAAAUCAAGAUUGCUACAGUACCUCAAGAGGUGGUAGUUUCUUUUCUUGUGCUAAUGAUAUCACGAGUUUCUGUUUAAGUUUUGUGUUGUGAAGUUUUCAAGUUUUGGGUGAUGUUCUCACGAACAAGGGAUAAACAGUGGAAAGAGCUCAAGCUUGGGGAUUCCCAAGGCAUCCCAAGCCAAAUUCAAAGACACCAAAAAGCCUAAGCUUGGGGAUGCCCCGGGAAGGCAUCCCCUCUUUCGUCUUCAAUCCAUCGGUAACAUUACUUGGAGCUAUAUUUUUAUUCACCACAUGAUAUGUGUUUUGCUUGGAGCGUCUUGUAUCGUAGGAGUCUUUUCUUUUUGUUGUGUCACAAUCAUCCUUGAUGCACACCUUUUGAUAGAGACAUGCACUCAUCGUGAAUUUGCUAGAAUGCUCAUUGUGCUUCACUUACAUCUUUUGAGCUAGACAAUGUUGCUCUAUGUGCUUCACUCAGAUCUUUUAGAGCACAGCAGUGUGUAACUUGGUAGUUGGCUUGUGCUAUGAAAGUAGUCCCAAAGGUUAUAGGUACCCGAAGAGGAUAAAAUAAAACUUCCAUCUUCAUGUGCAUUGAGUAGAAAGAGAAGUUUGAUUCCUCUCAAUUAGUUUUGCGACGUGGAUUUGGUAAUAUUAAGAGUUAUGUUAGUAGGGUGUUGUGAAUCUAGAAAUACUUGUGUUGAAGUUAGUGAUUCCCGUAACAUGCAUGUAUGGUGAACCGCUAUGUUAGGAAGUCGGAGCAUAAUUGAUCUAUUGAUUGUCAUCCUUUGUGUUGCAGUCAGGAUCGCGCGAUGGUUUACACCUACCAACCCUUCCCCUAGGAGUAUGCAUUUAACACUUUGUUUCGAUUACUAAUAAAAACUUUCCAACAAGUAUGUGAGUUCUUCAUGACUAAUGUGAGUCCAUGGUAUAGAUGCACUUUCACCUUCCACCAUUGCUAGCCUCUCUAGUACCACGCAAUUUUCGCCGGUGCACAAACCCACCAUAUGCCUUCCUCAAAACAGCCACCAUACCUACCUACUAUGACAUUUUCAUAGCCAUUUCGAGAUAUAUUUCCAUGCAACUAUCGCCAUUCCAUCUCAUGACUUGUGACGUCACUCUCAUAUUGCCAUUGCAUGAUCGUAAGAUAGCUAGCGAGAUUUUUGAACAUCAUACGCCAAGCUAGAUCGUUGCACAUCCCGGUACACUGCCGGAGGCAUUUCCUAUAGAGUCGUCAUCGUUCUAAGCUUUGAGCUGUGAGUAAAUAAAAGUGUGAUGAUCAGCAUUAUUAGAGAAUUGUCCCAUGUGAGGAAAUAAAAAAAGGCCAAAGUUGCCCACAUAAAAAAAUAUGGAAAGGGGCCAAAGAGCACAAACAAAAAAAAGAGAAAAAGCGAGANUCUUUUUGUUGUGUCACAAUCAUCCUUGAUGCACACCUUUUGAUAGAGACAUGCACUCAUCGUGAAUUUGCUAGAAUGCUCAUUGUGCUUCACUUACAUCUUUUGAGCUAGACAAUGUUGCUCUAUGUGCUUCACUCAGAUCUUUUAGAGCACAGCAGUGUGUAACUUGGUAGUUGGCUUGUGCUAUGAAAGUAGUCCCAAAGGUUAUAGGUACCCGAAGAGGAUAAAAUAAAACUUCCAUCUUCAUGUGCAUUGAGUAGAAAGAGAAGUUUGAUUCCUCUCAAUUAGUUUUGCGACGUGGAUUUGGUAAUAUUAAGAGUUAUGUUAGUAGGGUGUUGUGAAUCUAGAAAUACUUGUGUUGAAGUUAGUGAUUCCCGUAACAUGCAUGUAUGGUGAACCGCUAUGUUAGGAAGUCGGAGCAUAAUUGAUCUAUUGAUUGUCAUCCUUUGUGUUGCAGUCAGGAUCGCGCGAUGGUUUACACCUACCAACCCUUCCCCUAGGAGUAUGCAUUUAACACUUUGUUUCGAUUACUAAUAAAAACUUUCCAACAAGUAUGUGAGUUCUUCAUGACUAAUGUGAGUCCAUGGUAUAGAUGCACUUUCACCUUCCACCAUUGCUAGCCUCUCUAGUACCACGCAAUUUUCGCCGGUGCACAAACCCACCAUAUGCCUUCCUCAAAACAGCCACCAUACCUACCUACUAUGACAUUUUCAUAGCCAUUUCGAGAUAUAUUUCCAUGCAACUAUCGCCAUUCCAUCUCAUGACUUGUGACGUCACUCUCAUAUUGCCAUUGCAUGAUCGUAAGAUAGCUAGCGAGAUUUUUGAACAUCAUACGCCAAGCUAGAUCGUUGCACAUCCCGGUACACUGCCGGAGGCAUUUCCUAUAGAGUCGUCAUCGUUCUAAGCUUUGAGCUGUGAGUAAAUAAAAGUGUGAUGAUCAGCAUUAUUAGAGAAUUGUCCCAUGUGAGGAAAUAAAAAAAGGCCAAAGUUGCCCACAUAAAAAAAUAUGGAAAGGGGCCAAAGAGCACAAACAAAAAAAAGAGAAAAAGCGAGAAGGGGCAAUGCUACUAUCUCUUUCCACACUUGUGCUUCAUAAUAGCACCAUGUUCUUCAUGAUUGAGAGCUUCUCAUUUUGUCACCACCAUAUGCUAGUGGGAAUCUUCAUUAUAUAACUUGGCUUGUAUAUUCCAAUGAUGGGCUUCCUCAAAAUUGCCCUAGGUAUUCGUGAGCAAGCAAGUUGGAUGCACACCCACUAGUUCUCCUUUUGAGCUUUCACAUACUUAUAGCUCUAGUGCAUCCUUUGUAUGGAAAUCCCUACUCAUUCACAUUGAUAUCUAUUAAUGGGCAUCUCCAUAGUCCUUUGAUACGCCGAGUCAAUGUGACCAUCUCCUCCUUUUUGUCUCACAACCUCCACCACACUCUAUUCCACCAUAGUGCUAUAUCCAUGGCUCAUGCUCAUGUAUUGCGUGAGAGUUGAAAAAGGUUUGAGAAAUUAAGAGUACGAAAACAAUUACGUGGCCAAUACCGAGGUUGUGCAUGAUUUAAAUUAGUUGUGUGGGGAUGAUAGAGCAUAGCCAGACUAUAUGAUUUUGUAGGGAUAACUUUCUUUGGCCUUGUUAUUUCGAAAGUUCAUGAUUACCUUGCUAGUUUGCUUGAAGUAUUAUUGUUUUCAUGUCAAUAGCAAACUAUUGUUUUGAAUCUUACGGAUCAGAACAUUCAUGUCACAUGAAAGAAGUUACAAAGGAUAACUAUGCUAGGUAGCAUUCCACAUCAAAAAUUCAGUCUUUACCACUUCCCUACUCGAGGACGAGCAGGAGUUAAGCUUGGGGAUGCUUGAUACGUCUCCAACGUAUCUAUAAUUUUUGAUGGUUCCAUGCUAUUAUCUUGUCAAACUUUGGAUGUUUUGUAUGCCUUUUAUAUCUUUUUUGGGACUAACUUAUUAACUCAGUGCCAAGUGCUAGUUCCUAUUUUUUCCAUGUUUUUGACCCCUUUCAGAGGAGAUUUUUAAACGGUGUCCAAAUGGAAUAAAACUUCUGAAAAGAUUUUUUCUGGAACAGAAGAUACGCAGGGGAUGUGAGAACCAAGGCAUAGGACGCCACGGGAGGCAUCAAGCCCUCUAGGCGCGGCCAGGGAGGUCGCGCCUAGCAGGAUUGUGGGGCCCCUGUGGCUCGUCUGCCCUACCUCUUCCGCCAAUAAAUUUCUGAAAAAUCCAAAACUGCGAGAGAGAUCCAUGAAAAUACUUUUCCGCCGCCGCAAGCUUCUAUCUCCGCAAGAUCCCAUCUGGGGCACAUUCUGGUGCCCUGCCGGAGGGGGAUUCGGAUACGGAGGGCUUCUUCAUCAACACCAUGACCUCUCCGAUGAUGUGUGAGUAGUUCACCAUAGACCUUCGGGUCCAUAGCUAGUAGCUAGAUGGCUUCUUCUCUCUCUUGGAUCUUCAAUACAAAGUUUUUCAUGAUCUUCAUGGAGAUCUAUCCUAUGUAAUCUUCUUUGAGGCGUGUUUGUCGAGAUCUGAUGAAUUGUGGAUUUAUGAUCAGAUUAUCUAUGAAUCUUAUUUGAGUUUCUUCUGAUCUCUUAUAUGCAUGAUUUCAUAUAUUUGUAAUUCUCUUCGAGUUGUGGGUUUUGUUUGGCCAACUUGAUCUAUGAUUCUUGCAAUGGGAGAAGUGCUUGGUUUUGGGUUCAUACCAUGCGGUGACCUCACCCAGUGACAGAAGGGGUAGCGAGGCACGCAUCAUGUUGUUGCCAUCAAGGGUAAAAAUAUGGGAUUUACAUCAUUGGUUUGAGUUUAUCCCUCUAUAUCAUGUCAUCUUGCUUAAAGCGUUACUCUGUUCGUCAUGAACUCAAUACACUAGAUGCAUGCUGGAUAGCGGUCGAUGUGUGGAGUAAUAGUAGUAGAUGCAGAAAGUAUCGGUCUACUUGUCUCGGACGUUGAUGUCUACUACGCAACCUUCUCCUUGUAGACGUUGUUGGGCCUCCAAGUGCAGAGGGUUGUAGGACAGUAGCAAUUUUCCAUCAAGUGGGUGACCUAAGGUUUGUCAAUCCGCAGGAGGCGUAGGAUGAAGAUGAUCUCUCUCAAGCAACCCUGCAACCAAAUAACAAAGAGUCUCUUGUGUCCCUAACACACCCAAUACAAUGGUAAAUUGUAUAGGUGCACUAGUUCGGCGAAGAGAUUGUGAAACAAGUGCAAUAUGGAUGGUAGAUACAGUUUUUUGUAAUCUGAAAUUACAAAAACAGCAAGGUAACAAAUGGUAAAAGUGAGCACGAACGAUAUUGCAAUGCGUGGAAACGAGGCCUAGGGUUCAUACUUUCACUAGUGAAGUUCUCUCAACAAUGAUAACAUAAUUGGAUCAUAUAACUAGCCCUUAACAUGCAACAAAGAGUCACUCCAAAGUCACUAAUAGCGGGGAACGAACGAAGAGAUUAUUGUCGGGUACGAAACCACCACAAAGUUGUUCUUUCUGAUCGAUCUAUUCAAGACUCCGUAGUAAAAUAGCACGAAGCUAUUAUUUCCAUUCAAUCUUUCAUAGAGUUCGUACUAGAAUAACACCUUAAGAUACUUAUCAACCAAGACCCUAAUGUCACCUAGAUACUCCAUUAUCACCUCAAGUAUCCGUGGGUAUGAUUAUACGAUAUGCAUCACACAAUCUCAGAAUCAUCUAUUCAACCAACACAUAGAACUUCAAAGAGUGCCCCAAAGUUUCUACCAGAGAGUCAAAAUGUGUGCCAACCCCUGUGCAUAGGUUCCCAAUGUCACGAACCUGCAAGUUGAUCACCAAAACAUACAUCAAGUACUCAUAUGAAUCCACAUGUGCCAACCCAUAUGCAUAGGUUCCUAAUUGUCACAAACCCGCAAGUUGAUCACAGCAGAUAGACACAUGCAAGACAUACAUCAAAUGUUCUCAAAGACUCAAUCCGAUAAGAUAACUCCAAAGGGGAAACUCAGUUCACUACAAGAAGGAGAGGGGUAAGAACAUCAUAAGAUCCAACUAUAGUAGCAAAGCCCAUGGUACAUCGAGAUCAAGACAUCUCAAGAACACGAGAGAGAGAGGGAGAUCAAACACAUAGCUACUAGUACAUACCCUCAGCCCCGAGGGAGAACUAUUCCCUCCUCGUCAUGGAGAUCACCGGGAUGAUGAAGAUGGCUACCGGAGAUGGAUUCCCCCUCCGGGAGGGUGCCAGAAUGGGCUCCAGAGGCUUGCGGCGGCGGAACUCCCGAUCUAGCUUUCUUUUUGGGGGUUUCUGAAUUUAUAGGAAUUUAUGGCGGUGGAAUUACGUCGGUUGGGCCCACGAGGAGGUCACAAGCCUGCCCUAAGCCACCUAGGGGGUGGUGGCGGCGUCAGGGCUUGUGACUCCCUCGUGGCUCUUCUAGCCUUCUUCCAAAGCUUCGGGGGUCUCUUUUGGUCCAAAAAAAUCAUCGUAAAGUUUCAUUCCAUUUGGACUCCGUCUGAAAAUGGGCCAAAAACACGAAAAAACAGAAACUGGCACUUGGCACUUGGCACUCAGUUAAUAGGUUAGUCCCAAAAAAGAUAUAAAAUAGCAUAUUCAUGCAUAUAAAACAUCCAAAGUUGACAAGAUAAUAGCAUGGAACCAUCAAAAAUUAUAGAUACGUUGGAGACGUAUCAAGCAUCCCCAAGCUUAACUCCUGCUCGUCCUCGAGUAGGGAAGUGGUAAAGACUGAAUUUUUGAUGUGGAAUGCUACCUAGCAUAGUUAUCCUUUGUAACUUCUUUCAUGUGACAUGAAUGUUCUGAUCCGUAAGAUUCAAAACAAUAGUUUGCUAUUGACAUGAAAACAAUAAUACUUCAAGCAAACUAGCAAGGUAAUCAUGAACUUUCGAAAUAACAAGGCCAAAGAAAGUUAUCCCUACAAAAUCAUAUAGUCUGGCUAUGCUCUAUCAUCCCCACACAACUAAUUUAAAUCAUGCACAACCUCGGUAUUGGCCACGUAAUUGUUUUCGUACUCUUAAUUUCUCAAACCUUUUUCAACUCUCACGCAAUACAUGAGCAUGAGCCAUGGAUAUAGCACUAUGGUGGAAUAGAGUGUGGUGGAGGUUGUGAGACAAAAAGGAGGAGAUGGUCACAUUGACUCGGCGUAUCAAAGGACUAUGGAGAUGCCCAUUAAUAGAUAUCAAUGUGAAUGAGUAGGGAUUUCCAUACAAAGGAUGCACUAGAGCUAUAAGUAUGUGAAAGCUCAAAAGGAGAACUAGUGGGUGUGCAUCCAACUUGCUUGCUCACGAAUACCUAGGGCAAUUUUGAGGAAGCCCAUCAUUGGAAUAUACAAGCCAAGUUAUAUAAUGAAGANGGAUUUACAUCAUUGGUUUGAGUUUAUCCCUCUAUAUCAUGUCAUCUUGCUUAAAGCGUUACUCUGUUCGUCAUGAACUCAAUACACUAGAUGCAUGCUGGAUAGCGGUCGAUGUGUGGAGUAAUAGUAGUAGAUGCAGAAAGUAUCGGUCUACUUGUCUCGGACGUUGAUGUCUACUACGCAACCUUCUCCUUGUAGACGUUGUUGGGCCUCCAAGUGCAGAGGGUUGUAGGACAGUAGCAAUUUUCCAUCAAGUGGGUGACCUAAGGUUUGUCAAUCCGCAGGAGGCGUAGGAUGAAGAUGAUCUCUCUCAAGCAACCCUGCAACCAAAUAACAAAGAGUCUCUUGUGUCCCUAACACACCCAAUACAAUGGUAAAUUGUAUAGGUGCACUAGUUCGGCGAAGAGAUUGUGAAACAAGUGCAAUAUGGAUGGUAGAUACAGUUUUUUGUAAUCUGAAAUUACAAAAACAGCAAGGUAACAAAUGGUAAAAGUGAGCACGAACGAUAUUGCAAUGCGUGGAAACGAGGCCUAGGGUUCAUACUUUCACUAGUGAAGUUCUCUCAACAAUGAUAACAUAAUUGGAUCAUAUAACUAGCCCUUAACAUGCAACAAAGAGUCACUCCAAAGUCACUAAUAGCGGGGAACGAACGAAGAGAUUAUUGUCGGGUACGAAACCACCACAAAGUUGUUCUUUCUGAUCGAUCUAUUCAAGACUCCGUAGUAAAAUAGCACGAAGCUAUUAUUUCCAUUCAAUCUUUCAUAGAGUUCGUACUAGAAUAACACCUUAAGAUACUUAUCAACCAAGACCCUAAUGUCACCUAGAUACUCCAUUAUCACCUCAAGUAUCCGUGGGUAUGAUUAUACGAUAUGCAUCACACAAUCUCAGAAUCAUCUAUUCAACCAACACAUAGAACUUCAAAGAGUGCCCCAAAGUUUCUACCAGAGAGUCAAAAUGUGUGCCAACCCCUGUGCAUAGGUUCCCAAUGUCACGAACCUGCAAGUUGAUCACCAAAACAUACAUCAAGUACUCAUAUGAAUCCACAUGUGCCAACCCAUAUGCAUAGGUUCCUAAUUGUCACAAACCCGCAAGUUGAUCACAGCAGAUAGACACAUGCAAGACAUACAUCAAAUGUUCUCAAAGACUCAAUCCGAUAAGAUAACUCCAAAGGGGAAACUCAGUUCACUACAAGAAGGAGAGGGGUAAGAACAUCAUAAGAUCCAACUAUAGUAGCAAAGCCCAUGGUACAUCGAGAUCAAGACAUCUCAAGAACACGAGAGAGAGAGGGAGAUCAAACACAUAGCUACUAGUACAUACCCUCAGCCCCGAGGGAGAACUAUUCCCUCCUCGUCAUGGAGAUCACCGGGAUGAUGAAGAUGGCUACCGGAGAUGGAUUCCCCCUCCGGGAGGGUGCCAGAAUGGGCUCCAGAGGCUUGCGGCGGCGGAACUCCCGAUCUAGCUUUCUUUUUGGGGGUUUCUGAAUUUAUAGGAAUUUAUGGCGGUGGAAUUACGUCGGUUGGGCCCACGAGGAGGUCACAAGCCUGCCCUAAGCCACCUAGGGGGUGGUGGCGGCGUCAGGGCUUGUGACUCCCUCGUGGCUCUUCUAGCCUUCUUCCAAAGCUUCGGGGGUCUCUUUUGGUCCAAAAAAAUCAUCGUAAAGUUUCAUUCCAUUUGGACUCCGUCUGAAAAUGGGCCAAAAACACGAAAAAACAGAAACUGGCACUUGGCACUUGGCACUCAGUUAAUAGGUUAGUCCCAAAAAAGAUAUAAAAUAGCAUAUUCAUGCAUAUAAAACAUCCAAAGUUGACAAGAUAAUAGCAUGGAACCAUCAAAAAUUAUAGAUACGUUGGAGACGUAUCAAGCAUCCCCAAGCUUAACUCCUGCUCGUCCUCGAGUAGGGAAGUGAUAAAGAAUGAAUUUUUGAUGUUGCAUGCUACCUAGCAUAGUUGUCCUUUGUAACUUCUCUCAUGUGACAUGAAUGUUCAGAUCCGUUAGAUUCAAAUCAAUAGUUUUCUAUUGACGUGGAAACAAUAAUAAUUCAAUCAAACUAGCAACGUAAUCAUGAACUUUCAAAGUAACAAGGCCAAAAGAAAGUUAUCCCUACAAAAUCAUAUAGUCUGGCUAUGCUCUAUCAUCAUUGCACAACGAAUUUAAAUCAUGCACAACCCCGGUAUUAGCCAAGUAAUUGUUUCACACCUUUACUUUCUCAAACCUUUUCAACUCUCACGCAAUACAUGAGCGUGAGCCAUGGUUUUAGCACUAUAAGUGGUGUGGAGUGUGGUGGAGGUUGUGAGACAAAAUAAGGAGAAGAUGAUCACAUUAACUAGACAUAUCAAUGAGCUGUGGAGAUUCUGAUCAAUAUAUAUCAAUGUGAAUGAGUAGGGAUUGCCAUACAAAUGAUGCACUAGAGCUAAGAGUAUGUGAAAGCUCUUAAAGAAAACUAGUGGGUGUGCAUCCAACUUGCUUGGUCACGAAGACCUAAGGCAAUUUUGAGGAAGCCUAUCAUUGGAAUAUACAAGCCAAGUUAUAUAAUGAAAAUUUCCCACUACCUAUAUGGUGGUGAAAAAACGAGAGACUCUCAAUCAUGAAGAUCAUGUUCCUUAAUAUGCACAAGUGUGGAAAAGUGGUAGCAUUGUCCCUUCUCUCUUUUUCUCUCUUUUUUUAUAUUUUCUUUUUGGUGGGCUCUUUGGCCUCUUUUUUUCGUGGGCAUCUUUGGCCUCUUUUAUUUCCUCACAUGGGACAAUGCUCCAUCAAUGAUGAUCAUCACACUUUCAACUCAAAACUUAGAGCAAUGAUGACUCUAUCUGAAAUGCCUUCGGUAGUGUACCAUGACAAUGAUCUAGCAUGGCAUAGACAUUAAUGGAAACAUCAUACUAGCUAUCUUACGAUCAUGCAAUGGCAAUGUAGACGUGGUGUCACAUGUCAUGGUGGUAGUUUCAUGGCAAUAUAUCUCAGAAUGACUUUGAAAAAGCCAUAGUAGGUAGGUAUGGUGGCUGUUUUGAGGGAGGCUAAUGGUGGGUUUUGUGCACCGGCGAAAGUUGCACGGCACUAAGAAGAUAGUGAUGGUGGAAGGUGAAAGUGCAUCUAAACCAUGGACUCGACAUUAGUCAUGCAGAACUCAUAUACUUGUUGCAAAAGUUUUAUUAGUAAUCGAAACAAAGCAUUCAACGCAUACUCCUAGGGGAAGGGUUGGUAGGUAUAAACCAUCGCGCGAUGCCGACCGCCACACAAAGGAUGACAAUCAAAAGACUAAUCAUGCUCAGACUUCAUCACAUAGCGGUUCACCAUACGUGCAUGCUACGGGAAUCACUAACUUCAACACAAGUAUUUCUAGAUCCACAACACCUUACUAGCAUAACUUCAAUAUUACCACAACCAUAUCUCAAAACUAAUUGAGAGGAAUCAAACUUCUCUAACUAUUCAAUGCACAUGAAGGUGGAAGUUUUCGUAUCCCUUUGGGUAACUACCCCUUUUGAGACUACUUUCAAAGCAUAGAUCAACUACCAAGCCAUGCAUCGCUGUGCUCUAAAAGAUAUAAGUGAAGCACAUAGACUAAAAGUAUCUAGCUCAAAAGAUAUAAGUGAAGCACAUGUGAGGUGAAGUGUCUACCAAAAGAUAUAAGUGAAGCUCGACAAAAUCACGGUGAGUGCAUGUCUCUCUCUAGGUGUGUAGCAAGGAUGAUUGUGACACAAUAAAAAAAAUAAAAGACUCCUACGAUACAAGACGCUCCAAGCAAAAACACAUAACAUGUGGUGAAUAAAAAUAUAGCCCCAAGUAACGUUACCGAUGGAUUGAAGACGAGAGAGGGGAUGCCUUCCCGGGGCAUCCCCAAGCUUAGGCUUUUACGGCAUCCUUGAAUCAACUUGGGGUGCCUUGGGCAUCCCCAAUCUUGAGCUCUUGCCACUCUUUAUCUCUUUGUCCAUAAGAACUUCACCCAAAACUUGAAAACUUCACAACACGAAACUUAAACACAAACUCGUGAUAACAUUAGUAUGAGAAAGCAAACCACCACUUCCUUAGGUACUGUAGAAAACUUAAAUUCUACUUAUGCUGAUGUUGGGUUACUGUAUUUUAAAUCUUCCAUGGCUAAUACCCUCUGAUACUACCCAUAGUUUCAUCAAAAUAAGCAACCAACACAACAAAAACAGAAUCUGUUAAUAGCAGAUCAGUCUGUAGCAAUCUGUAUACUUCGUAUACUUCUGUUACUUCAAAAAUUCUGAAAACUUAAGACAGUCUGAAGAAUUUGCGUAGCAAUCAGAAGCAAAAAGAAUCAACUCAAAAUCUAUACAGAAAACAAAUGAAAAUUCUUUUCGUGAGCAUAAAGUUUCUGUCUUUUCCAGCAUGACCAAACGAUCACCCCCAAGACUAAUCAUAACGGUUUUUCUUGGCACAAACGCAAAAAAAAACACAAAAAACACAAUCAUAACAGACUUAUGAAAGUGUGGAAAACACAAAACAGAAAGAAAAAGUAUAGAUUCGUUGGGUUGCCUCCCAACAAGCGCUAUCGUUUAACGCCCUUAGCUAGGCAUUGAUUUCAAUGAUGCUCACAUAAAAGGUAAGGAUUGAAACACAACGAGAUCAUCAUGGAGCAAAUGGCUAGCACAUUUAAGUCUAACCCACUUCCUAUGCAUAGGGAUUUUGUGAUCAAACAAUUUAUUGGAGCAAGAAUCAACUAGCAUAGGAAGGCAAAACAAGCAUAGCUUCAAAAAUUUCAACAUAUGGAGAGGAAGCUUGAUACUAUUGCAAUAAGUAGAAGCAUAUGAUCCUCACUCAUAGUAAUUUUCAGUAGCAUCAUGAAUGAAUUCAACAAUAUAACCAGAACCUAAAGCAUUCUUUUCAUGAUCUACAAGCAUAGAAAUUUUACUACUCUCCACAUAAGGAAAUCUAUUCUUAAGAAUAGUAGUGGGAGUAUCAUAAAAGACUUGAGCACUACAAAUUGUGUCCACAAUGAAAAAGCAAGGUUUAGCAAAAGGGUUCUCGAUAGUAUGACAAGUUUUAUCAUACCUCUUCUUUAAAGCUUAAGUAUCCUCACAAUAAUCAUCAUAGAUAGGGGCAUGCUUUCAUCAAAAUAAUUUUGAUCAUUCAAAGUGGAAGAACUAAAAAGAUCAUCUUCAUCAAAUAUAGCAUCCCCAAGCUUGUGGCUUUGCAUAUCAUUAGCAUCAUGGGUAUUCAAAGAAUUCAUGCUAAGAACAUUGCAAUCAUGCUCAUCAUUCACAUAUUCUAUGCCAAGCAUUCUAUGUAAUUCUUCUUUCAGCACUUGAGCACAAUUUUCCUUCCCAUCAUGCUCACGAAAGACAUUGAAAAGAUGGAGCAUAUGAGGCAUCCUCAAUUCCAAAAAAAUUUGUAGUUUUCUAGCGAAAGAACAAGAAACAAAAUUAUUCGAUUGCAAUAUCUAAAGAUAUACCUUCAAGCGCUAACCUCCCCGGCAACGGCGCCAGAAAAGAGCUUCGUUGACGGGAGGUGAGUGUCUCUUACCUAGCCUCCCCGGCAACGGCGCCAGAAAAGAGCUUCGUUGACGGGAGGUGAGUGUCUCUUACCUAGCCUCCCCGGCAACGGCGCCAGAAAAGAGCUUGAUGUCUACUAUGCAACCUUCUCCUUGUAGACGUUGUUGGGCCUCCAAGUGCAGAGGGUUAUAGGACAGUAGAAAUUUUCCCUCAAGUGGGUGACCUAAGGUUUGCCAAUCCGCAGGAGGCGUAGGAUGAAGAUGGUCUCUCUCAAGCAACCCUGCAACCAAAUAACAAAGAGUCUCUUGUGUCCCCAACACACCAAUACAAUGGUAAAUUGUAUAGGUGCACUAGUUCGGCGAAGAGAUGGUGAAACAAGUGCGAUAUGGAUGGUAGAUAUAGGUUUUUGUAAUCUGAAAUUACAAAAACAGCAAGGUAACAAAUGGUAAAAGUGAGCAGGAACGGUAUUGCAAUGCGUGGAAACAAGGCCUAGGGUUCAUACUUUCACUAGUGAAGUUCUCUCAACAAUGAUAACAUAAUUGGAUCAUAUAACUAGCCCUGAACAUGCAACAAAGAGUCACUCCAAAGUCACUAAUAGCGGGGAAGGAAGGAAGAGAUUAUUGUCGGGUACGAAACCACCACAAAGUUGUUCUUUCUGAUCGAUCUAUUCAAGAGUCCGUAGUAAAAUAGCACGAAGCUAUUGUUUGCUUUCAAUCUUUCAUAGAGUUCGUACUAGAAUAAGACCUUAAGAUACUUAUCAACCAAGACCCUAAUGUCACCUAUAUACUCCAUUUUCACCUCAAGUAUCGGUGGGUAUGAUUCUACGAUAUGCAUCACACAAUCUCAGAAUCAUCUAUUCAACCAACACAUAGAACUUCAAAGAGUGCCCCAAAGUUUCUACCAGAAAGUCAAAACGUGUGCCCACCACUGUGCAUAGGUUCCCAACAUCACGAACCCGCAAGUGUUGGAAAUAUGCCCUAGAGGCAAUAAUAAAAUGGUUAUUAUCAUAUUUCCUUGUUCAUGAUAAUCGUCUAUUGUUCAUGCUAUAAUUGUGUUAACAGGAAACAGUAAUACAUGAGUGAAUAAAUAGAUCACAGUGUGUCCCUAGCAAGCCUCUAGUUGGCUAGCUAGUUAGUCAAUAGAUGAUCGUGGUUUCCUGGUCAUGGGCAUUAGAUGUCAUUGAUAACGGGAUCACAUCAUUGGGAGAAUGAUGUGAUGGACAAGACCCAAUCCUAAGCGUAGCACUAGAUCGUAUUGUUCGUAUGCUAAAGCUUUUCUAAUGUCAAGUGUCUUUUCCUUCGACCGUGAGAUUGUGCAACUCACGGAUACCGUAGGAGUGCUUUGGGUGUAUCAAACGUCACAACAUAAGUGGGUGACUAUAAAGGUGCACUACGGGCACCUCUGAAAGUGUCUGUUGGGUUGGUACGAAUCGAGAUCGGGAUUUGUCACUCCGCGUGACGGAGAGGUAUCUCUCGGCCCACUCGGUAGAACAGCAUCAUGAGUUCAAUGUGACUAAGGAGUUAGUCACACGAUGACAUACUACGGAACGAGUAAAGAGACUUACCGGUAACGAGAUUGAACAAGGUAUUGGCAUACCGACGAUCGAAUCUCGGGCAAGUUCUAUACCGACAGACAAAGGGAAUUGUAUGCGGGAUUGAUUGAAUCCUUGACAUCGUGGUUCAUCCGAUGAUAUCAUCGUGGCACUAGUGGGAGCCACCAUGGGUAUCCAGACCCCGCUGAUGGUUAUUGGCCGCAGAGGUGCUCGGUCAUGUCUGCCUGUCUCCCGAACCCGUAGGGUCUACACACUUAAGGUUCGAUGACGCUAGGGUUAUAGGGAGUUGUUAUACGAGGUUUUCGAAAGUUGUUCGAAGUCCCGGAUGAGAUCCCGGACGUCACGAGGAGCUACGCAAUGGUCCGGAGGUAAAGAUUGAUAUAUAGGACGGAUGGUUUCGGACACCGGAAGUGUUUCGGGCAUCACCGGUAACGUACCGGGACCACCGGGACCACCGGAGGUGGCCCUGCGGGUCCACCGAAAGGGGGCCACGACCCCGGUAGGCUAGAUGGGCCAAGUGCGGGAGGGAACUAGCCCCUAGGUGGGCUGGUGCGCUCCCCACACUUAGCCCAUGGCGCAAGAAGAGGGGAGAGGGGGGAAACCCUAGCGCAGUUGGGCCUAAGGCCAACCAGAAGGGUGCGCCACCCCUCCUCCCCCUCCUGGCCGCCGCACCUCCCCCCAUCUAGGGCUGCCGCCCCUCCCAAGAGAGGGAAACCCUCAAGGGGGCGCAGCCCCUCCCUCCCCCUAUAUAUAGUGGGCACUUUGGGCUGUUGGAGACACCAAUCUUCCUCUCCCUCGGCGCAGCCCUGCUCUUCUUUCUCCUCCUCUCUGUCGGUGCUUGGCGAAGCCCUGCCGGGAGACCUCGUCUCUCCAUCGACACCACGCCAUCGUGCUGCCGAAGAUCUUCCCCAACCUCUCCCUCCUCCUUGCUAGAUCCAGGUGUGGGAGACGUCACAGGGCUGCACGUGUGUUGAACGCGGAGGUGCCGUGGUUCGGCACUAGAUCGGAAUCACACCGUGAUCUGAAUCGUCGCGAGUACGACUCCAUCAACCGUGUUCUAGUAACGCUUCCGCUUAGAGAUCUUCAAAGGUAUGAAGAUGCACUCACCCCUCUCUCGUUGCUGGUCUCUCCAUAGGAAGAUCUGAAUAUGCGUUGGAAAUUUUUUGAAUUUAUGCUACGUUACCCAACAGUGGCAUCCGAGCCAAGUUUUCUAUGCGUAGAUUCUAUGCACGAGUAGAAAACAAAAGGUUGUGGCUGAUGAUUUGUCAAUUGCUUGCCGCUACUAGUAUUAUUCUUUUCCGGCGGUAUUGUGGGAUGAAGCGGCCCGGACCGACAUUACACGUACGCUUACGUGAGACUGGUUCCACCGACAGACAUGCACACCGUGCAUAAAGGUGGCUAGCGGGUGUCUGUCUCUCCUACUCUAGUCGGAUUGGAUUUGAUGAAAAGGGUCCUUAUGAAGGGUAAAUAGCUUUGGCAUAUUAUCGUUGUGGCUGUCACGUAGGUAAGAAAGCGUUCUUGCUAGAAACCCAAAUCAGCCACGUAAAACUUGCAACAACAAUUAGAGGACGUCUAACUUGUUUAUGCAGGGUUUGACAUGUGAUGUGAUAUGGCCAAAGUUGUGAUGUUUCAUGUAUGAUGUAUGAGAUGAUCAUGUUAUUGUAAUAGGUUUCACGACUUGCAUGUCGAUGAGUAUGACAACCGGCAGGAGCCAUAGGAGUUGUCUUAAUUUAUUGUAUGAGACGCAACGCCAUGUGCUUACUACUUUUACUUCAUUGCUAACGGUUAGCUAUAGUAGUAGUGAUAGUAGUAGUUGGCAUGACGACUUUAGGGAGACACGAUGAUGGAGAUCAUGGUGUCACGCCGGUGACAAUGAUGAUCAUGCGAUGCCUGAAGAUGGAGAUCGAAAGAGCAAAGAUGAUAAUGGCCAUAUCAUGUCACUAUAUGAUUGCAUUGUGAUGUUUAUCAUGUUUUUCAUCUUAUUGCUUAGAACGACGAUAGCAUAAUAAGAUGAUCCCUCUUAAAAUUUCGAGAACGUAUUCCCCUAAGUGUGCACCGUUGCGAAGUAUCAUUGUCUCGAAGCACCACGUGAUGAUCGGGUGUGAUAGAUUCUAACGUUCGCAUACAACGGGUGUAAGCCAGAUUUACACACGCGAAACACCUAGGUUGACUCGACGAGCUUAGCAUGUACAUAUAUGACCUCGAAUACAAGAGACCGAAAGGUCGAACAUGAGUCGUAUGGUUGAAUACGAUCAGCAUGAAGUUGCUCACCAUGGUGAAUAGUCCGUCUCACGUGAUGAUCGGACACGGGUUAGUCAACAUGGAUCAUGUAUCACUUAGAUGACUAGAGGGAUGUCGAUUUAAGUGGGAGUUCAUACUUAAUUUGAUUAAAUGAACUUAAUUGUCAUGAAGUUAGUCUAAAAGUUGUCUUUAUAAAUAUUGUGGAUGGCCAACGUCAACCUCAAUUUCAAAGCAUUCCUAGAGAAAAACAAGCUGAAAGAUGAUGGUAGCUACUAUGCAGACUGGGUUCGCAACUUGAAGCUCAUCCUUGAAGAAGCUAAAAAGGCUUAUGUCCUUGAUGCGCCGCUAGGUGAACCUCCCGCUCCCGCAGCAGCCCAGGACAUUCUAAACGUCUGACAAACACAGAGUGAUGACUACUCUCUGGUUAGGUGUGGCAUGCUAUACAGUUUAGAAACGGGGCUCCAAAGGCGUUUUGAGCAACACGGUGCAUAUGAGAUGUUCCAAGAGCUGAAGCUAGUUUUUCAAGCUCAUGCCCGUGUCGAGAGAUAUGAAGUCUCCGACAAGUUCUUUAGCUGUAAGAUGGAGGAGAACAAUUCUGUCAGUGAGCACAUACUCAAAAUGUCUAGGUUACACGGUCGUCUGACUUCACUUGGAGUCAAACUUCCGGAUGAUGCUAUAAUUGACAAAAUCCUCCAGUCUCUCCCACCAAGCUACAAAGGUUUUGUGCUGAACUACAACAUGCAAGGGAUGGAGAAGACCAUUCCCGAGUUGUACUCGAUGCUCAAGUCUGCAGAAGUAGAAAUCAAGAAAGAGCAUUAAGUGUUGAUGGUCAACAAGACCACUAGUUUCAAGAAGGGCAAGGGUAAGAAGAACUUCAAGAAAGACGGCAAAGUCGUUGCUGCGCCCGGUAAGCCAGAUGCCGGGAAGAAGAAAAAGAAUGGACCCAAGCCUGAGACUGAGUGCUUCUAUUGCAAGGGAAAGGGUCACUGGAAGCGGAACUGCCCCAAAUACUUAGCGGACAAGAAGGCCGGCAACGUUAAAGGUAUAUGUGAUAUACAUGUUAUUGAUGUGUACCUUACCAGCACUCGUAGUAGCUCCUGGGUAUUUGAUACCGGUGCUGCUGCUCACAUUUGCAACUCAAAGCAGGAACAGCGGAAUAAGCGGAGACUGGCCAAGGACGAGGUGAUGAUGCGCGUCGGGAAUGGCUCCAAGGUCGAUGUGAUCGCCGUCGGCAUGCUACCUCUACGUCUACCGCCGGGAUUAGUUUUAAACCUUAAUAAUUGUUAUUUAGUGCCAGCUUUGAGCAUGAAUAUUGUAUCAGGGUCUUGCUUAAUGCGAGAUGGCUACUCAUUUAAGUCAGAGAAUAAUGGUUGUUCUAUUUAUAUGAGUGAUAUGUUUUAUGGUCAUGCUCCGCUGGUGAAUGGUUUAUUCUUGAUGAAUCUCGAUCGUGAUGUUACACAUAUUCAUAGUGUAAGCACCAAAAGAUGUAAAGUUGAUAAUGAUAGUCCCACAUACGUUUGGCACUGCCGCCUUGGUCAUAUCGGUGUUAAGCGCAUGAAGAAACUCCAUACUGAUGGACUAUUGGAGUCUCUUGACUUUGAAUCAUUUGACACAUGCGAACCGUGCCUCAUGGGAAAGAUGACUAAGACUCCAUUCUUAGGAAUAAUGGAGAGAGCAACCGACUUAUUGGAAAUAAUACAUACUGAUGUAUGUGGUCCAAUGAACAUUGAAGCUCGCGGUGGCUAUCGUUAUGUUCUCACUCUCACCGAUGAUUUGAGUAGGUAUGGGUAUAUCUACUUGAUGAAGCACGAAUCUGAGACGUUUGAAAAGUUCAAGGAAUUUCAGAGUGAGGUUGAGAAUCAACGUGACAGAAAAAUUAAGUGUCUACGAUCUGAUCGUGGAGGGGAAUAUUUGAGUCACGAAUUUGGCACACACCUAAGGAAGUGUGGAAUCGUUUCACAACUGACGCCGCCUGGCACACCGCAAUGCAACGGAGUGUCUGAACGUCGUAAUCGCACUUUAUUAGAUAUGGUACGAUCUAUGAUGUCUCUUACCGACUUACCGCUAUCAUUUUGGGUAUACACAUUAGAAACUGCAGCAUUCACUUUAAAUAGGGCACCGUCUAAAUCCGUUGAGACGACACCGUAUGAACUAUGGUUUGGCAAGAAAUCUAAGUUGCCGUUUCUUAAAGUUUGGGGCUGCGAUGCUUAUGUGAAGAAACUUCAACCAGAAAAGCUCGAACCCAAAGCGGAGAAAUGCGUAUUCAUAGGAUACCCUAAGGAAACUAUUGGCUAUACCUUCUAUCUUAGAUCCGAAGGUAAAACCUUUGUUGCCAAGAACGGAUCCUUUCUAUAGAAAGAGUUUCUCUCGAAAGAAGUAAGUGGGAGGAAGGUAGAACUUGAUGAGGUAAUUACACCCCCUCUCGAACAGGAAAGUAGCGCAGCAUGGGAAAUUGUUCCUGUGGCACCUACACCAACUGAAGAGGAAGUUAAUGAUAAUGACCAUGAAGCUUCGGAUCAAGUUACUACUGAACCGCGAAGGUCCACAAGGGCACGCUCCGCACCAGAGUGGUACGGCAACCCUGUGAUGGAAAUCAUGUUGUUAGACAACGGUGAACCUUCGAACUAUGAAGAAGCGAUGGAGGGCCCGGAUUCCAACAAAUGGCUUGAAGCUAUGAAAUCCGAGAUNNNNNNNNNNNNNNNNNNNNNNNNNNNNNNNNNNNNNNNNNNNNNNNNNNNNNNNNNNNNNNNNNNNNNNNNNNNNNNNNNNNNNNNNNNNNNNNNNNNNGGGGGUGCGGGAGAUGACGUGGGUGUAGGCUAGGGGAAACAACGCAUCUCCUGCGAGGACGGCCAUGUCCGUUCCGUAGGCCGCGUGGGUGGACGGGCGACCUCGGCGGGUGGGCGCGGCGUCAAAGCACGGCAAGUCGUCGUGCACGAGGGACGCUCCGUGGAGCAUCUCCAGCGCGGCGGCGCUCCCUACCGCCGCCGCGCUGGAGAUGCUCCACGGAGCGUCCCUCGUGCACGACGACUUGCCGUGCUUUGACGCCGCGCCCACCCGCCGAGGUCGCCCGUCCACCCACGCGGCCUACGGAACGGACAUGGCCGUCCUCGCAGGAGAUGCGUUGUUUCCCCUAGCCUACACCCACGUCAUCUCCCGCACCCCCUCCCCCGACCCCGUGUCGCACGCCGUCCUCCUCCGCGUCCUCGCAGAACUCGCGCGCACUGUGGGAUCCACCGGCAUGGCCGCUGGCCAGUUCCUCGAUCUUGCCGGUGCCAGCGCCCUCGGUGAAGCCGAGGUCAUGCAGGUCCUGACCAAGAAGUUCGGCGAGAUGGCGGAGUGCUCGGCCGCCUGCGGGGCUAUGCUAGGCGGCGCGGGGCCCGACGAGGAGGCCGCGUUGCGGCGAUACGGCCGCGCCAUCGGCGUCCUCUACGAGCUCGUCGACGACAUGCGGAGCGCGUCGGGAAACGGCAAGAUGAGGAGCAACGCCAGCGUCCUGCGCGCGCUGGGCAUGGACCGUGCGCUGGGCAUUGUCGAGGAGCUCAAGGCGCAGGCCAAGACGGAGGCGGACAGGUUCGGCGAUAAGUAUGGCGACCGGGUGCUGCCAUUGUACAGCUUCGUGGACUACGCCGUGGAGAGGAGCUUUGAGCUCCAGGAUUCAGCCGCGAAGCCUUGAGCGUUGGCACAGGUGACAUGUAUAGUUAUGUGAAGCUGAAAUUCUGUGAUCUGAACUAUAAAUUUGUACUAUAUGUGUUUAGAACAUUAGAUGCGUGGUUGCUGUUUCUGUCCAACAUUUUGCAAGUUCCUGAAAUAACAUGGUACCAAAUGAUAAACUUACCAAUAAUUUUGAGUUCAUACUCCAUGGGAAUGAAGCUAACCCAAGUUCACACCAUGUUGGGAGCUUUCAAAUUGUUCAUACUGUUCAGUUCGUUUGUAAGAAGGUUUACCUUCUGUGCUUGUUUGUCGUUGAAUUUGUGUGAACAUGAUGGUAGUAAACAUUACAGGGAUCAGCUUUGUUACCUGACAAUGAUAAAUAUUUAUAAAUUUUGCC
rnacentral:lncRNA from 1 species